rnacentral:lncRNA from 1 species
UAUGGUUGCCCAAAGGCACAUAACAAACAACAAUAUUCUACGUUGUAGUAAUUCAUAGAAUUAUCUAAGAUGAUGAUGAAAAGAAUUGGGGCUUGGAUGUUGUUAGCGUUAUUGACUCUGGUUGGCGAAUGGCAUGGUCGUUGUUAUGGUUGUUUGGAGGAAGAGAGGAUUGGUCUCUUGGAGAUCCAAUCUUUGAUCGACCCAGAUGGCGUUUUCUUGGAAGAUUGGGUGGACAACAAUAGUAAUUGUUGUGAGUGGCGUGUGAUCGAGUGUGAUCCGACUACAAGACGAGUGAUCCAACUCUCUCUUAGUGGUGAAAGAGAUUACCUUGGGCGAUUGGGUUCUCAACGCAUCUUUGUUUCAGCCUUUUAAAGAAUUGCAAAGUCUUGAUUUGGAAUGGACUGGAUUGGUUGGUUGCAUGGAGAAUGAAGGUUAGUUCAAUGUUUCUGCACUUAAUUAUAAUCAUAAAAUAAAUGAAGGUUGGUUGGUGUUUAAUGUCAAUUAUCUUGCUUUGAUGAUUCUCUUUCCAGGCUUCGAAGUCCUAUCAUCAAAACUGAGGGAACUUGACCUAAGUUAUAACCGAUUUAAUAAUGAUAAAAGCAUUUUGUCAUGUUUCAAUGGUAACCUUUCCACUCUCAAGUCUUUAGAUCUAUCAGAAAAUGGGUUGACAGCUGGAUCAGGUAGCUUCUAUGGUAACCUUUUAAUUAUUUGGCUUCGAAACCUUUUCUUUUCUACUUCUCAUAUCAUUUUUUUCUACGCAUUUAAUUAUUUCCUACCAAUAUGCUCUUGAGGAACAUCAUACAGGUCUCAAGGUCUUGUCAUCAAGGUUCAAAAAGCUGGAGAACCUUCAUCUAAUUAGGAAUCAAUACAACGAUACCGUUUUUCCAUCUCUAACUGGAUUUUCAUCUCUCAAGUCUUUGGAUCUAUCGUACAAUAUGUUGACAGGAUCAGGUAUAAUACACAGUUUCUACCUCAAUGCUUCACAUGACAUUCUCUAAAACAGGAAGAGAUUAAAGAGAUCAAAACAUUACUUGCGAUCUAUCUUCUUCCGUAUAUUUUUUUUAUGUAUAUCUUGUACGUAGGUUUUCAACUCCAACCGAUGAGGCUGGGAAAGCUGGAGAACCUUGACCUGAGUUGGAAUCAAUUGAACAGUAGCAUCUUAUUAAUUCUGAGUGGGCUUUCAUCCCUCAAGUCUUUGGAUCUAUCAGGCAAUCAGCUGACAGGAUCAGGUAUAAUACACAGUUUCUACCUAAAUGCUUCACAUGACAUUCUCUUAAUUAUAUUGUUUCUUUAUCAACAAAAAUGAGGACUUUAUAUCAAGAAAAGAGGCACUUGGAAUGAGGUCCAAGAGGCAUAUAUUUUAUUCUCCUAUAAAUAUAUAUUUUAUAUUUAUCUUUUUAAAUAAAUAUAUUUUUAUAUAUGUUUUUUCUGUCUUGAGAUACUUAGUCAAACACAACUCUUAAGUUUUUUUUUUUUAAUGCAUUUGAGUUUGAAUGGGUUUUGAAUAACAUAAUAAGAAGCUCUCUCCUAGAAUAUUAUAAUUAAGAAGAUUGUAAUAAUUAAAACUUGGAUCUUAACAUCAAUUAAACAAAAAAACUCUCCAAUACAAAUCACAAGUGUUUUAUCAAUAAAGAGAACAACAUAAAACCCACAUAUUUGAUAUUUAAUUCUUGUUUGUAACCAUUUAUUAUUUCCUCUCUUUUUAAUUAUGGUUUUAUAUUAUUUUGGACCAUUUUUUAAUCAAAAUAUUAUUCUGUGUUGGAGGAUAUAUUGCCUUAUGGUCGUGGUGAAUGGUGAAAUAUUUGGACUUUGAGAAAUAAAACGUGAAAAAGUUCAUAAUUCUUUAAUGCCAUUGAUAAAACUGGGAAAGUACUUGCUAGAAAACAGAGGCAGUUAGGAACAAAUUAUAAUUACUAAAUUAGUGACAACUAAGCAUCUUACUAACUAAAUAGAUAAAGGAAUUAAGUUAUGAUUAUUAUUCUUGUUUAACGAUUAUUUUUCUUGUUUUAACUAUCGAUGAGGUCUUAAUUAUAAGUUUUUUAUCUUGUUUUGUAAGUCUAUCAUAAUUUAGCUUCCAUCUUUUUAUGUAUAAUUUGAGAAUCAUAUAUCAAAUGAACAACAACAUCUCAUCAAUUCUAAUUAUCUUUAGUUUCUAUCUAUUAUGCAUAUCGUGAGCUCAUAAUUAUGACUUACUCUUAGAAACAACUCUCUUGCAGGUUUUGAGAUCAUAUCAUCACAUUUGGGGAAACUCGAGAACCUUGACCUGAGUUCUAAUAAUAUAUUCAACAACAACAUUUUCUCACAUUUGCGUGGACUUUCUUCUCUCAAGUCUUUAAAUUUAUCAGGCAAUAUGUUGCUAGGAUCGACGACUAUCAAUGGUAAAGUUGUGAAAUCUCUGGAUUUUUUAGGCAAUUUGUUGUUUAUAUCCAAAAAUCAUCUCACUACAAAAGUAUCAGUUCUUUAUCAUAGGUUUAAGAACUCAAUCAAGAUAACACUUAUUUCACUACUUACUUGAUUGCCUGUUUUCAAUUCUACACAUCAUAGGUUUAAAGACACUGGAAUUCCUGCAGUCAUUGCCAAUAUCCCUGAAGACCCUUUCUCUCAAGGAUACUAAUUUAAGUCAAGGUUAAUCAUAGUUUAGUUUCUUAAAAUCAUAAUUAAUAAUAUUGAAUGGAAUGGGCAUUCUGUACCACCACUAUUUUCAUCAUAUCUUUUUCUUCUUCUUCUUCUUCUUUUCACAGGGACUUUCUUCAAUUCUAGCACCCUAGAAGAAUUGCAUCUAGAUAAUACUUCUCUCCCAAUAAACUUUCUCCAAAACACUGGAGCAUUGCCUACUCUAAAAGUUUUGUCUGUUGCUGAAUGUGACCUCCAUGGCACCCUACCCGCUCAAGGUAAAUUAACAACUCUCCAUCCGCCUAUAAUUACAUCAUCAAUAAAAGAUUCUUUCAACAUUGUUUUGACUGUUUCGAGAUAAAUUAUACAGGUUGGUGUGAAUUGAAGGAUCUGAAGCAGUUAGAUCUCGCUAGAAAUAAUUUUGGAGGUUCACUCCCAGAUUGUUUGAGGAACUUGUCAUCUCUACAACUAUUAGAUGUUUCUGAAAACCAAUUUACUGGAAAUAUUGCCUCCAGUUCUCUUACCAACCUCAUAUCCCUUCAAUUCCUCUCACUAUCAAAUAACCUCUUUGAAGUUCCCACCUCAAUGAAGCCUUUUAUGAACCACUCAAGCCUCAAGUUCUUCUCCAGUGAGAACAACAAACUUGUAACAGAACCUGCUGCCUUUGAUAAUUUGAUUCCAAAGUUCCAACUAGUCUUUUUUCGCUUGUCAAAAACAAUGGCAGCACUCAAUGUAGAAAUUCCUGACUUCCUCUAUAACCAAUAUGACUUAAGACUCCUUGAUCUCUCCCACAACAACAUCACUGGAAUGUUUCCAUCAUGGUUGCUUAAGAACAAUACACGAUUGGAACAACUAUAUCUAAGCGAGAACUCCUUUAUUGGUACUUUGCAGUUGUCAGAUCAUCCAUAUCCGAAUAUGAUGGAAUUAGAUAUAUCCAACAACAACAUGAACGGUCAAACUCCAAAAGAUAUUUGUUUGAUCUUUCCAAAUCUGUGGCUCUUAAGGAUGGCUAAGAAUGGAUUCACAGGUUGUAUUCCUUCUUGUUUAGGAAAUAUAAGCUCUUUGGAAAUUUUAGAUUUAUCCAACAAUCAAUUGUCCACAGUAAAACUAGAACAACUAACAACAAUAUCGUUUCUCAAGCUGUCAAACAACAAUUUGGGUGGGCAAAUACCGACCUCGGCGUUCAAUUCUUCUACCUUGGGAUUUCUCUACCUAGAUGGUAACAACUUUUGGGGCCAAAUAUCAAACUUUUCAUUACAUAAGCGGAAAAUAUGGAUUGUAUUGGAUUUAAGUAACAAUCAAUUUUCAGGCAUGCUUCCAAGGUGGUUCGUCAAUUUUACACAAAUUAGAGCAAUUGAUUUGUCCAAAAACCAUUUUAAAGGUUCGAUCCCAAGAGACUUUUGCAAGCUUGACUACCUUGAAUAUUUGGACCUUUCUAAGAACAACUUGUCUGGAUAUAUACCAUCUUGUUUUAGUCCACCACCUUUAACCCAUGUGCAUCUAUCCGAAAAUAGAUUGAGUGGUCCAUUAACAUAUGGAUUUUAUAACAGCUCUUCCCUGGUUACGAUGGAUCUUCGAGAUAAUAGCUUCACCAGCUCCAUUCCAAAUUGGAUUGUCAAACUUUCAUCAUUGAGUGUUCUUGUUUUGAGGGCUAAUCACUUUGAUGGUGAGCUCCCUAUUCAGUUAUGCUUGUUAGAACAAUUAAGCAUUUUGGAUGUUUCACAAAACCAGCUCUCUGGUCCACUACCCUCCUGUUUAGGCAAUCUUCCUUUCAAGGAAAGUUCCCAGAAAGCAUUGGAUAUCCGAGUUUUUUAUCAUGUCCAUAGAAAAAGCUUAUUAUGAAACAAUGGGUCCACCACUAGUGGAUAGUGUCACACUUGGAAAAUGUUUGGCUUAACAAAAGAAGUGAUAGAAUUUACAACUAAAAAUAUAUAUUAUGGUUACAAGGGGAAAGUUCUCAGCUACAUGUCUGGUAUUGAUCUCUCCAAUAACAACUUCAUAGGAGCAAUCCCACCAGAAUUUGGAAACUUAAGUGAGAUACUGUCAUUAAACUUAUCACACAACAAUCUCACUGGAUCUAUCCCUGCAACAUUCUCAAACCUAAAGCAUAUUGAGAGUUUGGAUCUUUCUUACAACAACUUGAAUGGUGCCAUCCCUCCACAACUUACUGAAUUACCACACUGGAAGUUUUUAGUGUGGCGCACAAUAACUUGUCAGGUAGGACACCCGAGAGAAAAUAUCAGUUUGGGACCUUUGAUGAAAGCUGUUACGAAGGAAAUCCUUUCUUGUGUGGACCUCCAUUGCAAAACAAUUGUAGUGAGAAGCAGUGCGUCCAGCCAGUGCCUAAUGAUGAACAAGGAGAUGAUGGUUUCAUAGACAUGGAGUUUUUCUACAUCAGUUUCGGUGUAUGUUACACAGUUGUGGUGAUGACGAUUGCAGCAGUUCUCUACAUCAAUCCAUAUUGGCGACGCAGGUGGUUGUACUUCAUCGAAGACUGCAUAGAUACUUUCUACUAUUUUGUGGUGGCUAGUUUUCGCAAGUUCUCCAACUUUAGAAGGUGAAUUUGUUAUUGGGGAGACGGUCGUUCCUAGUUUGUGAUGAUUGUUUGUCUAGCUAUUGGUAAUUUGUAGUGUACUGUCUCUAAGCUCAGCCUUUCUAUUUGAUUAGUUAUUUGAGCUAAAUAUAUAAGCUGGACUUCUCAUUCCUGAAUCAUUAGGAAGGAAACUGAUUUGGAUUGGUCAUUGACUCUGGUGUGAUUACUCUUUCAACUCUCAAGACUUGUCUGAAAAUAAAUUGCCAAAACCACUACUAAAGUAUAAACAAAAUAUUCUAUGCCUUUGUUUCAAGGGCGACCCCACCUCAGUUAUUCAAUCAAAGCAUUGAAAUCAGAGCAAGAAGAUCCACCUUCUUCAACAGCCUUCCUGGCCGUUUCUUUGCUCUGCUACUCAUUUCCUCUGCUUCUUCACCCAUCAUAAUUUGAGUGAUUGCCUUCUCUACAGCUUCACUUUUAACAUGAUCUCCAUGCACUCUAAGCCAUUCCUUAACUCCAGUUUUUAAAACAUCAGUCACUAACUUUUCAUUAUAGAAUUGCUCAGCAAAUAUUGGUCUCCUAAGCACAAAAAAAUAAAAUUGUCCUUCUCAAACAUGCAGCUGUGACUUGAGACAUUCAGAAUUUCAACCUCAUUUUCUAUAAAAUUCAACAAUACUGGAUAUGGUCAUGAUUCAAUGGAAUAAUCCCCACUUAUUUUCUUGAGACCUUUUUCCAUUGAAAUCUUGCAAGACUAUGGCAUAAUGAACUCCAUCUAAUGAACAGUAAAUCAAAGAAAUUACCUUCUGAUAGAUCUCCUCUUGCCAAUCAGCGCCUUUUGCAUGUCCAGUCUGCUGUAGAAUCUAGGGAUGCUACAAAAAUUUCAAUGCAGUGUUAGAAUUCAUGUAUUUUUGUGUGUUUUCCAUCUACAAGGGUAUUUCUGUAAUUUUAACACUUGCUGAAAAUUAUGAAAUAUUGCAAGUCUCAGUUUUAUUUUCCAUUUAGUAUUUAAUUAUUCCCAAAGUAUAGCGAGCUUCAUUAGGUUUUUCCUAUUCUAGAUAGGUCUAUUAGUAUUUUCCUAUAUAGGAAUAAGAGUCCUUUUUGUAUUAGGAACUUCAUCUAAAUGUUAUGUAAUCAUAUAAAUGCAGAAUCAGAGGGUGAACAGCUGGUGCAAUGCACUGGAGGGUAUGAUGUGGUAACAAAUGCGUGUGUGAUUGCAAUGGUUUCAAUAGCAGUGGCAUUACUAAUGCCACAAGUGGCAGCAGUGGCACAUAAAGCUACCUAAAAGAGUAUUGCUGACUUGAACCAUUAUGAGAGGUGAACAGUUGGUGCACCGCACUGUAGGGCAUCGUGUGGUUACAAAUGCAUGUGUGAUUGCAAUAGUUCCAAUACCAGUGGCAUUUCUAAUGCCAUAAGGGGAAGCAGUGGCACAUAAAGCUACCAAAAAGAGCAUUACCUGGCAUUUGUCUCUGAGAAUUGACAAACAUAGUGGAGGGAAUCCCUUGUCCCACUGAAUUCCCCACUGAGUUCUGUGAAACACCAGGGAUACUCUGCAUGUUAGGAUUCUGGACAACAGUGUUGGGGAUAGUCUGGGUUACACCAGAGACAGGAGGCAGUGCUGCUUGUAAACCAGCAUAACUUUGAACUCCAUUAGAUGCCAUGCAAUUCUGCAUGUUCUGUGAUACCAACGUGCUUGAGACUGAUCAGUGGACAAUAGGAUAGGGAGAAACAGCCCUUGAUUCUGAACUUCAGGGGACAUACUAUGGGAUACUGUUCAAGAUAAAAGGCAAAAGGGAAAACCAUGUCACAGAAAAAAAGAAGGCAUUGAACAAGGAAGACAAAUGAAACAUCGGCAGUCCACACAUAAAGUUAUGAGCGAAAGAAUUGGGAUGGAUUGGAUUCAAAGCAUAAAAGUGUCCUCUGAAAAUUUUCGGGGAUGGGGGAAGAACAGGCGGCUGAAAACAAAAACAAUAUGACAAUUUUCAGGGUGGGGGAAAGAAAAGGAGGAGGCAGAAAACAAAAACAAUCUGUAAUAUUCUUGCAUAACAUUCAUCAAUUACUCAACUUUUUGAUGAAAGCAUGCCAUACACAUAGCAAUAUGUUGCAAUAAAAUGGAAAAGAGUUUGUUAACAAUGUGACAAACAAAACAAAAGGUAAGAUGUUUAGAAAUUCAAUGCUCGGCAGCAUUAUUAUAUAUGAAAAAAGGAUCAAAUACUUUCUCUCGGAAGAAAAGCAAGAAAGUGACGUCUUACCUCCUAAACAAUUAUAAAAUAUAAAAUACCAUGCAUCACAGUCCUUGUUGCUUAACAAGUUAAGGGUGAAACACUUCACAUGCAUUAUAGAAUUAGCAUCGUGGAGGUGAUCAUGAGAUUUUUCCAGCAAGGCGAUAUACAUAGCAAUAUGCAGCAAUAAAAUGUAAAAGAGUUUGAUAACAAUGUGAGAAGAAAAACAAAAGGUAAGAUGUUUAGAAAUUCAAUGCUCGGCUGCAUUAUAACUUGCUGGAUCCAUGGGGGCAGUGGGCAUGGCAUUUUGAGACCUGAUCUCCAUUGAAAGCAUCUCCAGAGAUAUUUUACGCAGAUAAUCAGACUGAAAUCAGAUAUUAAUAACAAAACAUUAGAUCUCAGAGCAAUCUAUGUUACAAGAGGAGGAAAAUGGACAUAUGCUCUAUCAUUUCAUCUUUUGUGAGGAUAUACUAUUGUUUCCUCUCUUUUUAUUUAAUUAUUUAUGUAUUGAUUCACUAUUUUCUUUUUGCACACUUUCCUUGUACUUGAACUUGGUCACUCUAAAUAAAACACUUGUCAAGAGAAUUAACAAAAACAUGCGAACUCCCAAUCAGCCUUGCAUACAGAAUGAACGGUGAGGAAGUGUAGGCACACUACACACACAUUUGUACAUGCAUAAUGCAUGUAUAUAUUCAUGUCAAGGGAAUAUCAUAAUUAUUGAACCUCGCAUUAAGCAAAUACCUGAUUGGUGGUGGUAAUAUAAAUCUUUUCCUCAAAACGUAUGGCAAAUUUCUUGAGUUCUUGUAAUCCCUCCUGACCAGAAAACAGAAGAUGCCUCUUUAAUGUCUCCAUUCUGCACAUGCAAAUCAUUACGUUUCAUUUUUCAUGACCAGGAAUGUAUAGAGAAGUUAGCAGCAGCAAGCAAGAACCCUGAAUUCAUAAACCACACCAAUAUCAGAAAUGUGUGGAAUCUUUAGCAAAAAGUAAAAACAAAUUAUGAGAUAAGCAAGAGUUUGUCAAGUAUUAUAAGACAUCAAAAUACAUAGACAUCCUUUCCCUGUAUUAUUCCAGAGGUACAGAUUUUAGGAGUUUACUUGGCCACCCUUCUGUCUAAAAGUUCUAGCUACGAGCUUCAUAUAUUAGUGACUGAGUUGCGAAGCAGGGGAGUCUGUGAAAACAUUACAAUAGCAUUUACUCUGAGUAACUUCUAUGCAUGUGCUGUAAUUGACAAAGAAAAGAAGAGAAAUCCUUUCAAUAUAUGAAAAUGCAACGAGUUAACCUUAUGUUCCCUCAAGUUUGCUUCUCGUGAGAAACACAUGAAAAGAUGAAACAAAAAAAGAAAAAGAAAGAGGUGUGUGAUACUUGAGGUUGCCUCAUGGCAAUCCUGCAGAUUUUAAUUAACCCUUUGCCAUUCUCCUUUUCUUUCAUAAAAAUAAAAAAAUUACUAUUUUGCAGCACUUGCACAUACAUUUUGUCGACUAUUCUUUUCCGUGAGUCAGGCCGCAAUUGAAUUCUCCAAUCACCCGUGUCCAUGACAGGUUCUCCGCCUGGCUUAGUGGGCCAACCAAAAAGAAAAAAAAAAAUCAUAUUGCUUUAUUCAGACUUGAAUAGACCCUAAAAAGAAAGUCAGGAACGGCAAGAAGAGCAAAAGCACAUCAAGAACAUGAAAAAUGGAAUAUCAGUUUAUUCAGACUUGAAUAGAUUUAAUAGGAACUUCCUUCUAAUAUCAUGUACUUUAUUAAAGAAUUCAGCCAAAUAUGGAUGCAUAACAAUUAAGAAGAAGACAAAACAAAGUCAUAAAACGAGGCCUUUCAAUUCCCAAUGAAUAUCAGCAGACUAAAUACCACAGCACAAAUAGAAGAUGAAGAGGCCAGAAACACUAAACCAUCCCAAAGAGAUUGUCUAGGAUGUUUUAAUCUAGGAAAAAGAAGAAGAAAACAACGAGCAUUAACAAUGAAUUUCAUGUUAUCAAUUAACUCUAAAGAGCAGACGAUAAGAAUCAACUUAACAAAUUUACAGGCAUCUUUCUUUGAAUAGACAACACAUAUCCCUGACCUACUAAAUGCUCCACCCACAGUAAAUCGGCUGAUUGCGCCUUUCUUCGAGUUGCGUUCACGAUCAGCGAUUUCAUUCGGGCCCGUUAUAUAUCUUUUUAAUUUACUUAUUAAAAUCGAAUUUCUCUCUCUGGAUAGUAAUUUCAAUUAAAUAAUGGAAACGCAGACGUAAAUCUUUUUUUUAAAAAAUAACAUAAUAGAAAUGAAGCACCUGGUGGAGAUUUGAAAGCCUUAUUGGUUGGGGGGCGGCGGCGGCGGUUUCCGAGAGCGGAGGAAAGAGAGAGAGAGCUCAGGUGGGAGAGGUGAGGAAUGUCGGCCCAAAGUGAACAGAGCUUGACAGAUGACUUUAUUCUUUUCCAGAUUCGCUAACAAACUAAAAGAAUUGUAUUCUGGUGCUGCUUCACUGUUCAUAACUAACAAACUAAAACUAAAACUAAAAGAAUUAUAUAUAUAAGAGUGCUCAUUAAAACACGGUGCACUGUGUGUGAAUCCUGUGGCUUCACGGUCUUUACCGCGCUCCCUCUCUGUUUUUCGCCAUUCUUCUCGCGUGGUGGGUGUUCCCGCGCUUUCUUCUCGGCUGCUGAGGCUCCCUGGUGUCUUUCCAUCGACUUUGUCUGGUGCAUGUUCAGAUUGAGGCGGGGUGCUAGGCGCGCGAGGAGAUGUCAGCCGACGGGAAAUCACCUGCAUCGGCUGGGAUGGCUUCAUUGAAGCUGUCCUCUUGGUCUGUGGCGGGCCUGCUCAUUAAUGAAAAAAUUAUUCUAACUGAGACAUUGUUUUUGUUUUUGUAAACUCUUUUCUAUUAUUUUUUUUAUCCAAAUUUUUUUUGAAAAUAUCAUAUACAUUCUGGUGUGAUAUUUAUUCUUGGUUGUGCUAAGAGUAGAUAAUAAAUUGUUUUAAAACUAAAGAAUUAAUCAUUAUCUCAAUUUAAUUUUUAUUUUGAUUAUUGAUUUAUGUGCAUGUUUUGUAUUAGGUGGAACUUGAUCAUUAUAGUAAAAAGGAACAAUAAUUUUAUGAAUUAUUUAAAACAGUUUAUUUGUUCUAUGCAUAUGUAUGAUGAUCUGGUUAUAAAUGAAAUAGAUAAUUUGUCAAGAACAAAUUGAUUAUAUGUUUUAGAUUAAAAAAAAGUUUAUUUUAAUAGGAAAGUAAAGUGUAUAUAUCUUUUGUUAUCUAUGUACUUAUAUAUAUUGCCUUGAUUCCACGGGAAAUAAUUUUAUGUUGCUGGUAUUUUCCUUUGUUGCGUUUGAUGGGGAAAAAAGAGAAAACAGAAGAUGGGAAAAAAAAAGUUGCAUACUGGAUAAUAAUUACCGGUGAAAUAAUUAUGUAAAGUGAAAUUCUAUUUAACUGGAAUUCUUUUGUUUAUGUUGCUAUAUAUUAUUAUAUAUAUAUAUAUAUGAUUAAAGAGAGAUUAACAACUAAUACUCCUAGCAUUGGUGAUGUAUUGUAACCAAGAAAAAAAAAUUAAAAACAUCUUCAAGUUGUGUAAUUUCCCAGUGUGGAUUCAUCAAAGACAUUGUAUUUUUCACUUUGAUUAGUAAAAAAGUACAAUACUCAAAUAUAGUUAGUAUUUGAGAUGUGGAUGUAGGCCUACCGAAUCACAUUAGAAAAUGAAUUUGCAAUCUCUCUUUCUUUAUCUAUUUACUUUAAGCACUUUAAUUAUAUUGUUGGUUAUUGUAUUAUAUGUGUUUAAUGUAUUUAUUUGCAUUAUUUUGAUAUAAUUACCAGGUCAGAAUUACUUAUAAAUAGAGACAAUUCUAAUAUGGUUUUGACAAUAAAAAAAACUUCUAAUCUUUUUAAAACUUAUCUUUACAUUUUUUCAGUUAAAAUUAUUAUAGAGAGUAAUAUAAAAAUUAUAGUUCGCCAUUUGUUCUUAGUAGUGCUAUUAAAAAUCAGAGAUUGAGUAAGCUUGAAAAAUAAAAUUACAAUUACAUUGCUAGCACCAAAGAGCAGAUAAUAAAUUGUUUUAUAAUAAUUUUUAGUCAAUAUUUUAAUUUGUGGCUAUCCGGUACAAAAUAGAUCUCAUAGGCUUAUUAAAAUUAAAAAUGGUAUUGAGAUUUCUAAAACUUCAAGUUAUUAUGAAAAAUGAUAAAAAAAUUACUUUUUAUGGAUACUAAAGCCAUGGAUAUUUUAUAUCAUACAUUGGGCAAAAGUGAAUUUGAUAGAAUUAUAUUAUAUAAAAAUACUUAGAGAUAUAUAGCAUGCCUUACAAGUAAUUCAUAAAGAACUAACAAUUAAAAAAAAUCUAAAAUUAAUAUGUUAAUUUAUCAUUAUGAAUUUUUCAAAAUGUUGGUGACUUCAUAACUAAAAUUUUUAAAAUGACUAAAAUAUUAAUAUUAUUAGUUUGGAUGUUUUAGUAAUGUUGAAAUUAUAGAGAAGUAAUCAUUAAGUUGAAUUUUUUAUAUGAGUAGAAAUCAGGUCAUUAUAAAUUUAAUAAACUAUUUAAAGUGUUCCAUUAGAAGAAAUAGGUGUUGUGAAUUUGAGUCUGCAUUUUUCUCUACUUUCUUUUUGGUUUUUUUUUGUUCGUCCCUUCCUCAAAAUUUUAGGGUAUUAAAUUUCUUUGUUUCUUCGCGAUGCCUUACUCUUUGUUGAUUGUCUCUCUGUUUUUUAGUUGCACUGUUUAGGCUAUAUGUGUGUUUAUUGAGGCUUUGGCUGUCUUAUUUGCUACAGUUAUGAGGUUUUGGGCAUAGUGUUUUAGUUAGCUUCAGCCCUCUAUUACCAUUCUUUAUAGAGGUGGUGUUGUCUUUGUUUCGCACAAGGCGGCAUGUGUCUUGAAAGGAAGUUUACUUGGUUUUCUUUCCAUGUGUUUCUUGCAUGCUACUUGUUUGGCAAAAGUCUUCUGAGAGAUCGACCUUUUUUCUUCGAUUGUUUUGGUUAGGCUGGGUGCUUGAUUUGUGUUAGGCUGUUAAAGUUUUUUCCCUUUCUUUAUAAGAAAAAAAUAUUUCUUUUGUGCUUAGGAACACACCUUUGUAGCUUUAGAGAUGAUAGAAAGCUUUGCUUUUAAAGGCAACAUUGUUCUUUACGGUUUUUUCAACAUGGGUUUCCUUAACAAAAAUUAAGUUUUGCAUGCUUAUUUAUGUUGCUCAUCCAUAUAUAUUGCAACAGGUCUUUCUAGAGGUAACUUGGGUGAGGAAAAAACUUUAUGCCACGAAAAUAAGAGGCUGGAGUUUUAUUUUGCUUUAGAUUCUUCCCUUAAUUCCAACCUUGGUUUGUUUUCAAUUCUUUGGUCUUUCUUUUCAUUAGUCUAUGAUUUUUUGUUGGAUUCUUGCUUUGUGUUAGGUUGUAUGAGGAUUUUCCUUUAAAAAAAAAAUCAUCUUGUGUUUGGGAACACAGCUUUGUACCUAUGGAGCGCUUUGAUUUUGAAGACAACACUUUUUCUUUAAGUUUUUUCGACUUGGGUUUCCCUGAAAAAUGUCUUCUUUUUGCUUGUUUGUUUGUGUUGAUCAUACAUAUAUGUUACAGCAGGUCUUGUUUGUGGCUUGCACAUUGGUUGCUUAUGUUUAUUGAUGAUAUCUUUUAUUGUCUUUUUUCUUUUCGUUUGUAAUUCACAACAAUAGAUUGGGUCUGAAUAUCUUGGUCCGGAAUUGACAUGAAAAAAAAAAGAGAAAGAAACUUACAUUCUCUACUUUAGAUGGCUUGAGCAUUGUUCGCUAGAACAACAGACUGGGUUUGAUUAUCUUGGUCUGAAAUUGGCAGGAAAAAAAGAAAAGGAACUUGCAUUGUCUGCUUUAGAUGGCUUGAGCAUUGUUCGCUAGAACAACGGAUUAGGCCUGAUUAUCUUAGUCUGGAAUUAGCAGGAGAAAAAAACAGAAACUUGCAUUGUCUGCUUUAGAUGGCUUGAACAUUGCUUGCUAGAUGUUCAUUCAUUUCUCUUUUUGCAAUGAACUCUUGCAUAGUUGACAGAUCAUGCUACAUUAUUCACGCUAUUAUUGUUCUCUUUUGAACUGCCAAGAUUAUUGGUUGGAUAAUAGCCACUGUGAUUAGAGAAACUGAAAUAAUUUAUAGUCUGCAAGUCUAUAUAUUCAUUACGGCAGUCAUGUUUUUAUCCAAACAUUGCCAAGAGUCUAGACCAAAGUUAAUCAAUAACAAAAAGAUGAAAAAAAACCCCGAAGAUAAAAGUGACAAAAUUCAUAAAACUCAAACGCCAAUAAUGUAAUUAAUGCCAAAUAAUAAGAUUAAAAAAAUCAAUUAAAGAAAAAAUUGAAUCAACCCAGGUUAAUUUAAGUUAUCCACGAUCUGGGAUAUGAAAUAGAAAUAAUCAUACAAAAAAAAAAAAAACCAGAACAAAACAAAGUUUAAAGCCUAAUAACUCGAGGUUGAUGAUAAAAAUUUUUUUUCAAAAAAAACUUAAAAAAAUACCAAACUUAAAACGAGUUGAUAUUCAAAAUUGAUAGAGUUAUUAGAGUAGAAUUACUGUAUUCAUACAGUUUUGACUUGUCUUUUUUUAUUGGUUUUUGUUUUUAGUUUUUUCAUUCAAUGUUGGAUAUGACUUUUUUGUUACUUUUUAUUGAAGCAUAUGGUUGUUUCAUAAAAAAAAAAAAAAAAAACUCUAGGAAACAUAGUUGUUAAAACACAACGAAGCACAUGACAUAUGUCAUGAUAUCAAAUAUCUUAAUCUUAAUUACCUAUUUAUUAAAUAUUGAUCUAGUUACUAAAUACAUGUAUAGGCAUUUUGAUUUGUGAUUGAAAAAAAAAAACUUAUAUUAAAAAGCACAUUAUAAGAGCCUGCUUAUUUUUUUUACUUAAAAAAUAAUCACCUUGCCACGGAGCGCCAAUACAAAACUAGUUACUUAUAAUAUAAAAUAUGUGGGGUGAACACUCUUUAGCCACUCUCUUCACCUCCUUCCGUUUUAUAGUGGACACAAUGUUCACUGGUUUUUUGUUAGGUUUUGCUAUAAAUUUAAAGGAAAAAUAUUUAAGGUGAAUAUUAUACAACCAUAUUGUUCAUCCCCUCAUGUUUGAUGUGCUAAGGAUAUAAAACCAAGUAAUUGUUUCUUCCUUUAGACUAAGAGUCAAUGCGUAGCAGAAUGAGCCUUCCUUCUCUCAUUCUUAUCAAUCGUCUUAGAGAGCCUAUGUUCUUGCCUUGAUCAAGAAUCCUAUCUUAGUUAUUCAACACAUAUGAAGAAAUUUUCCAAAAUCAUUUCUUGACAUAACUCUAUUCUUACUAGUUGUUGUCUUUGGACCCAUAAGUUAUCGGGUCAUAUCGGUUCAACUCUCACUUUUUUACUUGUGUUUGAAAUUUAAAUUGUAUAAUUUCAAGUUAGUUUAUAUUUAAAUUUGAAUUGAACUUAUGUUUAUUGAGUUUAAUCUUGAAUAUAUAUAUAUAUAGUAUAAUCUUGAAGAAGCACGCUGAAAUGCUCUGAAACCAAAAUAUACAGUUUGAAUUAAAAAAUAAAACACUAUCCGGAACGAGAUUGAUAACCUGACGUGAUAUGUUUAAAAUGAGCAUCAUCGAAUCAUUUAGAGCAACCGUGUACAUAACAAGGGCGUCCCCUUCUCCGUCCAGAGAUUAGGCACUGAAUCUUUCGUUACAGUUAGAGUAGGCGAAGCUUGUCAAUCUUACAAAGGUGGUAGUUUGAGGAUUUUUAUUGUUCUGUCUCAUUGUUUGAAUGAAACUGUACUAUCUUACAUAAAAUUUAAAACAACACUGAGAAUUCUCUGUUAUUAUUACUGGCUUAAAUGGAAGGAGCAUGGAGAUUUGAAAUUACAAUGAUUGUUACAAACCAAACUUUUAAAACCGACAAUUGUUCGUUCCUUCCAUUAAGCCCACGUGAUUCAGAUGGGAUGCAAUCAAUCCAGUUUACACCCAAAGGUGGAGCUUUUAUUCUCUUUCAAUGGUAUAAGUCUUCAGCGGGUGGAGGAUGAACGUGAGGUGGAAUCACCAGGUUCACUGGAUUCUAGAAUCAGAAAAGGGAAUCUUCGUUAUAUCAUAACUUACAGUUCUGCUGCAACUGCAGAAUGUAUUGUUGAAGAUGAGGUGCAGAGGAUGUUGUUUGCUGGGCAGGCUUUGGGAAUGCUGAGGACUCGACAGUUUUGACAGCAGACAUUAGAAGCCAGGUGGAUAUAUAGGAAGAUUGCAGAUCGGAAUGCAGCCCAAUAAUUCCAAUUUGGAGUAUAACUUGGUAAGGUUUAAAAUCAUUUAUCAAUGAAGAUUUUAUUCUGGAAUAGUUGUGGUUGGGUAUGUCUGCUAAGAGGGCCUCUGUUAGGAAUACAAUAACGCAGUGAUAUUGAAGUGUGUUUCUUGCUUGAAACCAAGAGGUAACUAGGGAUAAAAUAUUACGUGUUGAAUGUCACGUAUAAUGGGGAAAGGAAUCAUGAACCUUGAGAGGAAAAACAUAUUGAAAUUCUUUCAAAACCACACUUAUUUCUUCAAGUGCUUUCUCUGAAACUUUCUUAGCCACUAAAGCAAAUGCAACAAACUGUUCAUGAACCUGAUUCUCAAAAUCAUUUGGGCUUAUAAGAUUAAGUCCUUUUCCUUUCAUUUAUUGGAGUCACAUCACACUCUCAUCAUGGUAAAAUGAGAAAUUAAUAGGAAAAAUAUAUAUAUCUUUUUUUGAUUGCUAUGGAAGUGUUAUUAACCCAUGAUUUUUAUCAAUAAUGUAGUCUAUACCCAGCCCUUUCUGUUUUUUUUUGGAGGAACCACCGAUGACCAAGCAGUCACGAGUUUGAAUUUCAUCAUCCCUAUUUAUUAGCUUUUUGAGAAUUUUAGAUUUAUCUAACAAUCAAUUGUUCACAAUAAAACUAGAACAACUAAAAACAAUAUGGUUUCUCAAGCUGUCAAACAACAAUUUGGGUGGGCAUUUACCGACCUCGGUGUUCAAUUCUUCUAUCUUAGAAUAUCUCUACCUACGUGGUAACAAUCUUUGGGGUCAGAUAUCAAAUUUUCCAUUAAAUGAAUGGAAAGUGUGUAUUGUAUUGGAUUUGAGCAACAAUCACUUUUCAAGCAUGCUUCCAAGGUGGUUUGUUAAUUCUACAAGCCUUGGCGCAAUUGAUUUGUCCAAAAACUAUUUUAAGGGUCCGAUCCCAAGAGACUUUUGCAAGCUUGACCAACUUUUAUAUUUCGACCUUUCUAAGAAUAACUUGUCUGGAUAUAUACCAUCUUGUUUUAGUCCACCACCUCUAAUCCAUGUGCAUCUAUCCAAAAAUAGAUUGAGCGAUCCAUUAACAUAUGGAUUUUAUAACAGCUUUUUCCUAGUUAUGAUGGAUCUUUAAGAUAAUAGCUUCACUGGCUCCAUUCCAAAUUGGUUUGGCAAUCUUUCAUCAUUGAGUGUUCUUCUUCUGAGGGCUAAUCACUUUGAUGGUGAGCUCCCUGUUCAGUUAUGCUUGUUAGAACAAUUAAGCAUUUUGGAUGUUUCACAAAACCAGCUCUCUGGUCCACUACCCUCCUGUUUGGGCAAUCUUACUUUCAAGAAAAGUUUCCAGAAAGCGUUGGCGUAUCACAGAGCUUAUUUUCCACUAGGGUCCAUAGAAAAAGCUUAUUAUGAAACAAUAGGUCCACCACUAGUGGAUAGUAUUUACAGCUUGGAAGAGGGUUUUCUGCUUGACUUCACAGAAGAAGUGAUAGAAUUUACAACUAAAAAUAUGUAUUAUGGUUACAAGAGGAAGACUCUCAGCUACAUGUCUGAUAUUGAUCUCUCCAUUAACAACUUUGUAGGAGCAAUCCCACUGGAAUUUAGAAACUUAAGUGAGAUAGUGUCAUUAAACUUAUCACACAACAAUCUCACUUGAUCUAUCCCUGCAACAUUCUCAAACCUAAAGCAGAUUGAGAGUUUGAAUCUUUCGUACAACAACUUGAAUGGUAUCAUCCCUCCACAACUUAAUGAAAUUACCACACUUGAAGUUUUUAGUGUGGCGUACAAUAACUUGUCAGGUAAGACACCUAAGAAAAAAUAUCAGUUUGGGACCUUCGAUGAUGAAAAUUGUUACAAAGGAAAUCCUCUCUUGUGUGGACCUCCAUUGCGAAACAAUUGUAGUGAGGAAGCAGUGCCACCACAGCCAGUGCUUAAUGAUGAACAAGGAGAUGAUGGUUUCAUAGACAUGGACUUUUUCUACAUCAAUUUCGGUGUAUGUUACACAAUUGUGUGAUGACAAUUGCAACAAUUCUCUACAUCAAUCCAUAUUGGGGAUGCAGGUGGUUGUACUUCAUCGAAGACUGCAUCGAUACUUGCUACUAUUUUGUGGUGGCUGGUUUUCGCAACUUCUCCAACUUCAGAAGGUGAAUUUGUUACCGGGGAGAUGGUCGUUCCUACUUGCUACUUUAAGCUCAGCCUUUCUAUUUGAUUAGUUACUUGGGUUAAAUAUAUAAAGCUGGACUUCUCAUUCCUGAACCAUUAGGAAGGGAACUGAUUUAGAUUGGUCAUUGACUCGGCUGUGAUUACUCUUUCAACUCUCAAGACUUCUCCGAAAAUAAAUUGCCAAAACCACUACUAAGUAGAAACAAAAUAUUCUAUGCAUGUGUGACAACACUUACAUCUGCCUCUGUUUCAAGGGCGACUCCAACUCAGUUAUUCAAUCAAAGCAUUGAAAUCGGAGCAAGAAGAUCCACCUUCUUCAACAGCCUUCCUGGUCGUUUCUCCUAACUUCUUUGCUCUGCUACUCAUUUCCUUUGCUUCUCUACAGCUUCACUUUUAACAUGAUCUCCGUGCACUCUAAGCCAUUCCUUUAACUCCAGUUUCCUUUUCACCAACUUUUUAAAACAAUCUUCCUUGUCUUCUUGACUCUUUUUGUUUCUUCUAACUACCUGCUGCAAUCUCCUUAAGCUGAGAGGCAGUGAGGUUUGCCAUGCUUCCAAAGCAAAUAUAAACAACUGAAUUUGUUUUCUUUGAGUCGAGCCACUUCAAACACUCAUGUUGAGCGAUUGAGGCUUCUUUUCUCUUCGUACUUUAUCUUCAAUGUCUCUACUGCAUAGUGAAACCGGGCCUACGUUAAUUCACACCAUCUUUAAUUGACCCAACAAGACUAUAUCCUAACCAUACAGCUUCUUCUUCUACAGAUUCAUGGAUCACUUUAUGCAAAGCAGAGGAAUGAUUUUCUGGAAAAAGAGUGUCUAGGGAACUUACAGUAGAAUUUAUUGGAACUCUUGUCUCAGGACAGUAGCAUAGCUUCUUGAAUCUCUGUUUCUAAUCGAACAGGGGAGCCACGAGAAUCUAGGAGUGUAUAUAUCUUCUGUUAAAUUCCAUGACUAUGUUAAAUUCCUUAUCGUUUGUUAUUUGUGUACUUGUUGCAUUGAUUGUACAGGGAAAUAAAUUUUACGUUGCAUGGUAUUUUCCCUUGUUGUUGUGUUGAUAUGAAAAAAAAUAGAAGAUUGGGAAAAAAAAAAGUUGCAUUAAUAUAAAUAUAAUCCCAAGGAUAGAAUUAAAUUUUUAAAGGCUCAAUGUGAAUACUAAAACAUAAGAGAGAAGAUGGGGAGGGAAAAAAUACUUUGUCGCCACUGAACCAACGCGAAUAUGGCAACACGCGCCACACCAUCAACUACACCUUCACAUUACACGUUGAACUAUCACACGUCUCCUUGAUAACGUGGUGGCCUAUCAUGCGUUGGCAUGUGCUAUGCACAUGUCAAUCUUUUUAUUGAUUUAUUAAUAUUUUAAUACUUUAAAUUACUAAAUCGCUCUUAAAAGCAUAUAAAUAUUACAAAAAAAAAGAAGCCAUAUUGCAAGGAUGAAAAUGUUAUCCCAAGCCAACUUUAGAUUUUUUUUAUUCUAAGGUUAACUUAUCAUUUUACAGUACACAAAACAUGAAAAAGACUAAAAAACACCUCUUGUCAAGGUCAAUAUUUUUGAACUCUCAAGGGUAUUGAUGUCAUUUUACUGUCUAAAUAAAAUAAAAUAGACAAAAAUAGACCCUAACCAAAAGGUCAAUUGUUUUUUUUCUUGCAAGGACGACGAUGUAGUUUUAGUGUGCGAAAAAGGAGUAAACCUAUUAAAUUAUCCCCAAUCAAUUUACAAAUAACCUUUAGAUCACUUGAAAAUAUAACUUUACCUCGUUAGUAAGUCAAUUGUUUUGUAUAGAGAAGGGCAAAAGGUAAAUAUAUUGUACUAAUCCACACUUUCGAGAUAAUCCUUACCUUCAAAAUAAUCCUUAUCUUUAAGUUAAUCCUUACCUUCAAGAUAAUGAUAGUUGUCUGCUUUCGAAUUCGAUUCUAAUUCGAACUUCAAAAAAGAGAAUGAGUUUGAUUGAAACUUUACUUCUUGCAAGUGAUGAGACUCUUGCACUAUAAAUACUGAUCCCAGUCUAUGCAAAAAAAAAAAAAAAAUGGAAGGAGAGGAAAAACCCUAAAAAAAGAGACCCUAGAGGAGGCCAUUACUAGAAACCCUAAUAGAGAGAAACAUAAAAAAAGAAGGGGGCGGCGAACCCUAUACUAGCCCCCCCCCCCUCUUUAACCCUUUAUUUUUUAGCCUAGUCUCACUCGACUUCGCCUCCAGCAGCCGCACGCCUAGGUAAGUUUCCUUCCUUCCUUGCUAAAAUAAUUAAUUGGUUACUGUUGCAUACAUUUUUCGAUAGCAGAAAAUUCCAAAAAUAUUUGGGGCCUUCGUUGAUUUAUUUGUGAGCCCCUCGCACUUUGUUUUAUUUUUUUUUCCUUGUGUUUGUAUUUUUUAUAGAGGUGAUCAAUAUGUGGACUAUUACUGUUAAAUGCAAAUAUGUCAUGCAAUGUUUUUUUUUUUUUUUUUACUUCCAUCUAAAAAAACAGAAAAAUAAAAAAGGUUGAAAAAAAAAUAAAAAAUAAAAAAUGUGUAUGCACGAAUAAAAAUAAUAUAAAUUUAUUGGUUUAUCCACUAAUGCUAGAGUCCGGAAUAAAAAUACCGGUUUAAAUUUAUAUUAUUUUUAUUUGUUGUAUUUUAUUUUAUUUAGCUAGAAAAAUAAAAAAUAUAUAUGCAUGUGUAAAAAUAAAUUUAUUUUUAUUUAUUAUUCACUGGCGCUAGAGUCGGGAAUAAAAAAUAUUGAUCUAAUUUAUUUUAUAGCUACGUGAUAUUUACCAACACCAGAGUUGGAAGUAUCCGUAGUUGAAUAUUCACUGGCGCUAGAGUCAGGAAUAUUAUAAGCAAAUUAUCAUAGCGUAAACUAAUAAACAUUUAGCAAUUUAAGACGAAACUAGCAAUGCAGCCUGCCUCAGGCAAGACGUUUAAGAGGUGAUAAUAUCUUCUCUUUUACGUAACCAGUCUCGAACCAUAGAAUCUUUGUUGACCAGUUAGGGUUUCUAGUGACUAUAAUACUAGGUGGCGACUCUUUAAACAAGACUUUUUCCCUAAAAGAACAAGAUGCUAAAAUUCUGUUUCUAGUGAUAAUUUUUUAAUUGGUCGCCGCGAUAUCGGGUGCGACAUAUAUUUUUUGGAGUUUUAAGAAGCCUCGCUCUAUGUAGGCACGCAUAGAAUUUCCCACACCAAAUCAUAAUCAAAAUCGAUCCCCUUUAGUAAUCUAUUUUAUUUAAACAUGCAGUUUGCCAAACCCAAUCCAGAAUACCAAGGCAUCCUCUUAUUAAUUCACGUUGAAACUACUAGUCCUAAGUUUAUAAAUCCAAUCAUAGAGCAAUCAGUGAAGAAACUUCAUUAUUAUAUAUCAUACAGAAGCUAAAAACAAAAACAAAACUCAAAUGAAAAUCAAUAUAAACUUAUUUAAAUCUUGAAACUAAAAUCCAAAACGAUGCACCAAGGAUUCGUACCAUCAAGAUAAAAGGCUAUGAAAAUCCAAACUUAGAUAAAAUGGGAAGAUUGUUCACCAAAAAAUAAUACUAAUUAUUAAUGCUCACCUCAAUAAAAUAAAACCAAGCUUGUCGUCAAUAUAGAUUUAUCUACAGAACCACCUAUCACCAACAAUACCAUGAUGUAUGUAACCCCAAAGCUCUCAUAGAAAACCGACAUAUCCAUGAAGCCAACAUUAUCUUCAUUGUUCAUUGAAGUUGGUAUUGGUGAUGGUGGCAUAGCCACACCACGUAUUUUGGGUAGCGGUUCUCUACAAAGAAAAGGGAUGUCCUUGUAGCAGCUAUCUUUAAACGUGGCAAACUGUGCAAUUCUUGCAAGAGUCUUGCUAAAUCUUUUAAAUAUAUUAAUCUUUCCGGUCUAUUCUAAUUUAAAUUUAGUGAUUUAAGAGAUGAAAAUCCCUCCACAAAUGAUAGAAUAUUGUUAUCGAAACGAUUAAAAAAUUUUAUUUAUCAAAUUUAAUUUUUAUUUUUUAUCAAUAUUUAUUUUAUUUGAAAUAAUUUAUAAAAUUAUAAUUAUUUUUUUAAUUUUAUGGACUUUCAGUUUUAACUUUUUUUUAUAUGUCAUGUACAUCUUAGGUACCCAUCCCUUUGUAUAAAAACUGAUUUAACGGUGCUUGGAUUGGGUUUAUGCCUUCAUACUUAGUUUUCUAAAUAGGCCUUGAGCUUUAUUUUUUUUUUCUAUGUAGUGUUAGUUUUUAAAAUCUUAGUAUAUUAUACAAUUGGAUUUAUUUUGAUGUUUAUCACACGUGUAUUAAUUAUAUACUCAAUUCUUUAAUAGUUAGAAAAUACAAAGAGUUAAUGACACUUACACAAUAUUUUAUAUCUUGUUUUUUCUAAUUAAAAACUUGUAUUAAUUGAUUUAUUUAUUUUAAUUUGAAUACUUGCUGUUAAUUAAGACUUUUUUAUCUAUCAAGUCUCUACACUAGUUUUGUUGCCAGAAUGCAAAUAACACGAUUAAUAGUAUUUUAUUUUAAUUUUUUUCAAGGUCUAUAUUUUUCACACUUAAUUUUCAUAAAGAAAAUAGCGAGUCUUUUAUAUCCAUCAUCAUCAUAUGCCUAGCAUUAACCUUUUAUUCAUGUUUUAAGAAGGAAUAUAGGUUUCGAUGAACAUGAUUUUCUUAAGCUAGUUGUAGUAUAUAGAGAUUUCUUAUCACAUUUUAGAAAUAUAAUUCACAUCUCAAUUGAUAAAUUCACAAAUUAAUAUAAUAGGUUUUAAUAUUUAUUUUUAAUAUAUAUUUUGAAUUUAAUAUUAAUAGUUAUAAAGUUUAUUUAGUUAAUAAAGAAUGUUCCACUUUUGAUCUCUCUCUAUCACUUUUCCUUUUAAAGGGUUAUGUACAACCUUGCAUAUUAUUUAGAAGUUUAUUUAUUUUGAAUUUAAUAUAUAAAAAUCUUUUGUAUAGAUGAAUUUUAUUUUUGAAAAUAAAAAAAAUUAUUUUCAAAUGAUAUUUCUAAUAUGUGCAGCCUUGCAUAUUAUUUUUUUCUUUUAUUUUAUUCAAUAAAUUUAUAAUGCGUAUCUAUUUUUAUUAUCGUUUGAUCGAAUAAAAAAAUUAUUUUAAUUUGAAUUUUUAGAAAAUAUAUUUGCGUAAAUGUAAUGUCUUGUGAAAUUAAAUAUUUUGAUCUACAACUGUCUCCCGAAUUUUUUACUCUUUAUUUUGAGUCAUAAUUUAUGGUUUUUUUCAUUUAUUAAAACAUAUAAUUCUCGAUUUAUUUGACUAUAUUUAUAUAUAAAUUUUUAAUUUUCACUUAGAUUUUUUUAAAUAAAAAAUAUAUUAAAUAAAUCUAUAUAUAAAUUUUUUUAGUUAAAAAGAAUUAACUUGAGGUGAAGCUGUGGUCAAAUAUCUAAGUCUAUGUACUUGUCGCACGUCGAAAAAAAUCCACGCGCGGCAUCCGCUGGCGAUUUAAAUCUCGUUGUGUGGUUGCGUUUGAAUUUGGUUCGUUGGAGUCGCCACCUAGUAAUUGAUUUCGGGCUACUAGGAAACCGGAUGUACUGGUCUUGUCAGAGAUUCGCGGGUAAGGGACUGGUUGUGGUUAAGGAAGGUAUUAGCACCCCUAACACACCCUACCUGAGGUAAGCUGCUUUGUAGCUUUGACGUGUUAAAGAAGUUUUAAUAAUUGUCUUUUCAUCGAAAAUUAGAAAUAUCACUUACGUAUAAGUUAAUAAUUCUUAACCGUCAUCCGAUCAAAAUAUUAAAUUCUUCUUUAAUAUAUUUGCAAUUUUAUCAUUAAAAAAUAUAUACAAAUAAAUAAAUAAAUAAAAAAUACAACCACACACAUACAAUUUUCACUAUAUUUUUGUUUCUUUUCUUUUCUUUUUCUUUUUUUUGUUUUUGUUACAUCCACAUUUACAACAUACAAAUAAAAAUUCAAAUUAAACAAAUAUUACAUCAAACAAUUAAAAAAAAUUACAAAAUAAACCCUAAAAAAAUCCAUAACAGUGCAGGGAUAGUUCUGUGAAGACAAAGGAUAGCAGGAGCAUGGGCGGCGCGUCUUCCCACGCGCCACCGUCACUGGCGUCGCAUGGGUUCACGCGCCGCCGCUGAUGAAGGGCAAAAAACCAGUGGAUCGGGAACGCCUUCUUCCCCCCUUCCUUCCUCCACCGGCGGUGAGGAGUCACGUCACCUGCAAAGAGAAAAAAAACGCAAUCCAGUUGGUUUUAGUUUUAUUCUUGGUCACGGAUCUGCUUUUUUUCUCCUUUGUUUUGGGAUCUGUUUUCGGGGCUUCGCCGUCUUCUUCUCCGCUGCAAGUAGUUGGGCAGCGGCGGCUGGUUGAGGGUGGAUCUGUGACCGUCGGGUCUGUUCGGUGACCCUGUGACCGCUGCUGGGUCGGUACUGGUGUGCUGCGGUUGGCGGUGAGCAUGGCGUUGAGAGGCAGAUCAAAGGAAGAGACGCUGGACGGUGGUCUGUCGGUGUCCGGAGGGAAGGUCUUGGUUGGCUGAAGGAGGAGGAGGAUGAGCAGCGACUGGGUUUCUGUGGGUGCCACCGAUUGGGUGCUGUCGGUUGGUUCACGGUUUCUGAGGGAAAGGGGCCAAGAGAGAGGAAGAUCAUGGACGGAGGAGAAGUUUUGGCCGGCGAUGGGGCUGUUGGAGUUGGCUGUCAGAAGGAAAAAAAAAUGGCUCUGGGGGGAGAAGAAAAGAAAAAUAAAAUCGGAUCCUAGGGGUUGGAGGCGACGGCUGUUUGGGUGAGGGAGGAGCAAAAAUUCACAAACCUGGUGGGGGAAUUAGAUAGGUUUAGGGUUUUUUGUGGUUUUGGGUUUUUUUUUUGUAUUUUUCUGAUAUUUCAAAUUCCCCCCACUUUUGUGUAAGUUAAAGACCAGUAUUUAUAGGCAAAAAUGUUGCUAGGUUUUUCAACUUGGUCCCUCAACUUCUUUCUUUUUGUAAAUUUUGAUUUUUCUUAUUUUUUUGUAUUUUUUUGAAAACGAGCAAUACCAACGUCGACUCGAUGAGGAAAAUCAAUGAUUUAAAAACUGACGCGUGAAAAGUCGAACACGUUGGAAAAUCUUUUAAAAAUUUAAAUUCUCUUUUUAGACGACGUUGAAAAUGCUAAAAUGACGAAAAUAUAUUAAAAAACAUAUUUUUUUGGAUUUUCUUUGUUUUUUUGCUAUUUUUGGAUUUUUCGAAAAUUUUAUAAAAAUAUGGGUCAAAAAUUGGGUAGCAACAGUUGCCCCCUCUUUACAAUGCUUACGAAGCAAAACUCCUCAACAUUUUGCAUAGUAAGCUUUGUAAAGAAAACAAAAGGAAAAUGAUUUCAUUAUCUUGGGCGACCUGCCCACACACUCACACUGAUCUAUUUUCACGGGCGACCUGCCCACACAUACUGACACUGAUCUAUUUUCACGGGCGACCUACCCACACAUACUCACUCUGGUCUAUUUUCACAGGCGACCGGCCCACACAUACUCACACUCGUCUAUUUUCACGGGCGACCUGCCCUUUUAAUUGGGUUUACCUGAGAUCCCAUCUGGCGACCUCAUUCAACUGGAACGAAAAUAUUGUAUAACUCGGUUAACCUGAAAUCCCAUCUGGCGAUUCCCUUUAACCAAAGCUACAUGAGAUCCCAUCUGGCGACCUUAUUCAAUUGGAACAAAAAUAUGUGUAACUCGGUUAACCUGAAAUCCCAUCUAGCGAUUCCCUUUAACCAAAGCUAUAUGAGAUCCCAUCUGGCAACCUCAUUCAAUUGGAAUUAAAAAACUGUGUGUAGCUCGGUCAACCUGAAAUCCCAUCUGGCGACCUCAUUUAACCAAAACAAAAGAAUGUGAAAAAAACGGUCUCAUUGUAAUGGGUGACCUACCCAAGUGGAAAGAAUAUGAAGUGCGGUCUCAUUAUGAUGGGUGACCUACCCAAAAAAUGGAAAAAAAAAUGAAGUGUGGUCUCAUUGUAAUGGGUGACCUACCCAGAUGGAAAAAAUAUGAUGAAGUGUGGUCUUAUUGUCAUGGGUGAUGUGAAGCCCGAGAAUAAAGUAUACAAAGAGGGGGAGGUUUAUAGUAAUUCCAAAUGUUGUUAUAAUAUAAAAUAAAGCAAUAAUAAUAAUAAUAAUAAUAAAAUAAUACUGAAAAAAAAGGGGUGAAAGAUGUGGCCAAAAUGGAAUUAAGAAGAGAUGGGACUAUAAAUACCCAUCCCUUCUCUCAUCCAUGGCCGGCUGAAAAUAAGAAUAAGGAGGGGGGAGAAUUUCAGAUUUUUCUUUCAUCAAAACUUGGAGUAAACACCUAAAAUCAGUAAACCCAAAUAAGCCUUGGAAUUAUUAAGUGGAGGAGCACAAUCGGGUGGAAGAAUUAACAAGAAGAAAAGUGAAGAAUUGGUGAAGAAAAGAGGGGGAAAAGUGGCUGACAACAUACAAGGAGAAGAAGGCUAAGAUUCUUCUAAAAUUUGUGAAGUAAAGUUUAGAUUUCCAUCCAAGGAGUUCUAAUUCCAAUUUCUAUGAAAUCAACUUCAAUUUGAUUAUAAGUUUAAGGCUUUCUUGAUUUGGGAAUUAGGGUUCUUUAACAUAAAAUGUUGGGAAAAUGCAGAAAUGAGUGAGGUUAAAUGGAUUAGAAUAAUCUAAGUGCCUUAAAGAAAAAAAAGAAGAAGAGAAAAACGGAUAGAGAGAGCUGCAGAUUUUGGAGUAAAACCAAUAAUACUCCGGUGGCCAUAUCUCAGGACUCCACCGUUGGAUCAUGCUAAGUUUUGGAUAUGUUGUUCUCAUUACACUUACCGACUAACGGACCGGAGGGAUUGGAAGGAACACACUCCAUUGGACAGAAAUCAUCAUCGGGAACGCUUGGUUCCCUUGGCCACGUUCUCUGCUGGAUACUGCAGAGAGGAAAUGAGAAGUUGUGAUGUGCUUAAUUAAUUCGUUUGGUACCAGUGACCUUAAGAGGACAUAAAAUGAGACGGGAAUGCCAUGAAUAAAGGGAAGGCAUGGCUGUGACUGAUGAGGAAGCAGGGAUUUAAAAUGAAUUGGAGAUACCUUCUCCAUUAGCAAAACAGGGCAGGUUCGUUGCCCUGUUUCCUGGGGGGAUUUUGGACCUGAAAACUACAAAAUUCAGGGAGGGUCCCCUCAUAUAAGUGUAGCUAGGAGUGUUAACUUUCCAACAAAUCUGACCUCGCCUAAUUUGGAGUCCUAGAACUCUAGAUACAAAUAAAACACUGACGAGAGGUCGAGCUGCCACCCCUGUUGGCAGAUUCGGCCAAGUUGAUAAAAUGGCAAAAUUUAGCCAUAUCAAGGGUAGAAUUUGUUUUCUUGCCUUUCAUAAAGUGUGUCUUGAUCUUCAAAAAGAAUAAAAUGUAAUCAAAAAUUGAAUUUAUGAUGUCCACUUGGACUACUAAUGAGCUGAAAAGUUAAAAGAUAAUAAUGGGGAAUGUAAGUGAUGAGAAAGAAAAGAUUUGGUUAAAGAGAAAUGAAUAUUAUUUUCAAUGUUGAUGUUGCGUGUGAUAUGUGGAUUAAUAUGGAAUCAUGAUGGGUGUUUGUGGUUUCAGGAGGAACCGCAGGAGGAGUACAGCAACCGCAGGGGAACGCAAGUCGAGCAUCCACAACAGGUAGGUACUUGGUACCUAUAUCUCCUUUAGUUAAUAAUUAUUUUAACUAACUUUUGAACUAUACAAAUUUGGUGCUUAUUGAUGAGGAAAAAAAAAAAGGGGAAAGGAAAGGUUAAAUGACGAAAAAUAAAAUGGAACGGAGAACUAGAUUUAAUUUAUGGGUUCUUUUGGAGGAAAUAGAUUGUAACAAGGAAUUUUGGUAAUGAUUGUUUCUCGAAUUUGAUUUAUUUGUCCCUGAUAUGGGAGGCUAAUGAUGUUAACCAAGCUUGAUAACAUCGGCAUUACUGGUACGUGAGAGGAAAAAUAUAAACUUGAUUAACUAUUCGGUUUCAGAAUAGUUAAUGAUAUCGGCACGUGACGUCGAUAUCGGCAAAAUUUAUAAACUUGAUUAACUAUUCGGUUUCAGAAUAGUUAAUGAUAUCGGCACGUGACAUCGAUAUCGGCAAAAUUUAUAAACUUGAUUAGCUUUCCGAGGUGAAAGUUAAUGAUGUCAAGAAUUUUGACAUCGGCAUACCCGAGAACCCCCCAAGGUAAUAUGGAACAAUGAAAACUAAGAAGAAUAAAGAAUUCUUAUAUAACUAUUAAAAGGGGUUUAUGGUUGUAUUUAGAAUCUCAUAUGAUUUAAGUAGAUAUAUAUGCUGUUUAAUUUUAUUCUGUAAAUUGCUUGUAUUUUAAUUAUUUGUUUUUAAUUAUAUGGAAAAUUUAUAUUUUUGCAGGUUCCUCCCAUUCAUGUCAGGAAUAGAUUUAAAGUUUUUUGAUCCCUUUUUGUAUAAGUUGGGAACUUAGGGAUUUGUGAUGUAAUUUUGUCAUGCAGUAAACAUGUAACCUAUAUGGAAUAUUCUAUUCAUAAUAUUUUGUUUCUGAAAUAUUAAAUGUAUUAACCUAUGCUUGGGAUAUUAGAAUGUACUAGACUAUGUUAGAAUAUUCAACUGUGUUGUGUGUGUGUGUGUGUAUAUAUAUAUAUAUAUAUAUAUAUAUAUAUAUGAAAUUUCGUGUUGAAAUUGGCUCUUUUCAUUAUUAACUUGUGUAUGUGAUGUAAGAUGGAGUUUGGGAAUGACUAUGGUCCUGAGCAUAAUUUAGAAUGAGUUAUGCAGUUGAUUGUACUAAACAUGGAUGUGAUUGUGGAUGAGAUGUGAUUCAAAAUGUGUGCAGGUACAUUGUCGAUAACUUGGGAUCUCCCGGUAUAGAACGAAAUUUUGGUGAGUAAAAAAAAAAAAAAAAUUUGCUUCAUCUACCCUUUAUAGGGGGAGAGAUUAACGAAUAAAGUAAUAGAAAAUUAGAGGUGUUACAGUUGGUAUCAGAGCAUUUGGUUGCAGUUUCAGGGAUUGAAAUACUAAUGUGAUUUUGGAAAAAUGUUGUAGGAUGGCUCAUACACGGCAAGCCGCCAGGGCUAUUCCGUCCCCUGUGCAAGGAAGAGAGUAUGACUCACUUUCUAGGGAUGAAGCCGAAAGGGACCCAUUAAUAGGCACUGCCUCCCAUCAAUCUGUGGCGUCAACCCAUUCAGAGAGGGGAGAUUCAGGGGGGCAUCAGGGUGACCCUAUCACUUCUCGGACACAAGUGUCGCCAGCUGAAACACCAGGUGACCCUAUCAGAAGACAAGCCACCGCUAGUGACAUCAACGGUUACCCCAAAUCCCUAUUCAGACCCCACAUUUCUCGAGCAAUGGGUCAAGGCAGUAGCAGCAAGGAUGGCUGCAGGUGCAUCCAAUUCUACUACUCGGGCGGAAAGAGUAAUCACCUUGGUCCAAUGGGUGAAGGGCAUGCGAGAAAUGGGUUGCACGACCUAUUCAGGGGAAGAAGACGCCGAAGUAGCAGGGCAUUGGUUGAGGAAGGUAGAAAGGGUUAUAGAUCAGAUGCAGGUGCCAGAGGAAACUCGAGUAGAUUGUGUGACCCAGCUGUUAACGAAGAGUGCCCACUCCUGGUGGGAGACCAUUAGAGAAAGAAGGGCAGGAGAAGAUUUGAGAUGGGGAAACUUUCGAGAAGAAUUCGAGGAACGGUAUUACUCCUGGCAGCACCGAAAAAAGAAAGAGCAGGAGUUCCUGGAUCUGAAACAGGGGAAUAUGACUGUCUUGGAGUAUGAAAGGAGGUUCCAGGAUUUAUCUAUCUUUGCCACCACCCAUCUUUCCACUGAGCAUCAUCGAGUGGAACGGUUUCGGGAUGGACUCAGGCAGGAGCUGAAAUUAAUUUUGGUGGCUAUGCAGUUUCAGUCGAUUCGAGAGUUAGUGAGAGCUGCUCAAGGUAUAGAAAGAGUAAUGAAUGACACGCCAAGGCAAACAAGUGAACAGAGUCAGACCACGGGAUUCAAAAGAAGGGAUUUCACACCUCCUAUAGGGAGGAAUCCUCCUCCAAAGAAAGGAAAGAGUGGGUCAUCAUUUGGGCCAUUACCGAAAAAAGGGGGGAGUUUUGUUCAUAGUGGGAGUUCAGGAGGAGUUAGACGAGUUAAUGUUGGGGGAUCCGUGGGAGGUCAGACUCGCCAAGGGGCAAGUGUUAUAGGGGAUUCCAUGGAGCAUAGAGGACCUGUCUACCCGAUAUGCAUGAGAUGUCAUCAGAAACACCCGGGGAUUGUUCAGCCACACUAGGAAGAUGCUAUAUUUGUAGAGGGGAAGGGCAUCGAUGGAGGGACUGCCAGUAUUUGGGAAGAGGUUGUUUCCAUUGUGGGGAAACGGGUCAUAGAAAGAAAGAAUGUCCAUAUAGAGUCACUGAAGGAGUACAUGGACAGGGGAUGGCUACCCAAAGCCAGCAACAGUCAGUGACAGUUGAUCGGCCUGUACGACCUACUCAGUCAGGGACAAGUGGUAACAAAGGCCGACCCAGAUUCCAGGAGGAAAGGACUCGGGGCAGGAUAUACCACAUGACCCAGGAAGAUAUAGGGGCAAUGCCAGAUGUUGUAGCAGGUACACUACAAUUGAGUUUAAUACAAGUUUAUGCUUUAAUUGAUCCUGGGGCCAGUCAUUCUUUUGUGGCCCACCGAAUUACUAGAAAUUUAAAUGUGUUACCAAGUAGAUUGAAUGUGGGAAUGGUAGUUAGUACACCUUUGGGAAAAAAUAUAAACAUUGAUGAGGUAUACAAGGGAGUGAUACUAAACAUUGAGGGGGCAGAACUAAAGGCAGAUCUCAUGCCUUUAGCAUUAGAUGAUUUUGACUUGAUACUGGGAAUGGAUUGGUUGAGUAGACAUAGAGCACGAGUAGAUUGUUUCACAAAGACUGUAAACCUCCAAGAUGUGAGUGGAAAAAGGUAGUAUUCAGGGGAGAGAGGAGGGUAAUUCCAAACUCCAUAAUCUCGGUCAUGACGGCCGGAAAACUGAUUAGAAAGGGAUGCCCUGCCUGGUUGUCUCAUGUGAGAGAAUUAAAGAAGGGAAGCAUAGAAUUAACAAAUAUCCCUAUUGUAAAAGAAUUUCCAGACGUGUUUCCAGAGGAAUUACCAGGACUACCUCCGAUCAGGGAAAUUGAGGUUUCCAUUGAGACUCUUCCAGGAGUCAACCCUAUAGCACAGUCCCCUUAUAGAAUGGCCCCUAUUGAACUAGCUGAAUUGAAGAUCCAGCUUCAGGAGUUGUUGGAUAAAGGAUUCAUACGGCCGAGCAAUUCACCUUGGGGAGCCCCGGUGUUAUUUGUAAAGAAGAAGGAUGGUACAUUCAGGUUAUGUAUCGAUUAUCGUCAACUGAACAAAGUGACGGUAAAGAACAAGUAUCCGCUACCACGGAUAGAUGACCUGUUUGAUCAGUUGAAGGGCGCAAGAGUAUUCUCGAAGAUAGAUCUAGAUCGGGGUAUCAUCAAUUAAGAAUCAGAGAACAGACAUACAGAAGACUGCCUUCAGAACUCGCUAUGGCCAUUAUGAAUUCUUAGUAAUGCCAUUUGGGUUAACUAAUGCCCCUGCAGUAUUUAUGGAUCUAAUGAAUCGAGUGUUCCGGUUUUAUUUGGAUAAAUGUGUGGUAGUGUUUAUUGAUGAUAUACUGGUAUAUUCGAGCUCUUAUCUGGAGCACGAGAAGCACUUGAGGAAGGUAUUAGAAAUAUUAAGAGAAAAUAAAUUGUAUGCGAAAUUGGAUAAAUGUGAGUUCUGGCUCAAAGAGGUGAUAUUUUUGGGGCAUGUUAUCUCAGCUGGAGGAAUAUGUGUGGAUCCAGGAAAAGUAGAGGCAGUUCUAAAGUGGGAGAAGCCCAUAAAUGUGACCGAAAUUCGAAGUUUCUUGGGCCUCGCAGGGUAUUAUAGGAGGUUUAUUGAAGGAUUUUCUACAAUAGCAUCGCCUCUGACCAAGUUGACUCGUAAAGAAGUAAGGUUUAAUUGGUCAAAGGAAUGUGAUGAGAGUUUCCAGGAGUUGAAAAGAAGGCUUACAUCAGCCCCGUUUUGGCCCUUCCUUCUGGAACAGAAGGGUUUAUUGUUUGUGAUGCCUCCAGCAGGGGUUUGGGAUGCGUAUUGAUGCAGCAUGGGAAGGUGAUUGCAUAUGCUUCUAGACAACUAAAGCCGCAUGAAGUGAAUUAUCCGGUCCAUGACUUGGAACUUGCAGCAGUAGUAUUUGCCUUACGAGUAUGGAGGCAUUACUUGUAUGGAACACAAGUGCAGAUUUUCACUGACCAUAAAAGUUUGAAGUAUUUAAUGUCGCAAAAGGAAUUAAACAUGCGGCAGAGGAGGUGGGUGGAAUUGAUAAAGGACUACGAUUGCAUAAUUGAUUACCAUCCUGGCAAAGCCAAUGUAGUGGCAGAUGCAUUAAGUCGAAAAGGGAAAGCAGUGAUGGGUGAUACAGAAACUUCGAAACAAGGGAAUGUGAGGGAAUUAAAAAGGAUGGGAAUACAAUUAAGUGUGGGUCCUGAAGGGUCACUACUAGCUCAUAUGAAGAUCAGAUCGGUGUUACGAGAUAAAGUCUUAGAAGUUCAAUUGGCGGAUGAGGGUGUAAGGAAAAUCAAGGAAAAGAUAAAGCAAGGCAAAGAGUUAUUCCUUCAAGUGUUGCCAGGAGGGUUGGUGGCGAUGGGAAAACGAGUUUACGUACCUGAGAAUAAGACCUUAAAGGGUGAGAUAUUGAAGGAAGCUCAUGAAUCUCGGUUUGCAACCCAUCCUGGGAGCACCAAGAUGUAUAGGGAUCUCAGGGAGUAUUACUGGUGGCCAAAUAUGAAAAAGAGAUAGCAGAAUAUGUGUCAAGAUGUGGGAUAUGUCAACAGGUGAAGAUAGAACAUCAAAGGCCGGCAGGAGAAUUACAACCACUACCAAUUCCAGAAUGGAAAUGGGAAAAUAUAGCCAUGGACUUCGUAACCGGAUUGCCAAAGGGGAAAAAGGGCAAUGAUGCUAUAUGGGUAGUGGUAGAUCGACUGACAAAGUCGGCUCUAUUCUUGCCCAUCAAAAUGACGACCCGUAGAUAAGUUAGCCAAAUUAUAUGUGAACGAAGUGAUUAGACUACACGGAGUACCCAUAUCAAUGGUGUCAGAUCGAGACCCGAGAUUUACCUCGAGGUUAUGGCCAUGCUUAUAACGAGCUUUGGGAACUGAGGUGAACCUGAGCACGACAUUCCACCCCCAACAGAUGGCCAAUCGGAAAGAACUAUCCAAACACUUGAAGACCUUCUAAGGUCAUGUGUGCUAGAGUUCGGGGGAAACUGGGAAGACUUGUUACCGUUGGUAGAGUUCACGUAUAAUAAUAGUUACCAAGCUACUAUCGGGAUGGCUCCAUAUGAAGCCCUUUAUGGGAGAAAAUGUCGCACUCCGAUAUGCUGGGAUGAAAUUGGAGAAAGGAAACUCCUAGGUCCUGAAAUGGUACAAAUAACAACUGAUAAAGUAAGGAUGAUCAGGCAAAGAAUGAAGGAAGCCCAAGAUAGACAGAAGAGUUAUUCAGAUAACCGGAGGAGACCUUUAGAAUUCCAAAUAGGGGAUAGAGUAUUCUUAAAGGUGGCACCAUGGAAGGGCAUCAUUCGGUUUGGAAUGAAAGGAAAGCUUGCUCCGAGGUACAUUGGCCCAUUUGAGGUGAUAGCUAGGAUAGGGCCAGUUGCUUACCGCUUGACGCUACCAGCACACCUAGAGAAGAUUCACAAUGUAUUCCAUGUAUCACUAUUACGGAAGGCGGAAGUGGAUCCUUCCCGAGUGUUACCUCCAAUUCCUAUGGAAGUAAAAGAAGAUUUGACACUCGAGACCAGGCCAGUCAAGAUCAUGGAUCGGAGUGAAAAAACAUUGAGGAAUAAGAGAGUAUCACUAGUCAGAGUGUCGUGGAGGAACUCACAAAUUGAGGAAGAAACGUGGGAGAGAGAAUCAGAGAUUAAGGAAAAAUACCCCCACCUAUUCCUUGAGUCAGGUAUGCAGUUUAAAUUUCGGGGACGAAAUUUUUAUUAGGUGGGAAGAAUGUGAAGCCCGAGAAUAAAGUAUACAAAGAGGGGGAGGUUUAUAAUAAUUCCAAAUGUUGUUAUAAUAUAAAAUAAAGCAAAAAUAAUAAUAAUAAUAAAAAAUAAUACUGAAAAAAAAAGGGGUGAAAGAUGUGGCCAAAAUGGAAUUAAGAAGAGAUGGGACUAUAAAUACCCAUCCCUUCUCUCAUCCAUGGCCGGCUGAAAAUAAGAAUAAGGAGGGGGGAGAAUUUCAGAUUUUUCUUUCAUCAAAACUUGGAGUAAACACCUAAAAUCAGUAAACCCAAAUAAGCCUUGGAAUUAUUAAGUGGAGGAGCACAAUCGGGUGAAAGAAUUAACAAGAACAAAAGUGAAGAAUUGGUGAAGAAAAGAGGGGGAAAAGUGGCUGACAAUUAUACAAGGAGAAGAAGGCUAAGAUUCUUCUAAAAUUUGUGAAGUAAAGUUUAGAUUUCCAUCCAAGUAAGGAGUUCUAAUUCCAAUUUCUAUGAAAUCAACUUCAAUUUGAUUAUAAGUUUAUGCCUUUCUUGAAUUGGGAAUUAGGGUUCUUUAAUAUAAAAUGUUGGGAAAAUGCAGAAAUGAGUGAGGUUAAAUGGAUUAGAAUAAUCUAAGUGCCUUAAAGAAAAAGAAGAAGAAGAGAAAAACGGAUAGAGAGAGCUGCAGAUUUUGGAGUAAAACCAAUAACACUCCGGUGGCCAUAUCUCAGGACUCCACCGUUGGAUCAUGCUAAGUUUUGGAUAUGUUGUUCUCAUUACACUUAUCUACUAACGGACCGGAGGGAUUGGAAGGAACACACUCCAUUGGACAGAAAUCAUCAUCGGGAACUCAUGGUUCCCUUGGCCACGUUCUCUGCUGGAUACUGCAGAGAGGAAAUGAGAAGUUGUGAUGUGCUUAAUUAAUUCAUUUGGUACCAGUGACCUUAAGAGGACAUAAAAUGAGACGGGAAUGCCAUGAAUAAAGGGAAGGCAUGGCUGUGACUGAUGAGGAAGCAGGGAUUUAAAAUGAAUUGGAGAUACCUUCUCCAUUAGCAAAACAGGGCAGGUUCGUUGCCCUGUUUCCUGGGGGGAUUUUGGACCUGAAAACUACAAAAUUCAGGGAGGGUCCCCUCAUAUAAGUGUAGCUAGGAGUGUUAACUUUCCAACAAAUCUGACCUCGCCUAAUUUGGAGUCCUAGAACUCUAGAUACAAAUAAAACACUGAGGAGAGGUCGAGCUGCCACCCCUGUUGGCAGAUUCGGCCAAGUUGAUAAAACGGCGAAAUUUAGCCAUAUCAAGGGUAGAAUUUGUUUUCUUGCCUUUCAUAAAGUGUGUCUUGAUCUUCAAAAAGAAUAAAAUGUAAUCAAAAAUUGAAUUUAUGAUGUCCACUUGGACUACUAAUGAGCUGAAAAGUUAAAGGAUAAUAAUGGGGAAUGUAAGUGAUGAGAAAGAAAAGAUUUGGUAAAAGAGAAAUGAAUAUUAUUUUCAAUGUUGAUGUUGCGUGUGAUGUGGAUUAAUAUGGAAUAAUGAUGGGUGUUUGUGGUUUCAGGAGGAACCGCAGGAGGAGUACAGCAACCGCAGGGGAACGCAAGUCGAGCGUCCACAACAGGUAGGUACUUGGUACCUAUAUCUCCUUUAGUUAAUAAUUAUUUUAACUAACUUUUGAACUAUAAAAUUUGGUGCUUAUUGAUGAGGAAAAAAAAAGGGGAAAGGAAAGGUUAAAUGACGAAAAAUAAAAUGGAACGGAGAACUAGAUUUAAUUUAUGGGUUCUUUUGGAGGAAAUAGAUCGUAACAAGGAAUUUUGGUAAUGAUUGUUUCUCGAAUUUGAUUUAUUUGUCCCUGAUAUGGGAGGCUAAUGAUGUUAACCAAGCUGGAUAACAUCGGCAUUACUGGUACAUGAGAGGAAAAAUAUAAACUUGAUUAACUAUUCGGUUUCAGAAUAGUUAAUGAUAUCGGCACGUGACGUCGAUAUCGGCAAAAUUUAUAAACUUGAUUAACUAUUCGGUUUCAGAAUAGUUAAUGAUAUCGGCACGUGACGUCGAUAUCGGCAAAAUUUAUAAACUUGAUUAACUAUUCGGUUUCAGAAUAGUUAAUGAUAUCGGCACGUGACGUCGAUAUCGGCAAAAUUUAUAAACUUGAUUAACUAUUCGGUUUCAGAAUAGUUAAUGAUAUCGGCACGUGACGUCGAUAUCGGCAAAAUUUAUAAACUUGAUUAACUAUUCGGUUUCAGAAUAGUUAAUGAUAUCGGCACGUGACGUCGAUAUCGGCAAAAUUUAUAAACUUGAUUAGCUUUCCGAGGUGAAAGUUAAUGAUGUCAAGAAUUUUGACAUCGGCAUACCCGAGAACCCCCCAAGGUAAUAUGGAACAAUGAAAACUAAGAAGAAUAAAGAAUUCUUAUAUAACUAUUAAAAGGGGUUUAUGGUUGUAUUUAGAAUCUCAUAUGAUUUAAGUAGAUAUAUAUGCUGUUUAAUUUUAUUCUGUAAAUUGCUUGUAUUUUAAUUAUUUGUUUUUAAUUAUAUGGAAAAUUUAUAUUUUUGCAGGUUCCUCCCAUUCAUGUCAGGAAUAGAUUUAAAGUUUUUUGAUCCCUUUUUGUAUAAGUUGGGAACUUAGGGAUUUGUGAUGUAAUUUUGUCAUGCAGUAAACAUGUAACCUAUAUGGAAUAUUCUAUUCAUAAUAUUUUGUUUCUGAAAUAUUAAAUGUAUUAACCUAUGCUUGGGAUAUUAGAAUGUACUAGACUAUGUUAGAAUAUUCAACUGUGUUGUGUGUGUGUGUGUGUAUAUAUAUAUAUAUAUAUAUAUAUAUAUGAAAUUUCGUGUUGAAAUUGGCUCUUUUCAUUAUUAACUUGUGUAUGUGAUGUAAGAUGGAGUUUGGGAAUGACUAUGGUCCUGAGCAUAAUUUAGAAUGAGUUAUGCAGUUGAUUGUACUAAACAUGGAUGUGAUUGUGGAUGAGAUGUGAUUCAAAAUGUGUGCAGGUACAUUGUCGAUAACUUGGGAUCUCCCGGUAUAGAGGAGACUCUGCCAAAAUUUCGUUAGAAAUUUUGGCGAGUAAAAAAAAAAAAAAAUUUGCUUCAUCUACCCUUUAUAGGGGGAGAGAUUAACGAAUAAACUAAUAGAAAAUUAGGGUUGUUACAGGUGACCUACCUGGAUGGAAAAAAUAUGAAAAAGCAGUCUCGUUGUGAUGGGCGACCCACCCAAAUAGAAAGAAUGUGAAGUGCGAUCUCAUUGUAAUGGGCGACCUACCCAAAGUGGAAAAAAAACAUGAAGUGUGGUCUCAUUGUAAUUGAUGACCUACCCAGAUGAAAAAAAUAUGAAGAAGUGCGGUCUCAUUGUAAUGGGUGACCUACCCAAGUGGAAGAUGUGAUAUGACAAGUGUGAAAAAUAGGACUUACCUGGCGAAGUCCUGAGGGGAUGACAGAAGAAGGGCUGAAAAACUUGGUGCUUCUUGAUAAUUCCCUAUCAUAGGGUUUGAAAACUCGAUGUUUCCUGGCUGCAAGGGUUGAAAACUCGAGGCUUCCCGGUUGCAAGGUUGAUCUAUUCAUUUCUUUGGGAUUUUCCUAAUGGUAGGGUUCAUCCCAUCGUCCUUUUAUUCCAUGAUCAAAACCGAUUCUUUAUUAUCAUCACCACAAUGCUUCUUUCUCUUUCCACCAUCUUGCUGGACCUCAUUAAGGAUUUUCCUGUAACAAUUCAAAAAUAUGUGCAUAUGGUUUUUUUUUAGGUUAGAUUAUAUGCAUGCAUCCUUACCUGAUUUGAAACAUAGGUCCCCACCUCUUUGAUGCUCCAUCGUCAUAGGGUGCUCUUGUUUGUAUCCCAAAGCUUUCUUUGUUCUUCCGAUGCAUUGGCUCAUUCAUGUGUUAGCCAUCCACUCAGUUGUAAAUGCAGUGCCCAUCCCGGGCUGUCUUCGACAAUUACUGCUUGCAUCGUUCAUCAAGCUUGACCCUGCCCCUAAGUGUGGUAUUGCUUGAUUCAUCAUGAAGGAUUUUCUCUCUGGCUUCUUCUGAGAAUUAUCCUCUGAUUGAUUGUGUGCAUCAUGCUAACACCCAUCAAGAUUGUUAAUCAGUCAUGAACUUGCCUUCGGUUGAAACACCAUUCAAGUAUGUAUGAUCACCAGCCUUCAUGGAACUGCCAAGUCAUCCAGACAUGGAUCUCAUGCUUUGCAGUAAACAGCUCAUCAUUGUAAGCGCGAUGUAUUUCUCUAUGGAUUCCUCUUAGCUUGUCAAAUCAAAUUGUGAACAUAACUGCUUUGGCAUCAUCAAUGAUGUUCAUGUUAUCACCCAUAUUCAUGCGGUGAAGUGCGCAUUUGAGCUUCAGAAUAAAUGGUCUCAUAGUCAAUCUUAGUGGUAUGCAUAUGUUCGAUGUUCAUUCAAAUGCACUCACCCGAUAACAUCUGUCAAGAGUCAUAGCCAUGUUUUACAGGGUAACCCAAGAUGAAGAUAUGAAAAUAUCUUUGAACAACAUUGCCCCAGCAAUGAUAUGAAUGCUCGUUCAUCAGUUUAUACUCAAGGAUGUUUUCCUUUGUCAUUGUCAGAUGCUAAACAUAACUUUUCGGGACUUUGAUGACUCAUCAUAUGAUUCUUUCUUUGCCCCCAGCUGAUCAGAAUGUUGUUUGUUUUUCUUCUAAGGGCCCACUGUAUUGCCCCCAGGUGGUCAACGUUUCAAAGAGUGUCGAGAAAUGUUGAUGUCAUUUUUGUCAAGGAUUUUGCAAACUCAAUUGAUGUUCUUGUUUGAAAAUCUUUCUUGUUCUGGAAUCAAAUCUCACAUUUCAUCGAUCAUGUCUAUUCAAGUCUAAUUGUUGAAAUGAAAUCAGAGCGAUGUCUGUUUUUGAAAUUAUUUUUUUUUCUUUUGAAAUUCAAAUUUCUUUCGUCAAAGACCCAACACACUAUUCAAUGCAGUCCUUUGAUUGUCUUGUAUUUGGAAACAGAAAUGACCCGUUGUAAGAUUUAAAAUGACUUUUUCAUGGUUCUUUGUGUCCACUUUAAACUCUGAUUUUGGGUAUAUCUUUUGAUGGUAUGUGAUGAGGUGACAUUUUUGUGAACUUCAAAUGACUAGAUGCUCAGGCUUGAUAAAAAAAAGUUGUUUCCUUUCUCAGUAUUUAUUUUAUCAGCAUGCAUAAUAACCAGUAGCUUAAUUCAUGAAGUCACGACCCUAAUGGAAAAGCUCUUCAAGUUUUGAGAGCGUUCAUUUAUCGGUUCAAGUUGCUUGCUUGAUUAAAAAGGGCUUUUAAAAGCACGUAAUGCAGGCUAUGGUUCAUAGCUAUGAAAGAAAAGAAUUUCAAAGGCUCAACAGGUGUUUGAGGAUUUCAACGACUUAGGAUCAACAUUAACUAUUCAUCGAUUCUCUUUCUCUUGUCGUCAUUGUAGAGAAAGUGACAUAUAACCUUGUUAAUCUCAAAUAUUAGAAUUCUCUUAACAUAGGUCAUAGUGCAAAUCCAACUUUUUCUUUGAUGAAUAACUAAUCUAAUUUUGAAGACAUUAGAGGCUUUAUCCUAGACACACCAAAAGAUAUGAAGCAUCGAUUUUUCUAGUGUUGACUUUUGGCAUUUAUUGUCUUUUCUCAAUUGAAAACUGUCUUGCCUCUCUUAGAAUUGAUAGGCAUUCUUUUUCCAUUUCUUUUUUACUUGCCUUUAAGUGAAGGCAAAUUCAACUCAUAACCUUCCUCAAAAUUUUCUUAUAUGCCCCCAGUCUAUGUGUUUUCUUCUCGCGCUCUCUCAAUCAUUAGACUUUUGUUCUAAGCCUUCCCCUUUAUCCAUUAAUUAUAUCAACGUCUUCAAAAUAUCUCUCAUUUGCCCCCAGUGUGGGGUGUGAUCCUAGUCAGGGUUUUAUGAAAAAAUAUUCUAUCCAGCUCAAAAUGGGACUACAAGGGAGAUAAUUUUUAGAAAGUGAAGGGAUAUCAAAGAUGGCCUUUUCUCAUUUCAAGCAAGGUCGGUUAGAACCGAUAAAUUUUGACCUCAUCUAGUGUAAUGAUUUGGACUUGUAAGAAUCAUGAUUCACGAGUCCAUAACUACCAAAUCCACUACAUGUCAUUAUGCAUACUGCUAAAACUUAGCUAUAUGAUGUGUGGUUCAGUUUUAAGUGUGAGCUCAAAAUUGUUUGGUCACCUCAUGUCAUUUCAACAAGAAUCGAGUCAUUUCUGCAAUCAAAACACUUUUAAUCUUCCGGAUUGAUUAACCUUUAUCGCAUGUUGGAGUUUGAUCAAAAUAUUUUGUCAGAAUAAAAUGUUAAACAUCUGUUGAUUUCAAAACAACAAAGAGACAAAAGCAAGGCAUGUUUCGUUGAAGGAUGAGAUGUGAUCCCAAAACAAAAUGCAGAAUUCCAUAACAAUAUGAUUGACUUUCAUCACCAUUCUUGAAUCAGCUUUUCUGGCAAUAUUGUGUUUUGCCAAGCACUUUCGAUCAACAUGUCAUUCUGAAGAUGUUCGGGGACAAUAUAGCCAAUGACACCCUCCUUCACCGACUCCACUUGUCUCUUGCUCACCAACUUUCAGACUCAAUUCUUGCAAUUCUUGAAACUGUUCACUUGAAAUGGUUGAGGACCCACCAUGACAUCACAUCUCUUAUCUGGAUUAUACCACCUAGAAAUUGGUGGUUGCAUGGGAUUUGUCGGAGUCAAGCAAAAUUCUAGAAUCUGGCAGAUGCUGGUCGACAAACUUAAACGGCAGAGGAAUGUCCCAUCUUGGCAAAGACAUUUGAGCAAUUGAUGCUACCGUGAGACCUGGCUAUACCACAUAAUUAAGGGUUCACACCGUCGAAGUCAUCUCCUGAUUCACCUCUCAUCAUUGUUCUGGAAUCCAUGGCAGAUCCUUCAAUCUUUCCUCUCUUCAUAGCUUGUUCAAUUCUUCGGCAAAUCCUCACAACAUCAUUUCAAUCUUCCAAUGUUGUUAUGGUUGGUUGAGGAUUGUUUAGAAAACUUUCCAACAACUUGGUAAUCUUGGCAGCGCCCAGAAACUUGUAGUAUCGCCACUACCGACGUGUGGAAUCACACAUUGUCUCUAUUGGAAGAGCACCUGAUGAAUCUAAAACUCCUUUGUCCCCUCUUCGAUUUCUCACUGACAGUGCAGCAAACAAACACCUAUAGAGGAAGUCCUGCUCUGUUGAAGUUUCAGUAUUCUUCAUGUUUUUCAGUCUAGGCAUGUCUCUUCUCUCUACUUUUGCUUUUAAUACUGACACUGUUGGAGGAAAAUCAUAGAUGACUGAAACUACUGUAUUCCUUCUUGGAUUUCCCACUUGCGGAUCCACAAACAGAUUCCUGAGAGAGCUCUGCUACGUUGAAGUUUGAUGUCUGCUCAUAUUUUUCAGACCAGGUCUGGCUCUUCAACCUACUAAGAGGUCUUCGUGCUGAAACUGAUGAGAGAAAUAUUUGUAGCGUAUGCAACUUAUAAAUCCCCUCUUGUAUUCCCAAUUUGCAGAGCCAUAAAUGGAUUUUUGUAGAGAGAGCUCUGCCACGUUGGAGUUUGACGACUACUCAUAUUUUCAGACCAGGCCUGACUCCUCUGCCUAGUACAAUGUUUUGCUCAUUCCACUGGUGGGAAAAAGUUUCAAAGCAUAUGAAAUUAAUACAUCCCCUUUUCCAUUUCCCAUUGGCAGAUCCACAAAUAAAUCUCUACAGAGAGAGCUCUACCACGUAGAAGUUCAGUGUCUGAUCAUGGUUUUUCGGACCAACAUCUUGUGCUGUUGAACUGAAAUUGAGCUCAUAAUUGGGGUAGCUCCAAAGAAGACUAAUGCACCAUGUACAGGGGGCUAGUAGUGGUUUGGUUCCAUUAGAUGAUGUGGAGGCGAUGAACACUUAACAGUGCAACUGGACAAGAACUAGAGUUGUCAUUAGUUGAUGACUGAAGGCAUUGCUGCUGUUGUUCAUGACUGAAAAGGAGAGGCAGCUUCAAUUGGACAUGGACAAGCAGUGUUCCCACAGAAGACUGUGCAGACAUUCUCUUUCCAUUUGAUGCUCAACACUUGUUCGAGUAGAUCUGAGUCCAGCUAUUUCACCUUUGAUUCUCUCAAACUCAAACUGAUAAUGAGCCUCUAUCUGACACCUUUCUUCACCUCCAUCAUUUUUCUUCAAUCACGUGCAACACAGCUUGUGCGGGGGACCUACCUUUCAACCCGGUACAUGUAUGUAAUCUAUAUGACGAACUCACCCUUCGAGGGGUGACAAUAUGGUCGUAACUCUUGUAUGAUGGAACAAGAAUCAUGAUUUUUUCCCAACCUCUACAAUGAAAAUUUUCUGAGUGACGACCAUUGUGUCACCCACAAGUCUUGAGUUCAAGAUGCUUCAAGAAGGGUUUGCUCGGAUGCAAAACAAUAGCACAUACAUCCUAAAGACAAGCUCUAUUCAUUUUACGUGAGACAGGGUAGGUUUGCUACUUGGUCUCUAAAAGGGUCUCUUGUUGUCCCAGUGAUCGCCCUCGUAAAGGCAAUAUAGGGGCCCAGUAGGUAAUUGGUUGGCACGUGUCCAACUAUUACCAGUCUAAGCACUCAACAAAGAGUUGGGGUUUACACAAACUUAAACCUUGACUCAAGUCGUAAGGUAAGCUGCUAGUCCCCCACCUAACCUAAAGCUGGUAUGUGCUUUAAAAAAUUAAAACUUGUGAUGCAUGAGAGAAAUAUAUACAAUGCAUGAAUAAAACACAAAUAAACAAAACAAAGCACAAAAAAAAAUUGAACACAUUAAAACACAAAGCUUAGUCCGAUAAAGUUGAAAACAAUACCUUCCCUAGUGGAGUCGUCAUUCUAUCGCACGUCGAAAAAAAUGCUUAUCAAGAAGAGAUAAGAAAAGCAUUAGAUGAUGUUCUUUUCUGCGGCUAUAAAUGGAUGAAGAGAUUAAUACCAAAAACAUGGACAAAAAUUGAUGUGGACCCACACUACUUUGAUUAUUUUUCACUUUCUUUGCUUUUCUUGUGCUUCACUACUUGAUGAUUCAAAAGUUAUCUAUGUAAAACAAUUAUUUUUUGUAAAUAUUCUUAAAAUACAAAAAUAAACAAGUAUUAUUAUGUCAUGCAACUAAAUUUAUUCUAACGUUAUUCACGCAAGAAUUAUAUAUUCAAUUUGUUAAGUUUUAGCAAUGCAAAAGAGAUAAUGACAAGUACAAAUUAUAUUUAUUUUAUAAUGUUUUUUAAUAUAAAAGCUUGUUUCAAUGUCUUUUUUUUCAAUUUGAAUACUUAUAAUCACGAAAUUUAAUCAAUAAAAUAUCUUUAUUAGUUUUAUUAUUAGAAUAAUGAUGACAUAGUUAAUUCUUUUUAGAAUGAUGAUGAUGAUAUAUAUAUAUAUAUAUAUAUAUAUAUAUAUAUAUAAUUGAAAAUAUUAAUUUAACAAACAUAAUUUCUAUUUAAAUUUAAAGAUAAACUAACUUGAAAUUAUGCAAUUUAAAUUUUAAAUAUAAGUAAAAAAAUAAGAGUUGAAUCGGUAUGACUCGAUCGAUUCAAUAAGCUCAAAAAUAGUAUGGACGACUAAUAAAAAUAUAGUUUUACUUAAAAAAGUUCAAGAUGACAUAUAUUUUUUUAAGAAAUAUAUAGAUAAUAACAUAUUAGAUCGAUUUGGGUCAACAUGGGUUAACCUUUAAAAUCCAUGACUCGGGUCAUGAAAUCAUAAUAACCUCAAAUAAAAUAAAUCAAAAUAAAUUAUGAAUCUUAAUUUUCAAUAAACCUGUUGUUGAAUUAUGAAAUUGAAAAAAAAAAGAUGAUCUAAAAAAAUAUAUAAAAAAUGACUUUUCAAAACAAAAUUAUUAAUUUGAAUAUUAUAAAAAUAUUAUUGACAAUUUCGCAAAGUUUUUCUAAACUUUGAUUGCCUUAAAUAUAUGUUAGGAGAUUUCUUGUAAAAUUUCAAUCUAAUUUAACAAUCAGAUUAAAAACAUAUGAUUGAUAUAGUGAAAUUAAACUUUUUUUUUUAAUAAAAGCAUAACAAAAAAUUAAUUGACCAUAAUAGAAUGCCUGGAUAAGACCGAAACAUUCCAGCCAGAAUUUAGGUGAAAUUCAUGGAAUGAGAUAAGAUUUUAAACAAGAUGAAAUAUCUUCUAAUUUAUUCAGUUUUUUAAAUUGAGUUAAAAUAUACCUGUCAGAUAUAUACACACUCAAUGAUCACUUAAUAUCUUUAUAUUAGUUUUCAAGUUUUGACAUAAAAGUUCAUAGCUCUUAAAGACAAGAAAUAUACCACAAGAUUUAAAACUAUUUUAUAUUUCAUUAAAAUAAAUAAAUAAAUUACUUAUAUUUUUUUCUUAAGAGAAUAAAUUGAUUUCAUGUGUUAAUAACAUUUAAGGAUCUUUUCCAGUCAAAUAAUUAAAUUUAUUUUAAUUAAAAAGUUUCCAAUCAAUAACAGCAUUGCCAAUUAAACCAAAGUUUUUCCACAAACCCAUUUCGUGGAAAAAAACUCAUGAUGGUUGGAAGAGGAAAAAUGCAUGCCGGCAAAGUACUUAUAAAAUACUUGUUUUGUGUACUAUUGCGAUAAUAGGAUUGCCUAUCGUAGAAAAAACGCUUGAUAGCAAUGCUCUUAUAGACCAUCCCACUAGCCUAUAUUGUGCAUCUCACACUGCAAAUUCCUAUCCAUCAUACUUGUUAACCUAUAUUAUGCAUCUCACACUGCAAAUUCCUAUCCAUCUUACUUGUUAAUUGUGUUACAAAAAAAUAAACAGAUAAGUACUUUAGAAAGAAAAAGAAGAAGACUUGUUAUCAUGACAAUGACAAUAAGUAUUUUAGAAAUAGUAUCAUUUAUGGUUCAUUUUAUCAACGAUACUGUUUGAUUUUGUCACCAUCUUCAAAAUUAAGGCAUGAUUUUCCACACGUUAUUUCCAUAAAGAAUGUCGUACCCGACAUCGCGGCGGUCCUAAAAAUAAUUCUCUUGAAUUAUGGAAAAAGAACAUAUUUCUGGCAUCUUGUUCUUUGAAGGGAAAAGGUCUGGUUUGAGGAGUCACCACCUAGUAUUAUGGUCACUAGGAACCUUAAUUGGUCAAUAGAGAUUCUAUGAUUCGGGACUGGUUACAUAAAAGGGAAGAUAUUAUCACCCCUUAAAUGUUCUGCCUAAGGCAAACUACAUUGCUGGUUUUGUCUUAAAUUGCUAAAUUUUUUAUUGGUUUAUGCUCUUAUGGUUUAUUCGCAAUAUUCUUGACUCUGGCGUUAAUGAAUAUUCAACUAUGGAUAAUUCCAACUCUGGCGUUGGUAACUAUUACGUAGUUAUAAAAUAAAUUUAUAUCAAUAUUUUUUUAUUCCUGACUCUAACGUUAGUAAAUAAACAAAUAAACUAAAUUUAUUUUAUUACGCAUUCACAUAUUUUUUAUUUCUUAUGUAGUUAAAUAAAAAAAAAACAAUUAAAUCAGUGUUCUUAUUCCUGACUCUAGUGUCAGUGAAUAAUCCAAUAAAAUAAAUUUUAUUUUUCAUACAUGCACACAUAUAUAUUUUUUUAUUUUUUCUUGUUAAAUAAAAUAAAAUAUAACUAAUAAAAAUAAUAUAAAUUUAAACCAUAUUUUAUUCCCGACUCUGGCGUUGGUGAAUAAACCAGUAAAUUCAUAUUAUUUUUUUCACGCAUACACAUAUUUUUCUAUUUCUUUUUUAUUAUUUUUUAUUUUUUCUAUUUUUCUAUUUUUUAUUACUUAUGUUUUUUGGGCUGGGCCCAGCUCAGCCCACAUGGGCCAGCCCGAUCACGAUUCUUCGACCCAUCCUGAUUUGGAUCCGAAUUUGUGGAUGGAGGUAGGAUCAUCCGAUGGACUCGGUAAAAAUCAGGUUUACGAGCUCUCCAACACUACGGCCGAGAACUUGUUGGUGACCCGUAGUGUCUCAACCGUUGCGAGCUCUUAAUCAAUAUCGAGCACCCAAUCUAAGGAGUUUAUGGCCUUGUAGAAACACACGACUCAUCUCACCGAAAAAUACAAGCAACUAUCGGUGAAUUAUGAACAAAACACGGCUCACACGGCUCAUCUCACCGAGAAAUAUAAGCAACUCUCGACGAAUUAUGAACAACUUUGCCAAAUGGUCAUGAAUUUGACAUCACAUAGUGGUGAUACAUGUGCGCCCCCUUUUUGGCCAUAUGGUUUCGGGAACAACCAACCUCCUCCUCUAGCUCUGUCAUUUUGCUAAUUUAAUAUUUUUUUGGAAACACAUUCAAUUUGUAAUGAAUAUUAUUUAACUUUGUUUUAUAUAUAUAUAUAUAUAUAUUAUGUUUAAUAAAGUUUUAUUUGUGGUUUGUUUUACUAUUAAUUUAUAUAAUUGUUUUUAUUCUAAAUAAUUAAAAAAUAAUUUUAAAAAUACAAACCAACGGAUUUAUAGACGGAAUAUGUCCGUUGGCAUUUCAUAAAGAUGGAAAUGACAGACACUCACUGACGAAUUGACAGAUAGCUACAGUCAGUUGGGAAAUGCACACUCACCAUCGACGGAUAUAGUCCAUUGGCAUUUUACCGAGAAAUGAAACAUAUUUACUGGAUAUGCCACUAUCAUUGAUGGAAUAAAAUUCGUUAGUAUAUUUCCAGCGGGAUUUUUUUUGUGUGCAUUUUCUGUUUGUAAAACCAUCGACAAAAUAUUUUUUUAUCGACAUAUUUUGCAACAGAAUGUUGUAUUACCAACAAAAGGGAUGCCGAUGGACUCUUUCCGUCGGUGAGGUAGUUUGUAAAAAAUUUACCGGGGAAGUCUUACUCUUACACCGAUGGAUAAUAUCCAUUGGUAAAACUGUGACAUCUUGUAGUGUCUUGCUUACCAUCGUUUAUUUUAGAAUAAUAUUACCAACAUAUUAGUUUUUUUUAUUUUUAUGAUCACUUAAUACCUUCAUAUUAGUUUUCAAGUUUUGAGAUUAAGUACAUAGAUCUAUUCUUACCAAGAGAUUAAAAAUGAUUUUAUAUUUAAUUAAAAUAAAUAAAUCAGUAAUAUAUUAUAAUAUUCCUUCUUAACCAGUUAACACAACACAACGGCCUAGCCUUACCACAUCGAAACUAUGCCUACCCCUAUAACUUCAGCCUAAACAAUGACAUGAAUUCGGUAAGCAAUAUCACCUUUCUUUCUUUUAACAAAUACUACUUAAGGGAUUGAGAUAACACAAAGAGAGGAUGUAAUCUUUAUAAAUCAAAAUAAGUUUACAAAGGAGAUUCUUAGGAAGUUCAAAAUGAAAAAUUAUAUAAAAAUAAAUACUACAAUUGAGAGUGGAGUAAAGAUGUCAAACAAUGAUGAAGAGAAGAAGAUUAACUCUACAACAUUCAAAAGCUUGGUUGGGUAUUUGAGAUAUUUGACAUGCACUUGUAUGAAUAUUCUUUUUAGAGUAGGACUUGUGAGUAACUAGGUUUAAGGAGACACCAACUAUGACUUAGUUCAAAGCUUUGAAGCGAAUUCUUUGGUAUAUUAAAGGUACUGUUGAUUUUGGUUUAUUUUAUGUAUAUUCUAAUAGCUUUGAUCUUUUGGGUUAAUUAUAGUGAUAGUGAUUGAGUUAGAGAUAUGGAUGAUAAAAAGAGUAUUUAGGUUUUGUUUUCUACAUUGGAGAUACAUCAUUCACAUGGAGUUCAAAAAAACAAUUUAUAGUCAUUUUGUUAACAUGUGAAGCUGAAUAUAUAUCUAAUACAUCAUGUGUUUAUCAUUCCAUAUGGCUAAGAGGAUUAUUGAAAGAAUUGUGUAAGCCAUAAAAAAAGCCUAUGAAGAUUUAUGUGGACAAUUGUCAAAACCUCUAAACAACAUCAACCUCAAAGCAGCUUGCUUUAUGUAGGGUGCGUUGGGGUACUGAUACCUUUUCUAGCAACAACUAGUCCUUUACUUUUGAAUCUCUAACAAGACCAGUACAUCUGAGUUUUGUUAACGACCUUAAACCAAACAACUAGCUGAGUGGCGAGUUCCAAUAAACCUCCCGACAUUGCAUGUCCUCGUGCGACAGGGAAGGAGUAGAUGCUGAUGAGGUGAAGCUAAACACUGUUAUUGCAGUUAAGGCCGGUGAAGUUAUACCAUUGAUGGAGUUGUUGUUGGUGGUAACUGUGUAGUGGAUGAGAAAGCUUUAACUGGAGAGUCAUUUCCGGUUGCCAAAUAAGUGGAUUCCGUAGUGUGGGUUGGAACUAUUAACUUAAACGGUGUCAAUACUUCUCUGUGACACUAUGAAUUGUUUUUAAUCUUAUUAUAAGUUUUUUCUUAAUUUUUUUUAUGAUAAUUGAGGAAUAUAUUAAUACGAAAAAAAACCUAAGUUUAAAUGACCGGCCAUUAAAAUUAAUCAAUCGGUGGUUGCAUUCCAACACACUACAUUAAGAUUUAUUUUUUAUACAAGUUGAAAUUAAAGCGCAUAUAUAUAUAUAUAUCAUCCCUUGUCAAGCUGUGGAACAAACCCAUCUCUUAGAAAAAACGCAGAUGGCAAUAAGUUAUACCAUUUAAAAUUAAAGGAUGGUUUUCUAGACGUGGUUCCCAUAAAGAUAGAAGGGAGGACACUGUAUCCAUCAUCUUCAUGGAGUGAGCUGGCCAACGUAAACCUUUUAUUCAUGUUUUUCCACAGAAGACUUUGACUUGGGGUCAACUUUUCGCUUAAUUACUUUUAUACAUGCAAUUCAAUUUUUUUUACAAUGUUAGUAAAAUCACUUUAAUUAUUCUUUCAAUCUUCCCGUGUGAUUCACUGCUUGGUGAUUCUAAAGUCACCUAUUUAAUCUUUAGUACAUUAUACAACUAAAUUCUAUCAAGAGGAAUUCUUUAUUUAUUUGGGAGGCCAGCAAAGUCAAAAGGGAGUGGUAGCUCAUCAUUUCUAAGAGAAUUCUAUCAAGGAACGAAGAUACUUUCGGAGAAUAACAGAAAAUAAAAUUUGUCUCAAUUUAUUUGGUAUCCAACCAUAUUGGGAAGUGUAUUUUUAAAUAUUUAAUUUUUUUAUUUUAAAUUAAUAUUUUUUUUUUGUUUUCGUAUAUUUGAUGUGUUGGUGUUACAAAUAAUUUUUAAAAAAUAAAAAAAUAUAUUUUUUAAUAUGUUUUAAAAUGAAAAAUAAUUUGAAAAGCAAUAACUAUUAUACUCACAAAUACCCUCUAAUAAUUGCGAGAACAACAAGGCACAUUCACCGACAUAUCUAGAAACGAUACAAAGUUGAGUUGUAACUUAUUAAUUCACCUUAAAAACAUACUGAGCCUCUCAGUUAUGGAAAAGACAGAUAUUUUAAAGAAGGUGGUGCUCAAGGGUUUCAAGGGAGUUUUCUCCGAAAAACGAAGGUCCAUAAACAACAUUUCUAAGGAGCUCAAAAUUCUCAUUUACUUAAUUAAUUAUAGACCGGUUAACUUUCGCACGGUUUAAGUUUUUUUUUUAAUAGAAAAAACAUUAAAAGAAUCUACAUAUUACCUUUUAUAUUGAAAAAAUAUACGAUCCGAUUUAUAGCAUAGCAUGAACUAAAAAUAUACGAUCCGAUAUAUUAUGUUAUUACUUCCUCCCCCUGUCUUGUAUAUAUUGUCAUCUGUUUUUCUUUUAUGCUGGCUAGCCUUUAAUUUUGGCUCUAGCACCUUUCUAUAAUAAUACUCGACUAUUAUACAGAAGAAGAAGAAGAAGAAGAAGAAGAAGAAGAAGCAGAAAUAACUCGACAAUUUCUCUAAUGUGCAAAGGAUAUAGAGCCUUCCUUCUCUCCUUCUGGUCAAUCGUCUUGGAGGGCCUAUGUUCUUGCCUUGUUCAAGACUCCUAUCUUAUCUUAGUUAUUCAACAAAUAUGAAGAAAUUUUCCAAAAUCAUUUCUUGACAUAACAUCUCACCCACCCCUCAGCCCUUUGUCAAGUCCACCGUCUUGGAGAGCCUAUGUUCUUGCCUUGAUCAAGACUCCUAUCUUAGUUAUUCAACAAAUAUGAAGAAAUUUUCCAAAAUUAUUUCUUGACGUAACCCCUCAGCCCUUUCUCAAGUCCUCCGCCACUCUCGGUAAAUUAUUCUAUAACAUCAGUCUGAGGAAUCGAACAAAGAGGGCGAUGAUUGGGCAUCAGUCUUGAAACCACAAUGAUCCGAUGGACGAGAGCCGCUAGUGGAGAAGGAUUCAUGCAUCUUUGUUUUUGUGUAUUUCUCAUGCUCUUUUUCACUGUACAACAGAACUUUUGCCUUUUCAGUAUUUCCUCUUAGACGCUCUUCAAUCAAUGGAAAGAGGAAACACCACAGAAAGGUGUAAACUAAAAAGAAAUUCAAUGCUCACACUUUGAAUUUUAAUUUGCAUGUAUCAGGUCAUUGACAGCUAUCCAUUAAAAUUACAGAGUAAAAUCUCAUUUAUCAAGAUGGUCUUAAUCGGGGAUCAAAAAUUUGAUGGACAGAUUGUUAAAUAGGAAUUCUCUGUAUCUAGAGAAGAUACAGAGAUGAGUUGAAACUUGUUAAUUCAUCUUAAAAAGAUACGUAGCCCCUCCGUUAUGGCAAAGAUAGAUAUUUUCGAGAAGGUGGUGCUCAAGGGUUUUAAGGGAGUUUUCUCAUGAAAACAAAAGUCCAUAAACAACUUUUCUUAAGGAGCUCAAAUUCUCAAUUAAUUAAUUAAUUAAUUAUAGAUUAGGUUAACUUUCACACAGUUUAAGUUUUUUUUAAUAGAAAAAUAUUAACAAUACCUACAUAAUUUUUUUUUACAUUAAAAAAAUAUAUAAUCUGACUUGUAGCGUAGCACAUGUUAAAAAUAUAUUAUUUUCACUAUUAGAGACAAGAAGUAAUUUGUUAAAUCUUUUUAAAUACACUAGAUGGAGGUGCAUCUUUAAAGUUUUAAAAUAAGAAUUUACUUUAGAUUAAUAUACAAUCUAUUCUAACCAAUUGAUACAAUAGAAUAUAAUAAAUUUAGAGUAGAAGUUCUAAAUAUGGUGACUGUAAAUUAGUGGCAUGAGUUGUUCCUCCAAUAUGCUACUUCUCUUCAACCAAGAAUAUUCAUUAACUUUGUCGCCCGUCCCCGCGCGGCGUCAGUGGUGAUUUUUGCUUGUUUGUUCGAUUGUUGGAGUUACUACCUAGUAUUUGAUUAAGGGUUACUAGGAAACCCGAAUGUAUUGGUCUUUGUCAGAGAUUCAUAAGUAAGAGACUGGUUGUUUUUAGAGAAGGUAUUAGCACCCUUAGCACACCUUACAUGAGAUAAGCUACUUUGCAAUUUGAUGUGAUUUAAAAGAAAACUCUUACUAUGUCUGUCAUGACUAGCUCUUUCAACUUGUCUCAAGGUGAAUGCACCAUAAAGAUAUCCUUUAAUAAUGAAAACUUGUUACUUGGAUUAAAACUUUAUAAACAACUUUUUUUUUAGUAAAAGCUAUAUCGAUGAAAAGAUGGUGAAUUAUAUAUUGGUGGUUAAUGGUUCAACUAUUAAUAUACUACCUCUUAAUAUUAUAAAAGAGCUUGAGAUUCAUAUUUAUGUUUAUAUAUAAAAAAAAUGUCAUUUUCACACAAACAUAAAUUUACUUAUAUGCGAUAUUUGUGAAUGUAUGGUAUAUAAUUUUUGUAAGAAAGUUUUAUAAACUGAUUUAUGAAACAAAACUGAAGAUGCGUCUUUAAUGUCUCUAUUCUGCUCUUGUAAUUAAAUCAUUAAGUUUCAUUUUUAAUGACCAGGCAAAGUAUAGAGAAGUUAGUAGCAGCGAGCAAGAACCCUGAACUCACAAACCACACCAAUAUCAGCAAUGUGAGGAAUCAUUAGCAAAAGGUAAAAACAAAUAAUGACAUAAGCAAGUGUCGGUCAAGUAAUAUACAUACAUCUAUUUUUACUUCUUCCAGAGAUACAGUGUAUAGGAGUUUAUUGGCCACCCUUCUGGCUAAAAAUUAUAGCUACGAGCUUCAUGGUUAAUUUUCUUGAACCGGAAGAACCCUUCGUUUAUGGCCAUGUUCCAAGAUAUAUAAGUGAAUUAGUUGCAAAACAGGGGAGUCUCUGUGAAAACAUUAUAAGAGCAUUUACUCUAAGUAAGAACACCUCUAUGCAUGUGCUGUAAUUGACAAAGAAAAGAAGAGAAAUCCUUUCAAUUUAUGAAAAUGCAAUGAUUUAACCUUAUCUCACACUGCAAUAUAUACUCUACAGUAUUCAUGUAUGAAAACAUUUGAACGGGAAUAAAGAAAAUAAUUCAUCAAACAAUAUGCAUAAGGAAAUCACCAGGAAAUUACUGGAUGGUUGUGUUUAAAAAUCAAAAUGGUACACAGCAAGUCAAGCAUCCGCGUUCAUAACCUUAAAUGAUUUUCACACCCUGCUUUUCUUUCCAGUCACGCAAACAGAUAGUGCAUAAAAGCACUACGACCAUAAUUGACUCCCAGUCAAUACGGUCAACGCAAAUUGUUUAGCGAACUAUUAAAUUGUUUGAUGAGGUUACAUGCCAACAAAACUAAUUUGAAUAUAGCUAACUCCAAAAUUAUAAACAUAUUUAAAAGUAUAGGGAUUAGUUAAAACAACAAGUUAUCAUUGUCUCUGAGAAUUAAUAUAAAGCUCAGCAUUUUGUUGAUGGUACCUGCUGCUUGUGGGCAGAGGUACAUUUAUUUCUGUUAACUUUCUAAUAUUAGAUCUUGCAUAAUUUAUUAAAUUUAUUUUAAUAUAUUAAAUAAUGUAAGGCACAAAACAGAUCAUAAUAGAAGACAAUAAAAACAAGUGAUAUAUUUGUUGCACAUGGCAAGUUAUAAAAUGUUUGAUAUACACUUUAGACAUCACAAAGGUUGAUCAUUGUCUUGUACAUAGUUUUUCUUUUUAUAGGAUUAUCUCAAUCAUGUGCUCAUGAUCAUGAGAUUAGUGUAUUUAUAUAAUUUUGACCCGUUUCCUUUUUCAAUGUUUUUUUUUUUAAGUUUCUUCAUUUAAUAUUGGGUAUGACUUUUUUGUUCCCUUUUAUCAGAGCAUAUGGUUGUUUCAUAAACAAAAAAAAAAACUCUACACUUAUCUCUUGAUAUUUUCAAUUUUUAUUUUGAGUCAUAGUUUAUGGUUUUUUUCGCUUAUUAACAAAUAUAAUUUUCGAUUUAUUUGACUAUAUUUAUAAAGUUUUUGAUUUUCACUUAAAUUUUUUUAAAAUAAAAUGAGUGGGCACUCAAAGAUUCAUAUACCUUAUCUUCCAAGCAAGAAGAGACAAGAAAAGCAGUAGGUGAUGUUCUUUUCUCCGACUGUAAAUGGAUAAAGAGAUUAAUACCAAAAACAUGGACAAAAAUUGAUGUGAACCCACUCCACUUUGAUUAUUUUUCUAUUGAAGUACUUGAUAAUCUAGUGUAUGUCCAUAAAUUUGUUUGCAUUGGUUUCUCUAAUAAAAGUAUAUAAAAAAAUAUUCAAUAAAACUAUAUUUUUAUGUUUUUUUUCUUUAAUUUAAUCUCUUGAAUUUGUUUAUCCUGAUCUCAUGAUUCAGGUCAUAAACUUGAUGGGUUAACUCGAGGUUUUUUAAUAUAUAUAUAUAUAUAUAUAUAUAUAUAUAUAUAUAUAUAUAUUAUGUUAUGUUAUUACUUCCUCUCCCUGUCUUGUAUAUACUGUCCUCUGUUUUUCUUUUAUGCUAGCUAGACUAUAAUUUUGGUUCUAGCACCUUUCUAUAAUAAUACUCGACUAUUAUUAAAAAAGAAAAAGAAAAAGCAGAAGCAGAAAUAACUCGACAAUUUCUCUAAUGUGCAAGGGAGUGUUUGACGUGCUAAGGAUACAGAGCCUUCCUUGUCUCCUUCUGGUCAAUCGUCUUGGAGAGCCUAUGUUCUUGCCUUGAUCAAGACUCCCAUCUUAUCUUAGUUAUUCAACAAAUAUGAAGAAAUUUUCCAAAAUCAUUUCUUGACAUAACAUCUCACCCACCCCUUAUCGCUUAUCCCAUCUUAUCUUAGUUAUUCAACAAAUAUGAAGAAAGAGGGCAUCAAUCUUGAAACCACAAUGAUCCGAUGGACGAGAGCCGCUAGUGGAGAAGGAUUCAUGCAUCUCUGUUUCUCUGUAUUUCUCAUGCUCUUUUUCACUGUACAACAGAACUUUUGCCUUUUCAGUUUUUCCUCUUACGCUCUUCAAUCAAUGGGAAAGAGGGAACACCACGGAAAGGUGUAAACUGACAAGAAAUUCAAUGCUCACACUUUGAAUUUUAAUUUGCAUGUUUCGGGUCAUUGACAGCUAUACAUUAAAAUUACAGAGUAAAAUAUCAUUUAUCAGAGCUCAGUCACAGACAUAUCUAGAGGGGAUACAGAGUUAAGGAUAUGUUUAUAAAAAUUAAUUUUUUUACGACCCUCCUUUUCAAUUGAAAUCUUGAAGGAUAUAACACAAGAAGUAUAUUGUAUCAUUUUCUGACAAUAUUAGUGUAAGGUAAAACUAUUGACAAAGUGAAGAAAAUAUUAGAGCAAAAGACGACAUUUUUCCAACCCACUAAUUAAUUCCUUCAAAGAGGAAGAUUUUCUAUUUCUUGAAAGGCUAAUCUUGCACUAUUUUUCUCUUGCGUUCAAAGAGGAAGAUUUUCUAUUUCUUGAAAGGCUAAUCUUGCAGUAUUUUUUUCUUGCGGAAUGCAUUCACACUACAUUUAAAAUUUAGGAAAACUAAAUCUAUGAUUUUUUUUUAUAAAUUGAUUUUAUUUUUUUAUCAUCCCAUAUAUACCUUAAUUAAACCUUGCUUUUAAUUAUUUCGAUGAAUAAAACAUUUAUUUUUAAUCUUAUUAUUAGUUUUUUCUUAAUUUUUUAUGAUAAUUGAGGAAUAUAUAUAUUAAUACCGAAAAAACACCCAAGUUUAAAUGACCAGCCAUUAAAAUUAAUCAAUCGGUGGUUGCAUUAUUCUAACACACUACAUUAAGAUUUAUUUUUUAUACAAGUUGAAAUUAAAGCAUAUAUAUAUAAUCAUCCCUUCUCAAGCUUGAGGGGAAAUUGUGGAACGGACCCUCUCUUAGAAAAAACGCACAUUGCAAUAAUAAUGUUUGAUUUUGCCAACACCAUUAAAGUUAAAGCAUGAUUUUCUAGACGUGAUUUCCAUAAAGACAGAAAGGAGGGCUCUGUAUCCAUCAUCUUCAUGGAAAGUGAGCUGGCCAGCGCUAACCUUUUAUUCAUGUUUUUCCACAAAGACUUUUACUUGGGGUCAACUUUUCAGUUAAUGUUUUUUAUAAUGUUAGAAAAAUCACUUUAAUUAUUCUUUCAAUCUUCCCGUGUGAUUCACUGCUUGGUGAUUCUAAAGUCGCCUAUUCAAACUUUAGCACAUUAUACAACUAAAUUUAUUCUUUCACUCGGCAUUUAUUAUAUAUUCAAUUCGUUAAUCGUUAGAAAACUUAGUGAUUAAUAAAUUAUCUUUGUCAGAGUUAACUGUUUUUAGAUGAGUCUGGAUCAUUAUUUCUGUUUUAUUUUUAAUUUUUGAACUAUCAAAAUAUAGAUAAAUUUAAAAUAAAUAUCUUUUUACAAUAGUUUUUGAGUGAAAUUGGAGUAAAAUUUAUACUUUUAAAUAAAAAAUAUAUAAAAACAUGUUUUCUAUGUUCCCACUAUUUUUGUAUUUUAUAUCAUGGUAAUUAAAUGUUGUCUGGUUAACAUAACACUAAAUCAUAAUUAAAAAAAAUAAUUGUGAAAUGGCAUGGUAGUUGGAUCUAUUUUUUUUUUUUGUGAUUAAAUUAAGUUUUUCGAUAAAUGACACAUGUAUUCGGGGACAAAUAAAAAAAUAAUCUUAUUGCUAGAGAGGCAUUGGAGCCUUUAAUAUUUUGCAAAGGCAUGGAACACGAUGCCAAGGGAAUGUAAGAUAGUUGUUGACAGCUGGCGUCAACCAGAAAAUUCUAAAAUAUUCUCAUCAUUUCAAAGAAAAUUCUAUCGAGAGGAAUUCUUUAUGUAUUUGGGAGGCCAGCAAAGUCAAAAGGGAGUGGUAACUCAUCAUUUCCAAGAAAAUUCUAUCAAGAAACGAAGAUACUAUCAGAGAAUAACAGGAAAUAAAUUUGUCUCCAUUUAUUUGGUAUCGAACCAUCUUAAUGGUUGUGAGAAAAUCUAGAGAAGAUACAAAGUUAAGUUGAAACUUGUUAAUUCACCUUAAAAAGAUACUGAGCACACAAGUUUAUUUUAAAUUUAGGUUUUGCUAUAAAUUUAAAAGAAAAGGGAGUGUUUGACGUGCUAAGAAAUUCAAUGCUCACACUUUGAAUUUUAAUUUGCUUGUUUCGGGUCAUUGACAGCUAUAUAUAUGUAUAUAUAUAUAUUUGAAGUUUUUGUAUAUAAUACUGUAGCCACACAAUCCAUAGGGUUAAGAUUUAUAAUUAUUCCGAGUUUAUUAUUAUUGAUAAUUUAUGCAUUUAAUUAUAUAUAUGAUAGUGAUGACACCAUGCAAAUACUCCUAAAUGAUUCUAAAUUGUGACGAGAGAACUACAAUUAUUAAAGUAAAAAAAAUCAUACGCGGAAUCACAUGGAGUACUGCAACAAUAUUAAUUUUUUUUUAUAUAAAUUGGAUAAUUAGUAACCCUAAAUAAUAUUCAAAUCUAGAAUAUUCUAAAAAGACAUAAAAUAAUAUUCAAAUCUCAAAACAUGAAACUCUUAAUUAUGAUGAGAGAAGUACAAUUAUAAAGUAAAAAAGAUUUUACACGGAAUCACACACGAAUGUCGAUAACAAUGCUGAAGUACUACAACAAUUUAUUUUAUUUUAUUUUAUUUAUAUAAAUUGGAUAAUUAGUAACCAAAAUAUGAUUUAAUGUAAAUAGACUAAGUGCUAAACAAUAAAUUAAAAUAAUAUUCAAAUCCUAGAAUAUUCCAAAAAAAAAUAAUAUUCAAAUAUCAAAACAUGAAACCCUAAAUUAUGACGAGAGAAGUACAACUAUAAAGUAAAAAAGAUUUAACACGGAAUCACACACGAAUGUCGAUAACAUUGCUGAAGUACUUCAACAAUUAUUUUAUUUUAUUUUAUUUAUAUAAAUUGGAUAAUUAAUAACCAAAAUAUAAUUUAAUGCAAAUAGACUAAGUGAUAAACAAUAAAAUAAAAUAAUAUUCAAAUCUAAGAAUAUUUCAAAAAGAAAUAAAAUAAUAUUCAAAUCUCCAAACAUGGAACCUGCACACAAGAUAUGCAGAUAAAGUUAAGGAAAUUAAAUGGCCAAAGUGUAGUAUAAAUAGGACCUCUAUGGUUGCCCAAAGGCACAUCACAAACAACAAUAUUCUACGUAGUAGUAAUUCAUAGAAUUAUCUAAGAUGAUGAUGAAAAGAAUUGGGGCUCGGAUCAUGUUGCUAGCGUUAUUGGCUUUGGUUGGCGAAUGGCAUGGUCGUUGUUAUGGGUGUGUGGAGGAAGAGAGGGUUGGUCUCUUGGAGAUCAAAGCUUUGAUCGACCCAGAUGGCUUUUCCGUGAGACAGUGGGUGGACAGUAGUAAUUGUUGUGAGUGGCAUGGGAUCGAGUGUGAUAACACUACAAGGCGAGUGAUCCAACUCUCUCUUCUCGGAGCAAGGGAUUUGAACUUGGGCAACUGGGUUCUCAACGCAUCUUUGUUUCAGCCUUUUAAAGAAUUGCAAAGUCUUGAUUUGGGAUGGAAUGGAUUGGUUGGUUGCAUGGAGAAUGAAGGUUAGUUCAAUGUUUCUGCACUUAAUUAUAAUCAUAAAAUAAAUGAAGGUUUGUUGGUGUUUAAUGUCAAUUAUCUUGCUUUGAUGAUUCUCUUCCAGGCUUCCAAGUCCUAUCCACUCUCAAGUAUUUAUAUCUAAUUGGAAACCAAUUUAAUAAUGAUAAAAGCAUUUUGUCAUGUUUCAAUGGUAACCUUUCCACUCUCAAGUCUUUGGAUCUAUCAAAGAAUUGGUUGACAGCUGGAUCAGGUAGCUUCUGUGGUAACCUUUUAAUUAUUUAGCUUCGAAACCUUUUCUUUUCUCCUUCUCAUAUCAUUUUUUUUCUAUGCGUUUAUUUCCUUCCAAUAUGCUUUUGAGAAACAUCAUGCAGAUUUUAAAGUCUUGUCAUCAAGGUUGAAAAAGCUGGAGAACCUUGAUCUAAGUUGGAAUCAAUGCAACGAUAGCAUUUUUCCAUCUCUUACUGGAUUUUCAUCUCUCAAGUCUUUAAAUCUUUCAUACAAUCAGAUGACAGGAUCUAUCAAUAGUAAGUUACAUUCUCUAAUCAAGAAAAUUGAGGACUUCAUAUCUAUUUAAUAAUCAAUUGUUUCUAACUAGGAUCGAUACUUGCUAUCUAUCUUCUUCCUUAAAAAAAUUAUAUUUAUUUAAUAAUCAACGCUCUUUUAUUUAUAUUUAUUUAUGGAGCUUUCAUCUUAUCCAUAAAUUGUUUUUCUAUUAAGACAGGAAGAGAUUAAAGUCAUGAGCUAGCUAGAUCAAAACUAGGAUGAUUAAAAAUUACAAGUAUAGAUCAAUGGAUACUUGCAAUCGAUCUAUCUUCUUCCUUAAUCUAUGCACUGUAUAUUUUUUAUGUAUAUCUUGUAGGUUUUCAACUCCAACCGAUGAGGCUGGGAAAGUUAGAGAACCUUGACCUGAGUGACAAUCAAUUGAACAAUAGCAUCUUAUCAAUUCUGAGUGGGCUUUCAUCUCUCAAGUCUUUGGAUCUAUCAUAUAAUGAGUUGACAGGUGGAUCAGGUAGCUUCUAUGGUAACCUUUCAAUUAUUUAGCUUCGAAACCUUUUCUUUUCUCCUUCUCAUAUCAUUUCUAUGCUUUUGAGAAACAUCAUGCAGGUUUCAAAGACUUGUCAUCAAGGUUGAAAAAGCUGGAGAACCUUGACAUGGGUUGGAAUCAAUGCAACGAUAGCAUUUUUUCAACUCUAACUGGAUUUUCAUCUCUCAAGUCUUUAAUUCUUUCACGCAAUCAAUUGACAGGAUCUGCUAGUAUCAUUAGUAAGUUAUAUAUAAUUUAUACCUAACUGCUUUACGUGACAUUCUUUUAUACGGUUUCGUAAUCAACGAUAGCAUUUCAUCAUGUUUGAUUGCGCUAGCUUUCAUCUAUGAAGAUUUAUAUCUAUGGAGCUUUGAUCUUAUCCAUAAAUUGUUUUUCUAACAAGACAGGAAGAGAUUAAAGUGAGCUAGCUGGAUCAAAACUAGGAUGAUAAAAAAUUACAUGUAUAGAUCAAUGGAUACUUGCAAUCUAUCUUCUUCCUUAAUCUAUGCACAAUAGCAUCUUAUCAAUUCUGAGUGGGCUUUCAUCCCUAAGGUCUUUGGAUCUAUCGUAAAAUAUGCUGACAGGAUCAGGUAUAAUACACAGUUUCUACCUAAAUGCUUCACAUGACAUUCUCUUAUUAUAUUGUUUCUUUAUCAACAAAAAUGAGGAGUCGUGUUAAUCAAUUUUUUCUAAAUAUCAAUUUUUUCACAACUCGAUUUCUAGGUCCAUAAUCAGCAAUGUAGGAAUCGUGUUAAAAGGACACCCUAUAUAUAUGCGAAGCUCCAUGAAAAACAUAUUAAAAAAAUAAAUUAUUUAAAAAUACACAACAUUUCAUAAUUUUAAAAAAUAUUAUAUUAUUUAAAAUUAAUAAAUCCAAAUGAUUGUUCAAAACUUCUCAUUGAUAAUUAAAACAAGAACAAUAAUGAAUAACACUCAUUAUAUUAUCAUGAAAAAUGAGGACUUUAUAUCUAUGUGAUGAUCAAUAUAAUGAUAGCAUUGUAUCAUGUUUGACCAUCUUUAACAACUUUAUAUCCUUAAAUUGUUUUUUUUUUCCCAAUAAGAUCAAAAUUAGAAUGAUUAAAAAUAUUUCUUAAUCUUUGAAGUGUACACAACCUAUUAUAUAAUUAAAUAUGCGUUCGUGAGCUCAUUAUAAUUAAAUAUAGCAUUUUAUCAUUCUUUUUAUGUGUAAUUCGAGAAUCAUAUAUCAAUUGAACAACAACAUCUCAUCAAUUCUAAUUAUUUUUAGUUUCUAUCUAUUAUGCAUAUCGUGAUUAUGACUUACUCUUAGAAACAAUUCUCUUGCAGGUUUUGAGAUCAUAUCAUCACAUUUGUGGAAACUCGAGUCAUUAGAUUUAUCACACAAUCAGCUGACAGGAUCUAUCACUAGUAAGUUACAUUCUCUUUAUCAAGAAAAUUGAGGAAUUUAUAUCUAUAUGCUUUCAUGUAUCAUUUUAAUAUCUAAAAGAUACUUUCAUCACUAUUCUGACUGUUUUGAGAUAAAUUGUAUAGGUUGGUGUGAAUUGAAGAAUCUGAAACAGUUAGAUCUUCUGGAAAUAAUUUAGGAGGUUCACUCCCAGAUUGUUUGGGAACUUGUCAUCUCUACAACUAUUAGAUGUUUCUGAAAACCAGUUUACUGGAAAUAUUGCCUCUGGUCCUCUUACCAACCUUAUCCCUUAAAUUCCUCUCACUAUCAAAUAACCUCUUUGAAGUUUCCACUUCAAUGAAGCCUUUUAUGAAUCACUCAAGCCUCAAGUUCUUCUCCAGUGAGAACAAUAGACUUGUAACAGAACCUGCUGCCUUUGAUAAUUUGAUUCCAAAGUUCCAACUAGUUUUUUUUAGCUUGUCGAAAACAUCGGAAGCACUCAACGUAGAAAUUCCCGACUUCCUCUAUUACCAAUACGACUUAAGAGUCCUUGAUCUCUCCCACAACAACAUCACCGGAAUGUUUCCAUCGUGGUUGCUUAAGAACAAUACACGAUUGGAGCAACUAUCUGAGCGAGAACUCCUUUGUUGGUGCUUUACAGUUGCAAGAUCAUCCAUAUCCGAAUAUGACCGAAUUAGAUAUAUCCAACAACAACAUGAACGGUCAAAUUCCAAAAGAUAUUUGUUUAUCUUUCCAAAUCUGAGAGCUUAAGGAUGGCUAAGAAUGGAUUCAAGGUUGUAUUCCUUCUUGUUUGGGAAAUAUUAGCUCUUUUAAUUUUAGAUUUAUCCAACAAUCAGUUUCCACAGUAAAACUAGAACAACUAGCAACAAUAAGUUUCUCAAGCUAUCAAACAACAAUUUGGGUGGGAAAUACCGACCUCGGUGUUCAAUUCUUCUACCUUAGAAUAUCUCUAUCUAGGUGGUAACAACUUUUGGGGUCAGAUAUCAGAUUUUCCAUUAUAUAGGAGGAAAGGUGGAUGUAUUGGAUUUGAGUAACAAUCAUUUUUCAGGCAUGCUUCCAAGGUGGUUUGUCAAUUCUACAGGCCUUAGCAGUUGAUUUGUCCAAAAACAUUUUAAGGGUUCGAUCCCAAGAGACUUUUGUAAGCUUGACUGAAUAUUUGGACUUUUCUGAGAACAACUUGUCUGGAUAUAUACCAUCUUGUUUCAGUCCACCACUCUAACCCAUUGCAUCUAUCCAAAAAUAGAUUGAGCGGUCCAUUAACAUAUGGAUUUUAUAACAGCUCUUCUUUGGUUACGAUGGAUCUUCGAGAUAACAGCUUCACGGUCCAUUCCAAAUUGGAUUGGCAAUCUUUCAUCAUUGAGUGUUCUUCUUCUGAGGGCUAAUCACUUUGAUGGUGAGCUCGUUCAGUUAUGCUUGUUAGAACAAUUAAGCAUUUUGGAUGUUUCACAAAACCAGCUCUCUGGUCCACUACCCUCCUGUUUGGCAAUCUUACUUUCAAGGAAAGUUCCCAGAAAACAUUAUGAUCUAGGUUUUUCCAUCAUGUCCAUAGAAAAGCUUAUGUUGAAACAAUGGGUCACCACUAGUGGAUAGUGUGUACAGCUUGGAAAGGAUUUUGGCUUAACUACAGAAGAAGUGAUAGAAUUUACAACUAAAAAUAUGUAUUAUGGUUACAAGGGGAAAGUUCUCAGCUACAUGUCUGGUAUUGAUCUCUCCAAUAACAACUUCAUAGGAGCAAUCCCACCAGAAUUUGGAAACUUAAGUGAGAUACUAUCAUUAAACUUAUCACACAACAAUCUCACUGGAUCUAUCCCUGCAACAUUCUCAAACCUAAAGCAUAUUGAGAGUUUGGAUCUUUCUUACAACAACUUGAAUGGUGCCAUCCCUCCACAACUUACUGAAAUUACCACACUGGAAGUUUUUAGUGUGGCGCACAAUAACUUGUCAGGUAGACACCCGAGAGAAAAUAUCAGUUUGGGACCUUCGACGAAAGUUGUUACGAAGAAAAUCCUUUCUUGUGUGGGCCUCCAUUGCAAAACAAUUGUAGUGAAGAAGCAGUGCCGGCCCAGCCAGUGCCUAAUGAUGAACAAGGAGAUGAUGGUUUCAUAGACAUGGAGUUUUUCUACAUCAGUUUCGGUGUAUGUUACACAGUUGUGGUGAUGACGAUUGCAGCAGUUCUCUACAUCAAUCCAUAUUGGCGACGCAGGUGGUUGUAGUAAAAAACGUACGCAGAGUUUUAAAAGGGAUUCAAUUGUUUUAUUUUCACUUAGAGCUUCCUCUGUUACAAGCAGAAUAUAUAUAGCUACUCUACAUAAUAAUCCCUACGUAUCAGAUCCUAUAGUUUAGGACUGAUUUGCUAAUUACAUGGAAACCUAUUUCUACUAGGAUACAAUCACGUAUUUACUGGGAUGCUGGAAUAUAUCUUUCCAGCUAAUAUCAGAGACAAUGUAGGACUUGAAUGCUGCAAAUCCAACUUGGAGAUAAUUACCGCAAUUGUUAACACUCCCCCUCAAGUUGGUGCGUAGAUGUCACUCAUUCCAAUUUCGCUGAGAAUUGCACUAAACGCGUGGUUUGACAGUGCCUUGGUUAGUAUAUCAGCGAGCUGGUCUUGAGAUCGAACAUGAGGAACUUCAAUUAGCUUUUCUUCUAGCUUUUCCUUGAUAAAAUGCCUAUCAACUUCAACAUGUUUAGUACGAUCAUGUUGAACAGGAUUAUGAGCAAUAUCACAUGCUGCCUUGUUGUCACAAUACAACUUCAUAGGAUUGACUGGCUUAAUAUGUAAAUCUAUCAUCAGAUUUCUAAUCCACAACAAUUCGCAUAUAGCUUUAGCCAUCCCUCUAUAUUCAGCCUCAGCACUUGAUCUAGCAACUACCUCCUGUUUUUUACUUCGCCAUGUAACCAAGUUUCCUCCUACAAACGUGAAAUAACCAGAAGUAGAACGUCGAUCUUGAAUAGAACCAGCCCAAUCAGCAUCUGUAUAACCAUUAACAUCCAAAUUGUGUCCUUUUGUGAACAAAAUUCCUUUUCCUGGAGACGACUUCAAGUAGCGUAAGAUACGGGUGACAGCAUUCAUGUGUUCUUCGCUUGGAGAGUGCAUAAAUUGACUGACCACACUCAAUGAAUAAGCUAAAUCAGGUCGAGUAUGUGCAAGAUACAUUAACCUUCCAACCAACCUCUGAUAGCGUUCUUUGUUAGUCGGAACUUGAUUGGAAUCACCAUGUAGUUUCAAGUUCUCUUCCAUAGGAGUGCUAGCUGGACUGCAUGCUGUCAUACCUGUUUCACUUAGUAAGUCUAAGGCAUAUUUUCUUUGUGAAAGAAAAAUACCUUUAUCUGACCGUGACACUUCAAUGCCCAAGAAAUACUUCAACUCUCCAAGGUCUUUCAUCUCAAACUCACGGGCAAGGUGCUCGUGUAAUCUCUUCCUCUCUCCUGGAUCAUCUCCGGUUACUAUUAUAUCAUCAACAUACACAAUGAGAAUUGUAAUGUGUUUUUCAUUAUGCUUCAAGAAUAAAGUGUGAUCGAGUUACUUUGUGUGUAACCAACUGUCUUCAUAAAAUUUGUGAACCUUCCGAACCACGCUCUGGGAGACUGCUUUAAACCAUAUAGGGAUUUUCUCAACCUGCAGACCUGUUUAUUACCUUCCGUUUGCUGUUUACAGCUAGGAGGUAAUUCCAUAUACACUUCUUCUUGGAGAGUUCCAUGUAGAAAUGCAUUCUUUACAUCAAAUUGAUGUAGCGGCCAGUCAAGAUUAACUGCUAGAGAUAGUAUAAUACGAACAGUAUUAAGUUUGGCCACCGGUGAAAAAGUCUCCAUAUAAUCAAUUCCAUAUGUUUGAGUAUAUCCCUUGGCUACCAGCCUUGCUUUGCACCGUUCAAUAGUUCCAUCAGCUUUGUAUUUAAUGGUGAAGACCCACCUACACCUAACAGGUUUCUUUCCUUUCGGCAAGUCAACAACGUCCCAUGUUGAGUUUUGUUGAAGGGCUUUCAUUUCUUCAUUCAUUGCCUCCCUCCAUCUAGGAUCAGCCAAGGCUUCCUGCACAUUGUUAGGAAUAGAUACAACGGAUAAUUGAUGUACAAAUGCCAUUUUUUCGUUUGACAAUCUAUGAUAGGAUACAUAGUUAUUCAUAGGGUAUUUGAGUUUUGAGUGAAGGGUUGGUUCAUAGUUCACCUUGGGUUUACCUCUUGUGACUCGAUUAGGUAGUUCUUUUAGGGACUCAACUGGAUGAAUAUCAUGAGACUCAAGUCUGGAAUCAACCGGGGAAGACAAUUGGUUAACUGGUACACUGUGGGAAGCUGUCGGCCCCUCCAAGGUAUCCUGGUUACCAUCAACGAUUUCUGGACCAUUUUCACUGGUAUACUCUUCCCUGUCCUGGUGUUCCUCUGUGUUCUCAUUAACUGGACAUUCUUCAUUAGUCUCCAAGCUAUCCAAAGUAUCAAUCAGUUGGUUACCAUGUGCAAUGAUAUCCACAUUGUCUGUAGGCUUAGUUGCUAUCUGCACUUCAUCGUUCUCCUUAGUUUGAGAUGAAUAAUACAUAGUAGUUUCAUGGAAGACCACAUCCAGAGUAACAUAAAGUUGGCGAGAAGGAGGGUGAUAACAUCGAUAGCCUUUUUGGUGCAGAGCAUAGCCAACAAACACACAUCGAAGUCCCCGAGGUUCCAACUUAGUUCUCAAACCUUUAUGAAGAUGUACAUAAGCUACACAUCCAAAAACUUUAGGAGGUAAGUUUGGCAUUGUAGGAGCACUUACAAGGCGAUGGAGAACCUCGAAGGGGGUUUGGAAUUGCAGAGAACUAGAAGGUACCCUGUUGAUAAUGUAUGCUCCGGUAGUAACAGCUUCUCCCCAGUAACUAGUAGGCAUGUGAGCUUCAAAUAAGGAGGCACGAACGACCUCAAGGAGAUGACGAUUUUUCCGUUCAGCCACCCCAUUCUGUUGAGGGGUGUAAGGGCAAGUUGUUUGAUGAAUAAUGCCAUGUGUGUUCAAGUAAUCUUUCAAGCUGUGAUUGAUAAACUCUCCCCCAUUAUCAGUCCUGAUCACCUGAAUAUUGGUCUGAUACUGUGUUGCUAUCAUUUUGUGGAAUUGCUGGAAUAAAGAACUCACUUCACUCUUUGAUUUCAUUAAGCAAAUCCACGUCAUGCGGGUGUGAUCAUCAAUGAAUGAAACAAACCAACGUGAUCCAUUUAGAGAAGGAGUGUUUGUUGGUCCCCAUACAUCCGAGUGAACAACCAUAAAAGGUGCAGGACUUUUAUUCAUACUAAUAGGAAAUGAAACACGAUGACUUUUAGCACGUUCACAUACAUCACACUUAAAAUCUGAAACAAUCAAUUGUGAAAAUAAUUGUGGGAAUAAUUUCUGUAAAUAUCCAAAGGAUGCAUGGCCUAAACGCCUAUGCCAUAGCCAAAUUUCAGACUUCUGGUGUUCAUUAGCUGUAUUAGUUGAGAAGACUUGUGCCAACUGAUUUGAGCUUGCCGGAAUCAGAUCCAGUAGUAGAGCUUCCCUCUCCUAGUACCAUAACCAAUUGUCUUCCGAGUUUGAAUGUCCUUGAAUAUGCAAAGGUUCGGCCAAAAAAUUACAACACACAUCAAGGCACAAGUUAUUUGAGCAACAGAUAAUAAAUUAUGAUCGAGAUUCGGAACAAUAAGAACUGACUCUAAACUCAGAUUUUUUUAAGAGUAACCGUUCCUUCUCCUGACACAGAAGAAGGAGUUCCAUUGGCUGUGAAAACUACAUGGUGGUUUGAGGGUUGUAUGGUCUGAAUAUUAUUGUUAAACGUCAUAUGAUUUGUGGCACCUGAAUCAAUUAUCCAUUCACUAUUUCUAACAGAAGUAGAGGUAUGAAGAGCCUUACCUGCAUUUACAGCAUCAUCACCUGUGUUCUCAGCAGUGUCGCGUGCAUUCCCAGUAAUAGCACCAGAAGAGGAGUCUUUCCCAUAUUUAUUGCCAAACAUAUGAUUUGGUUCUGCCACAGCAACAGACACAUGAGGAUUUGCCUUUAAGUUUCUCUUACGGGGUGCUUUGGAAAAAUCCCACCAUUCUGGAUAUCCAAUCAAUUCAUAGCAGCGUAGCUUAGUGUGUCCAGUUUCACCACAGUGAGUGCAUAUGCGUUCUGGUCGUGCAGCUCCUAUUUCAUAGCUGCGAUUUUGCGAUCCAAUUGAAUGAUUAUGAUUCAGUGAACCAGAAGCUCGAUCUGGUUUCAGGUUCUGUGGUCGUUGAUACUUACUUCGGCGAGCUAUCAUAGCAGAUGGCUCUAAGUGUCCAGGUUCCCCAUUCAGUGUGUUUCGACGGAUAGAGUCACGGCGAACAUAAGCAUAUGUUUCUUCAAGGUCUAGUGCAGAAUCUCUCCUUAGGAUCUCACCACGAAUUUGUUCAAAUUCUUCAUCAAGGCCAUUCAGAAAAAUAUGCACCCGCAGUCUCUCAACUGAUUUUUUGUAGGCAAUGACAUCAUCGGGAUCUUUCAUAACAAUCUUGUCACGAUGAUCUAGUUCUUGAAAUAUUUCUACCAAAUCACCAUAAUAGGUAGAGAUAGGAUGACCAACCUGUUUGGUGGAGAACGCACGUUGGUUCAAGGUAAAUAGCUGUGAUUCAUCUGCCCCGUCAUAGAAUGCUUUGGCUAGAGCAUUCCAGAUUUCAUGUGCAGUAGGCAGUCUAAGAUAGCGUUUCAUAAUUUCUGGUGACAUGGAGGUCAACAACCAUCCUUUAAUCUUUUGAUUCUCAGCAUACCAUUUAGCAUAGGAUGGAUCAGUUUUUUCUGGGAUUGUGUUGCUUACAAGGUAUUCAAGUUUCUCUCGUCCUGCAAUUUGCAUCUCCAUGAUUUGAGACCAGACAUCAUAGUUGCUUUCAGUAAGGGUGACAUUGGUUGAGAAACUGGAAUUCUCUGACUGAACCUGGAUAACUGGAACAGAGGAUGAUUCGGUUUUGUCACUGGCCAUGGUACGAGAAGGAGGAUUCGUAAGAUUUAUAAGGUUUGUGUGGUGAUAUAAAGAGCAGAUAAUAAACCUGCUCUGAUACCAAGUAAAAAACGUACGCAGAGUUUUCAAAGGGAUUCAAUUGUUUUAUUUUCACUUAGAGCUUCCUCUGUUACAAGCAGAAUAUAUAUAGCUACUCUACAUAAGAAUCCCUACGUAUCAGAUCCUAUAGUUUAGGACUGAUUUGCUAAUUACAUGGAAACCUAUUUCUACUAGGAUACAAUCACGUAUUUACUGGGAUGCUGGAAUAUAUCUUUCCAGCUAAUAUCAGAGACAAUGUAGGACUUGAAUGCUGCAAAUCCAACUUGGAGAUAAUUACCGCAAUUGUUAACAGUUGUAUUUCAUCGAAGACUGCAUAGAUACUUGCUACUAGUUUGUGGUGGCUAGUUUUCGCAAGUUCUCCAACUUCAGAAGGUGAAAUUGUUACUGGGAAGACGGUCGUUCCUAGUGUGUGAUGAUUGUUUGUCUAGCUAUUGGUAAUUUGUAGUGUACUGUCUCUAAGCUCAGCCUUUCUAUUUGAUUAGUUAUUUGGGAUAAAUAUAUAAGCUGGACUUCUCAUUCCUGAAUCAUUAGGAAGGAAACUGAUUUGGAUUGGUCAUUGACUCGGGUGUGAUUACUCUUUCAACUCUCAAGACUUGUCUGAAAAUAAAUUGCCAAAACCACUACUAAAGUAUAAACAAAAUAUUAUAUGCCUUUGUUUCAAGGGCGACCCCACCAUAGUUAUUCAAUCAAAGCAUUGAAAUUGGAGCAAGAAGAUCCACCUUCUUCAACAGCCUUCCUGGCCGUUUCUUUGCUCGGCUACUCAUUUCCUCUGCUUCUUCACCCAUCAUAAUUUGAGUGAUUGCCUUCUCUACAGCUUCACUUUUAACAUGAUCUCCAUGCACUCUAAGCCAUUCCUUAACUCUAGUUUUUAAAACAUCAGUCACCAACUUUUCAUUAUAGAAUUGCUCAGCAAAUAUUGGUCUCCUAAGCACAAAAAAAUAAAUUUGUCCUUCUCAAACAUGCAGCUGUGACUUGAGACAUUUAGAAUUUCAACCUCAUUUUCUAUAAAAUUCAACAAUACUGGAUAUGGUCGUGAUUCAAUGGAAUAAUCCCCACUUAUUUUCUUGAGACCUUUUUCCAUUGAAAUCUUGCAAGACUAUGGCAUAAUGAACUCCAUCUAAUGAAUAGUAAAUCAAAGAAAAUACCUUCUGAUAGAUCUCCUCUUGCCAAUCAGCGCCUUUUGCAUGUCCAGUCUGUGCUGUAGAAUCUAGGGAUGCUACAAAAAUUUCAAUGCAAAUAACAAAAUGUUAGAAUUCAUGUAUUUUUGUGUGUUUUCCAUCUACAAGGGUAUUUCUGUAAUUUUAACACUUGCUGAAAAUUAUGAAAUAUUGCAAGUCUCAGUUUUAUUUUCUAUUUAGUAUUUAAUUAUUCCCAAAGUAUAGCGAGCUUCAUUAGGUUUUUCCUAUUCUAGAUAGGUCUAUUAGUAUUUUCCUAUAUAGGAAUACAAGUCCUUUUUGUAUUAGGAACUUCAUCUAAAUGUUAUGUAAUCAUAUAAAUGCAGAAUCAGAGGGUGAACAGCUGGUGCAAUGCACUGGAGGGUAUGAUGUGGUAACAAAUGCGUGUGUGAUUGCAAUGGUUUCAAUAGCUGUGGCAUUACUUGUUGUAACCCAUUUUCGGAUCCCCAAAUAAAUGAAAUAAAAUAAAUAGCCAAAGGAGGUUAGAAAAAUAACAGGAGGCAGAAGCGCUCAGCAAAUGGUCAUAAAAAUCGGUCAAGGAGGUUAAAAAAUACAAAGAUGGAUUUUUGAUUAUAUAUUCUUGAAUGAUGAGAGCCCUGUUGGAUAAGAAAAAUUGAUUUUUGAGGAGAAAAGUCCAAAUUUGGAGGUUUAUGGACUUAAUUGGAUUUUUAAUGGAAUUUAUAGAGGAUUUGAGUGAAAGAAAAAUUGAUUUUUAAGUCAAUUUGGGCUUUAAUUAGAAGAAAUUUAAGUUCUGGGGCCAAAAUAUAUUUUUUAGGAAUUUAUUGGGUCAAAUCAGGGGCUUAAUUGCAUAAAUAUUGAAGUUUAAUGGCCAAUUAGGGGUUUAAUUGUGAAAAACCAAAACCAGGGACCAAUUUGAAAAAACCGGGUAAAUAGAGGGGGCUGUUUUGCUUUGGAUCAGGGGCCUAAUUGAAGAAAUUGAAAAUUUAUUGACCAAUUGAGGGCUUAAUUGCAUAAAUCAGAGGCCAAGGACCAAAGUGAAAAACGCGGCCAACAAGAGGGAAGGGGAUCGAAUUGGGAGGGGACGCAAUUGAAAUGAUUAAAGAUGAUUAAGGACUGAUUCGCAAAAAGCAUAUUCGAUCCAAAACGACGCCGUUUCAUCAUAAAAAAAAAAAAAGGGGGGGAACCGAACGGUGCCGUUUUGAACGACACUGUUCCUCCUUCGUCUUCCCCUCUGCACUCGUUGCAGGGGAGAAGAAAAAUGGUUUUUUCUUCAAAAUCUUCCUGCCUCUCUCUCUUUGGACCCACCGACCAACCCGAAACACUGGACCACCGACCGAACUCAAUGGCCGACCACCGGUCACUCGCCCCGCCGAAAGCAAGGUGGCAGUGCUUUGCCUUGCAGAUGGUGGCCGACCAGCCGCCCGCGAAACCCGCUCCCCAGGCGCACUAAUGAAGGGCCCAGCACACUUUCUCCCCUAUAAAUAGAGAAGAAAACCGAAGGAAAGGAAGGGGGGAGAGACCCCGAAGGGAGGAGAGAGAGAGAGGAGACCGAAGAGAGAGAGAGAGAACCAACAAGAGAGAGGGAAAGAGAAAGGAAUAAACCGAAAACAAAAAGAAAACAGAAAACAAAGAGAAAGGAAGGAAAAGAAAGAAAUACCAAAAACGAAGAAGAGGGGAAGAGGAAGAAAAUCUUUUUCUCUCCACCGCCGUUCGAACCGCCACAGCACCGCCCGGAGCCGCCGUACGCGAGCCACGCCACCGCAGCUCCACCAGCGACCGCCUCCACGCCAGGUACCCGUUUCUUCUUCCCUGCAUUCCUUUCGUGGCAGCCUUGCCUCCUGCAUGUUGCAUAUAUAUUAUAAUAUGUUAUAAUAUAUGUGUGUAUAUAUGUAUAUAUAUAUAAAAUAUAAUAAUAAUAAAAAAAUAGUUUGAAAAAUCUUAAAAAAAUAUUGUUGAUUUUUCUACAUAUUUUUGUCAAAGUGGUUUAAUGUUGGUUUGUAUUUUUAUACCGUAAGGAUACAAAACCAGUGUUAAAAAUACCCGAUUUUCGUCAAAAUAUCAAAGAUUUUCAGAAUAAAAAAUGUUUUUGCUUUCAAAAAAAAUUCUAAAAACUCCCUAAAAAUGUUGUUGAUUUUUCUGCAUAUUUUUAUCAAAGUGGAUUAAUAUUGGGUUGUAUUUUUAUACCGUAAGGAUACAAGCUCAGUAUUUAAAAUACCCGAUUUUUGUCAAAGCAUAAAAAAAAAAAAAAAUUCAAAAAUUGUUUUUGUUUUAAAAUAUGGCCUAGUCUCUCCAAUAUAUAUAUAUAAAUAUUAUAACAUCAUAUUUUCACACAACUAAGAAAAUUUUCAAAACAAUAUAUGUAUUAGCAUGCAUUUCGGCUUUAAUAACCAGUUUAUUCAAGCCAUGAGAACUAGGCCAAUAUUUCAAAAAUUCUAAAAAAUCUUUUUGUUUUAUUUUAGUAGUUGGGAUUACGAAUUUAUACGUAAAACGUAUUCCUAAAUAUUAUUAAUAAAAUUUUGGUAUGGACGUUAGAACGGUUAGGAUUUUUACCCGAUAAGAUAAAGAUCUCCUUACCGAGGAGGAUUUUUCUUGAACCAUAGACAGACCAACAACUAGGAAAACACAAUAACACCUUAGUUUUUUUUAUCAGACAAUAAAACAAUGCAGCUUACUUUAGGUAGGGCGUAUUUGGGGUGCUAAUACCUUCCCUUUACGCAACCAGUCCCCGUACCCAAUCUCUGAGACCAGUUAGGGUUCCUAGUGACCAAAAUACUAGGUGGCGACUCUAAAGAACCAAAUCAAAUAAACAAAAAUAAAAAAAAAUUUCGCCAAUCGAAAACGCAAUUGGAUUUUUUUUUUUGGGGUACGACAUUACUAAUGCCACAAGUGGCAGCAGUGGCACAUAAAGCUACCUAAAAGAGUAUUGCUGACUUGAACCAUUAUGAGAGGUGAACAGUUGGUGCACCGCACUGUAGGGCAUCGUGUGGUUACAAAUGCAUGUGUGAUUGCAAUAGUUCCAAUACCAGUGGCAUUUCUAAUGCCAUAAGGGGAAGCAGUGGCACAUAAAGCUACCAAAAAGAGCAUUACCUGGCAUUUGUCUCUGAGAAUUGACAAACAUAGUGGAGGGAAUCCCUUGUCCCAUUGAAUUCCCCACUGAGUUCUGUGAAACACCAGGGAUACUCUGCAUGUUAGGAUUCUGGACAACAGUGUUGGGGAUAGUCUGGGUUACACCAGAGACAGGAGGCAGUGCCGCUUGUAAACCAGCAUAACUUUGAACUCCAUUAGAUGCCAUGCAAUUCUGCAUGUUCUGUGAUACCAACUGCUGACGUGCUUGAGACUGAUCAGUGGACAAUAGGAUAGGGAGAAACAGCCCUUGAUUCUGAACUUCAGGGGACAUACUAUGGGAUGCUGUUCAAGAUAAAAGGCAAAAGGGAAAACCAUGUCACAGAAAAAAAGAAGGCACUGAACAAGGAAGACAAAUGAAACAUCGGCAGUCCACACAUAAAGUUAUGAGCGAAAGAAUUGGGAUGGAUUUGAUUCAAAGCAUAAAAGUGUCCUCUGACAAUUUUCGAGGAUGGGGGAAGAAGAGGCGGCUGAAAACAAAAAUAAUAUGACAAUUUUCAGGGUGGGGGAAAGAAAAGGAGGAGGCAGAAAACAAAAACAAUCUGUAAUAUUCUUGCAUAACAUUCAUCAAUUACUCAACUUUUUGAUUAAAGCAUGCCAUACACAUAGCAAUAUGUUGCAAUAAAAUGCAAAAGAGUUUGAUAACAAUGUUACAAACAAAACAAAAGGUAAGAUGUUUAGAAAUUCAAUGCUCGGCAGCAUUAUUAUAUAUGAAAAAAGGAUCAAAUGCUUUCUCUCGGAAGAAAAGCAAGAAAGUGACGUCUUACCUCCUAAACAGGAAAAUCUUUAAAAUCUACCAUCUCAAUCAUAAAAUAUAAAAUACCAUGCAUCACAGUCCUUGUUGCUUAACAAGUUAAGGAUGAAACACUUCACAUGCAUUAUAGAAUUAGCAUCGUGGAGGUGAUCAUGAGAUUUUUCCAGCAAGGCGAUAUACAUAGCAAUAUGCAGCAAUAAAAUGUAAAAGAGUUUGAUAACAAUGUGAGAAGAAAAACAAAAGGUAAGAUGUUUAGAAAUUCAAUGCUCGGCUGCAUUAUAACCUGCUGGAUCCAUGGGGGCAGUGGGCAUGGUGUUUUGAGACCUGAUCUCCAUUGAAAGCAUCUCCAGAGAUAUUUUACGCAGAUAAUCAUACUGAAAUCAGAUAUUAAUAACAAAACAUUAGAUCUCAGAGCAAUCCAUGUUACAAGAGGAGGAAAAUGGAUAUAUGCUCUAUCAUUUCAUCUUUUGUGAGGAUAUACUUCUGUUUCCUCUCUUUUUAUUUAAUUAUUUAUGUAUUGAUUUGCUAUUUUCUUUUUGCACACUUCCCUUGUACUUGAACUUGUUCACUCUAAAUAAAACACUUGUCAAGAGAAUUAACAAAAAGAUGCGAACUCCCAAUCAGCCUUGCAUACAGAGUGAACGGUGAGGAAGUGUAAGCACACUACACACACAUUUGUACAUGCAUAAAUGCAUGUGUAUAUUCAUGUCAAGAGAAUAUCAUAAUUAUUGAACCUCGCAUUAGGCAAAUACCUGAUUGGUGGCGGUAGUAUAAAUCUUUUCCUCAAAACGUAUGGCAAAUUUCUUGAGUUCUUGUAAUCCCUCCUGACCAGAAACAAAAGAUGCCUCUUUAUUGUCUCCAUUCUGCACAUGCAAAUCAUUACGUUUCAUUUUUAAUGACCAGGCAAGUAUAGAGAAGUUAGCAACAGCGAGCAAAUAAUGAGAUAAGCAAGAGUUGGUCAAGUAUUAUAAGACAUCAAAAUACAUAGACAUCCUUUCCCUGUAUUAUUCCAGAGGUACAGAUUAUAGGAGUUUACUUGGCCACCCUUCUGUCUAAAAAUUCUAGCUACGAGCUUCAUUUAUUAGUGACUUAGUUGCAAAGCAGGGGAGUCUCUGAAAACAUUACAAUAGCAUUUACUCUGAGUAACUUCUAUGCAUGUGCUGUAAUUGACAAUGAAAAGAAGAGAAAUCCUUUCAAUGUAUGAAAAUGCAACGAGUUAACCUUAUCUCACACUGCAAUAUAUACUCUACAGUAUUCAUUGACCAAUGCAAGUGCCAGCAGAAGCUGUCUAUAUGAUUUUGGAUGUAGAGAGGUCAACAAAACAUUCAACUUUAUGCUGAGAAUCUAGGAAACCAUGCACCAUUGUGGCUAAUUGAUUUUUGUCUACUGCUUUUCAACUUUAAGAUCACUAUCAUUUCAACCCUGUAGAAGUUAAAACAAAUAGAAGGCCCAAAUCCAACACCAUUCAUUUAAGUUCAGUUGCAACUCGAGUUUUAAAUUGAAACACGUAUGCUCAUAGCAAAAGAUUAACCUUGAAAUUAAAAGCAGAACAAGCUUCAUGCAGCCAUCCAAGAGGUCAUCAUCAAAAGAAGAGAUUACACAAGAAAUUCCAACAAAAAUUACUUCCCAGCACUUUAUGUUCCCUCAAGUUUGCUUCUCGUGAGAAACACAUGAAAAGAUGAAACAAAAAAAAAACAAAAAAAAGAGGUGUGUGAUACUUAAUGUUGCCUCAUGGCAAUCCUGCUGAUUUUAAAAAAUUUACUAUUUUGCAGCACUUGCACAUACAUUUUGUCGACUAUUCUUUUCCGUGAGUCAGGCCGCAAUUGAAUUCUCCAAUCACCCGUGUCCAUGACAGGUUCUCUGCCUGGGACAGUGGGCCAACCAAAAAGAAAAAAAAAAUCAUAUUGUAUGUUAGAAUACACCCUAAAAAGAAAGUCAGGAACGGCAAGAAGAGCAAAAGCACAUCAAGAACAUGAAAAAUGGAAUAUCAGUUUAUUCAGACUUGAAUAGAUUUAAAAAGAACUUCCGUCUAAUAUCAUGUACUUUAUUAAAGAAUUCAGCCAAAUAUGGAUGCAUAACAAAUAUACACAACCAUUCAGGUCAAGGUGCUAGGAUCCUGGGUAUUCGGCCAUUCAAAGCAAAGAAUCUUCAUGGUGCUUCUAAACCAAAGAAGCAUUCCCAUCUAAGCAAAUACUUACUGUCAAACCCCACUCCACUUCCCCUCCUGUUCGUGUUAUUUAUGCAUAUAUUUACUUCUCUGAAAGAAUAAAUAUUGUAGGGAGCAAAUAGUGUAAAUAGAAAGAGGAAAAUACCACAUCCCCAAAAGAAUAAAGAAAUAAGAAGAAGGCAAAAUAAAAGUGUUAGACAGAUUGUGUAAUACGGCUGUAAAAUCUCCUUAACAAUGAGAGGAGAUGUCUUGGCAUUAUAUAACAGAGUUACAGCUCAGGAGUCCUAUAUAAUAGGAUUGGAUAAGUACACGUGAACAAACUGAUAGAUACAAUGAAUUCUAAGCUAAGUACAAUUGUUCUCAAGGAUAACUCUUAUCAUCCCCCUGCAAGGUAAGCGUGGGAGACGGAAGAACGCGAAGCUUGUUUCGAAAGAGAAAGAAUUGCGGUUUGGACACACCUUUUGUAAGAGAGUCAGCAAGCUGCAGGGAAGAGGGAACAAAUUGUAACUUCAGAAAUCCAUUAGCAACAAGCUCACGGAUAAAAUGGUAGUCAAUGGCAAUAUGCUUGGACCGUGGACGAGUAACAGGAUUACCAGCCAUGAAGAUGGCAUUUGAUUGUCACAGCACAAAGUGGGGGAAGCUGGUAAUGUAACAUGAAGGUCUCUGAGUAUUUGAACAAUCCAAGCAAUAUCAGCAGUUGCGACAACUAAGGAGCGAUACUCAGCUUCUGCACUGGAUCGCGAGACAGUGCUUUGUUUCUUGGAAGACCAUGAAAUUAAAUUGAAACCAAGAAAGAUUGCAUAACUAGUGGUAGAUCUACGAGUGUCAGGGCAACCGGCCUAGUCAGCAUCCGAAUAAGCAAGAAGUGCAUGAGUAGAUUGUUUCUGCAGCUGAAGACCAUAGUGAACAAUGCGUUUAAGUGCACGAAAGUGAUCCUCUGUUGGAGAGUGCAUAAAUUGGCAAAUGGAAUUAACACUGAAUGACAAAUCAGGUCUGGUGAUUGUCAGGUAUUGUAGUGCACCGGCCAAAGAACGAAACAAGGUAGGAUCAGUAUACAAAGUUCCUUCAGCUGUCAAAUGUUGUCCCACAACAAAGGGUGUAGAGAUUGGCUUGGCAUCAACCAUGGAAGCUCGCUGCAAGAGAUCAAUAGCAUACUUUGUUUGGCUGAGGAGGAGACCCUGAGCAGUAGGCUGAACUUCAACACCAAGAAAAUAAUGAAGAACACCUAAGUCUUUCAGUGAGAACUCCUUGGAAAGAGAAGCAAUAAACUGAUGAACUAGAGAUGUGUUACUGCCAGUAAUUACGAUGUCAUCAACAUAGAGGAGUAGAUAAACUAUCCCAAGAGUAGUGUGAUAGACAAAUAAUGAUGAGUCAGCUUUGCUGGAAAGAAACCCAAUCUGUAGCAGAAAAGAGCUGAAGCGAUGGAACCAAGCUCUAGGUGCUUGUUUCAAGCCAUAUAGUGCUUGUUUCAAGCCAUAUAGUGCUCGUUUGAGACGACAGACAUGCCGAGGAAACAAAGGAUCAGUAUAGCCUGGAGGUUGUUCCAUGUAGACUUCAUAAUGAAGGAGGCCAUGGAGAAAUGCAUUAUCAACAUCAAGCUGAUGUAAACGCCAGCCAGAUGUAAGUGCCAAUGAGAGAAUCAGGCGAACUGUAGCUGGGCGAACAACCGGACUGAAUGUGUCAUCAAAGUCAAGACCCUUAAUCUGAGAAAACCCUUGAGCCAUGAGACGUGCUUUAUGACGCUCAAUUGAUCCAUCAGAUCGAAGCUUGGUCUUAAAAAUCCAUCGGCAACCAACCACAUUGUGUGAUGCAGGACGGGGUACCAGAGUCCAAGUGUCAUUCCUCUGCAAGGCUUGAAUUUCAGAGUCCAUAGCAGACGGCCAUUCAGGAUUUUUGGCAGCUGAUUUAAAGCCUCGUGACUCCUUGAGUGCAAGCAGAGUCUGAAAGGGCUGCAAAGAAGAGCAAACGGUCAUAGCAUGUUGGACUCGUGGUUUAACGAUACCAGCCUUCCCUCGAGUAACCAUAGGAUGGCUGUUAGUGAGUAGAGAAGGUUGGGAAGACUCGAGAGGUGGCAAGGCUACAUUGGAAGAAGAGGGAAUAGACAGUGGAGUGGAGGAGUCUGUAGAAAUGGGAAACAAUGGCUCUAGAUUGUCACUGCAAGGCAAACAUGAGGAACUGGAUGAUAAUGGUGAGAUGACAGAGUCACUAGCUGAAAGAGAAGGACUAGACACACAUUCUGCACAUUCAAAGAAAGUACUAUAGUCAUUGGUGGAUGACAUGUUAGUGACAGAACCAUCGAUAUAGGGAAAAACAGUUUCGAAAAACUUUACGUGACGAGAGACAUAGACACGAUGUGUUUGUCGAUCGAAGCAUCGAAAACCCUUAUGAAGGGUACUGUAACCUAAAAAGACACAUGGAGCAGAUUUUGGAGAUAAUUUAUGUGGUGAAUAAUCACGUAAAUAAGGAAAGCAAAGACAUCCAAAGGUGCGAAGCAUGGAAUAAUCAGGUUUCUUACCAAACAGUAGAUCAUAAGGAGUCUUACCACCAAGAGACGGUGAAGGGAGUCGGUUUAUGAGAAAAACUGCCGUAGAGAAUGCCUCAACCCAAAAGGAUACUGGUAGACGAGCAUGAAACAUAAGAGUAAGGCCUGUUUCGGUAACAUGCCGAUGUUUGCGUUCUGCAAUACCAUUUUGGCUGGGAGUAUAUGGACAUGCUAGAUGCUGAACAAUACCAUGAGAUUGUAAAUGAUUUCGAAACUUGGUAUUGGUAAAUUCAGUCCCACCAUCACAUUGAAAUGAUUUUAGUUUUGCUGAAAAUUGUGUGGUAAUGUAAUUUUGGAAGUUGAUGAAUGUAUCAAAAAAAUCAGAUUUAUGUUUCAAAGGAAACAUCCAGCUGAAUCGAGUACAGUCAUCGAUAAAAACAGCAUAGUAACGAUAACCAUUAACAGAAGAAAUUGGUGAUGGCCCCCAUAAAUCACAAUGUAAACGAUCAAAGGGAAGGGCACAACGUUUGUCAUUAAGAGAGAAUGGUAAACGAUGACUUUUACCAAGUUGACAACCAUCACAAUGUGAAUAAUAUGUUUGAAUUAAUUUGUCACUACAAGAAAUAGAUCCUAUUCUAGAUAGUGAUGCAACUAAACGAAAAUGUGGAUGACCUAGACGUGCAUGCCAUAGUCGAAUCGUGGCUCGUGGCUUAUUGGAAGAAAGAAUUGAAGCAAGAGCGCAGUGAUGUUGAUCAAGAACGUAGAGACCAUUCUCACAUCGACCGACCCCCAGUACUGUUCUGGUAGUUAGAUCCUGUAUCACAAACCCAGAAGAAUCAAAUAUAACCUGACAGUUAAGUUGUUUUGUGAGUUGACUAAUAGAAAUAAGAUUUUUUGUAAUGUCUGGAACAACAAGAACAUUAGACAAAACAAGGGAGCUUUGAGGAACAAUAUUAGAAACAGAACCUUUGUGAGAAAUUGGAAGAGAUUGUCCAUUACCAACCAGGACACGUUCAUUACUAGUGUAAAUAGUGGAUACAUCCAAAUUGUCCGAGUUAUUUGUUAUGUGAGAGGUGGCACCGGAAUCAGGAAACCACUCCUGAUUAUUGAAAUCUUGGACUGUGCAUGCGGAAAAGGCUUCAGCGAUGUUAGCCGACUGUUUCUUUUUAAACUUCAGGAAAGUCCAGCAACGUUUAGCCAAGUGACCCUCUUUGUCACAUAGCUGACAGUAAACCGCAGUGUUGGAUGAUGGUUUAACACUGCCAGAGUAUGUAGAGGUCUUUCCUCGCUUUGGUUCUGACCUGCGUGAAGUCUGUUGUGUAUAGUAAACAGAAGUGGAUGGUGAGUGGGAAACAGAUUUCGCAAAUAUCUCAUGACUCAAUGCUUUUGGAACAAUGUCAGAGAAGGAGGGUAAUGGAAGCUGUGAGAUCAUUGUGGUGGAAAAAAUCUUGUAAUCUGGUCCCCAAAGCUCGUAAAUACCAAUGGAUUUUAUCUGUGUCAUCAACAGGACGACCAAUGGCUGCCAGUUGAUCACAAAGUCUUUUGAAAAUUCUGGAGAACUCAGCAACAGAUUGAGAUCCUCGCUGCAUUAGCUGAAGUUCAUCUUUGAGUUGCAAUUCCCGAGUCUUUGAUCGGUGUGAGAAGGAAACUUCAAGAGCCUGCCAAGCCUCAUGUGAGUGUCAUAAACCCAACACCUCACUCAUGGACUCUUCCGUGAGGGAAGAAAAUAACAAACUCAGAAGCAUUUGAUCUGUAUGUAGCCAAGAAUUAUGAGCAGGAUUUGGCUUUGUGACUCCACUGGAAUCAGUGAUCACAGCACAUGGAGCAACAACGCUCCCAUCCAAGAAGCCAAAGAGUUCUUGACUAGUUAACAGAGGAACAAACUGAUUUCUCCAUAGUAGAUAAUUGGAGGAGGUCAAUUUAAUGGUAAGCAUGUGCACCAUUGUGUUGAGCAGAAGAAAAGGGUAUGAAGAAGAAGAAUCUGCCAUAAUUUCAAUCUCCAACCAAGGCUCUGAUACCAUAAAAGUGUUAGACAGAUUGUGUAAUACGGCUGUAAAAUCUCCUUAACAAUGAGAGGAGAUGUCUUGGCAUUAUAUAACAGAGUUACAUGCAGCUCAGGAGUCCUAUAUAAUAGGAUUGGAUAAGUACACGUGAACAAACUGAUAGAUACAAUGAAUUCUAAGCUAAGUACAAUUGUUCUCAAGGAUAACUCUUAUCACAAAACAAAGUCAUAAAACGAGGUCUUUCAAUCCCCAAUGAAUAUCAGCAGACUAAAUACCACACCACAAAUAGAAGAUGAAGAGGCCAGAAACACUAAUCCAUCCCGAAGAGAUUGUCUAGGAUGUUUUAGUCUAGGAAAAAGAAAAAGAAAAAGAAAACAACGAGCAUUAACAAUGAAUAUUUCAAGCUAUCAUCAACUCUAAAGAGCAGACUGAUAAGAAUCAACUUAACAAAUUUACAGGCACAUCUUUCUUUGAACAGACAACACAAUAACCCUGACCAUACUAAAUGCUCCACCCACAGUAGAAUCGGCUGAUUGCGCCUUUCUUCGAGUUGCGUUCACGAGCAGCGAUUUCAUCGAUCCGAUUAUAUAUCUUUUUAAUUUACUUAUUAAAAUCGAAUUUAUCUCUCUGGAUAAGAAUUUCAGUUAAAUAAAUGAAAACGCAGACGUAAAUUUUAAAAAUAAAAAACAUGAUAGAAAAGGAAGCACCUGGUGGAGAUUUGAAGCCUUAUUGGUUGAGGUGGCGGUGGUUUCCUAGAGCGGAGGAAGGAAAGAGAGCUCAGGUGGAGAGAGGUGAAGAAUGUCGGACCAAAGUGAACAGAGCUUGACAGAUGACUUUUUUUUUUAAUACGAAUAUUCUAGUUAACUUACAUAUACCUCUAAUAAUUUUACAAACCCUAAAAUUUACAAUCAUAUAAAUAUCUAAAAUAUUUUAAAACUCAAAUUAGUGAGACGCAGGUAGCAAUAUUUUAUUCUUUCCAGAUUCGCUAACAAACUAAAAGAAAUGUAUUCACUGUGCUGCUUUACUGUUCAUAACUAACAAACUAAAACUAAAAGAAUUUUAUAUAUAUAUAUAUAUAAGAGUGUUCAUGAAAACAUGGUGCACUGUGUGUGAAUCCUGUUGCUUCACAGUCUUUACCGCGCUCCCUUUCUGUUUUUCGCCUUUCUUCUCCCGCGGUGGGUGUUCCCGCGCUUUCUUCUCGGCUGCUGAGGCUCCCUGGCGUCUUUUCAUCGACUUUGUCUGGUGCAUCAUGCAUGUUCAGAUUGAGGCGGUUUGGCUGGUGCUAGGCGCGCGAGGAGAUGUCAGCCGACCUGCAUCGGCUGGGAUGGCUUCAUUGAAGCUGUCCUCUUGGUCUGUGGCGGGCCUACUCAUUAAUGAAAAAAUUAUUCUAACUGAGACAUUGUUUUUGUUUUUGUAAACUCUUUUCUAUUAUAUUUUUUUUAUCCAAAUUUUUAUAGAAAAUUAAUCAUUAUCUCAAUUUAAUUUUUAUUUUGAUUAUUGAUUUAUAUACAUGUUUUAUAUUAUGUGGAAACUUGAUCAUUAUAGUAAAAAGGAACAAUAAUUGAUUAUAUGUUGAAAUAGAUUUAAAAAACAGUUUAAUUUUAAUAGGAAAAGUAAAGUGUAUAUAUCUUCUGUUAUCUGUGUACUUAUUGUCUUGAUUCUACUGGGAAAUAAAUUUUAUGUUGCAUGGUAUUUUCCUUUGUUGUUGCGUUGAUAGGAAAAAAAAAACAAAAGAUGGGGAAAAAAAGGUUGCAUAUCUGGAUAAUAAUUACCAGUGAAAUAAUAUAUGUAAAGUGAAAUUAUAGUUUUCAAUUCUAAAAUCUACUAUAUGAAAGAGUGAAUCUUGUUGUAAAUAAAUUAUAAUUGUAAACACUUGUGAGUUUAGAUAAAUUCCUAGCAUCGAUGAUGUAUUGUUACCAAGAAAAUAAAUCUUAAAAAAGAAAAAUCUUCAAGUGGUGUAAUUUCUUAGUGUGGAUUCAUCAAAAACAUUGUAUUUUUCACUUAUAUUAGUAAAAGAGUACAAUACUCAAAUACAGUUAGUACUUGAGGUGUGGAUAUAGGCUUACCGAACCACCUUAGAAAUUAAGUUUGUAAUCUCUCUUUCCUUAUCUAUUUACUUUAAGUACUUUAAUUAUAUUGUUGGUUAUUGUGUUAUAUGUGUUUAGUGUGUUUAUUUGUAUUAUUUUGAUAUAAUUAAUGCAACACCUAAUCCAUCCCUCUUAGAUGUUAUUGUUGUUUUAAUCCUAACAACAUAAGUAUCAAUCAUAUUUUUUUUAUCAUAACUUUAGAAGAGUGCAUAAUGUUUUCUUAUGUUGAUGUCCAAAGAAAAAUAUUUAUAAUUAUUUGUAUUGUUAUAGUUUCUAUUGAAAAUUACAUUGUGUCUCAUAGAAAAACAAAUAAAUAAAUACACAAUUGCAAACUUAAAUUGUUUAUUAAAUUGUUUUUUGCAAAAUUAGUGUGUUAAAUUUUUUUGAUUCAUUUUAAUUAAUAUAUUUGAGAUUAUAUAAAUGUGAUAUAUAAUUGCAAAGUUAAUUUUAUUAUUGAGAUAAUAGAUGGAUAAAACUAUUGUUAAUGAUUUCGAUGUACUUGUUAACCUAGUAAUCUUUGUGGUAUAGAUGGCAAACCCGAUUUCUAAACAUUUUUCAUGCGGGGAAAAAACCAAAAUAAUUUGAGACACAAUGUAAUUUUCAAAUAUAAAGCAUGAUGAAUUAAAUUCUCUCAAGAGUCCUAAUGGUAGUGGUGUCUGCAGAAAGAAGUUCAAAGAAACUUGUUUUGUUUGUAAAAAGUAAAGACAUCAUUGUAAGGACUAUUGUCACUGUAAAGGAAAAAAUACACAAAGCAAUACUAAGAAAUUAUAUUCUAAAUAAAACAACUUAUAAGAAAAUUGGGCAAGAUAUGGUAUGAGUUGUUGAAUGUUCAAUCAUCAUCCUACAAAUACAUUAAAGUGUGGGGGUGUCUAGAAAAAAUUACAUUCCUCCACCAAAAAAAUUUAAAAAUAUGGACUUUAUUAUAUAAGAUAUGAAACUAUACUUGAAGGGUAUAGCGAUACUAAUUAGAUAUUCAAUAUUAAAUAUUCAAAAUCCACAAAUAGAUUUAUCUUUGUUAUCGGAGAAGCUAUAGUCUCUUGAAAUUUUUUUAAACAAAUAUGCAUAUCCAUAUCCAUAUCCAUGAAGGAGUUUGAGUUUACAACUUUAGAUAAAGAAAAGAAAUAGAAUAGCUUCUAAAACCUUACUGAGGAUAUUCGAAUUUACAAUUGAAAGGGCAUAAUAUAUAUAUAACUACAAGUAUUGACAUAAUUGUCAAUAUUAUAAGAUAGUUAAUCUAAAAUGAAAUUAUUUUUAUUGACCAUAUAAAGUUAAAUGAUAAUAUCAUGGAUUCGCUAAUAAAAUGCUUAACAAUAAAGCAAGUCAAUAAUCAUCGAGGGGAAUGAGAUUAAGACACAGUUCAAUGAAUUGUCAUGAUAGCGACCCAACCUAGUUUACUGGAGAUACCAAAUUUAGGUUCAAAGAGGCAACCAAAUCAUGUGUCAAUUCAAUAAUAUCCCUCCUACCCAUUCAUAUGAUAUAAAGUGUUAUCUGCAGCGAAAAUAGGAUAAGCUAAGCUUUUAAUGACUUUUAUAGCUUGAGAAAUUCAAGUGAGGUAUUACAUGAUACUCUUAAUAAGAAUCACCUAUGUGAAUGUGAAAACAAGGCCACUUCUAUGAAAAUUGAAAAUGCAAAUUCUCUAACGCUCUCUAAAAUCAAGACAUAUUUGAGGCUAAAAAGAACACAACCGUGAGAACCAAAACUGUAAGAAAACAAACUGUGUAAUCUCUAUUAUCUGGUUUCAUACAAAAGGUUAAACAACUCAAGACAUUAUGUUCGCUAGUUAGCCAAGUGAAUCCAAUAGUUUUAAUUAUGGAAGGUUCAAGGCUAAAAACUAUCUUGCUCGAUGCAAUGACUUUUCGCUAUUAGUCUCUAUUUUUUUGCCUACUUUGUAUUUUAUCCAGAUCAAACAAUUUUUAUCAUGUGGGGGGAUUGCUAGGGUGUGAAUGAAAAGUUGUGUUUGCUAAAAACUCUACUUGAAAUAAAAUCGUGUACUUUUAAACUAGAAAGUUGUAACCUUUUGUCUUAAAAGUUAUGUUAAAAUUAAAUGUCAGAAUUACCUAUAAAAAGAGACAAUUCUGACAUGAUUUUGAUAAUGAAGAAACUUCUAAUUUUUCUAAAACUCUUCUCUUUUAUAUUUCUUCAGUCAAAAUUCUUAUAGAGAGUAACAUUCAAAUUAUGGUUCAUCAUUUAUUCUUGGUUGUGCUAUCAAGAAUUAGAGAUUGAGCUUGAAAAAUAAUAUUACAAUCACAUUGCUAGCACCAAAAAGCAGGUAAUAAAUUGUUUUAUGAUAAUUUAUCGUUAAUUUAUUGAUUUUAAUUGGUGACUAUCCGUACAAAAUAGAUCUCAUAGACCUAUUAAAAUUGAAAAUGAUAAUGAGAUUUCUAAAACUAUAAGUGAAUAUAUGGAAAAUAUUAAAAAAUUACUUUUUAUGAAUGUUAAAGCCAUGAAUAUUUUGUAUUAUACAUUGGGUAAAAGUGAAUUUGAUAGAACUAUAUUAUACAAAAACGCUUAGAGAUAUAUAGCAUGUUUUACAAGUAAUUCAUGAAGGAACUAAGAAGUCAAAAAAUUUAAAAUUGACAUGUUAAUUCAUACUAAAAUAACUAAUAGUUUAUUAGUUUGGAUGUUUUUAGUAAUGCUGAAAUUAUAGAGAAUUGAUCAUUAAGUUGAUUUUUUAAUAUACGUGGAAAUCAUAUCAGUAUAAAUUUAAUAUACUAUUUAAAGUGUUCCAAUGGAAAGAAAAUGGGUAUUGUGAAUUUUAGUCUGCAUUUUUCUCUACUUUCUUUUUGGUUUUUUUUGUUUGUCCCUUCCUAAAAAUUUGCGCUCAGUUUUUGUCUUCUGCCUGCUGCUUAGUUUGGGGUAUUAAAUUUCUUUGUUUCUUCGGAAGAUGCCUUACUCUUUGUUGAUUGUCUUUCCAUUUUUAGUUGCAUUGUAAGGCUAUAUGUGUGUUUAUUGAGGCUUUGGCUGCCUUUUUUGCUACAGUUACGAGGUUUCUUGGGCAUAGUCUUUUGGUUAGCUUCAGCCCUCUAUUAUCCAUUCUUUAUAGAGGCGGUGUUGUCUUUGUUGCGCACAAGGUGGCAUGUGUCUUGAAAGGAAGUUUACUUGGUUUUCUGUGUUUCUUGUAUGCUACUUGUUUGGCAAAAGUCUUCUGAGAGAUCGACCUUGUUUGGCAAAAUGUCCCGGAAAACAAUCUCGAUAGGGUGCCCCAAUGGUGAGGACCAUCUGUAGCCAGUGUGCACUAUUUCUUUAGCCAAAUUAAUACAAUUACAAAUGACCCAUCAAAAGUUACCUUCCGAAACAAGGAGGAAACUAUUAUUUGUCACUUUAAACUUGAUUGUUUCAUAAAUAAUUUCAGUUUUGGGACGAGAUUUACGAAUGAACUGAAAAGGGUACCUCAAUUGUGUUACUCAAAUGAGAAAAUACAAAAAAAAACAUAUCAAGUCUGGUCCAAUUGCUUAACAUGCCUCAUAUUUUUGCACAUGAACCAGCCGAAUACUUUUUUUCUUUAAUGUUCAUAUCACAAAAAAAAACGAAAAACGAAAAAAAGCUUCUCCUCUCCCUUAUGCUAUAAAAUCUAAAGUGUUUUACGAAUUAGAUCUUUUAUUUUGCUUCACUAAUAAUAUCAGGCUUAACUUACUGACCCUAUAGCUUAUGUUUCAUCACAGCAGACUAAAUAAGGUUCUAGAUAACAGGAUAUAGGAGUUUACUUGGCCACCCUUCUGUCUAAAAUUCUAGCUACGAGCUUCAUGGUUAGUUUUCUUGAACCGGAAGAACCUUCCAUUUAUAGCUAUGGCUAUGCUCCAAGAUAUAUAAGUGAAUUAGUUGCAAACCAGGGGAGCUCUGUGAAAACAUUACAAUAGCAUUGACAAAGAAAAGAAGAGAAAUCCCUUUAAUUUAUGAAAAUGCAAUGAGUUAACCUUAUCUCACGCUGCAACAAAAAAUUACUUCCCAGCACUUUAUGUUCGCUUCUUGUGAGAAACAAGUGAAAAAUGAAAAAGACGAAAACAGAGGUGUAUGAUACUUGAGGUUGCCUCAUGGCAGUCUUUUGCCCUUUUCUUUUUCAUUCAUUUAAAUACAAUAUUUACUAUUUUGCAGCACUUGCACAUAUUAGGAAACAGAUACUUACAUUUUGUUGACACUAUUCUUUGAACACAUGGAUAGCUUCUAAAACCAAGGAAGCAAAAAACUAGCCAACUAGUUCAUGACUUGCCGCACCAGUAGAUGGUGAACCAAGCCAUAGAGAAACUCAUGGUGUUUCAAUUUUAACAAGUUCUUUCUUUCAAUAUAUGGUGCUUGGACCCCUCAAAGAACAUUAGCGCUUAUUCAAGAAAAACAAAUAAAGUUGUCAGACAUGAGAGACUAUAAUUAUUAUUAUUAUAAGAAAAACUAAAAUAUACAAGGAAAACACUAGAAUUUUUCUCACAAAACACUACAGAUUGCUACAAUAUUUCCUUACAUGAUUUGUGUUUUUUUUUUCCUUGAACACAUGAUUUUUUCCUUUUUCCUUUUUAUUUUUUUCUUAUAUAUGAUUUUUUUUCAAAAUUAUUUUUAUCGAUUUUAUUUUAAUAUUGAGAUGGUUAAAAAUUUAACUUUAAUUUUUUUUUCUUUUUAUUUUAUCUUUCUAUGUUGUUUGCGAUUUUAUCGAGGUAACACAGGGUGCCCCAGUUUAUGGAUUUGGUGAGGGUUUUUAUAAUUGAACUUGCCUUUUUUAUAGUAUAUUUUUUUUUCUCAUAUUGUUAAAAAAAACAGUUUUAGAAAAAAAUCAUGUUAUUAAAUUUUAUGAAGUAACAAAAAUUAAAGGAUGUAGGGGAAACUAUUGUUCACCUAACACACAUUAGACUAUGGAUUACAAUAGUAAUCUACCGUGUUUUGCUUCUUCUUUUUUCUUUUUAAAUUUUUGUCAAGGUUUUUUUUUUCAAAUCUAUUUUUGUCAAUAUUAUCUUUUAAAGUUGAAAUUAUUGACAAAUAAGCUUUGUAAUUUGUUUUUUUUUUUUUUUAAUUUUUCUUUAUAUGAGAUUAGUGUAGUUUAUAGGUUUGCCAAAAUAACCUAUGGUGCCCUGAUUUACGAGUUUGGUGGGUUGUAGUUUAAAAAAAAAAUUGAAUUUGACUUUUUUAAUAGUCUAUUUUUUUCUCAUAUAAUUAAUUUUUUUUAGAGAAAUGUCAUGUUAUUAAAAUUUAUAAAGUAACAAAAAUUAAAGGGUAUGAGAAAAUCAUUGUUCACUCACACACAUUGUACUAUGAAUGACAAUAAUAAUCCAUAAUAUUUUGCUUCCUUUCAUUUUUCUUUUUGUUUUUUAAUUUUUGUUAUGAUUUCUAAAACUAGAAGUGAAUAUACAGAAAAUGAUAAAAAGUUAUUUUUUAUGGACGUUAAAGCCAUGAAUAUUUUAUAUUAUACAUUGGGUAAAAGUGAAUUUGAUAGAAUUAUAUUCUAUAAAAAUGCCUAGAGAUAUAUAGCAUGUUUUAGAAGUAAUUCAUGAAGGAACUAGUAAGUCAAAAAAUCUAAAAUUGACAUGAUAAUUCAUCAAUAUGAAUUGUUCAAAAUGUUUGGUGAAUUCAUAACUAAAAUGUGUAUUAAAAUGACUAUAAUAGCUGAUAGUUUAUUAGUUUGGAUGUUUUUAGUAAUGCCGAAAUUAUAGAGAAUUGAUCAUUAAGUUGAUUUUUUAUAUGCGUAGAAAUCAAAUCAUUAUAAAUUUAAUAAACUAUUUAAAGUGUUCCAAGGGAACGAAAAUGGGUGUCGUGAAUUUGAGUCUGUAUUUUUCUCUAGUUUCUUUUUGGUUUUUUCCGUUUGUCCCUUCCUGAGAAUUUGUGCUCAGUUUUUGCCUUAUACCUGCUGCUUAGUUCAGGGUAUUAAAUUUCUUUGUUUCUUCAGAAGAUGCUUUACUCUUGGUUGAUUGCCUUUCUGUUUCCAAGAUAAAUAAGUGAAUUAGUUGCAAAACAGGGGAGUCUCUGUGAAAACAUUACAAUAACAUUUACUCUGAGUAAGAAUAGUUUUAUACAUCAUGCACUGUAAUUGACAAAGAAAACAAGAGAAAUCCCUUUAAUUUAUGAAAAUGCAACGAGUUAACCUUAUAUCAGUGCUCAUUGGCUCCUGCAAGUGCCAGCAGUAGCUGUCUAUAUGAUUUUGGAUGUAGAGAGGUCAACAAAACAUUCAACUUUAUACUGAGAAACCAUACACUAUAUAUUGUGGCUAAUUGAUUUUUGUCUGCUGCUUUUGUACUUUUAAGAUCCUCGAUAGAAGGCCCCAAAUCCAACACCAUUCAUUUAAGUUCAGUUGCAAGUCGAGUUUCAAAUUGAAACACCAAUGCUCAUAGCAAUAGAUUAACCUUGAAAUUUAAAGCGGAACAAGCUUCAUGCAGCCAUCCAAGAGGUCAUCAUCGAAAGAAGAUGUUACACAAGAAAUUACAACAAAAAUUACUUCCCAGCACUUUUUAUUCCCUCGAGUUCCCAUCUUGUGAGAAACACGUGAAAAAUAAAAAAGACAAAAACGAAAGAAGAUGACAUCCUGUCAUUGCUACCAAAUCCUCACCAGCUGCAGUUCUAGAUCCAUUACCAGCUGCAGAACCAGCAAUUCUGUCAAUCAUACUGACAACGGAGCCAAUGUCACCGACAGAUGCACUAAGUGCUUUGGGAGACAGAGAUUUCACCUGGGAAAAAAAAUUACAACAUCACCAUCUCAUUCACAAAGAAGUUUCUUUCUUUUUCAGAAACCUCCAAAAUAAGGGUGGGGUGGAGUAAAACCAAAAGGAGAGCAUCACUAACCGCUUCAAUCAAGUACUCAAGUGGUUGCUCUGUAACAUUUGACUUGCCAGAAACAGUUGUCAAAGCACCGCCAUGAGCACCAUCAGGACUGGUAAAGUCUGCAAGCAAAGGUGAUGCAGAUAUCCCAGGAGUGCCAAUUGCAAGGGAUGGUGCCGGUGCUUGUGCAACAGAUGGUUGGUGUACAAUAUUUCCAGUAUUUAAGAGUGAGGAAAUACCAGAAACUGGUUUGUCAGAAUCUCCUGGCAUAGGAGAUGGAGCUAAAGGAGUUGAAGGAGAUGCGACAACAAAAGGCGAGUUCGCAGAUUGCAGAGGUGUUGCAGUUUUGGUUACAGAAGACGGUAGAUUUUGCUGGUCAAUCUGAAGAGAUGAAUGUUGUAAUUGAGGGGAAGCAUGCUGAGGUAGUUGAGGUGAAGAAAUAGGAUAUGAAGGUGCUGUUUUCAUGUGUUGACGUGGGAAAGCUGUGCGUUGACCUGUUGGGAGAUGUUGUUGGUAGACUGCUGGCUUAUUUUCAAUCCCCUGUCUCAUCUCAUUUACAUCAUUCAUCUGUUGCAGCUGUGGAAUUUGGUGUGUCUGCAUCUGUGCAGGCAACUGCUGCUUGGCUUGCUGGUGUAAUUGCUGCUGCUGUAGCAUCUGUUGAUUCUGCAUUAAAUUCUGGUGUUGCUGUAAUCGUUUAAGCUGUUGUGUUUGUAGCAUCUGUUGUUCAUGCUGCUGCUGCUGCUGUUUUAGAUGCUGGUGUUGAAUCAUAUUGGAAUUCGACUGAAGGGGAAUAUUUGGCUGCAGCAUACUCACCCCACUUUGUGUUGACAUUGUGUUAACAUUGGUUGGUUGGGAAAUGCUCACGAGAUUCUGUUGUACAGAUCCUACAGGUGUCUGCUGCAAUGAGCUCAGUGCAUUUCCUUGUCCACAAUCUAAAUUGGAGCCUGGUUGUAUUGGAUUCAUCAUGUUUGAUUGUGACGUCGAAUCCCCAGAUAAAGUUGAAAGAGAAUUAUGCAGCAAGCUUGACAUAUUGCUCUGCUGCAUCUUUGGUACAGAACCUUGCAUAUUCAUUGAUUGCAACUGGGGAUUCAGUUUAUUUUCAUGGGACUGCAAUUGAGGAACUUGAGAUUGGGGUUGCUGCAUAGGUUGAAUAUGAGGUUGGGGAAGUUGUCCUUGCUGUAGAUUAGGAAUAGGCUUCCUGUAUCUGCUUGGGUUUAGAAAACCUACAAUCUGCUUCUCAUAGAAACCCACUUUCUCCUUGAAAUUAGGUGUGAUGUUGUUUUUAGAGACCUGUAAGAAUUGUAUCAAGCGCUCCAACAUGACCUUGAAUACCUUCAGCUUUUCAAGCUGUUCUGACUUCGGUUGUUGCGGAAGAGGGUCAUGCUGGAAAGCAAAGUUAACAUACACGAGAAUUAAAAAUUGCAUUGACCCUUUGUAGCAAAACUAGUAAAACAUAAGUGAAAAAAAUGUUUCUAUUCCAAUUCUUCUGUGUCAAUGCAUGGUUGUGGGGUGGUUGGGGGUGGGGGGGGGAAUUAGUGCAGAUGAUACAGUGACAAGCAAUGCUGAUGGGGAAAACAAAUUAAUCAAAAGCUCAACUGUGGGGGUUUAUGAAUCAUGUGUGAGCAAAUAAAUCAGAAAAAAUUACAAAGACAAUUUACCUGCUGUAACUUGGUAGCAAUUCUCUGGUACAUUUCAUUUAUUUCAGGCAAAUACGUUUCCUUCAUAACUUUGAUCUAGGAAGUACAUAUAACCAGCAAAACAUUAUCAAUCAUAUGCUUGAUUUCUUCAGGUGCCAGAGUCAGAAAGCAACAUAAGCAAACUUGAGAGAAUUGAUAAAUAAAUAAAUAAAUAAAAUGGCAGAGGACAGCAUAUAUUGUUUGAGAUAAAAAUAGCAGAGUGGAAUCAAUGCUGAAAACUCAAUAGAGAAUAUAGUUAUUGAUUGCAUGCAAAGAUGCAAAGGAUUGUGUAGUUACCCCUUCAGACAAGAUUCAGGGGUAGGUCAAGUUCAGUUACUUUGUCUCACGGCAACCUAUUGUUCUCACUCAAGUCAAUGGAUGUCACGACUUUGGUAAACACUUCUUAGCUUUAUAACUUUAGAUUUAUAACCCUUAUAUCCUAAUUACAACCACUCCUAUUCCCGUUUUAGUACCCUCCCAGGCACAAAAAAAUUGACCUCAUCAAAUAUGCAGUUAUGAGUUGCAACUACAGCCAUUAAAUGAUUCAGAAUUUCAACCUCGUUUUCUAUAAAAUUCAACAAUACUGGACAUGGUCAUGAUUCAAUGGAUUAGGUCCACUUAUUUUCCUUUCUUCCAUUGUCACAUGUUUCAGAACAAAUUUGAUUGUAAUCUUGAAAAUAACUGUUCACUUAACCAAAUAAACGAUGACUAUUCAGAAACAGUUCACUCUUGUUUUCAAGUCUGUCUAUUAUAGUAAGAAGUAUUGUCAAUUGGACUUAUUGGAAAUAAUAAAAUAAUAAUUCACCACACAAUAAAUGUAUGGAAAUACAGGGAAAAAAUUGAAAGGGAGAGAUUUGCAAUAGAAAAAAUUGUCGUGUCAGUACCAAGAAAAUAACCCUCUUGACCUAGAAAUCUGAAUAUUUACCUUUAAUCAUCUUAUCAGUAAUUUAUCGUUUCUUAGUUGCUGCAAUCAUGGAACUUACAAUGCUUCCUAACUAAUCACAACCAUAGCUGAAUAAAACUCCCUUGUACCAAAUUCCAGGAGACCUUUUCCAUUGAAAUCUUGCAAGACAAUGACAUACAUGAACAGUAAGCUAAAGAAAUUACCUUUUGAUAGAUCUCCUCUUGCCAAUCAGCACCAUUUGCAUGUCCAGUCUCUGCUGUAGAAUCUAGGGAUGCUACAAAAAUUUUGAUACAGCCAACAAAAGAUUAGAAUGCAUGUAUGUUUUGAAUGUUUUCUGCACACAAGGGUAUUUCUGUAAUUUUCACACUUGCUGAAAAUUAUGGAAUAUUGUAGGUCUUGGUUUUAUUUCUAUUUAGUAUUUUAUUGUUCCUAAAGAAUAAGGAGCUUUAAUAGGUUUUCCCUAUCCUAGAUAGAACCAUUAGUAUUUUCUUACAUAGGAAUACAAGUCCUUUUUGGACUUGGAGUACUAGGAACUCCAUCUCAACGUUAUGUAAUCAUUCAAACAGACAGAGAGACCCCCUCCAACAAGUGAUCAUUAUAUAUUAAAAAAAAAGGCUCAAACAAUUUAUCAUGGAAGAAAAGCACAAAAGUGACGCUUUACCUCCUAACCAGGAAAAUCUUUAAAAUAAACCAUCUCAAUCAUAAAAAUAGAUAGCCAUGCAUCACAGUCCUUGUUCCUUAACAAGUUAAGGAUGAAACACUUCACAUGCCUUACAGAAUUAGCAUCGAGGAGGUGAUCAUGAGAUUUUCCAGCAAGGUGAUGAUUUAUCAGCACACCAAACCUUAAGUGCCUCAGAGUUAGUCCACUUGCUAAUUUCUUUCUUCCCAUAAAAAUCAAUUGGCUGAUGAUUAGUUACCCUAGUGUCAAAUGCAUUGUCCAGUUAUGCAUAUAUUUUUAAAAUUCAUGUCCGUUAAAUUCAAAAUGAGAGGUGAACAAUUGGUGCGAUGAGCUGGAGGGUGUGAUGUGGCAACAAACGAGUGUGAUUGCAAGGUUUCAAUAGCAGUGGCAUCAGUAGCACAUAAAGCUACCAAAAGAGCAUUGCUGACUUGAACCAUUAUGAGAGGUGAAGAGUUGUUGCAAUGCACUGUAUGGCAUUAUGUCGUAACAAAUAUAUGUGUGAUUGCAAUGGCUCCAAUAGCAGUGGCAUUUCUGAUGCCAUAAGUGGCAGCCAUAGCUCAUAAAGCUACCAAAAGGAGCAUUACUGACUUGAACCAUUAUUGUAUUUUCAAGAAAUUUAAAUAAAUAUGUUAUAAUCUAACAUGAAAGCACAAAGCUGCAAAAUUAAAGUUGGAGCAAGGUUAGAAAGCUGCAAGGAUGAGAAAAACUUACUUGAGGACGUUUCUGGAAGGGCUCUUUGAGGUUGAUAUAACUGCCUUUGCUGAUCAAUCACAUUUGACUGUUGAAGCAAGGAGCCUGAUGCUUGAAGCCUUAGCUGCAGAUCAUGUUGUAAUGGAUUUGAUUGCUGUUGCUGAGCUCCAAGCAACUGCUGUUGCUGUAAACCAGUGACAUUACUUUGAGAGCCCAACUGUUGCUGAUGCAUGCUUGAGAGGUUAUUCUGUUGAGCCAUUAACUGCUGCUGCUGCUGCAGAUUUUGAAGGUUAUUCUGCUGCCCUAGCAAUCUCUGCUGCUGCUGCUGCUGCUGCAAGUCCCCAACAAUGUUUUGCUGUCCAAUUAACUGAUUUUGCGACAUGUUAGUCGUAAUUGAUUGUUGCCCCAUUAGCUGCUGUUGUGGAGGCAAUAGUGGCUGCUGCAUCAUUGGUGUUUGCUGCUGAUGAAUACCAGCAGACUGUUGAGGUUGUUGCUGCUGCUGCCUAAGGACUGAUUGUGGAUGUUGCUGGUGCAUUGGUUGUGUUGACUGUUGAACAGAAGAUGGUUGGUUCUGUUGAAGGCCAGAGACAGUUUGCAUCAUUGAAGGCUGCAUAACAGUUGAUGUUGGCAAACCAGAUUGCUGAGAAGAUUGCAACUGAUUUGGCUGUAACAAGUUUUGCUGCUGCUGCUGGUGGAUGUGAGAUUGCACAAGUGAGUGUGGAUGAUUUCCCUGUUGAAGCUUCUGCUUUAAAAGCUGUUGUUGUAUCUGCUGCUGAUAAAGAUACUGCUGAGGAUUUUGGGACUGCUGCUGUUGCUGUGGAGGAACAACCUUUUGCCUGCCUGGCAUUUGUCUCUGAGAAUUGUGGAGGAACAACAUAUUGGAGGGAAUCCCUUGUCCCAUUGAAUUCCCCACUGGGUUCUGUGAAACACCAGAGAUACUCUGCAUGUUAGCAUUCUGUCCAACAGUGUUUGAGAUAGUCUGGGUUAAACCGGAAACAGAAGGCAUUGCUGAUUGUAAACCAGCAGAACUUUGAACUCCAUUAGAUGAUAUACUAUUCUGCAUGUUCUGUGAUAACUGCUGACAUGCUUGAGACUGAUUAGUGGGCAAUGAGAUAGGGAGCGACUGCCCUUGGUUGUGAGCUUGAGGCGGCAUACUAUGAGAUGCUGUUCAAGAUAGAAGGCAAAAAGGAAAACCAUGUCAAAGGAAAAAAAGAAGGCAUUGAGCAAGAAAAACAAAUGAAACAAUGACAGUUCACACGUAAAGUUAUGAGGGAAAUAAUUAAGAUGGUUUUACCUCAAAGCAUAAAGUACAAAAAUAAUCUGUAAUUUUUUUGAACAUUCAUCAAUUACUCAACUUUUUUAUUAAAGCAUGGUAUAUACAUAGCAAUAUGAGCAAUCAAAUGUAAAAGUGUUUGAUAACAAUGCGAAAUAUAAAAAAAGGUAAGGAUGUUUUAGAAAUUCAAUGCUUGGCUGCAUUAUUACCUCCUGGAUCCAGGGGUUUGUUACCAUUGCCAGUGGGUAUGGUAUUUUGAGACUUGGUCUCCAUUGUAAGCAUCUUCAGAGAUAUUUUACGCAGAUAAUCAGACUGAAAUCAGAUAUCAAUAACAAAAUAUUAGAUCUCUGCGCAAUCCAUGUUACAAGAGAAGGGGGAAAAGGGAUUUAUGCUCUUUCUAAUAUGCUAGGCUCUUUGUAUUUGCAUCUUCUGUGAGGAUAUACUUCUGUGUCCUCUCUUUUUAUUUAAUUAUUUAUGUAUUGAUUCGUUAUUUGCAUUUUGCACACUUCCUUUUGUUGGUGGGAGAAACCACUGGUGGUGGCUUUGAAACACUCAGAGGGGAUAAAACACACUGGUUUUAUUACAAAAUCCGAAGCUUACAAUUAACACAAAACAAAAGCUUAAUACACGCCCUCUCUCUCUCUCUUUCUCUUUCAAGUGUUUCUCACAAUUCUCUCCACACAAAUAAACACAAGCUGGGCACUCUAUUUAUAGACAAAAAACAGAAUACGAAAAUCUAUUGUUCCAGGUGUGAAGGCGGCUGUUGACCGGUGGUGUGAAGGCGGCUGUUGACCGGUGGUGUGAAGGCGGCUGGCGGCUGGCGGCUGCGGCUGGUGGUUGGCGGCUGCGGCUGGUGGGUGGUUGCCUUCCUUGACUAUCUAGGUGCUUCUAGAUUGAGUUUAUUAUUCUACAAAUCUCCCCCUUAAACUCAAUCGAGGGAUGUCAUGCCAAGCAUGAACACUUCUCCUUUCAAUGCCUUCUUUCUGCUUGUAAACCCUUUUGACACCUAUUGCUUUCUUCUUUUCUGGUGGGUCCUUAUCUGCAUGGAAACAAAACAGAGUUGUAUCUUCCAUGACCUGAGUGGUAUCGUACAACUCUUCAAGAUUCCUCAUCCUUCUUGGUCCUUCUAAUGAGGAUGCUGAUGGUGGUGUUGAUGAUGAUGCUCCUGGUGUGUUCCUCCUGUUGAAUACAGGGAAUCUGUGUACCGGACUUUGUGGUUCAGCUGCUGGUAUAAACACCGGACUUUGUGGUUCAGCUGCUGGUAUAAACACCGGACUUUGUGGUUCAGCUGCUGGCACAAUUGGUUCUUCUGCAGGUACAAUCGGUUCUUCGACAAGUACUGUUGGUACUUCUUCACCUUCAAGGAUCAAAUCAGUGUUGAUCCAUCUGACUGCUUCUUGAUCACCAUUCCAUUCCCAAGAUUUAUCUUCUUCAAAGAUAACAUCUCUACUCGUAAUCACCUUCUUCGUGAUGGGAUUAUACAGCCUGUAUCCCAUCCUUCUUUCACCAUAUCCGACAAAGAUGCAUUUCUCGCUCUUAUCAUCGAGCUUUCUCCUUCUUGCAUCUGGGAUCUUUGCAUAUGCCACACAACCAAAGACUCGUAGAUGAGUAACACUUGGUUUGUGACCACUCCAUGCUUCUUCUGGAGUGACUCCUUGCAAACUUCUGGUUGGGCAGCGAUUCAACAGAUACACUGCACAUGAUACAGCUUCAGCCCAGUAUUGCUUGGGCAGCUUCUUUGCUUUGAGCAAACUUCUAGCCAUGUCAAGAAUCGUGCGAUUCUUCCUUUCUGCUACACCGUUCAGCUGUGGUGUAUAAGCUGGCGUCGUCUGAUGUCUGAUGCCUUGUUGUGUACAAUAGGCUUCAAAGUCAUUGCUGUAUAUUCUCCACCUUGAUCAGAUCUCACUGUUCUGAUCGUGUAACCAGUUUGCUUCUCCACAAUUGCUUUAAAAUCUUUAAAACAAUUGAAUACUUCUGACUUCCUCUUCAGAAAGUAUAUCCACGUCUUUCUACUAAAAUCAUCAGUAAAAGUGAGGAAGUACCUAUUUUGUCCAGUCGACAUAGGCGUAAUUGGGCCACACACAUCUGUGUGUACUAACUCCAGUGGCCUCUUUGCUCUCCAGUUGACUUCUUUGGCAAAACUGGAUCUGUGUGUUUGCUGAGGACACAACUCUCACAGACUUCUUGGAUGAUCAAUGUGAGGCAAACCUUUGACCAUCUUCUUGCUUGCUAGCAUCUUCAUACUCGUGAAAUUCAGAUGUCCAAGCCUCAGGUGCCAAAGCCAUUCUUCACUGUUGGUGAUGGCACUCAAACACCUUGUUGCAUCAUACUGGAUGUUCAAAGGAAACAUCCUAUUCUUGGACAUUUUCACGUAGGCCAUUAAUCUCCCAUUGUUGUCUCUAAUUGUCAGAUGACAAUUCUUCGAGUAAAAACUAUAUCCUCUCUCCAAAAGUUGGCCUAAGCUGAUCAGGUUCUGCUUUAUGGCUGGGACAUAAUACACAUCGGCGAUGUAGCUGGAAUCGCCAUUCUUCAACUUGACUGGGAUGUUGCCUUUACCUUUGAAUGGAACCUUUGUGGUAUCUCCAAAAGUAACUAGACCUUGCUUGGUCUCAUCUAGAUCACCAAAUAACUCUCGGUAACCGCACAUGUGAUUGCUGGCUCCAGUAUCUAGAUACCAUAUAUUUUCUUGUUUCUCGCCAUGUCCUUGUUGGACAAGAAAUGCAGAUGCUUCUCCAUCAUGCUUCUCUACAUAGUUGGCUUGCUCACGUAUCUCCAACGGAGCUUUCCAUCGGCAUUCAGUGCUAUAGUGCCCAAAUUGAUUGCAGCUAUAACAUUUGAUAUUUCUCUUGUCACGGUUAUUGUAACCGCCUCCUCUUCCUCUAGGAGUGAAUGCUUGUUGUCCUCGGCCUCCUCUGGUGGUGUUUCUGCCACCUCUUCCUCUAAAGCUUGUAUUCCAAGAACCUCUUCCUUGGAAUCUCUGGAAUCCUCCUCUGGAUUGUUGACUUCCUCCUUGAGUGGUGUAGCCACUUGAUGAAGUCUCCCCUUGCUCAUAUCUGUCCUUGAGGGACAGCUUUGCUUGUAAGGCAUGCUCAAUGGCCUUAUCUUCAUUUCGCAUUACAAUCUUCUGCUCAUGAGCUUGCAAAGAACUCAUAAGCUCAUCCACUGUCAACUUGUCCACUUCCUUGGACUCUUCAAUUGCGACAACAACAUGAUCAAAUUUUGGAUCUAUGGAUCUCAAAAUUUUCUCAAUAAUUCGAGUAUCAUGAGGCUUCUCCAUUUCUUCUCAUCUGGUUGACUAUCACCAUAAUCCUUGUAUGAUAAUCAGAAAUAGAUUCUGAGGACUUCAUUCGUAAUAAUUCGAAUUCUCCUCUCAAAGAUUGAAGACGAAUCUUCUUGAUUCUGUCAGCACCUUUGUAUUUCUGUUGGAGAGCCUCCCAUAUAUCAUGUGACGUUUCAGCGGAAGCUAUUAUCUCGAAUGUAUCUUCAUCAAGACCUUGAUAGAUGAUGGUCUUUGCUUUGUUGUCCUUCUUUCUGUUGACUUUAGGGCUUGCUUCUGUGCCUCUUGUAAAGCAUCUUCUCUUUCUUUGGACUCUGGUUCAUCAUAACCAGUUUGUACAAUAUCAAAACACUCUUGUGACCCAAGAAAUGCCUUCAAUCUGAUGCACCAACUAUCAUAGUUGUCUUUGGUCAGCUUCGGGAUGAGUGUAUGUGUACCUUCUGUAGUCAUUUUGCUCUUUUAAUGACUAUAUCGCCUUCUGGGAGCCGAAUUUGACCAAACGGACACUGUAGAUCGAUCCGGAAUGGUCCAAAUAGUCGGGAACCGGUCUGACUUUGUUGAAAUCGGGUCAGAAAAUGGGUGAACCGGUCAAAAAACCAAUUCUGUACGGCGGGCGGUUCGCUGGGUUGAACCGGGAAUAUUCUGUGGAAUAUUCUGGGGAAUAUUCGGGAAUAUUCUGGGAAUAUUCUGGGAAUAUUCUGGCUCGGCUUGCUGGAACGCGGCUCGGCUCGGCUCGGUCGGUCGGGUACGGCUCGGCUUGUGGCUCGGCUGGACUCGCUUGUGGCUCGGCUAGGCUCGGCUUACGGCGCGGCGCGGCUCAAUAUGGCGCGCGUGUGGCUCAGUCGUCUUCAACCUCGGGGCGCGUGGGAUGCGCGUGGGCGAUCUGGCUGAAUAUUCAGGCGGCGCGUGUGGGCUACCCCGGACUCCGAUGGGCUGAUUUUUGCGGCAGUGAGUUCGUCUUGAUGAGCUCUACACUGUGGAAUGAUCAAAACUUGUUUUUGACAACUUUGAAAAUUCGGAUAUACCCCAAAACUCUUCUGUUUUCCGACGAACGGGGCUCUGAUACCAAUUGUUGGUGGGAGAACCACUGGUGGUGGCUUUGAAACACUCAGAGGGGAUAAAACACACUGGUUUUAUUACAAAAUCCGAAGCUUACAAUUAACACAAAACAAAAGCUUAAACACGCCCUCUCUCUCUCUCUUUCUCUUUCAAGUGUUUCUCUCAUUCUCUCCACACAAUAACAAAGCUGGGCACUCUAUUUAUAGACAAAAACAGAAUACGAAAAUUCAACUUUCAGUGUGAAGGCGGCUGGCGGCGGUGUGAGGCGGCUGGCGGCUGGCGGCUGGCGGCUGCGGCUGGUGGCUGGCGGUUGCGGCUGGUGGGUGGUUGCCUUCCUUGACUAUCUAGGUGCUUCUAGAUUGAGUUUAUUAUUCUACACCUUUGUACUUGAAAAGGACCUUGGUCACUCUAAAUAAAACACAAACUUAUGCAUGUGUAUAUUCAUGUCUAGAGAAUUAACGAAAAGAUGAGAACUUCUACAAAAUGACCAGUGAGGAAGUGUGGACACACUACACACACGUGUACAUGCAUAAAUCCACAAACUUAUGCAUGCGUAUAUUCAUGUCUAGAGAAUAUCGAAAUUAUUGAACCUAGCAUUAGCCGAAUACCUGAUUGGUAGCAGCAGUAAUAAAUCUUUUCCUCAAACCGUACGGCAAUUUUCUUGAGCUCUUGUAAUCCCUCUUGACCAGAAAACGGAAGAAUGCCUCUUUAAUGUCUCCAUUCUACACAUGUAAACAUUUACAUUUAGUUUUUAAUGACAAGGCAGGUAUAGAGAGUUAGCAGCAGUGAGAAAGAACCGUGAACUCAUACACCACACCAAUAUCAGAAAAUGUAUACAACGGAAUCAUUAGCAAAAAGUAAAACAAAUAUGAUAUAGCCGAGUGUCGAUCAAGUAAUAUAUGGCAUCAACUCCAGACAUCUAUUUUUACUUCCUUUCCCCGUCUAAUUCCAGAGGUACGGGUAUAGUAGUUCAGUUGGCCACCCUUCUGUCUAAAAUUCUAGUUUACGAGCUUCAUGGUUAAUUUUCUUGAACUGGAAGAACCUUCAUUUAUGGCUAUGGCUAUGCUCCACGGUAUUAAGUGCAUUAGUUGCAAACCAGGGGAACUCUAUGAAAACAUUACAAUAGCAUUUAGUCUGAGUAAGAAAACUUUUAUACAUGCACUGUAAUUGACAAAGAAAAGAAGAGAAAUCUUUUAAUUUAUGAAAUGCAAUGAGUUAACCUUAUCUCACGCUGCAACAUAUACUCUACAGUGCUCAUUGGCUACUGCAAGUGCCAACAGUAGCUGUCUAUAUGAUUUUGGAUGUAGAGAUAUCACCAAAACAUUCAACUUUAUACUGAGAAACUAGGAAACCAUACACUAUUGUGGCUAAUUGAUUUUUGUCUGCUGCUUUUGUACUUUAAGAUCACUAUCAUUUCAAUCCUGUAGAAGUAAAGCAAAUAGAAGGCUCAAAUCCAACACUAUUCAUUUAAGUUCAGUUGCAACUCAAGGUUGAAAUUGAAACACCAAUGCUCAUAGCAAUAGAUUAACCUUGAAAUUUAAAGCAGAACAAGAUUCAUCAAAAGAAGAUGUUACACAACAAGUUCCAACAAAAAUUACUUCCCAUCACUUUUUAUUCCCUCAAGUUCACUUCUUGUGAGAAACAAGUGAAAAAUGAAAAAGACAAAAACAGAGGUGUAUGAUACUUGAGGUUGCCUCAUGGCAGUCCUGCUGAUUUUAAUUAACCUUUUGCCCUUCUCUUUUUCUUUCAUUUAAAUACAAGAUUGUUGGAAGAUUGCUUCAUGAGCUGGCAAAGAACCAGUCAAAGAAGAAGUAGUCAAAGAUUUAUUUAUGCUCUGUAUUUCCUGUUUUCAUGCAAAUAAUUAAUUGCAUCCUAGUCUCUAGGAAUUAGGUGAUCUGUUAAUAUGUUAACAGAUUGUAGCAGGAUUUUUAUGCUUUAUUGUAGCAUUUCUGUUUCGUUUUACAGUAUAAAUAUAUGUAAAGAUUGCAACAUAAAGUGUAAUCACAUUCUUCAAUUCUCAGCUAAUAAAACAGUAAAAACUUCUACUGUUCAGAUCAAGAUUUCUGGCAAUUCUCAACAGUAACAAACUGUUACUGUAAACAUCAAACUUGUCCAUUCUUUCUAAGUUUCAUUUUUCUCUUCUAAACACUGUCAAUUGGUAUCAGAGCUGAUUUCUUAAAGGACCUGUGAUGGAUAAUGAAGCAAGUUUUUCUCACAUUUCUUCUCAAAUCUUUAAUGGAGAAAAUUAUCAACUUUGGGCAGUAAGGAUGGAAACCUACUUGGAAGCACUUGAUCUUUGGGAGGCUAUCGAAGAGGAUUAUGAAGUUCCACCACUGCCAACUAAUCCUACCUUGACUCAGAUUAAGAGUCACAAGGAGAGAAAAACCAAAAAAUCCAAAGCAAAGGCAUGUCUAUUUGCUGCUGUCUCAACAACAGUUUUCACAAGGAUCAUGUCCCUAAAAUCUGCCAAAGAUGUAUGGGAUUAUCUGAAGGAGGAAUAUGCAGGAGAUGAAAGGAUACGUGGAAUGCAAAGCCUCAACCUCAUAAGAGAGUUUGAGCUGCAGAGGAUGAAGGAGUCUGAGACCAUCAAAGAGUACUCAGAAAAAUUGCUUGGAAUUGUCAACAAGGUGAGAUUGCUGGGCACAGACUUUUCUGAUUGCAGAAUUGUGGAGAAAAUCCUUGUUACGGUGCCUGAAAGAUAUGAGGCAUCUAUAACUACCUUGGAGAACACCAAGGAUCUGUCCAAGAUCAAUUUGGCAGAAUUGAUAAAUGCUUUGCAGGCUCAAGAACAAAGGAGACUGAUGAGGCUGGAUCAUGUUACAGAAGGAGCAUUACAAGCAAAGUAUCCUGAUUCUAAGAGUCAUUUCAGGAAAAAUCAGGUUUCAAGCAGUAGUAACACUACUGCUCGUAAAUUCCAGAACAAAGGAAAAUUUCUCAAAAGAAAUUUUCCACCCUGUCAACACUGCAACAAGACAGGACAUGCACCUUUCAAGUGCUGGAAAAGGCCUGAUGCAAAAUGCAGCAAAUGUAAUCAAAUGGGACAUGAGGCAAUCAUCUGCAGGACAACAAUUCAGAGACAAGAUGUUGAUGCACAAGUGGCCAGUCAAGAUGAUGAAGAUCAAAUGUUCGUAGCUUCAUGUUUUUCAGUCCAAACCACCUCAGAUCACUGGCUGAUAGACAGUGGGUGUACGAAUCACAUGACCCCUGACAGAAGCCUCUUUCGAACCUUGCAAUCUACUGAAGUUGCAAAGGUCAGAAUUGGAAAUGGUGCUUGCAUAGCUGCAAAAGGAAAGGGGACAAUUGCCAUCACCACAAAGUCAGGUACAAAAACCAUUUCUGAAGUUUUAUAUGUACCUGAAAUAGAUCAAAAUCUAUUAAGUGUGGGGCAAUUGAUUGAGAAAGGAUGAAGGUUGUCUUCGAAAAUUAUUUUUGCUAUGUCUUUGAUGCUGCUGGACAAUUACUUUUGCAAGCUAAGAUGAAAGGAAAGAGUUUUUCAUUCCUACCAUUUGAGGAGGAGUAUUCAGCUUUUCAAACAAAGCUGACUGAUAUGGAAGUGUGGCAUAAAAGACUAGGCCACUGCCAUCAACAGAGGAUGAUAAGCAUGAAGAAACAUGACUCUGUAAGAGGAGUGCCUCAAUUCACUGACUUUCCAUCAAAUUGCAGUGCAUGUCAAUUUGGUAAACAAAGCAGGAAGCCAUUCCAGAAAUCAACUUGGAGAUCACACAGAAACUCCAAUUGAUUCACACUGAUGUUGCUGGUCCACUCAGCACACCUUCAAUCAAAGGUAGCCGAUACUAUAUUCUUUUUAUUGAUGACUUUUCUAGGAUGUGCUGGAUUUUCUUCAUGAAAUACAAAUCAGAAGUUGCUGGGAUUUUUUUCAAAUUCAAGAAGAAUGUGGAAAACAUAAGCAAUUACAGAAUUCAGGCCAUUAGGUCUGAUAAUGGCAAAGAGUAUACCUCAUCAGAGUUCAAUCUCUAUUGUGAGGAAGCUGGCAUCGAUCAUCAACUCACUGCCCCUUACACACCAGAGCAGAACGGUGUUAGUGAAAGAAGAAAUCGAUACAUCAUGGAGAUGGUGAGAUGCAUGUUGCAUGACAAGAACUUACCAAAGGAUUUUUGGGCAGAAGCAGCCAGCACUGCAGUUUUUCUUCAGAACAGACUGCCCACAAAAUUGCUGACGAGAAGACACCUUUUGAAGCUUGGUAUAAUUACAAACCUUCAUUAAGAUUUCUUAAAGUCUUUGGCAGUCUGUGUUUUGUUCACAUUCCACAUAUCAAAAGGGACAAGCUGGACAAGAAGGCUGCACCAGGAAUCUUUGUUGGCUAUAGUGGUGCAUCUAAAGCUUACAAGGUUUACCAUCCUCAAACACAAAAAAUGGUUGUUACCAGGGAUGUCCACUUUCAAGAAGAAGAUCAGUGGGACUGGGGACAAUCACAAAUGAAUAAUCAGCCUCAUGAAGAAGAGCAAUGGGACUGGGGACACUCACAAACAAACCAGCAACCUGCAGAUCCAUUGCUAGAUGAAACACUUGAUGAUCCACCAACAAGAGGCACUCGAUCACUUGAGGAUGUCUAUCAAAGGAGCAAUGUAGCCCUCUGUGAACCAGAAGGCUAUGAAGAAGCUAAACAAAGUCCAGAAUGGCAGAAAGCAAUGCAAGAGGAGAUAUCAAUGAUUGAGAAGAAUUGCACAUGGGAACUUGUUGACAGACCACCUGGAAAAAACAUCAUUGGCGUGAAGUGGAUAUUCAGGACUAAACUGAAUGCUGACAGCACCAUUAACAAGCAUAAAGCUAGGCUGGUGGUCAAGGGGUAUGCACAAAUCUAUGGUGUUGAUUAUUCAGAUACUUUUGCACCUGUAGCAAGAAUGGACACCAUUAGACUUUUACUUGCUGUUGCUGCUCAAAAGAACUGGAAAGUAUUCCAGUUAGAUGUCAAAUCUGCCUUCCUCAAUGGCAUAUUGCAAGAAGAAAUUUACGUUGAGCAGCCUGCUGGUUUUGAAAUUCAAGGGAAGGAAGACAAAGUGUAUUUACUGAAAAAAGCUCUCUAUGGGUUAAAGCAAGCACCUAGGGCAUGGUAUGGUCGGAUUGAUGAUUAUUUGACAGGUGUUGGCUUUCAAAAGAGCUUGUCUGAAGCAACUCUUUAUGUGAAGAGCAUCAACAAUGAUGUGAUUAUAAUUUCACUCUAUGUUGAUGAUCUCUUGGUGAUAGGGAGCAACACGGAACAGGUUGAACAUUUCAAGCUGAAUAUGAUGGAAGUUUUUGAGAUGACUGAUCUCGGUCUAAUGAGCUUCUUCCUGGGAAUGGAAAUCUUACAGGGCAAGGAUGAAAUCUUCAUUUGUCAAAAGAAGUAUUCAAUGGAAAUUUUGAAGAAAUUCCAUAUGGAAAGUUGCAAGCCAACAACUACCCCAAUGAACCAAAAGGACAAAUUCAGCAAAGAAGAUGGCACUGCCAAGGUGGAUGAAGAAAAAUUCAGAAGCUUGAUUGGGUGUUUGCUGUAUUUAACAGCAACUAGACCCGACAUACUUCAUGCAACAAGUUUACUAUCUCGAUUUAUGCAUUGUCCGAGUGAAAUUCACAUGAGAGCUGCCAAAAGAAUCCUAAGGUACAUCAAAGGGACCUGCAGCUAUGGAGUCAAAUUUCAGAAGUGUCAGGAAUUAAAACUACAUGGAUUUUCUGACAGUGAUUGGGGAGGAUCCAUUGAUGACAUGAAGAGCACCUCUGGUUUUUGUUUCAACCUAGGGUCAGCUAUAUUUUCAUGGUCAUCCAAGAAGCAAGACACGGUGGCUCAAUCUACAGCAGAGGCAGAAUUCAUUGCUGCCACAGCAGCUGUAAACCAAGCUCUUUGGCUUCAGAAAUUGCUACGUGAUUUACAUAUGGAAGGAGAGGAAGCAACUGAAAUUUCAGUUGACAAUCAAGCAGCUAUAGCAAUAUCACAUAAUCCUGUGUUUCAUGGGAAAACAAAGCACUUUAACAUCAAGCUUUAUUUUUUACGUGAGGUGCAGAAAAAUGGUGAUGUCAGGUUGAUAUAUUGCAAGUCUGAAGAACAAUUAGCGGAUUUGUUUACUAAACCAUUUCCAGUAAACAGGUUUGAAUUUUUAAGACAAAAGAUUGGAGUUUACAGCUCCUAAAGCAAGGAGGAGUGUUGGAAGAUUGCUUCAUGAGCUGGCAAAGAACCAGUCAAAGAAGAAGUAGUCAAAGAUUUAUUUAUGCUCUGUAUUUCCUGUUUUCAUGCAAAUAAUUAACUGCAUCCUAGUCUCUAGGAAUUAAGUGAUCUGUUAAUAUGUUAACAGAUUGUAGCAGGAUUUUUAUGCUUAUUGUAGCAUUUCUGUUUUGUUUUACAUUAUAAAUAUAUGUAAAGAUUGCAACAUAAAGUGUAAUCACAUUCUUCAAUUCUCAGCUAAUAAAACAGUAAAAACUUCUACUGUUUGGAUCAAGAUUUCUGGCAAUUCUCAACAGUAACAAACUGUUACUGUAAACAUCAAACCUGUCCAUUCUUUCUAAGUUUCAUUUUUCUCUUCUAAACACUGUCAAAGAUAUACUAUUUUUCAGCACUUGCACAUGUUAGCAAACAGAUACUUACAUUUUGUUGACUAUUCUUUGCCGUUUGUCAGGCUGCAAUUGAGUUCUCCAACCACCUGUGUCCAUCACAGGUUCUCCGCCUGGGGCAGUGGGCCUCCAAUUAUUGGCAUCCAUGGGGUUUUGGCCAACCAAAAAAAUCACUUCUAUCACCACAAAAAAAAUUAAUUAUAUUGCACGUUAGAAUAGACCCUAAAAAGAAAGUCAGGAACAGCAGAAGAGUAAGAGCACAUCAAAGUCCUGAAAAUUGGAAUAUCAGUUUUUUCAGACUUGAAUAGAUUUAAAGAGAACUUCCAUCUAAUAGCAUGUACUUUAUUAAAGAAUUCUACCAAAUAUGGAUGCAUAAAAUCUGAACAGCCAUAAUAAAUAUACACGACCAUUCAAGGCAAGGUGCUAGGAUCUUGUGUAUUCAGGUAUUCAGUUAUUAUAAGCAAGAUUUGGGCCUGAAUCUUCAUGGUGCUUCUAAAACCAAGGAAGCAAAAAACUAGCCAGCUAGUUCAUAACUUGCCGCACCAACACAUGGUGAGUGUUGGUAAACCAACCCAAGCCAUAGAGAAAAUCAUGGUGCUUCAAUUUUAACUUGAUGUUUUCUAGCAACACUUGUGAUACAUCAUCGAUGCAAUGUUUACAAUGACAAACUUGCAUGUCUAGGAUGUUUUAAGCUAGGAAAAAGAAGAAGAAAACGACGAGCGUUAACAAUGAAUAUUUCAUGUUAUCACCAACUCUAAUGAGCAGACUGAUAAGAAUCAACUUAACAACUCUUGUUGAAAUAAGAUUAAAUUUACAGGCACAUCUUUCUCGGAAAAGACAACACAAUAACCCUGACCAUGCUCGACCUUGAGGUGAGUUAUAAAUUGUUCUUCCUAACUAGAUGCACAGCUACGCCUUAGGGAGGGAGGGAGGGAGGGAGAGAGAGAGCUCGGGCGGGAAGAGGUGAGGAAUGUUGGACCAAAGUGAAAUACAUGACUUUAUUCUUUUCCAGAUUCCUUCUAAAAAUAUUAACGAGUGAACGCUCAACAUUUUACUAACGAAAAGUUAAUGAAGGGACCGAAUUGUAGACAUUUAAAAGUAUAGGGAUUAGUUAGAACAACUAGUUAUCACUGCCUCUUAGAAUUAAUAUACAGCUCAGCAUUUUGUUGAAGGGACGGGCAAAGGUACAUUUAUUUCCGUCAACUUUCUAAUAUUAGAUCUUGCUUCUGUACAUAUUAUUUUAAUAUAUUAAAUAAUAUAAAGCACAAAACAGAUCAUAAUAAAAUACAAGUUGUGAUAUAUUUAUUGCACAUGACAAUCUAUAAAUAAAGUGUUUGGAAUGAGGUAUAAACUGUGUUUUUUUAAUUUUUAAUUUUUUAUUUUAUUUAAAAUAAAAAUUUUUUAUGUUUUUAAAUCAUUUUGAUGCACUGAUAUUAAAAAUAAUUUUUUUAAAAAAAAAAUUUUUUUAAUACAUUUAUGAGUAAAAAGUAAUAAUUGCAAUUACACUGUCAACCACUCACAAAAUAUUUGAUAUACACUUUGGACAUGACAAGGAUUGAUCAUUAUCUUGUCCAAAGUUUUCCUCGCCACAAAAAAUUUGUACAAAAAUUACUUUUAAGAAAUUAAAGUUCUAUGAUCAAAUUAAAGUUCUAUGGUCAAAUUACAAUUUUUAAGAAUUGAUUUAGUCAGAUCAUGGGCUUAAUUGCAUAAUUAUUGAAGUUUGAUGGCUAAUUAGAGACUUGAUUGAAACAAUUCGAAACCAAGGACUAAACCAGAAAAGACGCUAAAAUCAAGGGAUUUAAGUACAAUUCAUCCGGGGGGGCAUGGUUACAAAAUUGUCAAAACAACCAGGGACCGUUUCAGCAACAAAUGCCACAGAUUAUGGGAAAGUUUCACAGCUACCGUUAGCACUGCAAUAAUGGUCCUGAACGUUUUCAUUAUAAAAAACGCAUGCAGUUUUGGCUAUAAAAGGGAAAGGGGGGCGGAGCGUAAGGGAGGAGCAAAGAGGGGAAAGGAAAGGAAAAAAAAAUAACAUGAGGGAGAACGGAGAGGAAAACAGGGAGAACAUGGAGAAUAAAAAAGAAAAAAACACGGGGAACAAGGAGAAUAAAAAAGAAACAAAGAGCAGCACUGCCAGCCAAUGCACGAGCAUCAGCUGCACCAGAGAGAAAAAACAGAGAGGAGGGAACGACUGGAGAGAAAGAUUACAGAGGACGAACAGAAGAAUAGAAACACAGAAACGAGAUCCACAAAAACAAAACACAGAAAUUAAAAAAAAAAAAAAAACACAAGGGGACGAAGGGAAAGACGGAGAGGAGGAGAACACAGGGGCUUCGUCAUUUCAAAAACCAGAGACGAAGAAGAAGGAAAAGAGUGCAGACAAGAAUUUGUACUGAAAAGGAGAAUCAGAAACGAAAACAGCAGCAGAGGGAAAGAAAGAAACGUCGCCUGAUCAGAGCACUGAUCACCCUCAUCUUCGUCUUCAUCUUUAGACACCAGCUCCAGGUACGCUCUUCUUCCUUUUCCCCCGCUUUGCAAAUUCAGCUGUUAGAAAGGCAAAUUAAUUACCCUGUCAAUGCCCAAAGCAUGCGUAACUAAUUCACGCACGCAUUCACAGUGACCAGCCGGAUCACUAGUUUGAGCCAGUGACGGGCUAGGCUGCUGGGUCUAGCCCAGCCCAUACGGGUUAAGUUAGACCCAGCUUAAAAAAUAUAUAAAAUUGUUUUUUGAAAAAGUUAUUUUAAAAAAUUUAUGAUUUUGCCAUAUAUAUAUAUUGCACAAUAUUAGUUUGUGUUUUUAUACUAUAAAGAUACGUAUCCGGUAUAAAAAUAUUUGAUUUUUGUCAAGACAUUAAGAAAUAAAAAUAAAAUAAAUAUUUUAUUUUUAUGGAUACAGCAGUUUCUCAAAAAUAAAAAUAAAAAAUUUGUAUCUUCAUACAACAAAGAAAAAAUUCAAAAAAUAUUUAACAUGUACUUUGGCUUUAAUAACCAGUUUAUUAAAGUAACGAGAACUAGGCCACUAUUUCAAAAAUUUUAAAUAAAUUAUUUUUUUUCUUUUAAUAUCUGGGUGCGACCUUAUACGUAACUCGUAUUCCAGAUAUUAAAUUCUUUUGUUGACAUUAAAACGGUUAAGUUUUACGCGAUAAGAUAAGGAUCUCUUUACCGAAGAGAACUUUUGUUCAACCGUAGACAGAUCAACAACUAGAAAACACAACAAGAUCUUAGAUUUUAUCAUACAAUAAAACAAUGCAGCUUACCUUAGGUAGGGUGUAUUUGGGGUCCUAAUAUCUUCCUUUUACACAACCAGUCCCCGUACCCGAUCUUUGAAACCAAUUAGGGUUCCUAGUGACCAAAACACUUGGUGGCGACUCUCAUUCCAGCUUUCCACACAUAAGAGAUAAGAAUUCCUUGUCUCCACAUAUUUUCUCAUUUGUAGAUAGGAUCGAUAGAACAUCAAAUAAGAUUUUGAGGGUGGAUGUAUUCGUCGCGAUGUCGCACAUGUGCGACAAGGGUUAACCUUUAAAAUCCAUGACUCGGGUCAUCAGACCAUAAUAAACCCAAAUAAAAUAAUUCAAAACAAAUUAUGAAUCUUAAUUUUCAAUAAACCUAUUGUUGAAUUAUGAAAUUGAAAAAAAGAUGAUCUAAAAAAAGCAUAAAAAAUGUCUUUUCAAAACAAAAUUAUGAAUUUGAAUAAAAUUAUAAAAAUAUCAUUGACAAUCUCGCAAAGUCUUUCUAAACUUUGAUUGCCUUGAAUGUAUGUUAGGAGAUUUCUUAUUAAAUUUCAAUCUAAUUUAACAAUCAGAUUUAAAAAAUAUGAUUGAUACAGUAAAAUUAGACUAUUUUUUUUAUAAAAAAAAUAAAAUAUUAUUUAACUAUAACAAAAUGCCUGAAAUAGACCGAAACAUUCCAGCCAGAAUUUAGGUGAAAUUCAUGGAACGAGAUAAGUUUCUAACCGAGAUGAAAUAUCUUCAAAUUUAUUCCAUUUUUUAAAUUGAAAUAAAAUAUACCUAUCAUUCUAGAUGUGACAUAGUGAAAUUAAAAACCAAUACGGCUCUAUUUCGUGGGAAAAAUUGCAUUAUAACAAUGGUAUCACUGACCCAUCUCGUGGUGGAUAAUUUAUUGCAAUGUUCUCUCCAUCAAAAUCCCUUUUGAUUUGAAAAGGAUUAUAUAUAUAUAUAUAUAUGCACACACUCAAUGAUUACUUAAUAUCUUUAUAUUAGUUUUCAAGAAAUAUACCACAAGAUUUUAUAAAAUUCAAAAUACUAAUUUAACAAACAUAAUUUCAAUUUAAAUUUAAACAUAAACUAACUUGAAAUUAUGCACUUUAAAUUUUAAAUAUAAGUAAAAAAAUAAGAGCUGAAUCGGUAUGACUCGAUCAAUUCAAUAAGCUCAAAGAUAGUCUAGAUGACUAAUAAAAAUAUAGUUUUACUUAAAAAAGUUCAAGAUGACAUAUUUUUUAAAAAACAAUAUUGAGAUAAUAACAUAUUGGAUCGAUUUUGGUCAAUAUGUGUUAACAUUUAAAAUCCAUGACUCGGGUCAUGAGACUAUAAUAACCCAAAAUAAAAUAAAUCAAAACAAAUUAUGAAUCUUAAUUUUCAAUAAAUCUAUUGUUGAAUUAUGAAAUUGAAAAAAAAAAUUAUCUAAAAAAAAACAUAAAAAAUGUCUUUUCGAAACAAAAUUAUGAAUUUGAAUAAAAUUAUAAAAAUAUCAUUGACAAUCUUGCAAAGUAUUUCUAAACUUUGAUUGCCUUAAAUAUAUGUUAGGAGAUUUCUUGUAAAAUUUCAAUCUAAUUUAACAAUCAGAUUAAACAAAUAUGAUUGAUACAAUAAAAUUAGACUAUUUUGUUUUAUAAAAAAAUAAAAUAUUAUUUAACUAUAACAAAAUGCCUAGAAUAGACCGAAACAUUCCAGCCAGAAUUUAGGUGAAAUUCAUGGAACGAGAUAAGUUUCUAACCGAGAUGAAAUAUCUUCAAAUUUAUUCCAUUUUUUUCAAUUGAGAUAAAAUAUACCUAUCAUUCUAGAUGUGACAUAGUGAAAUUAAAAACCAUAGCUUUUAUAGCCCCAAGCGUACGACCUCAUCUCGUGGGAAAAAUUGCAUGAUGAAAAUGGUAUCACUGACCCAUCUCGUGGUGUAUAAUUUGUUGCAAUGUUCUCUCCAUCAAAAUCCCUUUUGUUUUGAAAAGGAUUAUAUAUAUAGAUGCACACACUCAAUAAUUACUUAAUAUCUUUAAAUUAGUUUUCAAGUUUUCAGAUAUAGCUCUUAAAAACAAGAAAUAUACCACAAGAUUUAAAACUAUUUAUAUUUCAUUAAAAUAAAUAAAUAAAUUACAUAUAUGGUUACAAUAUCUUAUGUGUUAAUAAAAUUUAAGGAUUUUUUUUCCAAUUAAAUUUAUUGUAAUUAAAAAGUUUCCAAUCAAUAGCAGCAUUCCCAAUUAAACCAAAGUUUUUCCUCGAGCAAAAAUGCGUGAUGGAAAUGGUCUCAAGGGGACCAAAAUGUAGAUGAAAAUGGUCUCACGGACUCAUAAAUGUAUAAUGGUGAUUGUCUGUCGAACCCAUAUUAAGGAAAAAAAAAUACAUAACUAUUGUUGAAUUGAUAUGAUCCGAUCAAAACAAGUUAUGAAUCUUAAUUUUUAAUAAAUUUUAUUAUUGAAUUAUGAAAUUGAAAAAAAAAUCAAUCUAAAGAAAAAAGAAAAAAUAACCAUACUAAACAAAAUUAUGAAGUUGAAUAAAAUUAUGAAAAUGUCAUCGGCAAUCUUACAAAGUCUUUCUAAAGUCUAAAUUUCCUCAAAUUUUAAGUAGUGAUAUUAAUAUAUGUUAGGAGAUUCCUUAUAAAAUUUUAGUCUAAUCCAACAGUCAAAUUGAAAGAUAAGAUUGAUACCGUAAAACUAAACUGUAUUAUAUAUAUAAAAGCAAAACAAAACAUUAUUUGUUCAUAAUAGAAUGGCUGGAAUAUAACCAAAAUAUUCUAGCCAGAAUUUAGGUGAAAUUCAUGGAAUGAGAUAAGAUUCUAAACGAGAUCAAAUAUCUUAUAAUUUCUUACAUUGUUUAAAUUGAGAUAAAAUACACCUGUCAUUCUAGAUGUGACAUAAUAAAAUUAAAAUACAUAGCUUUUAAAGCUCGUACGACCCCAUCUCGUGGGAAAAAAAUGAAGAUGACAAUGGUCUCACAAACCCAUCUCUUGCUUGGUGGAUAAUUUGUUGCAAUGUCCUCUCCAUCAAAAUCCUUUUUGUUUUUGAAAAGGAUUAUAUAUACACACACACACUCAAUGAUCACUUAAUAUCUUUAUAUUAAUUUUUCAAGUUUUGAGAUAUAAGUUCAUAGCUCUUAAAAGACAAUAAAUAUACCACAAGAUUUAAAACUAUUUUAUAUUUCAUUAAAAUAAAUAAAUAAAUUACUUAUAUGGUUACAAUAUUUUUUUCUUAAGAAAAUAUAUUUAUUUCAUGUGUUAAUAACAUUUAAGGAUAUUUUCCAAUCAAAUAAUCAAAUUUAUUUUAAUUAAAAAGAUUUCAAUCAAUAACAACAUUCCAAUUAAACCAAUUUUUUUCCACGAACCCAACUUGUGGAAAAAAUGCAUUAUGGUUGGAAGAGGAAAAAUGCAUGACGGCAAAGUAGGAUUGCCUAUCCUAGAAAAAAAUGCUUGAUAGCAAGAGAAAAAACGCUUGAUAUAUAGCAAUGGUCUUAUGGACCAUCCCACUAACCUAUAUCGUGCAUCUCACACUGCAAAUUCCUAUCCAUCUUACUUGUUAAUUGUGUUAAAAAAAAAGACUGAUAAGUACUUUAGAAAGAAAAAAAGAGGACUUAUUGUCAUGAUAAUGACAAGAAGUAUUUUAGAAAUGAUAUUAUUUGUUAUUCAUUUUAUCAAUGAUAUUGUUUGAUUUUGCAAUCACCAUAAAAAUUAAGACAUGAUUUUUCACAUGUUAUUUCCAAAAAAAAAUAGCAAGUCUUCUAUAUCCGUCAUCAUCAUGCAAAUUGAGCUGCCUAGCAUUAACCUUUGGUUCAUAAUUUUCAUAAAAAAAAACUGACAUGGGUUCAACUUUAUGAGAAGGAAUACAAGUUUUUAGUUAAUUACUUUUAUGCAAUUUAUUUUGUUUGUUUUUUUACAAUGUGGUUUUAAUCAGCGUUAUUAAAUUUAAUUCAAGUCUAACAUUUUAAUCUGGAACCUAACUCAAUUCAGGUUUAGAAAAAACCGAGUGAGAGUUGACCCAAUCAAACCUAAUCGACAAGAUAAAUCAAUCCACAAUCUAUUCAACUCAGUUAAAAACUAGUUUUACUUUUUUUAACUAUGUAGUUUUGAUUUUUUCUAAAACAAAUCUUAAAAUGAUAUAAUUUUAGAGUAACACCAGUCAACAUAAGCUAACUUAUCCGAUCUAUGACCCAAAUCUUAAUCUGAGUAUUAGGCCAAUUUAUAACCUAAACUCUCAUCUGGGUAUUAAAUAUAAUCAUGUUUAAUAAUUUUGGUUGUAAUUAAUGAACAAGACAUUCUUAAAAAAAAAUGUCAUAUAUAAAACAUUUAUUUGCAUCUAAAUUGAAACAUUCAAAAAUUGAUAUAAUAGUUAUUAAUAUUUAUUUUUAAUAUAUAUAAAAUAAAAGAUUUUAAUAAUUGAUUAAUAUUGUUAAACAUGUAUUUUUUUAUGGUUUUUUCUUUAAUUUCAUCUCUUAAUAUUGAAUUUGCUUAUCUUGAUCUUAUUAUCUAGGUCGACGAACUGAGGAUAGCAUUGCAUCACCACCAUGGCAAACUCGAUAUUACCGAGGAGUGCAGCAAUGUGUAAAGGAGUGUUUCAUGUGCUAAGGAUAUAGAGCCAAGUAAUUGUUUCUUCUUUGAGACUAAGAGUCAGAGCGUAACAGAAUGAGCCUUCCUUCUGUCCAAUCUAAGUCAUGUUGCAAAUGCAUGAUGGUUGGAAGAGGACGUCUCAUGGCCUCUCCUCGAGGAAAAAUGCAUGAUGGCAACGGUCUCAGGGACCAAUAUGCAGAUGGAAAUGUUCUCAUGAACUCAUCUAGUAGAAAAAACGCAUCCGAGUAUAUAAAUAGAUUUUUUUUUCUUUUUUUCCGAUAAACAUGACUUUCUUAAGCUUGUUGUAGUAUAUAGAAUUUUUUUAAAAUAAAAAAAUAGAAAUAUAAUUCGUAUCCGAGUAAAUACCUCCACAAAUAUAAUUUCAUUGAAAGCUACGUCAUGUAUUAAUCUAAGGUUCAUUGUCCAUUAAUUAAUCGGUGGUUGCAUUUUAACACUUGAGAUUUAUUUUUCAUGCAUAAACAUUUAAUUUUUUUUCGCAAACUAAAUUGAAAUUAAAGCAUAUUAAUUAUCAAUUCCCAAGCUUACAGGGCAAUGGUCUCAUGGACCCAUCUUGUAGAAAAAACGCUUGAUAGCAAUGGUUUCAUGGACCAUCCCACCGGCCUAUAUCGUUGAAAAAAUAUAGAUGGCAAUACAUAGUCUCAAAGACCCAUUUCGCAUUGCAAAUUCCUAUCCAUCUUACUUGUUGAUAGUGUUACAUAAAAAUAAACUGACAAGUACUUUAAAAAGAAAAAGAAGAAGACUUGUUGUCAUGACAAUGACAAGAAGUAUUUUAAAAAUAAUAUCAUUUGUGGUUCAUUUUAUCAACGAUACUCUUUGAUUUUGUCACCAUCAUCAAAAUUAAGGUAUGAUUUUUGUAGAUUUUAGGUAAAGAUGAUGAUUUUAAGUUAUGGUUUGUUUAAAUAAUGAAUUUGAGUUAGAAAUCUUUAUAUAUUAAUAGGUGAUCUGAGUGUAAUUUAAUUAAAGUACAUAAAUUUAAUAUUGAAAUUUAAUUAAAGCCUCUCUUACAAUCCAAAAUUUAUUUUUAAUUAAAGUGCAUAAAAUUAACAUAGUUAAAGUUAUCUCUCUCUUUCUCUGUGUAUGUUAGACAGAGUUUGCAUUAGAUAAUCAAUAAUAUUUUAUAUUUUUUUUUGGUAGAAAGUAACUCAUUUCCACUUUGGUUUUAGAACAAGUAAAAUUUUAUAAGUAUUUUAAAAAAUUAAAUCUACUCGAGUGAGAUACCAAGUGGUUUCCAAACCAAUGCGAUUUUAUAAGAAUGGUAAAAACCCAAAAAGAAGUAAAACAAAAUAAAGAAAAAAAUUCAUCAAGCAUUUGAGUUUUUUACUUUGCUUUUAUGUUUUAGAAAAUGACGCUUUUUCGUCAAUGAAAAUUUUUAAUUUGAACAAAAUAAUUAAAAUACCUACCUAUAUAAUAUGUGAAAAACUCACAAACAACAGAUCGCACGAGUUCUCUUUUCCCUUCUUUCCAUUCCCUCCUCUCUCUUCAUCUCUUUUUUGGUUUCAACCCUUUAUCGAUUCAAUUGAAACUUGUGAAGAACUCCAGGCAAAUAGAUCGGCCGCCGAACUCUUCCUGGAAAAUGCUCAGAAAGUAUUUGAAAACACCCAUCAAGAAAGUGACCUUAUAAACAACAAAACUAAUCUUGAUUGAUUGCUAGCAGAAGCUGCUAACAAAUAAUUGAUGACUUUCAUCGUCAUUUAUCAAUCCAUGAAUUGCGUGAACCAGUCAAGAAUCCAUGAAGAUGACUUCUCCUUGCUGCAUUGUUCAUCACAAAAGUGAAUUGUGGACAAAAGUUAGCCCAAACACAAACCUACAUGCAAUGUGGCGGGAAUUUGUUAGCAUCAGCCCAUUAACCACUCCUUUUAUUUUUAUUUUUUUAUCAAUAUCUCUUCUCGGCAUCUUACCAAUGUGGCGGCCGAUCUAUAUGAAUUUUUAUCAAUCAAGUCUCUAUAUUAGUUUUGUUGCUAGAAUACAAAUAACACAAUUAAUCGUAUUUUAUUUUUAAUUUUUUUUCAAGGUCUAAAUUUUAUACACGUAAUUUCUAUAAAGAAAAUAGCAAGUCUUCUAUAUAUAUCCAUCAUCGUCCUAUGCCUAGCAUUAACUUUUAUUCAUGUUUUUUUUUUAAAUAAAAAUAAAAAUAAACUUGACUUGGGGUCAACGUUUUAAGAAGGAAUAUAAAUUUCGGUUAGUUACUUAAUUUUAUGCAAUUCAUUUUUUUUCUGUACUCUAUGGUUUUUAUGAACACUUUCUUAAGCUAGUUGUCGUAUAUAGAAAUUUCUUAUAACAUUUUAGAAAUAUAAUUCACAUCUCAAUUGAUAAAUUCAAAAAUUAAUAUAAUAAGUUUUAAUAUUUAUUUUUAAAAUAUAUUUCGAAUUUAAUAUUAAUAGUUAUAAAGUUUAUUUAGUUCAUAAAAAUUGUUCCACUUGUGUUAUAUCACUUUCCUUUUAAAGGGGUUAUGUACAGCCUUCCAAAUUAUUUUAAAGUUUAUUUAUUUUGAAUUUAAUAUGUAAUUUUUUUUAAUAGAUAUAUUUUAUUUUAAAAAAAUAAUUUUCAAAUAAUAUUUCCAUAUGAAGCCUAACAUAUUAUUUUUUUAUUUUAUUCAAACAAUUUAUAAUAUGUGUGUCUAUUUUUAUUAUCGUUUGAUCAAAUUAAAAAAUUAUUUUAAUUAGAAAAUUUAGAAAACACAACUGCAUUAAUAUCACGUCUUGUGAAAUUAAAUAUUUUGAUCUACAUUUGUCAAUUGAUUUUUCUAGUUUUUAUUUUGAGUCAUCAUUUAUGGUUUUUUUUCACUUAUUAACACAUAUAAUUCUUGAUUUAUUUAACUAUAUUUGUGUAUAAGUUUUUUAAUGUUCACAUAAAAUUUAUAAAUAAAAAAUUUAUUGAAGAAAUCUAUAUAUAAAUUUUUCAAAUUAAAACAAUUUAACUUAGGGUGAAGCUGUGGUCAAAUAACUAAGUCUAUGUACUAAAAUGAGUGGCACUCAAAGGUUCACAUACCUUAUCUUCCAAGAAAGAAGAGAUAAGAAAAGUAAUGGGUGAUGUUAUUUUCUCCGACUGUAAAUAGAUGAAGAGAUUAAUACCAAAAACAUGGACAAAAAUUGAUGUGGACCCGCUUCACUUUGAUUAUUCUUCACUUUCUUCGCUUUUCUGUGUUUCACUACUUGAUGAUUCAAAAGUUAUCUAUUUAAAAAUUUAAUUUUUUUAAAUAUUUUUAAAUAAAAUAAACAGUAUUAUUAUGUCAUGUAGCUAAAUUUAUUCUAACGUUAUUACGAGAAUUAUAUAUUCAAUUUGUUAAGUGUUAGCAAUGCAAAAGAGACAAUAAGAAGUACAAAUUAUAUGUAUUUUUAAUUUUUUUUUAUUUAAAAGCUUGUAUCAAUGUUUUUUUUCAAUUUGAAUACUUAUAUUCACGGAAUUUAAUGAAUAAAAUAUCUUCAUUAGUUUUACUAUCAAAAUGAUGAUGUCAUAGUUAACUCUUUUUAGAUUAGCCUGGAUUGAUUUCAUUUUAUUUUUAAUUUAUGAACAAUAAAGAUAUAAAAUGCUUAUAAUUUAUAUUUUUUAUUCAAGUACUCUAAUUGAUUUUAUUUUUCUAUUUAAGUACGUGAUAAACUAAUGUUUGUCCAUAAAUUUGUUUACCUUGAUUUCUCUAAUAAAAGUAUAUAAACAAAUUCAAUAAAACUAUAUUUUGAUUAAUAGAUUUGAACUUAAGUGUUGUUAUCCAUUUUUGGGACCCCACACAAAAAGAGAAAAUACAAAAAGUAAGAGUUGAAAAAAUUAAUUAAUAAUAAUAAUAUAAUAAUAAAUAAAUAAUAUAUGUGUAGUGAGAAAAGAUGUCGGACCGCCCAAAAUGGUCAAAAAUUUAUUGAGGAGGUUAAAAAAUGCAAAAGAUUGAAAUUUAACAGUAUAUCGUUGACUAAUGAGAGCCCUGUUGACAAAGAAAAUUCAUUUUUAAAAAUAUAUCAAAAUCAGAUGUUUAUGGACUCAAUUAAAUUUUAUUAGGUUUAAUUGAAUUUAUGGAGGUUUGAUUGAAAGAAAAUUGAGUUUUAUGUUGAUUUAGGCUUUUAUUGGAAAAAAUUAAAGUUUUAGGGUCCAAUUACAAUUUUGAAGAGUUGAUUUGGUCAAAUUAGGGGCUUAAUUGCAUAAUUAUUAAAGUUUUAUGAACAAUUAUAGACUUGAAUGCAAAAAUACAAAAUCAAGGACCAAACUGGAAAAGACGCGUUAAUUAAGAGGCUGCAAUUAACCAAGUCAGGGGCUAAAUUUAAGAAAGUAGAAGUUUAUUAAUCAAUUGAGGGUCAAAUCGCAUGAAUCUAGAACCAAAGAUUGUCUUGUAAAUGGGGCUAAAAUCCAGGGAUCCAAUUAAAAUUUAUUCGGGGGCUUGAUUAUAAAAUUGCAAAAAGUCCAAUGACCAAAUCAGAAAUAUUCAUUUUGAAUUUUAAAACGGUACCGUUUCCUUGACAAUUGUUCAUUACCUUCUUCAUUAACAACGGUUUCUACAGUAAAAGGCAGUGAAGACGUUAACGGUGCUGCUGCUUCAAUCAGGGGAGCACGUCUCACGGUUGAUAUCCCUCUCCACCAUGAUGCACUCCGCCCGUUACAAUCUUCCUGCAAUAAAUCCUGAAAAGCAUGCAUCCUCUGGCUAUAAAAAGCCAGAGGAGAGAUGGACAGGAAAAGAAAAAAAAAAAAAAAAAGGAGGAGACUGGGAGGGAGAGCGAGCAGGAGAAGAGAGAAAGUGGGGAGCAGCACGAGAGGGAGACAGAAACGAGCAAAAGGAAAGAAUGUAAGCAGAGGAAAUCGUUGAGACCAGAACCAGCGUUGCCAUCAUCUUUGUCAUUUCAAAAACCAGAGAGGAAGAAGAAGAAGAGUGCAAAUAAGAAUUGAACGAAAAGGAGAAUAAAAAACGAGAACAGUAGUAGAAGGAAAGAAAGAAACGUUGCUCGAUCAGAGCACUGAUCACCCUCAACUUCAUCUUCAUCUUCAUCUUCAGGCAGCAACUCCACGGGACGUUUGAGAGGACCAGAGAGGGAGAGAAAGAAUAAAACAGGGAACACGAGGAAGAACAGAGCAGAAGAGAAAAAAAGCAGAAGGGAAAUGCAGAGAAAGAAAGAAGAACCACCAGCCAGUCAGCGCCACGGUACUCAACCGCAACACCGUCCACCAACAGCACCGCUAGGCUGCAGGUCUGCUUCUUCCUCUUCCUCUUCUUCGCCUUCACCAGGUCUGCACCACUAUUCUUUGUUUUAGUUUUCUGGGCCAGAGAGUGCCGGCCCAGCCUAAAAUGGUUGGGUCGGGUCCGACCUAGUCAAAAAAAUUUCUUUAAAAAAAAUCAUUUUAAAAAAUUUAUGAUUUUCCCGUGUAUUUUUCAACUAAAAUUUUUUUAGUGUUGAUUUGUGUUUUUAUACCGUAAAGAUACAAAUCUGGAAUUACCCAGUUGUCAUCAAAACAUUGAAAAAUUUUAAAAAACAUAUUUUUAUUUUCAUGCAUACGGCCAAGUAUCUCAAAGAAAAAAAAUCAUAUCAUAUUUUCAUAGAACAAAAAUUCAAAAAUAUGUAUUAACAUGCAUUUUAAUUUUAAUAACCAGUUUAUUAAAAUCACGAGAACUAGGUCAAUAUUUUAAAAAUUCUGAAUUUUUUUUUUUACUAUCUGGGGUUACGACCUUAUAUAUAAGAUGUAUUCCGGAUAUUAAAUUCUUUUAUUGACGUUAGAAUGGUUAGGUUUUACCCGAUAAGAUAAAAAUCUUUUUAUCGAGAAGGAUAUUAAAUUCUGACAAAUCAUUACUAAAUUGCUAUUGGUAUAACUAUCUCUUGCAAAUGGCAGCAAGGAGUUUAGGCUUCAAUCAAGCAAGGUUGUCAAUUCCAUUUUAAUUGGUUUUUUUUAUUUUUUUAUUUUAACAAUAUAUUUUGGUUUUUGAGUAUUUUGACGUGUCAUUUUGGAUUGUUCUAUAUAUACUUUGAACUCAUCAAAUUGAUUGGGUCAUAUUGAUUUAACUCUUUAUUUUUACUUAUAUUUGAAAUUUAAAUUGUAUAAUUUAAAGUUAGUUUAUUUUUAAAUGUUAAUUAAAAUUAUGUUUGUUAAAAAUAUUAAGAUAACAAUAUAUUGUAUUGACCCAGGUUAAUUUUUUAAAUUCGUGACCCAGAUCAUGAGCAGUGGCGGAGCCACAGUGGGUCAAAAGGGGGCAAUUGCCCCCUUAGUUUUUUUUUUAAUGAAUUAUUGUUACAGCUUACAGAUAAGGAAAGUUGUUAUACAAUAGUUAUUGUUAUUGCUACAGGUAGGGGUGUUCACGGUUCGGUUCAGUUCGGUUUAGACUCAAAAAACCAACCGAACCAAAUUACAUUAAUUUUGUGAAAUAUUAACCGAACCAGAUCGAAAACCGGUUCAAACCGAACUGGUCUGGUUCGGUUAAAUCCGGUUUGUUUUUGCAAAAAACUGAGAAACCUAAUCCCAUCAUAUAUGUGUUUUUUUUAAAAUUGGUUUACAUUAAAUCGGGCUUUAAAAUUUUCUUUUCAAACCAGGAAACUGAAUUUUUCAUAUGGCAAGAAGAAAACACAAGCACAGAAAAAAUAUAGAUUUUACAGUAUUGAAUCCAUUUGUAGCAUCCUCUAGCUCUUUGUAGGUUAAACACCACAAAUUCAUUCCCAUGGAACUUUCUUGUUGGUGCUUUUCUGUGUGCUUCCUGUGAUAGAAGAAAGGACCUGAACAUAAGAGGCCAGCCAAUACGAACACGACAAUCACCGAGCCACCUAAAAGCACCGACACGAUAACGAUCAAACUGUCCUGGUUUUUCUCUGCAUUUGGAGGCGGACAAAGAGUGAUGUUGAAAAAUGUGAUCUUCUCAUUGAAAGCUCAUCCAACAACCCACCAGAGAGAAAGAUUGGGAAACUGGGAAAGGAAGAUUGAGAAUUAAUUGAGAGGAAGAUUGGGAAUUUUUCUAGGUAAGACGACGAUUUUUUGUGAGAGGCAGUGAAGUUAUGUUAACUGUUAGGGUUAGGUUACAAUUUAAUUAUUUAUACCUCAAAGAUUUUUGUGACUUUUGGCUUUUAUGGGUCCGGUUCGGUUUGUGCUGGUUUCUGGUUCAAAACCGAAACCGAACCGGACCUAAUAAAAUUUACGAUUUUGACAAUUGGUUUAAUCGGUUUUUCAUUUCGGUUCGGUUUUUUUGGUUAAUUUUUCUUCGGUUUUCUCGGUUAAUCGGUUAUUUUGAACACCCUUAGCUACAGGUAAGGAAAGUGUAUGUAUGUGUGUGUGUGUGUGUGUAUAAUUACAAUUUACAGCUCCCCAAUUUUCCCCCUUUUCCCUUUUGUUUAUUUAUUUUCCUCUGUAGGGUUUUUUUUUUCAGCAGUCGUUCCUACCUCUCGUAGUCUCCUAUAUGCAAAUUUAUCAUCAAUUAAGUUUUUUUGCCUUUUGCUUUAUACUUUAGGUAAAUUUUCUUCAUCUUUUCUAUUUGUUUUAUUGUCUAAUUUUAGUUUUAUUCUUUUAUAAUUAGUUAUUAAAAAUAUUAGGGUUUAUGAUAAUUUAUGGGUUUUGUUAUGAAUAUGUUCACCAUAAAUGUUUAAAUCUGGUAAUUUAAUCAAUUAAGUGUUUCUUUUUUCUUAUUAUAAAAAAAAAAAUAAAUUAAUAUUCAUGCAAAACCACUAUUCUUGACAUCUCUUGCAUUGAUAGAGUAGUUUAUUGAAAUUUAAUAUUUUCACAUGAUUUAUUUGUAAGUAAAAUAUCAAGUAGAAAGCAUGUUUUUCAAGUAUUGUUCCUCUUACACAUACACUAAGCAUUGUUCCUUAAUUAAAUGUCUAGAAAUAAUUAAGUAUAAUUUAAUCAACAUACUUAUUAUAUGCAUAUAGAUAUGAAUUGAAAUAGGUUUUGAUUUUGAUAAAUUGACAUGUAUUUUGCUAUUAAUUUCAUAUGGAAGAUUUAGAAUUAUUGUGUAACUCAAUUGACUUUUGUUUAAUAGUGAAUUAUUGUGUACUUGUGUUAAUUAUUAUGUAGACACUAAUGAUGAUAAAAAAUCCAGCAGGUUCAUAUUAAAUUAACAUGUCACUAGACAAGUAUUUCAAGCGUAAAUCCCUUGAGGAUGAGGAGUCAAUCAAAGCUUCAAGUCAUGUAACUCAAUCAAGUUCAAAGAAAAGUCAUAUUGAAAUCAACCCCGACACUCUCCUUGCUGACCCUGGCUUAAGAAGACCAAUUUAUGAGUACCAUAUAAAUGAUAGGGAUGCAAUCCGAAGAGCUUAUCUACAAAAAGGUCCUUGUCAACCUUCACACUAUGAUUUUCCUCAAAAACAAUUUGGGAAUAUAUCAACACUACGACGCUUUAAUCCGGCUUGGUUUGGUGCAUACCCAACAUGGUUAGAGUACAGUAUAGCCAAAGAUGCUGCUUUUGCUUGUAUUGUUACCUCUUCAAGUCAAAAGGGGUGUUGAUUCGUUUGUGGGUGAUGGGUUUUCAAAUUGGAAAAAAAGGGAAAGAUUUGAUCUUCAUAUUGGAAAGUCUAAUAGUAGUCAUAAUGCAGCUCGGAUAAAAUGUGAGAAUUUGAUGAAUGAAAAACAAAGUAUCAUGACUUUGUUGUCUGAGCAGACAGUAAAGAGUCAAAGUGAUUAUCGAACUCGAUUGAAUGCUUCAAUAGAGUGUGCUCGUUUUUUGUUGCACCAAGGACUUCCAUUUCGUGGCCAUGAUGAAUGUGAAUGUUCAAGCAACCAAGGAAAUUAUCUAGAGCUCUUGCAUUUCCUUUCCAGAAACAAUGAAGCUAUUAAAAGAGUUACUUUCAGUGAAGCUCCUAAACAUAACAAAUUGACUUCUCCAGAUAUUCAAAAAGACAUUACUCAAGCUGCUGCAGAGGAGAUUACAAAUGUGAUUAUCAAAGAUCUAGGUGACUCAUUAUUUUCAAUUUUAAUUGAUGAGUCACGUGACAUAUCAAUCAAGGAACAAAUGGCAGUUGUUAUACGAUAUGUAGACAACAAUGGACAUAUAAUUGAACGUUUUCUUGGCAUUCAACAUGUGUCAGAUACAACUGCUAGUUCACUCAAGGCAGCUAUUGAAGCUUUGUUUUCUAAACAUGGGCUAAGUAUAUCAAGAUUGCGUGGUCAGGGAUAUGAUGGAGCUAGUAACAUGCGAGGUGAAUUCAAUGGCUUGAAAGCACUUAUUCUAAAUAACAAUCCAAGUGCAUAUUAUGUACAUUGUUUUGCUCAUAGACUUCAAUUGACUCUUGUGGCUGUUACAAAGAAGCAUAAUGAAGUUGGAGAUGUCUUCAAUUUUAUUUCUAGCAUUAUAAACAUAGUUGGAGCAUCAUGUAAAAGGAUGGAGGUGAUUAGAGAAAAACAAUAUGCUAGAAUUAUUGAAGGACUUGAAAAUGGGGAAAUUUCUAGUGGACGAGGCUUGAAUCAAGAAACUUCUCUUAGAAGGUAUGGUGAUACUCGUUGGGGCUCCCACUAUAUUACAAUUAUUCGUUUACUUGCAAUGUUUUCAUCAGUUCUUGAUGUGCUUGAGAUUAUAAGGGAGGAUGGGAUGAACUCAGAACAGAGAACGGAAGCGAUCGUUUUAACAGGUAUUAUGGAAUCAUUUAAUUUUGUGUUCAUGCUUCAUUGUUUGAGAAGGAUACUAGCAGUUACUAAUGAGUUAUCACAAGCAUUACAAAGAAAAGAUCAAGACAUAGAAAAUGCUAUGAGUUUAUUGAAAACAUCAAAGGAACGAUUCAAAUUGAUGAGAGAGAAUGAUUGGGAAUCUUUACUGGAAGAAGUGUCAUCUUUUUGCAUCAAACAUGAUAUUGAUAUUCUAAACAUGGAUGAUGAGUACAAGCUUCGUGGGCGUUCAAGGCGAAAAUCUCAAGGGAUUACAAACUUACACCAUUUUCGUUAUGAAUUGUUUAACAAUAUCAUUGACAUACAACUUACUGAAUUGGAUGAUCGUUUUACUGAGACGAGUAUGGAAUUACUUCUUUGUGUGGCAUGUUUAAGCCCAAAUGACUCUUUCUCUACUUUCAACAAAGAAAAGCUUAUUUGUCUUGCUCUUUUUUAUCCUAGUGAAUUCUCUAUAGUGGACCUUAUGGUACUUGGUGACCAACUUGAUACGUAUAUUAUUGAUCUACGUGGUGAUGAUGAGUUCUCUGGUAUUGAAGGUAUUGCUAGUCUUGCAGAGAAAAUGGUAAAAACAAAGAAGAAUUUGAUAUUUUCAUUAGUAUAUAUGCUUAUCAAAUUGUCAUUACUUCUACCAAUUGCAACUGCUACAGUGGAGAGAGUUUUUUUUGCUAUGCAUAUUGUCAAGAAUAGAUUGCGGAACAGGAUGGGAGAUAAGUGAAUGAAUGAUAGUUUGGUUGUAUACAUUGAGAAAGAUAUCUUCGACAAGAUUGAUAAUGAAGCUAUUAUGAAGUGGUUUCAAAAUAUGAAAACUCGAAGAGAACAAUUAUAAUUUAAGUUUUUUCAUUUUAAAAGUAUUUUUAUAUUAAUUUUACUUGAUAUGAAUUAAUAUAUAUGUUUUGAAUUGAUUUUUAAUACAUGUCUAUAUAAUAUAGUAUUUGUUAAUAAUUUGCCCCCUCAUUUAAAACUCUGGCUCCGCCAUUCAUCAUGAUAAUCCCAAAUAUAAAAAAAAUUAUGAAUCUCAAUUUUUAAUAAAUCUAUUGUUGAAUUAUGAAAUUGAAAAAAAGAUCAAUCUAAAAAAAGACACAAAAAAUCACCUUACGAAACAAAAUUAUGAAUUUAAAUAAAAUUAUGAAAAUUUCAUCGGCAAUCUCACAAAGUCUUUCUAAACUCUAAUUGUUGUAAAAUUUUAACUUGCGAUAUAAAUAUAUGUUAUGAGAUUCCUUAUAAACUUUUAGUGUAAUCCAACAGUUGAAUUGAGAGAUAUAAUUAAUACUAUAAAACUAGACUAUAUUUUUUUUAUAAAAGCAAAACAAAACAUUAUUUGAUCAUAAUAGAAUGGCUGGAAUAGAACAAAAAUAUUCAGGCCAGGAUUUAGGUGAAGUUCAUGAAAUGAGGUAAGAUUCUAAACGAGAUGAAAUAUCUUCCAAUUUAUUCAAUUGUUUAAAUUGAAAUAAAAUAUACCUGCCAUUCUAGAUGUGACAUAAUGAAAUUAAAAACCAUAGCUUUUUAGAGCCCCAAGCGUACGACCCCAUCUCGUGGGAAAAAUUGUGUCGCACCCCAAAAAAAAAAUAUCCAAUCGCGGGUUCGACUGGCGAAAUUUUUUUUAUUUGGUUUGAUUUGGUUCUUUGGAGUCGCCACCUAGUAUUUUGGUCACUAGGAAUCCUAACUGGUCUCAGAGAUCGGGUACGGAGACUGGUUGCGUAAAGGGAAGGUAUUAGCACCCCAAAUACGCCCUACCUAAGGUAAGCUGCAUUGUUUUAUUGUCUGAUAAAAACUAAAGUGUUAUUGUACUUCUAGUCGUUGGUCUGUCUAUGGUUCAAGAAAAAUCCUCCUCGGUAAGAAGGUCUUUUAUCUUAUCGGGUAAAAUCCUAACCGUUCUAACGUCUAUACCAAACUUUAUUAAUAAUAUUUAGGAAUACGUUUUACGUAUAAAUUCGUAAUCCCAAAUACUAAAAGAAAACAAAAAGAUUUUUUUAAAUUUUUGAAAUAUUGGCCUAGUUCUCAUGGCUUGAAUAAACUGGUUAUUAAAGCCAAAAUGCAUGUUAAUACAUAUAUUGUUUUGAAAAUUUUCUUUGUUGUGUGAAAAUAUGAUGUUAUAAUAUUUAUAUAUAUAUAUUGGAGAGACUAGGCCGUAUUUUAAAACAAAAAAAAAUUUAAUUUUUGGAAAAUAUUAAUUUUUUAUGCUUUGACGAAAAUCGGAUAUUUUAAUACUGAGCUUAUAUCCUUACGGUAUAAAAAUACAACCCAAUAUUAAUCCACUUUGCUAAAAAUAUGCAGAAAAAUCAACAACAUUUUAGGGACUUUUUAGAAAUUUUUUUGAAAGCAAAAACAUUUUUUUUCUGAAAAAUCUUUGAUGUUUUGACGAAAACCGGGUAUUUUUAACACUGGUUUUGUAUCUUUACAGUAUAAAAAUACAAACCAACAUUAAACCACGUUGACAAAAAUAUGCAGAAAAAUCACAAUAUUUUUUAAGAUUUUUCAAAAUAUUUUUUUUUAUAAAUAUAUUUUUUAUAUAUAUAACAUAUAUACACACAUAUAAUAAUAAUUAUAAUAUAUUUAUAAUAUAUUUAUAUAUUAAAAGGGGCUGGGCCGGCCCAAACUAAACUCGGCCGGACCCAGCCCCAACAGUCGUUGGGCCGACCUCGGCCCAACAAACUAAUUAAACUCGGUCUGGGCCGGACCCGGCCCAGACCACCGGAUGGGGCCAGACCACUCUGGCCCGGCCCACAUAGUUCUGGGCCAGACACCAUCUGGCCCAGAGGAAUUAAAAAAACAACACAAGGGGGGAAUUAUUUCCCCCCCGUCCCCUGCAUGCAGAACGCCUCUGCAUGCAGGGGACGAAAUAUAUAAAUAACAAGAAAAAUGUGCAGGGGGGGAAGAGAAGCGUACCUGGCGCGGUGGAGACGGUGGUUUGCUGGCGGGGCUACGGUGGCGUGGCUCGUGGACGGCGGCUCCGGGCGGCGUUGCUGCUGUUUCUAACAGUGGCGAAAAAUUCUUCUUCCUCCCUUCUCCUUCGUUUUUUUUUUUCGUUCUCAGUGGCUGCCUAUUCUCGGUUCGGUUUUGGUUUUUUUUUGUUUCGGUUUCCUUCUUCUCGGUUUGUUUCUGUUCUUCUCUCUCUCUUCGGGUAGCUUUCUCUCUCUUUCUCUCUUCGGGUCUCUCGGGUUUUUCCUCCUUUUCUCUUCGGUUUUUCUUCUUUAUUUAUAGGGGCAGCACAGGUGGGGGGCCAUGGUUAGUGCGCCUUCAAUCACGCAUGGCUGGUCGGCUCUUUCGGUGGUGGUGGGGGCGAGGAGAGAGACGCGGGAGAAUUUUCGAAUUUUUUCGUCUUCUGUUCUGUUAAAACGGGGGGAAGGAGGAAGAUGAACAGUGUCGUUCAAAACGACACCGUUCUGAUCUUCCUUUUUUUUUUUUUUUAUAUAUAUAUAUGAAACGGCGUCGUUUUGGGUAAAACGCGCCGUUUCAUUUAAAUGGCUAAACUUCAAAUCAGUCCUCCAAAUUCGGUCCCCGCCCCUCUUGUUGGCCGCCUUUUUCACUUUGGUCCUUGGCCUCUGAUUUAUGCAAUUGAGCCCCUAAUUGAUCAAUAAACUUCCAAUUUCUUCAAUUAAGCCCCUGAAACAAUUCCAAACAGCCCCCUCUAUCUUUGCGCCUUCUCCAAAUUGGUCCCUGGUUUCGGAUUUUCACAAUUAAGUCCCUAAUUGGCCCUUAAACUUCAAUAUUUAUGCAAUUGAGCCCCUGAUUUGACCCAAUAAAUUCCUAAAAAAUAUAUUUUGGCCCCAGAACUUAAAUUUCUCCAAAUUAAAGCCCAAAUUGACUUAAAAAUCAAUUUUUCUUGCAAUCAAAUCUUCUAUAAAUUCAAAUAAAAAUCCAAUUAAGUCCAUAAAAAUCCAAUUAAGUCCAUAAACAUCCAAAUUUGGGCUUUUCUCCUCAAAAUUCAAAAUUUCCUUCUCAAUAGGGCUUUCAUCCUUCGGGAAUAUACUGUCAAAAAUUCAAUCCUUGUAUUUUUAAAUUCCUUGACCAAUUUUCUGACUGUUUCCCGAGCGCUUCUGCCUCCUGUUAUUUUUCUAACCUCUUUUGGCUAUUUAUUUUAUUUUUCAUGGGGACCCAAAAAUGAGUUACAACAGAAAGCAAAUAUAGCCUUUGGGUAGUGAUCCUCAGCGUAGAGCAACUGGUGAAUUAAACUAAAGAGAUAACACAGAUAGCACUUGGCAGGAAAACACCUGCAAGCUGCGAAAUUGCGAUACCUUGCAGCAUUUCUACCUAAUCUUUUGAGACUUUGAUCAUUUAAAAACAUGUUCAACCGUGUUUUUAAUUUUUUUAUAUAAAAAAUUAAAAUUUUUAUGUUUUUUUAUUAUUUUGAUGUACUGAUUUUAAAAAUAAUAACAUUUUAAUGUAUUUUUAAAUAAGAAGUUUUUAAAAACGCACGUAAUCCGAUUCUUGAAUGCUCCAUUUUAUUGAGAUAUCGGACGGCAUAGCAGGUUCUUGCACCGGGUCCAAAAGCUCCGAAAAGCAGCCAAAUUGCUAACAAUAUGGAAGAAAGAACCUGCAUUGUUAUAUGUGGCGAUGGAUGGAUAGAGAGUGUGUAUGCUGUGAAGAAACCCAGUUGUGUUUGUCUGCUAUUUAUACAAGGCAUGCAGAUGAUGGAAGAAGACUUUGAAGGUUUAACAAUUGCUAACAAUAUGUAGGCAGAUGAUGGAAGAAGACUUUGAAAAAAAAACAAAAAUAUUAGGCAUAAACCUUGUUUAUACAAGGCAGGCAGAUGAUGGAAGAAUACUUUGAAAAAAAAAGAAGAAAAACUACUGUGCCCGUCCAAUGAAGGGUUAGCUUGAUUAAAUUCGUUGUAGAAGAAUUACUUAGACUAAAGCAUAUAACGAAGGGACAUCUGAUGAUUUCUAACCAUGGUUUUAAUUGAUUUCUUUGAUAAUUUUUUUUUUCAAAAAUUGAUAUAUAUUCAGAUAUGAUUGAUUAAGAAUUGGUCAAUUGACUUUGUCAAAUUAAUAGACUUUCAUCACGAGGUAGAUGAAAGAUUAAGAUUACGUGCGUUUGAGAAGAGGACAAUUCCCGCAGGUGGGAGAUUUCCAGCUCCUGGUCCCAACAAAAUGCGACGUGGAAACGGAAAUUAAGAUCGAUCUAAAUCGUUUAAAUAUUGUGGUUUUCUCACACACUCCCAAACAGGCCCGAUCCAUGGGUGAGAGAGAGAGAUAAUUCUGGCAAUUUCAAAUCUGUACAAGUUUCUGCAUCCUAUGAGUUUGCAAAUACAAUGACAUUAUUGACAUCUGAGUAAUGAAGGUAAGAUAUACGAUUGCAGUGAACCAUGAAGUAAACACCACCUCUAAAAGUAGGCCCCAAAACAGUGUGGAGACACAGAAGAACAGAAGAAAAUAAGGAGAGCUCGCGAACUAAAUUAGCAUGCAGCCAUAAGAGAACGCAAAGCCGCCACUAGCCACCGAGCCGGAGACUUCCAACUGCAUAUGAAAUCCCACAAUAUAGCACAACUUUUUUUUGUCUGCCACUUGUAUAGGAGGUUGGACAUACAGAGCUCAUUCCGAGCAGAAAUCACGAUUGUUCCAACCCUCUUACAGCUGCGGCAAAAAUCUAGAAAGGCAAGAGAUCAGACUCGUCACAAAACAGCAAUUUUAUCCCACUUCUAGUGAUCAACAGUCUAGCCUAUUUACAAUAAGCGCUAUGUCGUAGAACAUAUCUAAAAUGGAGAAUCCUUUCAAAGAAAUUAGAAUAUCCUGUCAUGCUGAUAUGAACUGGGAGAUGAAGACGUGCAUCCGGUGCUUAUUUAUGGCAGUAAAGCACAACCAGGCAUGGGAUCUCAGCCAGAAUUGAACUUGUAUUUGGAUCAAAGACAUCAGAUACUGAUAUCAGACUUGGAACUGCCAAGAUUUUCUUAGUAUAUUAAAUUGCAAUAAGAGCAUGAGCUUGUCCAGGCAUAUCCCUCUCAUACGUGGUUGAAUCUGGAAAAUUACUAAAGCAGGCAACAACAGAACAGAAUUAAAAAAAAGAUCACCACUGAUAAGUCGACAAAAACCCUUAGUUGAAGCUCCAGGAAUCUAUUUCAAAUCUUCACCGGUUUGACUGCGACUACUGCUUUCGUAGUACUGAAUGGGAUCGUGUUGCUCUGUGUGGCUCGGAACUGAGGAUUCCUCAUCAGAACGUCCACAUGAGUAGCUCUGUGGUAUUUUAUCUUCUUCCAAUGAUUUGCUGUCAGGUUGACCAUGCUUGUGGAGUUGGAAUAGCAAUUUUCAUGGUAAUAGUUAGAAGGUUUUAUGCAUCAGUGUUUCACUGUGCACUGCACAAUAAAACUCUUAGCUAUCUUCUUUUUAUAUAUAUAUAUUUUUUGUUUUUUAUACCUUUAUGGGUUUUUUUGUUUGUUUUUUCUUUGUGUUUUUUUCUUUUAAUGAAUUUUUUUUGUUUAAUUUAGUUUGUUAUCAGAUUUUCAUGACACGGAUCUUGGGUUAAACACAUUAACUUGGUUUGAUAAGUUAACCCAAAAUAUUUUUUUUUCUUUUCAAUAAAUUUUUUUCGUUUCGUUUAGUUUGUUAAUGUUAAAUUUCUUUUUAUUUAAUUAUCAGACUUUCAUGACACAUAUCUCAAGAUUGACGAGUUAACCUAGUUUAUUCUGGGUUAACCCGUCAACUUUUUUUUCUAUUUAGUUAUCAAACUUUCAUGACGCGAAUCUCAGGUUUGACGAGUGAACCUGGUUUUAAGGGUUAACCCAAUUAAUUUAGAUGUUUUUUCUUCUUCAUUAGUUUUUUUUCUUCAUGUUGGUUUUGUUUUCUUUGUUUUUUUCUUUUUAAUUAAUUUAUUUAAUUAUUACACUUUUAUGACACGACCUUGUAGCCAUAACCACAUCCAAGGCUCUUGGGUCCGGUGUUCUAGUUAGACUCACUAAAACUUGAGUCAUAUAAAUUUAAUAUUAUUAUUAAUAUUACAACUAUUACUCUUCGGUCAAGCUUUAGAGUUAGACCCGAGGCUCUUGGGUAUAUCUUUGCAGAAAAAUCGAACACUCUUAGAUCUUAGCCAUUUUUUAUAUUUUUAUGCAAGAAAAAAAAAUUUAUCUGUGUCGUGUGCCUUUGUUUUUUUUUUCCUUUUCUUUUUAAGCCUUUUAUUAUGGACUACACCGUGCAGUCCACGGUGAAAAAGUUGAUGCCUUUAAUUUUAUUUUUUCUAUAGUUUCUUAAUAUUAAUUUUUUUUUGUUUAAUUAUUAGACUUUCAUGACACAGAUCCCGGGUUUGACGGAUUAACCUGAUUUGACGGAUUAACCUAGUUGAUUCAGAUUCUUUUUCUUUUUCUUCAUUAGGUUUUUUCUUCCUAUAGGUUUUUUUCUCCUUGUUUAUCCUUUUUAAUUAAUCUUUUUUUUUUAAUUUAGUUCAUUAAUAUGAAAUCUUUUUUCUAUUUAGUUAUCACGCUUCCAUGACACGAAUCUCAGGUUUGACGGGUUAACCCAGUUGAUUCAGAUUUUUUUUUUCUUUUUCCUCAUUAGUAAAAGGCUGAUUUCAUUUGUUUUUUUUUCUUUUUAAUUAAUUGUUUUCGUUUAAUUUAGUUUGUUAAUGUUCAAUUUUUUUUAUUUAGUUAUCAAACUUUCAUGACACGGAUCUCAGGUUUGAUGGGUAACCUGGUUUGACGAGUUAGCCCAGUUAAUUACGGGUUAACUUGUCAAUUUUUUUUCUAUUUAGUUAUCAAACUUUCACGACACGAAUCCAAGGUUUGAGGAGUUAACCUUAUUUAAAUGGUUAACCCAGUUAAUUUAGAUUUUUUUUCUUUUCCUUCAUUAGCUUUUUUCUUUCUAUUGGUUUUUUUCUUUUUAAUUAAUUUAUUUAAUUAUCACACUUUUAUGACACGACCUUACAGCCAGACUCGCAUCCAAGGCUAUUGGGUCUGGUAUUGCAGCCAGACCCACUUAAACUUGGGUCAUGCAAGUUUAAUGUUAUAAUUAAUAUUAUAAAUAUUACUCUUGGGUAAAACGUUGCAACCAAAUCCAAAACUCUUGGGUAUAGCUUUGCAGAAAGAACUAACACUUUUAAAUCUUAAUUUUUUUAAAAUAUGUUUUAUGUAAAAAAAAAAAUUAACCCGCAAGAUACGCGGGUCACGUAACUAGUACUAUCUAAAAUGUGUGGUUUCAUGUUUGUAUGACGAUAAUAUAAUAUUUUACAAGAAAUGUGUUGUAACCCAUUUUUGGGUCCCCAGGAAAAAUAAAAUAAAUAGCCAAAAGAGUUUAGAAAAAAUAACAGAAGGCAGAAGCGCUCAGGAAACAGUCAGAAAAUUGGUCAAGGAAUUUAAAAAUACAAGGAUUAAAUUUUUGACAGUAUAUUCUUGAAGGAUGAGAGCCCUAUUGAGAAGGAAAUUUUGAAUUUUGAGGAGAAAAGCCCAAAUUUGGAUGUUUAUGGACUUAAUUGGAUUUUUAUGGACUUAAUUGGAUUUUUAUUUGAAUUUAUAAAGGAUUUGAUUGCAAGAAAAAUUAAUUUUUAAGUCAAUUUGGGCUUUAAUUUGAAGAAAUUUAAGUUCUGGGGCCAAAAUAUAUUUUUUAGGAAUUUAUUGGGUCAAAUCAGGGGCUUAAUUGCAUAAAUAUUGAAGUUUAAGGGCCAAUUAGGGAUUUAAUUAAGAAAAUCCGAAACCAGGGACCAAAUUGGAAGAGGCGUGUAAAUGGAGGGGCUGCAAAUUUUUCGGUUCAGGGGCCUAAUUGAAGAAAUUGAAAGUUUAUUAAUCAAAUUGAGGGCUAAAUUGGAUAAAUCAAAGACCAAGGACCAAAGUGAAAAAGGCGGCCAACAAGAGGGGCGGGGACCGAAUUUGGGGGACUGAUUUGAAGUUUAGCCAUUUAAAUGAAAUGGCGCGUUUUACCCAAAACGACGCCGUUUCAUAUAUAUAUAUAUAAAAAAAAAGGAGGAAGAUCAGAACGGUGUCGUUUUGAACGACACUGUUCAUCUUCCUCCUUCCCCCCGUUUUAACAGAACAGAAGACGAAAAAAUUUCGAAAAUUCUUCCCGCGCCUCUCUCUCCUCGCCCCCACCACCUUUUGGCCGACCAGCCGUUACACCCGAUGGUCCCCCACGGUUCUGCCCCUAUAAAUAGAAGAGAAAACCGAAGAAAAAAAAAAAGGAAAAAAAAACCGAAGGGAGGAGAGAGAGAGGAGACCGAAGAGAGAGAGCGAACCGAACAGCCGCAACGCCGCCGCCCGGAGCCUCCGUGCACGAGCCACACCACCGCCAGCGACCGCCUCCUCCACGCCAGGUACGUUUUCUUCUCCCCCACCUGUUUUCUGCAGAUUUUUUUUGCCUCCUGCAUGCAUUCUGCAUGCAGGAGGCGGGGGGGAGAAAAUUAAUUCUCCCCCCCCGCUGGGCCUGGAGCUGCUGGGCCAGCCCGAUGCUGGCCCAGCCUUGCAAGUCUGGGCCGGUCUUGGCCCAGACCGUAGGAUUUUAUCGGGCCGGGAUCGGCCCACUUGAAGUUUUCGGGCCGAGAUCGGCCCAGAUUUGUUUCUCGGGCCGAGGUCGGCCCAAGGUCAUUCGGGCCGAGAUCGGCCCGUCUCUUUUUUUCCUGGGGCUGAGCCUGGCCCAUUCAUUUGGGCCGGCCCAGCCCUAUAAUAUAUUAUAUAUUAUUUAUAAAUUAUAAUAUAUAUGUGUUUAUAUGUUAUAUAUAUAUAUAAAAUAUUUAUAAAAACUCUGAAAAAUCUAAAAAAAUGUUGUUAUUUUCUUUUCAUAUAUAUAUAUAUUUUUUAAGGGGGUUUGUAUUUUUUUUUUUUUUUUACAUGUAGAGGCAUAAAUUUAGUAUUUAAAAUAUCUGAUUUUCGUCAAGACACCCGAAAUUUUAAAAGAUAAAUUUAUUUUUUGCUUUCAAAAAUUUCAAAAAUUCCUUAAAAAUAUUGUUGAUUUUUUUUUUGUACAUCUUUUUAAAAUGACUUAAUAUUAGUUUGUAUUUUUUAUGUUGUGGAGAUACAAAUUCAGUAUUAAAAUACCCGAUUUCGUAAAAAAAAUUAUAUUGUUUAAAAAAUAUAUAUAUAUUUUUCUUGCGUGUUGCAUACGGCCAAUACUCUAACAUGUUUUCAAAGUUCUUUUUUAUAAAAAACAUAUAUUGGAAGCUUCGAAAGUGUGUUUUCGCAUAGAUUUCUUAAACACAAAUUAUUUUCUUGCAUUUUUGGAUUUUACAACAUGUUUGUAAAACUCCAAAGGGUGUUGGCCAAUAUUCCAAAAACUAUAAAAAUCUUAUUUUUGGAGAGGGAAUUUAUUUAUUAUUCACCGCUAAUGUUUGGAUAAAGAAAUCCUUAAAAGGACGAAUAUCCAAAAUAUUAUUGGGAAUAAUAAAUCCGCACACAUUCUUGAAAGAAGCCUUGAUUAUAAUCGAGGACAUUUCAAAAUUUUAAUUUUUUUUAUUCCACGAUUUAUGAGCCACAAACUUUUGAAAUACUAAGGGAAAAAUGAGCUUUUAAAGCACAUGGAAUCUCCUUAGAUUUCUAUCCAAAAUCAAUUGACGAGCCUAGAAAAUACCUACACCAUAGCAAUUAUAGAGCAAACCAAACACCAAGCAGCUUACCUUAGGUAGGGCGUACUAGGGGUGCUAAUACCUUCCCUUUACGCAACCAGUCCCUUGCCUUAGAAUCUCUGAAAGACCAGUUAGGGUUCCUAGUGACCAAAAUACUAGGUGGCGACUCCCAAAAGAACCAAAUCAGCAAAAUAAAAACAAAACAAAAGUCGUCGGUCGAAUGUCGCAAAACAAAUUUUAAAAUAAACCAACUUUUUUAUUAUGAUUUUUUUUGGGGUGCGACAGGAUGGCGACUCCACUAGGGACCCUUGGACUAAGCUUGAUUUGUUUGUUUGUUUAUGUUAUGUGUUAUUGGUUUUUGUUUUCUUAUGAUGCUUUGUUUAAAAGCUUUAGCAUAUAUCUUUACAUUCUAUCAUACACGGCAUAGUCAUGCAUCACUUUAUUAUUAUUAUUAUGUUUUGGAGGGCACACACAUGUAACUCUAAGUUUAAGUGGGGGACUAGCAGCUUGCCUUAUGACUUGAGUCAAGGUUUAAGUUUGUGUAAACCCCAACUCUUUGCUGAGUGUUUAGACUGAUUGUGAUUGGUACACAUACCAUCCCACUAUCUGCUAGACCUCCAUAUCGCCUUUACGAAGGUUGAUCACUGGAACAGCAAGAGACCCUCUUUUAGAGACCCAAUAGUAAACAUACCUUAUGUCUCACGUAGAGAAAUUAGAACCUAUCCUUAGGGUGUAUGUUCCAACAUAUCUUUUGCAUCAAAACGAGUUUAAACCCCAAUGCAUUUUUAAUUGCAGGAUUUGUGAACGAAAUGGCCAUCAUCACUAAAUCAUCCUCAAUAAAACAUGCAUUUUUCAUGUAUCCAUCACAAUCAUACAUUUUUUUCUCAUACAUCUAUGCAUGCAUCUGCAGAUUAAGAAACAUAGGUCCCUCUUCUAGAAUCCACAACACUCGACAAAGAUCAAGAAUGGAAAACGAAGAAAGAGCUCACUUAGAGUCGCACUACCAUACCGAGUUGGAAUCCGUGAAAAAUGAAGUUUCUCGACUGACCAAUCUGCUUGAACAAUUUUUAAGAGCCAAAAACGGGGAGGGAACGUCUACCCAACCACCUAUAGGAGCACCAUCAGUUCAUGUCCCGGGGUAUCUCAGAACUUGGGGGCAGAUUCAGUGACGGGCAGCAUUUGCACCUACCAUUCCCAUUCAGCCCCCUCAAGCUCACAUCACAGCAGAUGGGCCUUCCGAUAAUAGGUCCACUGGUUUUAUGAACGAUGACAAGAUAUCAGCCUUGGAAGAAAGGUUAAGAGCAGUCGAGGGAAAUGACUGGUUUGACCCCAUGCGAGCGUCUGAAAUAUGCUUGGUACCAAACAUCACGGUACCAAAAAAAUUUAGGAUACCGGAGUUUAUAAAGUACACUGGGUUGGAAUGCCCAAACACUCACCUUCGAUCUUAUUGCAAUAAGAUGGCUGAGGUGAUUCAUGACGAUAAGUUACUGAUCUACUUUUUCCAAGACAGUCUAUCGGGGUCGGCGCUAAGUUGGUACAUGAGGCUGGAUAAUGCCAAGAUCAAGAAAUGGAAGGAUUUAGUUGAGGCUUUCCUUAAGCAAUACAAGUUCAAUUUGGAAAUUGCUCCAGAUCGAACGAGCCUUAUGUCAAUGGAAAAGAGAAGCCAAGAAUCAGUAAGGGCUUAUGCGCAAAGGUGGAGGGACGAGGCCAUGCAUGUGCAACCCCCUUUGAUAGAAACGGAGAUGGUGACUUUGUUCGCCAAUACAUUCAAGGCACCCUACUAUGAGCAUUUAAUGGGUAGCUCAUCUCAACAUUUCUAUGAUGUUGUACGCAUAGCGGAAAGAAUAGAGCAAGGGAUUAAAGCUGGACGCAUAAUUGAGCCAUUGGAGACAAAGGGUUUUUUCGGAAGAAAAUGAAAGGUCCCGUUAACAACUUCGAAGGUGGGUCCAAUGACAAGAUAACAGAUUCAUAUAACCCACAAAUACCUACCUCUCAUGUGGCCCACAUAAACUUUAACAAACCUUUUUCCCCUAAUCGAGCAAAUGGCCAGUCAAACACCCAAAACAACCACCAAAGACCAAACACAAGAUACAUUUCAGAACAACUACCGCCAUUACCCAUGGAUAUAUAUGCCAAACUACUGAGCAUUGGACAAAUAGCUCCUAUCCCUACAUUACCACUACAGCCACCAUUCCCCAUCUGGUAUAAGCCCGAGUUGACUUGCGAGUACCAUGCUGGUAUUCCCGGGCAUUGUCUUGAAACGUGCUACGGUUUCAAGAACAAGUUGUUGAAGCUCAUCAAGAUAGGAUGGGUGUCAUUUGAAGACACCCAAUAUCAUUCAAAUCCAUUGCCUGGUCAUGACAAAAGUGAUAGGGGAUAAAGGUUGGAAAACCUUGGUCAAGAGUCGUCAAUAAUGAAGAAGGCGAGAUCGAAGGAGAAGACAAGGAAACGCAAGUGGGGAAGGAAGAUGAAGCAUUGCCUCGGUUGACUUUCCACACACUAGAAGAAGUUUCAGAACGGGUUGACCCAAGAACUUCUCGUAGUUUUCAAAAUGUAAAACAACUUUAUUUGCCUUAGCAUGUUUUUGUCAUUUGCUUUUGUCUUUGCUUUUAUUUUCUCUAGUGAGCAUUCAGAGCUCAUAUUGUCAGCCAGAUUUUUGUGUUUGUCUUUGAGCCUACCUUUUCUUUAAAUAAAUGAUGAGUUUAUGCAUUUUUUUAACAAGUUUGAGUGGUUACAAAUAAAGUAUCAUAAAAUGGUUUAAUAUGAAAUUUAAGAAAAGCUACCCUAAAUACAACCUACCUCUGAUAGCAUAAUGUUUAAGUGGUCACUUUGUAAUUUCUUUUAAAGAAUAGAGUUUAUCAACCUAACAAUGUGCAUUUUGAAAAAAAAAUCAUUAUCUAUUCACUCACUAAAAAAGUUUUCAGGCUGAAUGAAUUGCUUCUCUAUAUAAAAACCCAGACUAAUAUCGCACCCCUAUACUGGGGGCAAGACGAGAUGUUUUAUGAAAAGUUUUACGAUUUGAAAACCAAGCUAAAGCAUUUGACAAAAGCAUGACAAAGAGGCAAAUACAAGUCAUACAUUUUGAGAAAAGGACUACUUGAAGAAAGUCAAAGACCUUUUCUCCAAGAAUAUGAUAGGCAACACGAGAGAUGAAUCCAGCAUACGACUUCAAAAGCAAGUUCAUGUUAAGAGGGAGUCCCAUGAACUAGAAGAAGAGGAUGGGGCCUAUGUUUCAAAACCAGGUACGAAUGCAUGCAUUGCAUCUAAUCAUAAAUCAUUGCAUAUAUGUUUUUUGGAUCGUUACAGGAGGAGAUCUUAGCGCAUUCCAACAAGAUUAUGGACGAAGAAAAUCAUUGAGUUGAUUCUAGAACAACAAGAAGAGAAGAUAAUGGUUUUCAAACCCUGCCAGCAGGAAGAACGACAUCGAUAGCAUUCGGUAAAAAGGAAUCGCCAGAUGUGAUUCCAAGUUGUUGAGAUCGCCAGAAGGGAUCUCGUAUUUCGAUGGAGGUCGCCAGAAGGGACCUCAUAUUUCAGUUUUGAAUAAAAGGAAUCCAGAUGGGAUUCCAAGUGUUUGAGAUCGCCAGAAGGGGUCUCGUUUUCGAUAUUCACCAAUGAAGGUCGCCAGAAGGGACCUCAAAUUUCAGCUUUGGUAUAAAAGGAAUCGCCAGAUGGGAUUCCAAGUUGUUUGGCUAAAGGAGAUCGCCAGAAGGGAUCUCAUAUUUCGAUAAGGGUCGCCAGAAGGGACCUAAUAUUUCAGCUUUGAAUAAAAGGAAUCGCCAGAUGGGAUUCCAAGUUAUUUGAGAUCGCCAGAAGGGAUCUCGUACUUCGACAUUCAUCAAGGAAGGUCGCCAGAAGGGACCUUAUAUUGAAACCAUUUCUUAGAAAAGCAUGGAGUUUACUAAGAAUUAUUCCCCUGGGUUAGUCACCCAUACAAUGAGACCAUCAUUUUUCUUGGGUAGGUCACCCAUACAAUGAGACCAUUCAUUUUUCUGGGUAGGUCACCCAUACAAUGAGACCAUCAUUUUUCUGGGUAGGUCACCCAUACAAUGAGACCAUCAUUUUUCUGGGUAGGUCACCCAUACAAUGAGACCAUCAUUUUUCUGGGUAGGUCACCCAUACAAUGAGACCAUCAUUUUUCUGGGUAGGUCACCCAUACAAUGAGACCAUCAUUUUUCUGGGUAGGUCACCCAUACAAUGAGACCAUCAUUUUUCUGGGUAGGUCACCCAUACAAUGAGACCAUCAUUUUUCUGGGUAGGUCACCCAUACAAUGAGACCAUCAUUUUUCUGGGUAGGUCACCCAUACAAUGAGACCAUUUCAUUUUUCUGGGUAGGUCACCCAUAAUACAAGGUCAUUUUUCCUGGGUAGGUCCCCAAUGAGACUCUUUCCCUUUUUUCGGGCAGGUCACCCAUCAUAAUGAGACCACCACACACUUUUUUUGUUAUGGGUAAAGGAAUCGCCAGAUGGGAUUCCAGGUUAAAGGAGAUCACCAGAUGGGAUCUCGGAUGGAUUUCCAUGUUGAUCAAACUAAAGUAAGAAUUCAGAGGAUUGCUGGAUAAGGAUCUCGAACUAAGUUUUGAUCAUGGUUUUUGGGCUAAGGAGGAUUGUUGUAAAAACAAAGUUUCAGAUCAUUUAAGCUUUGACCAGAUCAGUUUCGGGAUUGCCGUUUUGGGUUUAUCUUUAUAACACUUACUGCGCAAAAUCCAUGCUCCGUAAGUAUUAUAAAGAGGGGGCAUCUGUUGUAACCCAUUUUUGGGUCCCCAGGAAAAAUAAAAUAAAUAGCCAAAAGAGUUUAGAAAAAAUAACAGAAGGCAGAAGCGCUCAGGAAACAGUCAGAAAAUUGGUCAAGGAAUUUAAAAAUACAAGGAUUAAAUUUUUGACAGUAUAUUCUUGAAGGAUGAAAGCCCUAUUGAGAAGGAAAAUUUGAAUUUUGAGGAGAAAAGCCCAAAUUUGGAUGUUUAUGGACUUAAUUGGAUUUUUAUGGACUUAAUUGGAUUUUUAUUUGAAUUUAUAGAAGGAUUUGAUUGCAAGAAAAAUUGAUUUUUAAGUCAAUUUGGGCUUUAAUUUGAAGAAAUUUAAGUUCUGGGGCCAAAAUAUAUUUUUUAGGAAUUUAUUGGGUCAAAUCAGGGGCUUCAAUUGCAUAAAUAUUGAAGUUUAAGGGCCAAUUAGGGAUUUAAUUUGAAAAUCCGAAACCAGGGACCAAUUGGAAGAGGCGUGUAAAUAGAGGGGCUGGAUUUUGUUUCAGGGGCUAAUUGAAGAAAUUGAAGUUUAUUGAUCAAUAGAGGGCUCAAUUGCAUAAAUCAGAGGCCAAGGACCAAAGUGAAAAAGGCGGCCAACAAGAGGGGCGGGGACCGAAUUUGGGGACUGAUUUGAAGUUUAGCCAUUUAAAUGAAACGGCGCGUUUUACCCAAAACGACGCCGUUUCAUAAAAAAAAAAAAAAAGGAAAUCAGAACGGUGUCGUUUUGAACGACACUGUUCAUCUUCCUCCUUCCCCCGUUUUAACAGAACAGAAGACGAAAAAAUUCGAAAAUUCUUCCCGCGCCUCUCUCUCCUCGCCCCCACCACCUUUUUGGCCGACCAGCCGUUACACCCGAUGGUCCCCCACGGUUCUGCCCCUAUAAAUAGAAGAGACCGAAGAAAAAAAAAGGAAAGAGAGAGAGGAGGAGAGAGAGAGGAGAGAANNNNNNNNNNNNNNNNNNNNNNNNNNNNNNNNNNNNNNNNNNNNNNNNNNNNNNNNNNNNNNNNNNNNNNNNNNNNNNNNNNNNNNNNNNNNNNNNNNNNNNNNNNNNNNNNNNNNNNNNNNNNNNNNNNNNNNNNNNNNNNNNNNNNNNNNNNNNNNNNNNNNNNNNNNNNNNNNNNNNNNNNNNNNNNNNNNNNNNNNNNNNNNNNNNNNNNNNNNNNNNNNNNNNNNNNNNNNNNNNNNNNNNNNNNNNNNNNNNNNNNNNNNNNNNNNNNNNNNNNNNNNNNNNNNNNNNNNNNNNNNNNNNNNNNNNNNNNNNNNNNNNNNNNNNNNNNNNNNNNNNNNNNNNNNNNNNNNNNNNNNNNNNNNNNNNNNNNNNNNNNNNNNNNNNNNNNNNNNNNNNNNNNNNNNNNNNNNNNNNNNNNNNNNNNNNNNNNNNNNNNNNNNNNNNNNNNNNNNNNNNNNNNNNNNNNNNNNNNNNNNNNNNNNNNNNNNNNNNNNNNNNNNNNNNNNNNNNNNNNNNNNNNNNNNNNNNNNNNNNNNNNNNNNNNNNNNNNNNNNNNNNNNNNNNNNNNNNNNNNNNNNNNNNNNNNNNNNNNUGACGAAAAUCGGAUAUUUUAAUACUGAGCUUAUAUCCUUACGGUAUAAAAAUACAACCCAAUAUUAAUCCACUUUGCUAAAAAUAUGCAGAAAAAUCAACAACAUUUUAGGGACUUUUUAGAAAAAAUUUUGAAAGCAAAAACAUUUUUUUUUGAAAAAUCUUUGAUGUUUUGACGAAAACCGGGUAUUUUUAACACUGGUUUUGUAUCUUUACAGUAUAAAAAUACAAACCAACAUUAAACCACGUUGACAAAAAUAUGCAGAAAAAUCACAAUAUUUUUUAAGAUUUUUCAAAAUAUUUUUUUAUAUAAAUAUAUAUUUUAUAUAUAUAACAUAUAUACACACAUAUAAUAAUAAUUAUAAUAUAUUUAUAAUAUAUUUAUAUAUUAAAAGGGGCUGGGCCGGCCCAAACUAAACUGGGCCGGACCCAGCCCCAACAGUCGUUGGGCCGACCUCGGCCCAACGGGUACUGGGCCGACCUCGGCCCAACAAACUAAUUAAACUCGGACCCGGCCCAGACCACCGGAUGGGGCCAGACCACUCUGGCCCGGCCCACAUAGUUCUGGGCCAGACACCAUCUGGCCUAGAGGAAUUAAAAAAACAACGCAAGGGGGGAAUUAUUUUCCCCCCCCGUCCCCUGCAUGCAGAACGCCUCUGCAUGCAGGGACGAAAUAAUAAAAACAAGAAAAAUGCAGGGGGGGAAGAGAGCGUACCUGGCGCGGCGGAGACGGUGGUUUGCUGGCGGGGCUACGGUGGCGUGGCUCGUGGACGGCGGCUCCGGGCGGCGUUGCUGCUGUUUCUAACAGUGGCGAAAAAUUCUUCUUCCUCCCUUCUCCUUCGUUUUUUUUUUUCGUUCUCAGUGGCUGCCUAUUCUCGGUUCGGUUUUGGUUUCUUUUUUUGUUUCGGUUUCCUUCUUCUCGGUUUGUUUCUGUUCUUCUCUCUCUCUUCGGGUAGCUUUCUCUCUCUUUCUCUCUUCGGGUCUCGGUUUUCCUUUUCUCUUCGGUUUUUCUUCUUUAUUUAUAGGGGCAGCACGGUGGGGGGCCAUGGUUAGUGCGCCUUCAAUCACGCAUGGCUGGUCGGCUCUUUCGGUGGUGGUGGGGGCGAGGAGAGAGACGCGGGAGAAUUUUUUUUUCGUCUUCUGUUCUGUUAAAACGGGGGGAAGGAGGAAGAUGAACAGUGUCGUUCAAAACGACACCGUUCUGAUCUUCCUCUUUUUUUUUUUUUUUUAUAUAUAUAUAUGAAACGGCGUCGUUUUGGGUAAAACGCGCCGUUUCAUUUAAAUGGCUAAACUUCAAAUCAGUCCUCCAAAUUCGGUCCCCGCCCUCUUGUUGGCCGCCUUUUUCACUUUGGUCCUUGGCCUCUGAUUUAUGCAAUUGAGCCCCUAAUUGAUCAAUAAACUUCCAAUUUCUUCAAUUAAGCCCCUGAAACAAUUCCAAACAGCCCCUCUAUCUUUGCGCCUUCUCCAAAUUGGUCCCUGGUUUCGGAUUUUCACAAUUAAGUCCCUAAUUGGCCCUUAAACUUCAAUAUUUAUGCAAUUGAGCCCCUGAUUUGACCCAAUAAAUUCCUAAAAAAUAUAUUUUGGCCCCAGAACUUAAAUUUCUCCAAAUUAAAGCCCAAAUUGACUUAAAAAUCAAUUUUUCUUGCAAUCAAAUCUUCUAUAAAUUCAAAUAAAAAUCCAAUUAAGUCCAUAAAAAUCCAAUUAAGUCCAUAAAAAUCCAAUUAAGUCCAUAAAAAUCCAAAUUUGGGCUUUUCUCCUCAAAAUUCAAAUUUUCCUUCUCAAUAGGGCUUUCAUCCUUCAAGAAUAUACUGUCAAAAAUUCAAUCCUUGUAUUUUUAAAUUCCUUGACCAAUUUUCUGACUGUUUUCCGAGCGCUUCUGCCUCCUGUUAUUUUUCUAACCUCUUUUGGCUAUUUAUUUUAUUUUUCAUUGGGACCCAAAACUGGGUUACAACAAAUUGCAUGAUCACAAUGGUAUCCCUGACCUAUCUCGUGGUGGAUAAUUUGUUGCAAUGUCCUGAUCUCCAUCAAAAUCCUUUUUGUUUUGAAAAGGAUUACACACACACACUCAAAGAUCACUUAAUAUCAUUAUAUUAGUUUUCAAGUUUUGAGAUAUAAGUUCAUAACUCUUAAAGACAAGAAAUAUACCACAAGAUUUAAAACUAUUUCAUAUUUCAUUAAAAUAAAUAAAUAAAUUACUUAUGUGGUUACAAUAUUUUUUUCUUAAGAAAAUAAAUUGAUUUCUUGAGUUAAUAACAUUUAAGGAUUUCUUCAAUCAAAUAAUCAAAUUUAUUUUUAAUAAACCUAUUGUUGAAUUAUGAAAUUGAAAAAAAAAAUCAAUCUAAAAGAAAACACAAAAAAUGACCUUACGAAACAAAAUUAUGAAUUUAAAUAAAAUUAUGAAAAUUUCAUCGGCAAUCUCACAAAGUCUUUCUAAACUCUAUUGUUUAAAAAUUUUAACUUGCGAUAUAAAUAUAUUUUAGGAGAUUUCUCAUAAAGUUUUAGUCUAAUCCAACAGUUGAAUUGAGAGAUAUAAUUAAUACCGUAAAACUAGACUAUAUAUAUAUAUAUAUAUUUUUUUUUUUUUUUAUAAAAGCAAAAGAAAACAUUAUUUGAUCAUAAUCGAAUGGCUGGAAUAGAACCAAAAUAUUCUGACCAGGUUUAGGUGAAAUUCAUGAAAUGAGAUAAGAUUAUAAAUGAGAUGAAAUAUCUUCCAAUUUAUUCAAUUGUUUAAAUUGAAAUAAAAUAUACCUGCCAUUCUAGAUGUGACAUAAUGAAAUUAAAAACCAUGGUUUUUUAGAGCCCCAAGCGUACGGCCCCAUCUCGUGGGAAAAAUUGCAUGAUGACAAUCGUAUCACUGACCCAUCUCGUGGUGGAUAAUUUGUUGCAAUGUCUUGAUCGUCAUCAAAAUCCUUUGUGUUUUGAAAAGGAUCACACACACACACACACUUAAUGAUCACUUAAUAUCUUUAUAUUAGUUUUCAUGUUUUGAGAUAUAAGUUCAUAGCUCUUAAUAUCUUUAAUCCUUAGUGGUUGCAUUUUAACACUUGAGAUUAAAUUUUUAUGCAUAAGCAUUUUUUUUUUUUGCAAACUAAAUUGAAAUUAAAGCAUAUUAAUUAUCAACUCCCAAGCUUACUGGGCAAUGGUCUCAUGGACCCAUCUCGUAGAAAAAACGCUUGAUAGCAAUGGUCUCAUGGACCAUCCCUUCGGCCUAUAUCAUGGAAAAAAUGCAAAUGACAAUACAUAGUCUCACAGACCCAUUUCGUACUGCAAAUUCCUAUCCAUCUUACUUGUUGAUUGUGUUACAUAAAAAUAGAUUGAUAAGUACUUUAGAAAGAAAAAGAAGAAGACUUGUUGUCACGAAAAUGACAAGAAGUAUUUUAAAAAUAAUAUCAUUUGUGGUUUAUUUUAUCAAUGAUGCUCUUUGAUUUUGUCAUCAUUGUCGCACGUUAGAAAAUCUGCGCGGCAUCGGCUGAUGAUUUUUCUCGUUUAUGUGGUUGCUUUGAUUGGUUCGUUGGAGUCGCCACCUAGUAAUUUAUUAAAGGCUACUAGGAAACCGGAUAUACUGGUCUUAUCAGAGAUUCCCGGGUAAGGGACUGGUUGUUGUUAGGGAAGGUAUUAGCACCCCUAACGCACCCUACCUAAGGCAAGCUGCUUCGCGGAUUUGAUGUGUUAAAGAAGUUUUAAUAAUUGUCUUUUCAUCGGAUAUUAGAAAUAUAACUUACGUAUAAGUUAAUAAUUCUUGACCGUGAUCCAAUCAAAAUAUUAAAUUCUUCUUUAAUCCUUGCAAUUUUAUCAUAAGAAAAUAUAUAUAAAAAUAAAACAAAUACAAACUCACACAUUCACUUUUACUAUAUUUUUUCUUUUCUUUUCUUUUCCUUUUUUUUGUUACAUCCACAUUUACAGCAUACAAAUAAAAAUUCAAUACUAAACAAAAACAAAUACAACAAGCAAUUUAAAAUUACAAAACAGCCCCUAAAACAUCCUAGGGCUUCUAGAACAGUGCACGGGAACAGUGGUGCACGUCUGCCCACACGCCCUAUCACUGGCGGGGCGUGGAUUCACUCGCCGCCGAAAAAAAAUAGGCAGCAGGGUGGGUCUGGCUCAGUUUCAUCUCCUCUUCCCUUCCCUGUCGGCGGUGAGGGUCUUCAUCACCUGCAAAAGAGUAAUACACCCAAACCAGUUGAUUUUAAUCUUUGUUUAGAUCUGUUUCGCUUCUGUUCUCUUUUCCCUUUUUUAGAUCUAUUGUUUUUUGUCUUCUUUCUUCUUCGUGGCGUCCGUUCUUUCCUUCUUCAAUCGGUGGCAGGUCUGGCGGUUGGGCGGUGACGACGCUGGAGGAAGACGGCUAACAGAUCUAGGUCUGUUAGCGUCGUAUGUCUCAGCUUCUUCUUUGCUAGUUGCAGAUCGGGCGGCGCUGCUGGCUAAUGGUGGAUCUGUGACCGGGUGUGGACGAUGUUGCUGGCUAACGGUAUGGACGACGCUGUUUAGCCGAAGAAGGAGACCGUGGGUCUGAGGCGAUGGGGGAACGGCCUUGCCCAUUCUCUGGUCGGUGAGAUGAGGUUGUUCUGCUGUAUGGCUUGGUGGAGACCGGCGUUGAUGGAGAUCGAAGGGGGAAGAAGAUGCCGCUGAGGGGAAGUCUUUGGUGGUGACAGGGGGGGUUUCUUUCAGUUUGUGAAAUGAGGAGAUGAAGAGGCGGGGAAGAGGUGGGUUGGUGUUUUGUUUUGGCUUUGGCCAGGGAAGAGAGGCGGAUGUUUGGAAGGGGGAAGGCUUCUGCGGGGAAGGCAGGCUAUCGGUCAGCUGAGAAGGUCUGUGUGUGGGAGAAAAAAAAUUCAGCGUGGGGGGCCGGCGGCUCUCUUGUUAGAGAUAGGUUUAGGGUUAGGUUUCCCCUCUUUUGCAAGUGUUGGAAGCUACUAUUUAUAGACAAAUAUGUUGCUAGGUCUCCCAACUUGGUCCCUCAACUUCUUUUUUUUGUAAAUUUUGAUUUUUCUUAUUUUUUUGUAUUUUUUGAAAACGAGCAAUAUCAACGUCGACUGAAUGAGGAAAAUCAAUGAUUUUAAAAAUAAUGCGUGAAAAGUUACACGCGUUCGAAAGACCUUUGGAAAUUUAAAUGUUUUUAGAUGACGCUGAAAAUGCUAAAAACGACGCAAAUAUAUUUAAAAAGUAUUUUUUUUGGAUUUUUUAUGUUUUUCUCAAUGUUUUGAUUUUUCUAAAAAAUUAUCAAAACAUGGGUCAAAAAUUGGGUAGCAACAAUAACCAUCAAAAUUAAGGCAUCUUUUUUGAAGAUUUUAGGUGAAGAUGAUGAUUUUGAGUUAUGGUUUGUUUAAAUAAUGAAUUUGAGUUAGAAAUCUUGAUAUAUUAGUAGGUGAUUUGUGUGUAUGUUAAUUAAAGUGCAUAAAUUUAAUAUUGAAAUUUAAUUAAAGUCUCUCUUACAAUCCAAAAUUUAUUUUUAAUUAGAGUGCAUAAAAUAAACGCAGCAAAAGUUCUCCCUGUCUCUGUGUAUGUUAGACGGAGUUUGCAUUAGAUAAUCAAUAAUAUUGUAUAUAUGUUUUUUGGAGAAAGUAACUCAUUAAUUUCCACUUUGUUUUUAGAACAAGAAAAAUUUUACUGAGUCUUAUUUAAAUAUGUAUUUGAUAUUAUAGUAGUUUAUAUGAUUGUAAUUUGAAAAAAUAAAUUUAAAAAAGCUAUAAGUUGUAGCUUUUUCUUAACUAAUAUUUCAAGAUAGAGUUUGUUGUAGGACCCAUACAAAGUCAUGAUAUACGUUAAUCAACCAAAAAUUUAACAUGUAUGAUUAGAACAAAAUGCAUAAGACAUCAUACUAUAGAAACUAAUAAAGAAUGAUCUAGAUCUAACAAAAUAAUUUUUUAUAAGUAUUUUAAAAAAUUAAAUCUACUCGAGUGAGAUACCAAGUGGUUUCCAAACCAAUGCAAUUUUAUAACCAUGGUAAAAACCUGAAAAGAAGUGAAAGAAAAUAAAGAAAAAAUUUCAUCAAGCAUUUGAGUUUUUUACUUUGGUUUUAUGUUUUAGAAAAUGAAGCUUUUUAGCCAAUGAAAAUUUUUAAUUUGAACAAAAUAAUUAAAAUACCUUCCUAAUAUGUCAAAAACUCACAAACAACAGAUCGCACGAGUUCUCUUUUCCCUUCUUUCCAUUCCCUCCUCUCUCUUCAUCCUUUUUUUGUUUCAACCCUAUAUCAAUUCAAUUGAAGCUUAUGAAGAACUCCUAAAUUGUUAGUGAGUUAUUCUAUUCACCCCCCAAUUGUUAGUGAAGUAUCUUUUUUUUGUUUCUUGUGAAUGUCUUCGUCGUGGUCCAGCAAUUUUAAUAGAAGAAUUACUGACGCCUUUUAUAAGCAUCCAUUUUCCUUCUUGUAGUUUUCUAUUCAUUUUCACACCCCAGUUGCCACCCUGCUUUUCUUUCCAUUCACGCACACAGAUAGUGCAAAAAAGCACUGCGACAAUAGUUGACUCCCAGUCAAUACGGUCAAGAUAAGGUAAUUGGCUGUUGUGUGAUUUUUAUAUGGUUUGUGUGUUUUAGAUGGGUGUGGAGAAUUUUAAUUUUAGCAUUUUUUUAGAUAAGAUAAUUGGUUGUGUUUAAAAAUUAAAAUGCCACACACCAGAAAAGUCAAUUAGUUAUGAUUUGUGGAAGAUAUGAUACAAGAGAUAAGAAAAUGAUGGUGAUGAAGUUUUUGUAUAUAAUAAUGAAGCCCACAAUCCACAUGGAUAAGAUUUAUAAUUAUUCUUUGUUUAUUAUUAUUGAUAAUUUAUGUAUUUAAUUAUAUAUGUUAUAGUGAUGACACCAUACAAGUAGGGUCCUAAAUAAUUCUCAAUUAUGACUAGAGAAGUCUAAUUAUUAAAUCCAAAAGAUCUUACGCGGAAUCACACACAUGAAUAUCGAUAACAAUGUUGAAGUAUUGCAACAAUUUUUUUAUUUUAAUUUUUUAUAAAUUGGAUAAUUAGUAACCAAAAUAUAAUUAAAUGGAAAUAGACUAAGUGCUAAACAAUAAAAUAAAAUAAUAUUCAAAUCCAAGAAUAUUCCAAAAAAAAUGAAAUAAUAUUCAAAUCUCUAACAUAGAACUUGCAUAAGAUAUGCAGAUAAAAUCAUGGAAAUGGCCAAAAUUGUAGUAUAAAUAGGAUCUCUAUGGUUACAUAACAAACAACAAUAUUCUACGUAGAUGAUGAUGAAAAGAAUAGGGGCUUGUAUAGUGUUGACUCAACCAAGUGAGAGCUGACUCAAUAAAACCUAAUCAACUUGAUAAAUUAACUCACAAUUUAGUUAAUUUAAUCAAAAACUAAAUUUAUUUUAUUUUAACUACGUGAUUUUGAUUUUUUCUAAAUAAAACUCUUAAAAUGAUACAAUUUUUUUAUUAAUAUCAUUCAAUAAGUUAACUUGUUUGAUCUAUAACCCAAGUCUUGAUCCGAGUAUUAAGUCAAUCUAUGACCUAAACCCUCGAAUUAAAUCUAACCAUGUUUAAUAACUUUGGUUUCUUAAGAAAAAUAUCAAAUAUAAUUAAACAUCUAAUUACAUCCAAAUUGAACAUUCACAAAUUGAUAUAAUAGUUAUUAAUAUUUAUUUUUAAUAUAUAUAAAAUGAAAGAUUUUAAUAAUUGAUUAAUAUUUUAAACCACAUAUGUUUUUAUAGUUUUUUUUUUAAUUUUAUUUUUUAAUACUGAGUUUGUUUAUCUCGAUCUCAUGAUUCAGGUCGUAGACUUGACGAGUUAACUUAAGUUUUUUUUUUAAUAUAUAUAUAUAUAUAUAUAUAUAUAUAUAUAUAUAUAUAUAUAUAUAACAUGUCCUAUAUAUACCUCUGUUUUUCUUUUAUGCUAGAUAAUCUCUAAUUUUAGCUGUAGCACCUUUCUAUAAUAAUACUUGAUUAUUAUAAAAAAGAAGAAGAAGCAUAAGCAAAAACAACUUAGUGGAUUGACUAUUAUGGGUAAUGAGUUAUUUAUUUGAUUUUUAAUGAUUUUAGGUAAAGAUUAUGAUUUUAAGUUAUGAUUUGUUUAAAUGAUGAAUUUGAGUUAGAAAUCUUGAUAUAUCAGUAGGUGAUCCGUGAAAAAUCUGGGUUUGAGGAUGAAGAUGAUAAAAUUUUAGUUUGAUCCCUCAAUUUGUGAAAAUUUAAGUUAAUCCCCAAACUUUAGAAACAUUAUAGAUUGGUCCUUGUAACAUAAUCCUAGAUUCUGAACUGAGCUAAAGAUGAAUUAUGAGCAACAUUCCAAUAUAGUUAUGAAUUUAUGAUAUUUUUAUUUUGGUCCUUUAAUUUGAUAAAAUUUCAAUUUGACCUUUAAAAUUCUGCUAAAAUUUUAGAUUGAUCCCUGGAUCAUAAUCCGAGAUUCUGGACAGAAUUAAAGAAGAAUUAUGGGCAAAAUUUCAGUAUAGUUAUGAAUAUAACAUUUUCAUUUUGGUCCUUCGUUAAUUUAAUGGCAUUGCAAAGGCUUGAGAAUUCACAUAUCUCCUGAUGGAAGAGGUCCUUGCUGCUAAGACAUUGUCUUUUAACUCUAAACAUUAUUUUUCUGGUGUUGGAAUUUGCUUCGCAUAACGGAUCGUUUGUAGAAAAAAGAACAACAUUCACAAUCUAUGAAGAUAAGUAUCGUAUCAUCCUCGGAUUUCAUAAGCUGACUAGCAUUUCUAUCCUGCGUGGCAUGUGUCCGGCGUUGUACCAACAUCUUUGAUUUCAGGAAACCGGACCUCAUCUGGGACAGAAUCUGCAAUUAAAUUAGCACUUUAAGAUCAAACCAAGAUAAAGGUUUCUUGAAAAGAUCAUAUCCAUUAGAUAAUAUAAAUGGAGAAGUUAGUGACGUACCACUGAUACAGUGAAUGCAGUGCACAGCUUUCCUGAUUCUCCUUGUGAGUUACCAUUAAUGGAAGCUCACACACACUAUACCAGUCCCAUGCUUGACAAUAAAUGCCAUAGCUUCUGGUGUUGCCUUUGACGCUGCCAUUAUAAGGCCCCCUCAUUUUCUCUUAAUUUCUUCAUCAUCAACAACAAUUACUAACUGCAGAGAAUCAUCACACAUUCGUAACAUAAAGCCUUUGAAGUAAUGAUGUAAGGCCUAAGCAUACUAGCUAGACCCAGAAAAUUAAAUAAUAAAUCAAGAGGGUGAGCCUUUCCUUGACGAAUAUCCUCAAUGGCCUCUGGGAUCGAAGCAAAUCCUGUGGCCACAAUUUAUUGUUAGCACGUGUUUGCAAUUUGCAACAUAUAUUUUGAUGAGCUACUUGUAGAGUAAGGCGCUGUUUUUGUUUCUAGCUUUAGGUGAUUGCACCAAACAUAGACUGAACAAAAGGGACAUACAGUGGUGGAAAAAUGCAUGAUGGUUGGAAGAGGACGUCUCAUGGCCUCUCCUCGAGGAAAAAUGCAUGAUGACAACGGUCUCAAGGAUAAAUGUGCAGGUGGAAAUGGUAUCACGAACUCAUAAAUGCAUGAUGAAAAUGGUCUCGAGGAAAAGCAACAUUAUUGGGGACCAAAGUGCAGAUGACAAUGGUCUCAUGGACUCAUAAAUGCAUUAUGGUGAUUGUCUGUAGAACCCAUCUUGAGGAAAAAAAAUGCAUGAUGGCAAUAUACCACAAGCUUUAAAACUAUAUUAUAUUUCACUAAAAUGAAUAAAUAAAUUACAUAUAUAUGGUUACAAUAUUUUUUUCUAGCUUUAGGUGAUUGCACCAAACAUAGACUGAACAAAAGGGACAUACAGUGGUGGAUAAAUUGGUUCCAGUUCCUUUUGAUACAUUUAACCAGUUUUGUAUUCUUGCUCACUUUUCAAUUUGAAUUUACUAAUUAUUUUUUUCCUCCAACUUCCCAUAUCUUUUUGUUGGAAGCGUCAUUUGUAUAGCAUCCUUUUUAGACAAGUAACUCAUUAGAUAAUCAAUAAAAUUUAUUUUUAAUUCAUUUACUACUAGUUUACACUUCAAUCAAAAACUAAAUUUACUUUUACAACUAUUUUAAUUUUUUAAAAAUAUUUUUAUAUUGUUUAAUGCAUUAAUUUCAAGAAAUAAAUUCCUUUUAUCUUAAAAUCUGGAAUUGAAAAACCAGAUGUAUUUUAUAAUUCAGGAGAAAACUAGAAAAAAUGAUUAGUCUUCUCAUUCUAAUAAUAUAAAUGAUAUAUCUUUAACUCGAUUGAAAAAAUAUAUAUUUAAUAUUGAAAUGUAAUAAAAACAAGUCAAGAAUACCUUUCCUAACAUAAAAAUAAAAGAGUGUGUGUUUGUAUGUUAUGUAUUUGAAGUUUUUGUAUAUAAUACUAUAGCUACACAAUCCACAGGGAUAAGAUUUAUAAUUAUUCCGUAUUUAUUAUUAUUGAUAAUUUAUGUAUUUAAUUAUAUAUAUGAUAGUGAGAUGACACCAUGCAAGUAGGCUCCUAAAUGAUUCUAAAUUAUGACGAGAGAAGUAUAAUUAUAAAGUUAAAAAAUCUUAAUGUAACAUUGUUGAAGUAUUACAGAGAUUUUUUUUUUAUUUUAUUUAUAUAAAUUGGAUAAUUAAUAACCAAAAUAUAAUUUAAUGUAACUAGACUAAGUGCUAAACAAUAAAUUAAAAUAAUAUUCAAAUCCUAGAAUAUUCCAAAAAGAAAUAAAAUGAUAUUCAAAUCUCAAAACAUGAAACCCUAAAUUAUGAUGAGAGAAGUACAAUUAUAAAGUGAAAAAGAUCUUACGCGGAAUCACACAUGAAUGUCGAUAACAAAGCUGAAGCACUACAAUAAAAUUAUUUUAUUUUAUUUUAUUUAUAUAAAUUGGAUAAUUAAUAACCAAAAUAUAAUUUAAUGUAAAUAGACUAAGUGCUAAACAAUAAAUUAAAAUAAUAUUCAAAUCCUAGAAUAUUCCAAAAAAAAAAUAUUCAAAUCUCAAAACAUGUAACCCUAAAUUAUUACGAGAGAAGUAUAAUUAUAAAGUCAUGAAAACAAUCUUACGAAUGUCUACAAUAUAUAUAUAUAUCGGAUAAUUAGUAACCAAAAUAUAAUUGAAUACAAAUAAACUAAGGCGGAACUGAACAAUAAAAUAAAGGCCGAGCUGUACAAGAUAAUAUUCAAAUCUAUAUUAUUGACAAACACACCAUAAAGGCCGAAGUGUCAGACUUUGGCACUUCUAGGUUAAUUCCGUUGGAUCAUGUUGAAUUGUCAACAAUGGUGCGAGGUACUCUAGGAUACUUAGACCUGAGUACUUGCACACAAGCCAACUGACGGACAAAAGUGAUGUUUACAGUUUUGGAGUGGUUCUUGUGGAACUACUAACUGGGAUGAAGGCUAUUUCCUUCGAUAAGCUCGAGGGCCUUUAAGUGCUAAACAAUAAAAUAAAAUAAUAUUCAAAUCCAAGAAUAUUCCAAAAAAAAUAUAUUCAAAUCCAAGAAUAUUAAAAAAAAAUAAUAAUAAUAUUCAAAUCUUCAAACAUGGAACCUGCACAAGAUAUGCAGAUAAAGUCAAGGAAAUUAAAUGGCCAAAGUGUAGUAUAAAUAGGACCUCUAUGGUUGCCCAAAGGCACAUAAUAAACAACAAUAUUCUAUGUAGUAGUAAUUCAUAGAAUUAUCUAAGAUGAUGAUGAAAAGAAUUGGGGCUUGGAUGUUUUCUUUCACUCAUAUAACUAUCUAAUUUAAUUCAUCAAUUCAAAUGAAUUAAAAAAUAAAGAUAUAUAUUCAAUUAAUUUCACCUUCUUCCUAAUAAAGAAAAAGGGAAUAGGGAAAAAAUUAUGUUUCAACGCAUCGCACCUAGAGAUAUGGAUAAUACACAGAGAGUUUAUGGUAUUUUAUAACUAAUCAAUUGAGCGGCAGCUCGUAAACCACCUAAAAAGGAAUAUUUAUUAUUUGUUUAUACAUAGGAAAAACUUGUUCUCUCUGGUUUUUAAUAUCAUAAACGGUGCAUUAAUCCAGUUUUUAUAGAAAUAGCUAUGAUGAAAAUAGUAAAGAAUAUGUGGACUAUCUGUCAAUAAUGCCCAGGGAUGAUUUCGGGAAUUAUUAUAAAUUAUAUAAAAGGAAUUGUUAUCUGGAUUAUAUAUAUAUAUAUAUAUAUGAAUGAAAAGGUAAUUAAGACUAGUUUAACUGUUGGAGGGAUUUUAAUGGGUUCUAUGCUUGCGAAAAGGUUUUUGAGCUAAGAUUUCAGGCCUCCGAUGUUUAAGUAAAGAAAGUAAGUAAAUAUUCAAACACCCUAUUAUUUUUAAAUAGAAUAGAUAUUUUUCUAAAUUGUGCAUUUUUCAUCUACUAAAUGUAUUACAUUAUAUAUAUAUAUAUAUAUAUAUAUAUAUAUAUAUAUAUAUAUAGAUAAAGAUCAAGCAAUGGCUAUGUUUAGAUUGAUUUGCUUAUAUGCGAUAUUUGUGAACGCAUGAUAUAGAAUUUUUGUAAGAAUGUUUUAUAAACUGAUUUAUGAAAAAAACGAAAGAUGCGUCUUUAAUGUCUCCAUUCUGCACAUGUAAAUCGUUACGUUUCAUUCUUAAUGACGAGCAAGAACCCUGAGCUCACAAACCACACCGAUAUCAGAAAUGCGAGGAAUCAUUAGCAAAAGUAAAAACAAAUAAUUAUUGACAUAAGCAGCAAGUGUCGGUCAAGUAAUAUACAUAGACAUCUGUUUUUACUUCCUCCAGAGGUACAGAGUAUAGGAGUUUACUUGGCCACCCUUCUGUCUAAAAAUUCUAGCUAAGGGCUUCAUGGUUAAUUUUCUUGAACUUGAAGAACCCUUCACUUAUGGCUAUGCUCCAAGAUAUAUAAGUGAAUUAGUUGCAAAACAGGGGAGUACCUGUGUAAACAUUACAAUAGCAUUUACUCUGAGUAAGAACACCUCUAUGCAUGUGCUGUAAUUGACAAUAUUCAUGUUUGAAAACAUUUGAACGGGAAUAAAGAAAAUAAUUCAUCAAACAGUAUGCUUAAGGAAAUCAGCAGGAAAUUACUGCAUGGUUGUGUUUAAAAAUCAAAAUGGUACACAGCAAGUCAAGCAUGCGCGUUAUAUAUAUAUAUAUAUAUAUAUAUUUGGCCAGUAGUGCUACAAAGAAGAGAGAGUGGUACAUCCACUUUCUCAUCAAUUACUUGAGAUUUGUGGAAGAUAAGAAAAUGAUUGCUAUUAUCGACAAUUUCUCUGUUUAUAUAUAUAUAUAUAUUUGGUGGAGUUUCAUCAAUCCUUUCCAUUAGAUAUUCAAUAAUUUAUAUAUUCUUUUUGGAGAAGUAACUCAUUUUCACACCCCAGUUUCAUGAAAACGAAGACCACUCAUCAUGGUGUGGAACUAACUAAUUUACUGUUCGCGUUAUGGGGUCACUCAUUACUAUCAGAAGAAAUUAAACCAUUUUGGUGUCCAUUGUUUUGAUGCACUGAAUACCAUCUGGACCUGUUAACUGCCAAGAACAUCUAUUUUCCUGGCAAUCAAUUUGAAGAUGAAAACUCGAAUGCACAACUGUAACUGAGACUAGUUUUUCAAGAGACCUGCAAUUGAUUUAAAAUUCUUUCUUUCAAGGGCUCACAAGAUUCUGCAUGCAAAUGGAAUGGACUAGUUCCGAGUUGUUGAAGUUGUUUUCUUGACCUUGAUUGUGAAUUGUUCUCCGGCAGCUUGAUCCUUCUCUCUAUCCAAGGCAAUUUCUAUAACGUCGCCGGCCUUGAGGUCCUUUGAACGAACAAAUAAAAACCAAUCCCCAUAAAGGGCUGGUGAACCACCUACUGGUGGGGCUCUACAACGAAAUGUCCACACUUGACCAUCCUCGUCUUUAAACUUCAAAUAUGCUUCAUGGCCUCUCGGGAAAUCGUUUAUACAAUUUUCUGAUAGCAGUAGCCUUCUCUGAACAUCAAUAUUGUUGAGUUUCUUCGUGAAAUUUUUUUCCAUUGCUUAUUUCGGAGAAGUAGAAGAGCAAUUGAUGAGGCAACUUGCCUUUUUCAAUCUUCAACUCAUCUGACAGCUCUUCCGUGGUGACAUUGGAUCUCACAUACAACAACUUCAUGGGCUCAAUUUCAAAUUGUAUUGGCAAUCGAUCUUUGAGACUGAGUGUUCUUUAGAAACCUAAUCAUUUUGAUGGUGAGUUUCCUACUCAGAUAUGCUUGUUAGAAGAUUUAAGCAUUUUGGAUGUUUCAUAAAAUAAACUCUCUGGUCAUCUACCAUCCUGUCUAUCCUGUCUAGGAAAUUAUUCUCUCUCAAGGGAGAUUCAGAGAGCGUAGUAGGUGCUCAUGAAUCAAUCAUUCCAUACAAGUCCAUGGAGAAGCUGUACUCUGAAACAAUGGGACGACCACUAGCUAGAAGAGCAAUAGAAUUUACAUCUAAAAGAAUGUCUUAUCACUACCAGAAUUUCUGUGUUUAAAAAUCAAAAUGGCACGCAGCAAGUCAAGCAUCCGCGUUCACGACCUUUCUUGGCCAGUAGUGCUAUAAAGAAGAGAGAGUGGUAUAUCCACUUUCUCAUCAAUUACUUGAGAUUUGUGGAAGAUAUGAUACAAGAGAUAAGAAAAUGAUUGCUAUCAUCGACAAUUUCUCUGUUAUAUAUAUAUAUAUUAGGCGUAGUUUCAUGAAUCAUUUCCAUUAGAUAAUCAAUAAUAUUGUAUAUAUUCCUUUUGGAGAAGUAACUCAUUUUCACACCCUUGUUGUAGUUUUCCAUUCAUUUUCACACCCCAGUUGCCACCCUGCUUUUCUUUCCGUUCACGCACAAAGAUAGUGCAUAAAAGCACUACGACAAUAGCUGACGCAAAUUGUUUGUUGAGGUUGCAUUCCAACAAAACUAAUUUGAAUAUUUUUCCCAACCUGGCAAAUAGACUAAGUUCUCAACAAUAAAAUAAAAUAAUAUUCAAAUCCCAAAACAUGGAACUUGCACAAGUAUAAAUAGGACCUCUAUGGUUGCCCAAAGGCACAUAACAUGUAAAUCGAAUGAGAAGAGAUUGAAUCUGUAAAGUUAUAUUUUAUUGAACCUUGGAGAGAAAUAUAUACAGAUGAUUACAUGCUUAUCUCUUCCUAUAAUAAAGCUAUUCAAUGCUACAAUAAUGCAGAAUUCUAAGGGAUUUGAUUUACAUUCAAUGAAUCAUAAAAGGAAACAAAUACAUGAACAAUAACUGUUAAACAUAUUGCAGCAGAUUAACCUUCCAACACUCCCCCUCAAGUUGGAGAGUGGAUGUCUUGCAAUCCCAACUUGCGGACCAUAGGAAUGAAGAAUUCCUUUCCCAAUGGCUUAGUCAAAAUGUCGGCUAGCUGAUUUUCAGAACUCACAAAUCUUGUUUCUACAGAACCAUCUUGAAUCUUAUCCCUUAUAAAAUGACAAUCCAUUUCUAUAUGUCUCGUCCGUUCAUGAAAAAUAGGAUUCGCUGCAAUGUGUAUCGCGGCCUUAUUAUCACAAUACAAUAAUGCUGAUUGUUGAUGCAACACACCCAAAUCUUUAAGUAAGCAACGAAGCCACGUUAAUUCGCAACAAGCUCCUGUCAUAGCACGAUAUUCUGCUUCAGCCGAAGAUAGAGACACUGUCUUUUGUCGUUUUGAUCGCCAUGAAAUCAGUGAGGGACCUAGGAAUACGCAGUAUCCUGUGGUCGAUCUUCUCGUAAGUGGGCAUCCUGCCCAAUCAGAAUCAGAGUAAGCUCGCAGUCUGAGAUCACUGGUUGCGGAGAAGAAGAGGCCUUGACCAGGCGCAGAUUUCAGAUAUCUCACCACCCGUAAAGCUGCUUCCCAAUGAUCCUUUCGGGGUUGGUGCAUAAACCUGCUUAAUAUGUGAACAGAAUAUGUAAUAUCUGGCCUUGAAACCGUGAGGUAUAUCAACCUCCCAACCAAUCGCCUAUAUCGCUCUGGAUUUUUGAGUAACUCACUUUUGUCAGACAAUUUUAGGCUGCGUUCCAUAGGAGUAUUGAUGGGAGCUGCUCCCAGCAAACCUGCAUCCUUAAUAAUUUCCAAUGCGUAUUUUCGUUGAGAGAUAAAAGUACCAGCUUUGGAUGUGGAAAUCUCAAUACCAAGGAAAUAUCUCAGUUUACCAAGAUCUUUAAGAUGAAAUUUUCUAUGCAGGAAUUUCUUGAUAUCAGCUAUGCUCACGGGAUCAUUACCAGUAAUUAAGAUAUCGUCUACAUAUAUCAAAAGAACAGUAAAUGACUUGCCUUGCUUUCUGAUGAAGAGAGAAUAAUCGGCUUUUGACUGUUCAUAACCAGCUGAUUGUAUGGCCUCGGAGAAUUUGGCAAACCAUUGCCGUGAUGCCUGCUUCAACCCAUACAAUGAUUUGUGUAGACGGCAGAAUAAGUGUUCCUCCCCCUGUCUCCGAAGCCCAGGCGGUGGAGACAUGUAAAUUUCUUCGUGAAGAUCACCGUGGAGGAAUGCAUUAUUGACGUCAAGUUGAUGAAGAUUCCAUCCACGGGCAGCAGCCAGAGCUAAUAGACACCGAACUGAGAUGAUCUUGGCUGUUGGGGAGAAAGUAUCCUGAUAAUCAAUGCCAGCCAAUUGUGUGAAACCCUUCGCCACAAGCCGUGCCUUGAACCGUUCAAUUGACCCGUCUGAGUUAUGCUUGACCUUGAAAACCCAACGGCAACCAAUCGGGGUCUUACCAACUGGGAGAGGGGUGAGUGACCAAGUGCCAUUGGCUUGAAGGGCUUGUAGUUCGGUCUGCAUGGCUUGUUGCCAUUCGGGAUGAACAGCGGCCUCAGAGUAUGAUUUUGGUUCCGUGACAGUUUCAAUUUUAGCCACAAAAGAGUGAUAAGCAGGGUUAUAUCUGUGGUAUGAAACGAAAUUGGACAGUGGGUAUCGUGUACCUUUGAUCGGAGCUGGAACGAGGGAGGUCGAUUGAUCGGAGUAAGCAGCGGAGCAGAAGUAAUCGGCGAGUUUAAUUGGAGGAACAAUUUGGCGGCUGGAGCGACGUGGGGCUGCUGGAGGUGAAGUUGUAGGUACUGGAGAGGUGUGGGUUGGGUCAGGUUCAGGCGAGAUGAGGGAUCGGAGGGUAUUGGUUCAAGCGGUGGAGACGAAGAUUGUGGAAUUGGAUUUGGGGAAGUUUGUGUGGAUGACAGGUCGUUGGCUGGAGAGGGCGUGGACUCGGUUUGGAUAAGUGGAGAGGGGCUGGGCUGAAGGUGAUGAUGUAAUGGAUCGGGAGGUGAGGCUGAGUUGAGGGGAACUGGGCUGGGCCGAAGGUGAUUUUGUAAGGGAUCGGGAGUUUGAGCUGAGGUGAGGGUUUCUGGGCUGGGCCGAAAUUGAGGCUCAAAGGGAUCAUGGGCGGGGCUGGAAGCGGGAGGGGUCCAGAUUUGUGGGUUGAUGAGUUUUGGGCAGAAUAAUGGGGCACAUGGGAAGGGUUGACCGUGGCAUAUGGAAAAAUAUUUUCAUGAAAUUUUACAUCCCGGCUAGUAAAGACCUUUUUUGUUGAUAAAUCAAAUAACUUGUAUGCCUUUUGACCGAUUGGAUAUCCAAUGAAAAUAGAAGGAAUGGCGCGUCGGUCAAAUUUAUGAGAAGUGUGAACAUUAGUGGCAUAAGUGAGACAACCAAAAACGCGAAGAUGAGAGUAUGAGGGUGGUUUGGAAUAGAGAAGUUCAAAAGGUGUUUUGAAAGAGAUAACCGGUGAAGGUAGCCGAUUAAUUAUAUGGACAGCCGUGAGGGCACAUUCUCCCCAAAAUUGUGAAGGGAGUUGAGCAUGGAAUUUUAAAGCACGGGCAACUUGUAAGAUGUGUCGGUGUUUGCGUUCCACUACCCAUUUUGUUGAGGAGUGUAAACACAAGAAGUUUGAAAAAUGACACCUUUAUCUUGAAAAAAAGAUCGAAGUGAGAUAAAUUCUCCACCAUUGUCACUUCGAAAAAUUUUAAUGCGAGAUUCAAAUUGAGUGAAAAUAUAACUGAAGAAAUGUUGUAAAAUUGAUUGUGCUUCAGUUUUGUGACGCAUUAAAAAUAUCCACGUAAAACGUGUAUAAUCAUCAACAAUGGUGAGAAAAUAAUUAGCGCCAGAAAUAGAUGAAUGUCGAUAACGACCCCAAAUGUCACAAUGUAUAAUAUCAAAAGGCUUGGUAGAUGAAAUAGUACUAGUACCAAAAGAUAGACGACUUUGCUUAGCCAAAGGACAUAUGUGGCAAGCAUUUUUUGACUCAACGGAAAAAUUCAAAAAAAAUUUAGCGAGAAAACUUAAACGGGAAGGUGAGACAUGUCCUAGACGAUUAUGCCACAGGUCGGUAGAGGAGAGGGUAAGGUAGCAUGCAGGAUGAUUUGUGGUUGAGGAAGGUUUGGUGAGGUUUUUUUCUGUCGCUAGUGCCACCAAAUAGUAUAGUUCGUUAUGUUGUUUACCCAAACCAAUCGUCCUCCUCGUAGCCAGAUCCUGCAAAAUACACCAAUAAGGGAGAAAAGUCACUGAACAGUUCAAACUCCUUGUCAAACGACUGACUGACAUCAAGUCGACUUUGAAUGUAGGCACAGAUAAAACAUCAUGCAGAUAAUAGACUGAAUUUAAGGGUAAAGACCCUUUCGCAAUAAUAUCUGCCUUGUCUCCACUAGGUAACAGUACAGGUGGUAGUGAGCAAUCCUUAUUUUCAUUCAACAAUUCAGAUGAAGAUGUGAUAUGGUCAGUAGCCCCACUGUCAAUAAUCCAGUUAUGGUUAUCAAGUUCAGACAAACCUGGCUUUGUUACUGCAUUGGCUUUUGAGCUAGAACUGUCCUCAUGAUUAUUUAGGAGUGACAAAAGUUGCUUGAGUUGAGUUUCUGACAACGAAACCGUGGGCCUUACCUCAUCUUUGUGGGACAUUUCAGAUACCUGGUUAGCUAAGGGAAAACCAUUGUGCUGAUUUCCAAUUGAGUGCUGAUUUCCAAUCGGGCUUUGAUUUCCAAUCGGGUACCCAUUCAUCCUCGCUUUAGGGUGUCUCGGUGGAUACCCAUUUAACUGGAAACACUUUUGCACCCAAUGCCCCAUUUCUCCACAAUGGGUGCACUGGGGUCGUCCCCUUCCUGACCCAAAACGGCGCCGAUCCUGGUCAAAACGGCGUUCUCCUUGCGGUCGAGUAUCACGAGGCUGAGAGAGGCGAUUCACGGAGUGUUGUGGGCGAUCUGUCUCUGAGACAAAAUUUCUUUUUCCUUGAUUAUUAUAACGUACUGCCAUGGCAGCACUCCCACCCAUCUCCGUUUGUGCAACGCUGAGAAAUCGUUGCUUUUCUUCUUGACAUACCGAAGAAUAAGCUUGGCGAAUGGAUGGCAGAGGAUUCAUCAGCAAGAUUUGGCCUCGAAUUGCAGAGUAAGUGUCAUUUAAACCCAUUAAGAACUGCAUUAAUCUUUGUUGGUCUGCCUGCGUUCCAUGUGUUGUGUCUGUGUAUGAAGCCAAUUCAUCCCACAAACCUUUCAAUUUCGUGUAAUAUGAGGAGAUGGAGAGCUGCUCCUGUCGAAGAUAUGCAAUGUCCCUCUGAAUUUCAAAUAUGCAAGGCGCAUUGCUCUGUGAAAAACGUUCCUGUAAAUCUUCCCAGACUUCAUGUGCGGUGGGAUAAUAGAUUACACUAUCUGCAAUUUCCGGGUUCAAUGUAUUGAUGAUCCAGGAAUGGACCAUAUCAUUACAUCGUGACCAGGUAGCAUAGCCUUCAGGAUCAGUCUGUUCUGAAGGAAUUUCAAUUGAGCGAUUGAUAAAACCGAGUUUGUUCUUGGAGUUUAGGGCGAGAGUCAUAGCCCUUUUCCACCCAGAAUAAUUAUCUCCAUUCAGUGAUUUGGAGACAAGGAUGAGGCCUGGAUGAUCCGAGUGAUGGGUGAAAUAUGGGUUUGAGAAGUCAGAUUUGCAGAAGUUUGAUGCAAGGUCUGAUUUGGACGAAUCAGAUGGAGCAGCGAUGGUGCUGGGACUUGAUAGAUUGAUUUCUUCAUUGGCCAUGACAGUGAAGGCAAAAUUUCGUGAGAAUGUUUAUGAAGGAUUUUGAAUGCAGAAUUUUGAUUUUAGAAUUUCAAUUUACGUGUGCUCUGAUACCAUGUAAAUCGAAUGAGAAGAGAUUGAAUCUGUAAAGUUAUAUUUUAUUGAACCUUUGGAGAGAAAUAUAUACAGAUGAUUACAUGCUUAUCUCUUCCUAUAAUAAAGCUAUUCAAUGCUACAAUAAUGCAGAAUUCUAAGGGAUUUGAUUUACGUUCAAUGAAUCAUAAAAGGAAACAAAUACAUGAACAAUAACUGUUAAACAUAUUGCAGCAGAUUAACCUUCCAACAUAACAAACAACAAUAUUCUACGUAGUAGUUCAUAGAAUUAUCUAAGAUGAUGAUGAAAGGAAUGGGGGCUUGGAUGUUGCUAGCAUUGUUGACUUUGGUUGGCGAAUGGCAUGGUCGUUGUUAUGGAUGUUUGGAGGAAGAGAGGAUUGGUCUCUUGGAGAUCCAAUCUUUGAUCGACCCAAAUCACCUUUCCUUGGGAGAUUGGGUGGACAACAAUAGUAAUUGUUGUGAGUGGGAUGGGAUCGAGUGUGAUAACACUACAAGGCGAGUGAUCCAACUCUCUCUUAGAGAAGCAAGGGAUUUCAGCUUGGGCAAUUGGGUUCUCAACGCAUCUUUGUUUCUGCCUUUCAAAGAAUUGCAAAGUCUUGAUUUGGAAAGUAAUGGAUUGGUUGGUUGCAUGGAGAAUGAAGGUUAGUUCAAUGUUUCUGCACUUAAAUAUAAUCAUAAAAUAAAUGAAGGUUGGUUGGUGUUUAAUGUCAAUUAUCUUGCUUUGAUGAUUCUCUUCCAGGCUUGGAAGUCCUAUCAUCAAAACUGAGGGAACUUGACCUAUGGAAUAACCGAUUUAAUAAUGAUAAAAGCAUUUUGUCAUGUUUCAAUGGUAACCUUUCCACUCUCAAGUCUUUGGAUCUAUCAUUUAAUGAGUUGACAGCUGGAUCAGGUAGCUUCUAUGAUAACCUUUUAAUUAUUUAGCUUCGAAACCUUUUCUUUUCUCCUUCUCAUAUCAUUUUUUUUCCAUGCGUUUAUUUCCUUCCAAUAUGCUUUGAGAAACAUCAUGCAGGUUUCAAAGUCUUGUCAUCAAGGUUGAAAAAGCUGGAGAACCUUCAUCUAAGUGGAAUCAAUGCAACGAUAGCAUUUUUCCAUCUCUAACUGGAUUUUCAUCCCUCAAGUCUUUGGAUCUGUCAAACAAUCAGCUGACAGGAUCUGCUAGUAUCAUUAGUAAGUUAUAUAUAAUUUCUACCUAACUGCUUUACGUGACGUUCUUUUAUAUUUAUUUAAUAAUCAACGAUAGCAUUUCAUCAUGUUUGAUUGCGGUAGCUUUCAUCUUAUCCAUAAAUUGUUUUUCUAUUAAGACAGGAAGAGAUUAAAGUCAUGAGCUAGCUAGAUCAAAACUAGAUGAUUAAAAAUUACAAGUAUAGCAAUGGAUACUUGCAAUCGAUCUAUCUUCUUCCUUAAUCUAUGCACUGUAUAUUUUUUUAUGUAUAUCUUGUGUAGGUUUUCAACUCCAACCGAUGAGGCUGGGAAAGUUAGAGAACCUUGACCUGAGUGGCAAUCGAUUGAACAACAGCAUCUUAUCAAUUCUGAGUGGGCUUUCCACUCUCAAGUCUUUGGAUCUAUCAUUUAAUGAGUUUACAGCUGGAUUAGGAGGUAGCUUCUAUGGUAACCUUUUCAUUAUUUAGCUUCGAAACCUUUUCUUUUCUCCUUCUCAUAUCAUUUCUAUGCUUUUGAGAAACAUCAUGCAGGUUUCAAAGACUUGUCAUCAAGGUUGAAAAAGCUGGAGAACCUUGACAUGGGUUGGAAUCAAUGCAACGAUAGCAUUUUAUCACAUCUGCGUGGGUUUUCAUCUCUCAAGUCUUUAGGUCUUUCACACAAUCAGUUGACAGGAUCUACUAGUAUCAUUAGUAAGUUAUAUAUAAUUUCUACCUAACUGCUUUAUGUGACAUUCUUUUAUACGGUUUCUUAAUCAAGAAAAUUGAGGACUUUAUAUUUAUUUAAUAAUUAAUCAACGAUGGCAUUUCAUCAUGUUUGAUUGCGCUAGCUUUCAUCUAUGAAGAUUUAUAUCUAUGGAGCUUUGAUCUUAUCCAUAAAUUGUUUUUCUAACAAGACAGGAAGAGAUUGAAGUGAGCUAGCUGGAUCAAAACUAGGAUGAUAAAAAAUUACAUGUAUAGAUCAAUGGAUACUUGCAAUCUAUCUUCUUCCUUAAUCUAUGCACAGUAGCAUCUUAUCAUUUCUGAGUGGGCUUUCAUCCCUCAGGUCUUUGGAUCUAUCGUAAAAUAUGUUGACAGGAGCAGGUAGUUUCUACCUAAAUGCUUCACAUGACAUUCUCUUAAUUAUAUUGUUUCUUUAUCAAGAAAAAUAAGGACUUUAUAUCCAUGUAAAGAUCAAUUUUUUCACAACUUGAUUUCUAGGUCCAUAAUCGGCGCAAUGUAGGAGUGGUGUUUAAAUGACACUUUAUAUAUAUGUGAAGCUCCAUGACAAACAUAUUAAAAGAACAAUUAUUUAAAAAUACAAACAUUUAUAAUUUUAAAAAAUAUUAUAUUAUUAAAAUUAAUAAAUCCAAAUGAUUGUUCAAAACUUCUCAUUGAUAAUUAAAACAAGAACAAUAAUGAAUAACACUCAUAUUAUCAUGAAAAAUGAGGACUUUAUAUCUAUGUGAUGAUCAAUUUAAUGAUAGCAUUGUAUCAUGUUUGACCAUCUUUAACAACUUUAUAUCCUUAAAUUGUUUUUUUUUUCCAAUAAGAUCAAAAUUAGAAUGAUUAAAAAUAUUUCUUAAUCUUUGAAGUGUACACAACCUAUUAUUAUUUAAAUGCGUUCGUGAGCUCAUUAUAAUUAAAUAUAGCAUUUUAUCAUUCUUUUAUGUGUAAUUCGAGAAUCAUAUAUCAAUUGAACAACAACAUCUCAUCAAUUCUAAUUAUUUUUAGUUUCUAUCUAUUAUGCAUAUCGUGAUUAUGACUUACUCUUAGAAAGAACUCUCUUGCAGGUUUUGAGAUCAUAUCAUCACAUUUGUGGAAACUCGAGUCAUUAGAUUUGUCACAUAAUCAGCUGACAGGAUCUAUCACUAGUAAGUUACAUUCUCUUUAUCAAGAAAAUUGAGGAAUUUAUAUCUAUAUGCUUUCAUGUAUCAUUUUAAUAUCUAAGAUACUUUCAUCACUGUUUUGACUAUUUCGAGAUAAAUUGUAUAGGUUGGUGUGAAUUGAAGAAUCUAAAGCAGUUAGAUCUCUCUGGAAAUAAUUUUGAAGGUUUACUCCCAUAUUGUUUGGGAAACUUGUCAUCUCUACAACUAUUAGAUGUUUCUGAAAACCAGUUUACAGGAAAUAUUGCCUCUGGUCCUCUUACCAACCUCAUAUCCCUUAAAUUCCUCUCACUAUCAAAUAACCUCUUUGAAGUUUCCACUUCAAUGAAGCCUUUUAUGAAUCACUCAAGCCUCAAGUUCUUCUCCAGUGAGAACAAUAGACUUGUAACAGAACAUGCUGCCUUUGAUAAUUUGAUUCCAAAGUUCCAACUAUUUUUUUUAGCUUGUCGAAAACAUCGGAAGCACUCAACGUAGAAAUUCCCGACUUCCUCUAUUACCAAUACGACUUAAGAGUCCUUGAUCUCUCCCACAACAACAUCACCGGAAUGUUUCCAUGUGGUUGCUUAAGAACAAUACACAUUGGAGCAAACUAUCUGAGCAGAACUCCUUUGUUGGUGCUUUACAUUGCAAGAUCAUCCAUAUCCAAAUAUGACCGAAUUAGAUAUAUCCAACAACAACAUGAACGGUCAAAUCCCAAAAGAUAUUUGUUUGAUCUUUCCAAAUCUGUAGAUUCACAGGUUGUAUUUCUUCUUGUUUGGGAAAUAUUAGCUCUUUGGGAGUUUUAGAUUUAUCCAACAAUCAGUUGUCCAUAGUAAAACUAGAACAACUAACAACAAUAAUGCUUCUCAAGCUGUCAAACAACAAUUUCGGUGGGCAAAUACCAACCUCGGUGUUCAAUUCUUCUACCUUAAAAUAUCUCUAUCUAGGUGGUAACAACUUUUGGGGUCAGAUAUCAGAUUUUCCAUUGUAUAGGAGGAAAAGGUGGACUAUAUUGGAUUUGAGUAACAAUCAUUUUUUAGGCAUGCUUCCAAGGUGGUUAGUCAAUUCUACGCGCCUUAUCGCAGUUGAUUUGUCCAAAAACCAUUUUAAGGGUUCGAUCCCAAGAGACUUUUGUAAGCUUGACUGCCUUGAAUAUUUGGACCUUUCUGAGAACAACUUGUCUGGAUAUAUACCGUCUUGUUUCAGUCCACCACAAAUAACCCAUUUGCAUCUAUCCGAAAAUAGAUUGAGCAGUCCAUUAACAUAUGGAUUUUAUAACAGCUCUUCCCUGGUUACGAUGGAUCUUCGAGAUAAUAGCUUCAUCAGCUCCAUUCCAAAUUGGAUUGGCAAUCUUUCAUCAUUGAGUGUUCUUCUUCUGAGGGCUAAUCACUUUGAUGGUGAGCUCCAUGUUCAGUUAUGCUUGUUAGAACAAUUAAGCAUUUUGGAUGUUUCACAAAACCAGCUCUUUGGUCCAUUGCCCUCCUGUUUGGGCAAUCUUACUUUCGAGGAAAGUUCCCUGAAAGCAUUCGCGUAUAACACUUCUUUUUAUAGACCAUGGUCCAUUGAAAAUGCUUAUAAUGAAACAAUGGGUCCACUACUAGUGGAUAGUAUGUUCAGCCUAGUAAGGAAUUAUAUGCUUAACUUUACAGAAGAAGUGAUAAAAUUUACAACUAAAAAUAUGUAUUAUGGGUACAAGGGGAAAGUUCUCAGCUACAUGCUUGGUAUUGAUCUCUCCAAUAACAACUUUGUAGGAGCAAUCCCACCAGAAUUUGGGAACUUAAGUGAGAUACUGUCUUUAAACUUAUCACACAACAAUCUCACUGGAUCUAUCCCUGCAACAUUCUCAAACCUAAAGCAGAUUGAGAGUUUGGAUAUUUCUUACAACAACUUGAAUGGUGUUAUCCCUCAACUUACUGAAAUUACCACACUGAAAGUUUUUAGUGUGGCGCACAAUAACUUGUCAGGUAAGACACCCGAGAGAAAAUUUCAGUUUAGGACCUUCGAUGAAAGCUGUUACGAAGGAAAUCCUUUCUUGUGUGGACCUCCAUUGCGAAACAAUUGUAGCGAGGAAUCAGUGCCAUCGCAGCCAGUGCCUGAUGAUGAACAAGGAGAUGAUGGUUUCAUAGACAUGGAGUUUUUCUACAUCAGUUUCGGUGUAUGUUACACAGUUGUGGUGAUGACGAUUGCAGCAGUUCUCUACAUCAAUCCAUAUUGGCUACGCAGGUGGUUGUACUUCAUCGAAGACUGCAUAGAUACUUGCUACUAUUUUGUGGUGGCUAGUUUUCGCAAGUUCUCCUACUUCAGAAGGUGAAUUUGUUACUGGAGAGACGGUCGUUCCUAGUUUGUGAAGCUUGUUUGUCUAGCUAUUGGGUGCUUAAUUUGUAGUGUAAUAAAUAUGUAAAGGGAACUGAUUUGGAUUGGUCAUUGACUUGGGUGUGAUUACUCUUUCAACUCUCAAGACUUUGUUGGGACUGCAAUUGAGGAGCUGGAGGGUGGGGAAGUUGUCCCAAUUUCUCCUUGAAACUAGGUGUGAUGUUGUUUUCAGAGACCUGUAAGAAUGUUAUCAAGCGCUCCAACAUGGCCUUGAAUACCUCCAGCUUUUCAAGCUGUUCUGACUUCGGUUGUUGAGGAUGAGAGUCAAGCUGGAAAGCAAAGUUAACAUACACGAGAAUUAAAAAUUUGCGUUGAUUCUUUGUAGCAAAAUAUUAGUGAAAAAAAAAGUUUCGAUGCAUGAUUAGUGCAGAUGAUACAGUGACAGGCAAUGCUGAUGAGGAAAACAAAUGAAUACAGAAGCUCAACGUGGGGAAAUUGCAGAUAAUCAUGCAUGGGCAGAUAAUCCGGAAGAAAUUGCAGAGACAAUGUACCUGCUGUAACUUGGCAGCAAUUCUCUGAUACAUUUCAUUUAUUUCAGGGAAAUAAGUCUCCUUCAUAACUUUGAUCUAGGAAGUACAAAUAACCAGCAAAACAUUGUCGGUCACAUGCUUGAUUUCUUCAGGUGCCAGUCAGAAAGAAAGUAACACAAACAAACUUAAGGGAAUUGAUAAAAAUAAAAUAACAAAAAAAGGGCAGAGUGGAAUUAAUGCUGGAAACUCAAGAAGAUGUCGAUAUAGAUGGAAUGGAAAGAUGCAAAGGGCUGUGUAAGUACAACUUUAGACAAGAUUCAGGGGUUGGUUAAGUUCAGUUACUUUGUCUCCCUGCAAACUACUCAUCAUUGUUUUCUGUUGUCAUAGCUCAAGACAAUGGAUGUCGCAACUUUAGCAACGCUUCUUAUCAAAUAUGCAGUUAUGACAUGAGACAUUCAGAAUUUGAACCUCAUUUUCUAUAAAAUUCAAAUAUGGUAAUGAUUCAAUGGAAUAAGUCCCACUUAUUUUCUUUUCCUUCCAUUGUCACAUGUUUCAGAACAAGUUGAUUGCAAUCGUGCAAAUAACUCUUCACUUAACCAAAGAUAAACUUUAAGUCACUCAGAAAUAGUGCACUCUUAUUUCUAAUUCUGUCUAAUGCAGUAAGAAGUACGGACAAUAGGACUCGUUGGAAAUAAAUAAUAAUUCACCACACAACAAAUAUAGGGGGGGAAAUCGAAAGGGAGAGGUUUGCAAUAAAAAAACUGCCGUGCCAGAACCAAGAAAGCAAUCCUCUUGACCUACAAAUCUGCAUAUUUUUACCUUCAUUCAUCUUAUCAAUGAUUAAUCAUUUCUUAGUUGCUGCAAUCAUGGAACUUACAAUGCUUCCUAACUAAUCCCAACCAUAGCUGAAUAAAAUUCCUUGGACCAAUCCCAGGAGACCUUUUUCCAUUGAAAUCUUGCAAGACUACAGCAUACAUGAACUCCAUCUAAUGAACAGUAAAUCACAGAAAUUACCUGCUGAUAGAUCUCCUCUUGCCAAUCAGCGCCUUUUGCAUGUCCAGUCUGUGCUGUAGAAUCUAGGGAUGCUGCAAAAAUUUCAAUGCGGGCAACAAAAGAUUAGAAUUCAUGUAUUACUGUGUGUUUUCCAUAUACAAGGGUAUUUCUAUAGUUUUCACACUUUCUGAAAAUUAUGGAAUAUUGCAAGUCUCAGUUUUAUUUUCCAUUUAGUAUUUUAUUAUCCCAAAGUACAGCGAGCUUCAUUAGAUUUUUCCUAUUCUAGAUAAAACUAUUAGUAUUUUCCUACAGAGGAAUACAAGUCCUUUUCGGACUAGGAGUACUAGGAAUUCCAUCUAAACGUUAUUAAACUAAUAGUUAAAAAAAUGGGUACAUAUACUCUUAUUCUUGGUUUAAAAUAAUAUAUAUUUUUUUAUUUUUAAAAAAUUAUUUUUGAUACCAUCGUAUCAAAAUGAUAUAAAAAUAAAUAAAAAUAUUAAUUUAAAAUAAAUAAAAUUUUAAAAUAUAAAAUUUUAAAAAAAAUAUUUUUGAAAUAUAAAAACAAACAAGAACCGAAUCCUCAGUUUGCCGGACCAAAAAUUAUUAAGAAAAAAAUCACAUUUUCCAUUAAAAAUGUGAUCCCAUUUCAACCACUCAUCAUAUUCGUACAUAUACUGGACCGUCCCAGAUUGUGAAUUCGGAUGUCCAAAAAUGGCAUGUGUCUCCAUGAAGCUCUGAUUUCUUGUUGGGGUUUGGUUUAAUUAUAACAAAAAUUUAGAGUGACCAAGUUCACGUACUGGGAACUCCAUCUAUACAAGGCUGGUGGGUUUCUUAUAUAGUUAAAAAAAUAAUUUUUAAAAAAAGUUAUGUUAUUAAACUUUAUAAAUUUUAUGGAUAUAUUUGGCUAAUUGACUUAGUUCAUGGAUCUGGCAAGAUUAACUUUUUUAAAUGAGUUUUUUUUUUCAUCCUUGGAUACUGAAUUAAUUGUGAAUUUAGUUUCAUAAUUAAUUUUGUUUCACAUUUUAUGAGGUUAUCAUGAUCUAAAAACAUUUUAAUAUUAAGUUGGUAUUUGAUUUUGUAAUUAUCUAUUUUUAUUAUCAUAUAGUUAAAUAAAAAAAUAGCUUUCAAAAACAAAUUAUAAUUUUAGUGGAGUCAAUGACCCAAUUUACAGGUUUAUCAUAUUAGCUCGAUUUACCAAAUUCACAAGUUUGACGAGUUUACCCACCAUUAUAAUAUGUUUUUUUUUGUCUUUUAAUUAUUUUUAAUAUUUUGAUUUUAUUAUUUAAUAUUGAAUUGGUUAGGAAAUGAACUGCAUUAUUGUUUUUUGUUUGCUUUCGAGGGAUAAUUGUCUCAAAUAAGUGUUUAUUUUUAGGUUGAUGCUCAAUUUUGUGGGCAUUUGUUUGAUGGGCUGAUGUCAAAAUAAUUUUUUAAAAAUAAAAAAUAUUAUUUUGAUAUAUUUUUAAGUACAAAUCACUUUGAAAAACUACCACUACCAUACUUCCAAACACAUCCUUAGCCCUGCAGUUGAACCAGUUUUUUAUAGAAAAAAAAACUUAAUUAAUUUUUUAGUAUUUUUAGACCGUUUUAAUAUACUGAUGUUAAAAAUAAUUAAAAAAAAAUUAUCAUAAUAUAUUUUAAACCAGAAAAUAUUUUAAAAAAUAAUUAUGCUACACUUACAAACAGGUUCUUAUUGUCUAGAGACCAUUUUAAUGUUCGAACUUUACGUAGGCCAUGUGAAAACUUGGCUGCAACAUGUAAUUGUUUUUUUUUUCUUUUUAGUUUUUAUAACGAGAUUCUUAUAUAUAUCCAUGAGUGAAUAAAAUAACCAAAUAAGUUUAAAAAAUCAACAUAAAAUUAAUUGAAAGAACCAACCAAUAUAAAAUAAAAAAAAAACGAUUAGAAAGUUUUAAAAUAUCUUCAAUUGGCUUUAGAUUUAAGAGAUUAAAAACAAUUAAAAUGAAACCAAACAAUUGCUUUUUUAAAAUAAAAAACUAAAAAAACCUCAAAAACAACCAUGCCUAUUACAUCAGAGUCUAUCUAAGGCCCCGUUUAUUUGUUGGAAAGUAGUUUUUUUUUGGAAAGUGAAUUUCAUAAAAGUGAAUUAUGGGAAAGUGAAUUAUUUUCUGAUGUUUGGUAGUAUAAUGAAAAAUAAGUUGGAAAACACUUUCUAGUGUUUGGUUAUGUCAUGAAAAAUGAGUUGUAAAAUAACUUAUUAAUGUUUUAUUUUUCUUAAGUUUAUUAAAAUAAUCAGGAACAAAUCUUACAAAUUAAAAAGUUGAAUGAGAAUGAAAUUGAAAAAAAUAUAUAAUUUAAUAAAUUAUCUCAAAUAAAAUAAAUAAUAAUCAAAAUAAUAGAGAUCAAAUCUAAAAAAUAAAUAAAAAUGAAAGAUGAAGAAAUUAAAAUAAUAAUUAACAUUUCAUAAAUUAUUUCAAAUAAAAUAAGUAACAAUCAAAAGAAUGAGGGCCAAAUUUGAUAGAUAAAAAAUUUCAAUAAAAAAAUGAUAAGGGAAAAGAAAAUAAUAAUUAUAAAAAUUAAAUUUUAAGAGAUGAAAUUGAAAAAUAAAUAUUCAAAAGAAAAUAUAUAUAGCAAUCAAAAGUUUGAGGACCAAAUUUGAUAAAAUCAGCAAAUAAUAUGACAUUUCUAAAUUUUUCACAACUUCUAGAAAGUGUUUUCCGCCUAAAUUUUCUAGGAAAACACUUUCUUGGAAAUUAAACCAAAUUUUUCUUUGACUGGAAAGUGUUUUCCGUUGACUAACUUUUCUAAUAACAAAUAAAUAUAAAAAAGUUUGGAAAGUGGUUUCUCGUAAACCACUUUCUAGAAAACAAACAUAGCCUAAAUAACUAAUUGAUCCUUGAAUCACAUUUUACCGUUAAGUUAGCGGCACAAACUAAGGAAAUAUUGCUGAAAGCUCAACAUUUUACUAACGAAAAAUUAAUGAAGGGAUCGCAUUGUAAACAUAUUUAAAAGUAUAGGGAUUAGUUAGAACAGCUAGUUAUCACUGCCUCUGAGAAUUAAUAUACCGCUCAGCAUUUUGUUGAAGGGACGGGCAAAGGUACAUUUAUUUCCGUUAACUUUCUAAUAUUGAUCUUGCUUCAGUACAAUUUAUUAAAUUUAUUUUAAUAUAUUAAAUAAUAUAAAGCACAAAACAGACCAUAAUAAAAUACAAUAAAAACAAGUUGUGAUAUAUUUGUUGCACAUGGCAAUCUAUAAAUGAAGUGUUUGGCCCUCAAUUUUCAUUUUUUAUUUUUAUUUUUAGAUUACUUUGAUGCUUUGAUAUUAAAAAUAAAUUUUCAAAAUAAAAAAAUUAUUUUGAUGCAUUUCAAAGUUAAAAAUAUUUUAAAAAACAAUUACAAUCAUACUCUCAAAUACUCUCAAAUUAUUUGAUAUACACUUUCGACAUGACAAGGAUUGAUCAUUGUCUUGUCUAAAGUUUUCCUUAGAAAAAUUAUUUUUUCUUAAUUUUUAUAUUAUCUAUUUAUCGCUUAUUUAUCUUUUAAUUUGAAAAACUAAAAUUUGAUCAAUUUUAUUAAAAUAGAUAUGUGCAUGAAAGAUUUUAAUUGCAAAAACUUUUGAUUUAAGAACUAGAUUGUUCUAGAUGACAAAACAAUUCUAGUAAAGACUAAAAUAUCAUAAAAAUAAAAAUACAAAGACUAAAACAAAUAAUUAAAAAAAUAUCAAUAAUAAUAAAAAAAUUAUUUGAACUUGUCUCGUAUGCAUCAAACAUAGAAUAAGAGCAUAUAUUAUAUAGUUCAAUUCAAUCCAAUAUUAAAUAUUGUUUAGUAUUUAUAUUGUCAUUUUCAAACCAUAAUACCUACCACAUUUUUAGUUUCAAUUUACAUACAAACUCAUCUAAUGAUAUUUUUAUUGUUAAAAAAAAUAUCAUAAUUUGGAAUUCCAAAAAAAUAUUCUAUUGGAAAAAUGUUGUACUAAAAUUAAAAACAAAAGUGGAAAUAUACUUGUAUAUUAUAAAUUAAUGGAAAUACAUCAAAUUACUGAUAAUGUCAAAAUGUUGCAUGGCACUUUAAUCACAUGUCUCCUCCUCCUCCUCCUCAAAAAAAAAAAAAAGUGGAAAUAUACUUGUAUAUUAUAAAUUAAUGGAAAUACAUCAAAUUACUGGUAAUGUCAAAAUGUUGCAUGGCACUUUAAUCACAUGUCUCCUCCUCCUCCAAUGAGGCCGACUCUAAUAUUAAAUGUCACAGCCCGAUCAUACCAAAAAGUUUGUAUGCUAGUGCUAUGCUGUGGAGAUCAAAAAACCUUUAAAUGUAAAACAAAAUAUCCAAGUCUAAGGGAACUCCUUAGCAUUAUUAUUAAACUAGAAAAUUCAGUCGUUUUGAAAUUUUCUCCAUCAAGAUAAUUUUUCUUAUUAAUAUAUUUCUUGUUUAUCUAUCUUGGUGAAUGCAAGCUUUUUUUCUUUACUAGAAUCAUUGUUUCUAUUAAAAGAAUAUUCUAUAAUUGUCACAACAAAUUAAAAAAAAAUCAAAAUAGUAUGUUUAUAUUUUUAUGUGAUUGAAAGUUAAAAAAAUAAUAAAUAUAAUAAAAUCAUACUCAAAAUAUAUUAAAAAAUUCUAUGAUUAAAAUAGUGAUUUAAAUUGAACUUUCAUUAACAAAUUUGUAUGUCAUAUAUAUAAUAAUUGAAAACAAUUAGUGUAGAUUAGUUGAGUCUGUUGCAGUGAAUACUUUUUUAACUGCUACUGCUACUGCCGCUUUGAACAAGAUUUUGAGGAAAUGCAGAAGUGCAUUAGGUAACUUGGUGCCCAUAGAUGAUGAUGAUGAGAUGUGGUCCGAAUAAACACUUCCAUUACUAGUUGUUGGUGUUUCACUAUGAAUGGAAGCUGCAGCUGCAAAUUGUUUCACAGGCAUUGUUGAAACAGAGGAGUCUGUUAAACAGAGGAGAACACAAUUGACUGCCCAACAGUUAAUGGGGUCUGUCCUCCAACCAUAUCGGCCUUCCUCUCUCCUUCCAUAUUUGAAGUGUCAUUUCCUCCAUUUUUCCCUUCUUCAGGCACACCGUAAUUCGUCUGCUGUGUUGCUUGGGCCGCAGUGAUGAAGUGAUAGCCAUGACUUGAUGCCUCUGGAGGGGCUUUGGAGAAGAGCAUGAUUCUGUACCAGCAAUCAAACAUCAAGACCUGAGAAAGUUGUGGGAUUCAAAUCUGGUAAGCACCAUUCUGUACCAACAUGUUCAGGGAUUGGAAUCUCGUACGCACCAUUCUGCAAAAUUGCCAGGGAAGUUUGGGGUAGUUGAAGCUCAUUGUUGUAGCACCAGUUACUGCCGAUGUCGUGGCAUUUAUUGAAGCAGAACUUUAGCUACUUGAAGAAGCUACAUUGCUAGCAAAAGGGGAAGGCCUCACACUGGCUGGUUGGAUAGAAGCUUUUACUGCUGCAGUAGCUAUAGAGGAGACUUGAUCUUCAGGUAGACUAUAAAGUGUAGGAAAUUGAACUGCAAGACAAGAAUCUAUCAGCCAGACAUCAUUCCAUAAGCUAAUAUCUCUACCAUUGCCAACCAAACCACAAACUUCUUUCUUUGCAAAAUAUUUUGAAGUCCCUCGUCCUUAUAAAAAAGUAAUGACAUUCCUGGACCAUGUACUGCCCUUUAAAUUAACACAAACUAAAGGCAUGUUCAAAUAUGCUUUUUGGUUGUGGAUGUUGUAGAUAACAUCUUUUCAUAGUCUUGUAUGAGACCUCCCAAACCUCCAUAGCCAUUUGAAAAAUUAACAAGGCUUUAUUUUUAUCAAUAAUGUAUUCUAUACCCACCUUUUUUGUUUUUGUUUUUUUUUGGAGGAACCACUAAUGCCCAUUUAACAUUGCAUAGUUUCUCAAUUUUGGUAGCAACAGUGGAUGCGAUAGGAAAUAAAGAAAGAUUAUUUAUAAUUGAGUUAAUCAAGCAAUAGUUUUCCAAACGGAUGUAUGAGAUGAAGAUGCAUGAAUAGGCAGACCCAAAUACUUAAAUGGCAUCCCCUCCAUCCUACAUAUUAGAUUGCUAGCAGUUGAAGAAAUAACAACAUCAUCAAUUCUAGUUCUAGUGAUUGAGUGGAAAUUAACCUUCAGCUUAGAAAUCAACUCAAAACAUCACAUAGUUCUUUUGAUGUUUGAAGAGAUGGAAAAUCAUAUGAACUGAAGAUGAGAGUAUCAUCUACAAACUGAAAGUGAGUAGUUUUCAGUUGAUCAUGACCAAAACAAAUACCUUUUAUAAGUCCCAAAUCACAUCUCUUUUUAGCAUUCUACUAAGACCCUCAGUCGCUAUAUUGAAAAGAGAUGGUGAUAAUUUCUUCAUAGAAGGCCAGUAGGAAUCAUUGGUAGACUUGAUGAGCUCUUCCCUUAAUUACCCUGCAGAUCCUAUAACAACUCUCCCCUUAUACUUAACCACACCAUCAGCAUAUGUAAAGCUGGGAGAUUGUGCAGCAUCUACCAGUUUACUUCUCAUUGUAUCCUGCAACAUGACAUCAUCUUUAUAAGAGGCAUGAAUCUUGUCAUACCAGGAGGGAGUUAUUUGUCUUUUGGCGGUGAACCUUCCCCCUUCCAUUUGAUUCCCUUGACAACCUUCUUGCCCCUGCAUAUUCCUCUUAUAUAAGGCAUCUGCAACCUUAUUCUCCUUCCCUUUUCUGUACCUGAUCCGAUGGUUCAACCCCAACAACUUAGUUAGCCCCUUCUUUUGAAUAGGAGUAUGAAUCUUCUAAUCAAGUAGAUACGUCAGACUUUCAUGAUUAGUUUGAAUGACAAACUGAUCUUGUUCCAAAUAAUGCCUCCACUUGUCGACUGCCAUUAGAAUAGCAAGGUAUUCCUUCUCGUAAAUGGAUAACCCCAAAUGUUUGACUCCCAAGGCCUUGCUCAAAAAUGCUAAUGGUCUUCCUUCCUGGCUGAGUACUGCUCCAAUUCUAGUAUCACAAGCGUGUGUUUCCAGCACAAACGGUUUGGUAAAGUCAGGCAGGGCCAGAAUUGAAGCCUCACACAAUGCUUGUUUCAGGUUGCGGAAAGCCUUCAGUGCUCCUUCAUGCCAAAGGAAGUUAUUCUUCUUGAGCAUCUCUGUCAAAGGCUAGCUGAUAAUACCAAAUUUCCUAAUGAAUUUUUUAUAAUAACCAGCUAGGCCAAGGAAUCCCCAUAGCUACUUAAUGGAUUUUGGAACUAGCCACUCCUGUACUGCUUGUGUCUUCUUAGGAUCAGUGGCUACCCGGCCCCUUCAGUUGAAAUUAUAUGCCCCAAAUACUCCACCUGUGGCUCUACAAAUGUGCACUUGGAUCUCUUCACAUAUAGUUGGUUAGUUUUAAGCAUUUCCAAGACUUGCUUCAAAUGAUUAAAAAAAUACUAAGACAAAUUUUCUCAAAAAUAGCUCUAGGAUAUCAUUCAUCAAGGCUUGGAAGGUUGCAGGAGCAUUCAUGAGAUCAAAAGGCAUUACCUAGAAUUCAUAGUGCCCUUGAUGAGUGCAAAAUGCUAUCUUCUCUAUAUCUCCCCUUCACGCAUAUGAACUUGAUGGUAUCCUGACCUUAGAUCCAGUUUUGAAAAGAUGAUGGAUCCUUGUAUCUCAUCUAAUAAGUCGUCAAUCAGAAGAAUGAGAAAACUUGUUCUUAAUAGUGACUUCAUUUAGCUGUCAAAAGUUUACAUAAAAACACCAUGUGUUGUCCUUCUUCUUCACCAAAAAAACAAUAAAGGCAAAGGGACUAACACUUGGUUGUAUUAUGUUGUUGUGUAGCAUCUCCUUGACCAUCCUUUCGAUCUCCUCCUUUUAAAAGAAAGAGCUCUUAUAUAGUCUACACUUGACUUGACUUGACUUGGAAAUAAUAAUAAUAAUAAUAAAAUAAAUAAAUAAAUAAUAUAUGUUGUAGUGAGAAAAGCUAUCAGACCGCCCAAAAUGGCCAAAAAUUGGUCGAGGAGGUUAAAAAAUGCAAAGAUUGAAAUUUGAUAGUAUAUCGUUGACUGACGAGAGUCUGUUAACAAAGAAAAUUUAAUUUUUAAAAAAUAUAUCAAAAUCAGAUGUUUAUGGACUCAAUUAAAUUUUAUUGAGGGUUUAAUUGAAUUUAUGGAGGGUUUGAUUGAAAUAAAAACUGAAUUUUAUGUCGAUUUAGGCUUUUAUUGGAAGAAAUUAAAGUUAAAGGGUCCAAUUAUAAUUUUGAAGAGUUGAUUUGGUCAAAUCAGGGGUUUAAUUGCAUAAUUAUUAAAUUUUUAUGGGCAAUUAGGGACUUGAUUGAAAAAAUACAAAACCAAGGACCAAACCGGAAAAUGAGCGUAAAUAGAGAGGUUGCAAUUAACCAAGUCAGGGGCUAAAUUGAAAAAAUUAAAAUUUUAUUGAUCAAUUGAGGGUCAAAUCGCAUGAAUCCAUAACCAAAGAGGCUAAAAUCCAGGGAUCCAAUUACAAUUUAUUCGGGGGCUUGAUUACAAAAUUGCAAAACAUCUGAUGACCAAAUCGGAAAUAUUCAUUUUGAAUUUUAAAAUGGUACCGUUUCCUUGACAAUUGUUCAUUACCUUACUUCAUCAACAACGGUUUCUACAGUAAAAGGCAGUGAAGACGUUAGCGGUGGAGCUGCUUCAAUCAGGGGAGCACGUCUCACGGCUGAUAUCCCUCUCCACCAUGAUGCACUUCGGCCGUUACAACCUUCCUGCAAUAAAUCCCGAAAAGCAUGCAUCCUUUGGCUAUAAAAAGCCAGAGGAGAGACGGACAUAAAAAAAAAAAAAAGAGGAGGAGACAGGGAGGGGGAGCGAGCAGGACAAGAGAGAAAGUGGGGAGCAACACGAGAGGGAGAUAGAAACGAGUAGAAGGAAAGAAUGUAUGCAGAGGAAAACGUUGAGACCAGAACCAGCGUUGCCAUUGUCUUCGUCAUUUCAAAAACCAGAGACAAAGAAGAAGAAGAGUGCAAAUAAGAAUUAAAUGAAAGGAGAAUCAGAAACGAAACUAGUAGCAGAAGAAAAGAAAGAAACGUUGCUCGAUUAGAGCACUGAUCACCCUCAACUGCAUCUUCAUCUGCAGGCAGCAGCUCCAGGGGACGUUUGAGAGGACUAGAGAGGGAGAAAAAGAAUAAAACAGGGAACAAGAGGAAGAACAGAGCAGAAGAGAAAAAAAGCAGAAGGGAAACGCAGAGAAAGAAAGAAGAACCACCAGCCAGUUAGCACCACGAUCCGCAACCGCAACACCGUCCACCGCCACCGGCAGCACUGCUAGGCCGCAGGUCUGCUUCUUCCUCCUAUUCUUCUUCAUCUUCUCCAGGCCGCUCCACUGUUCACAUUGCAUGGGAACAGUGGAGUCUCUCCGCUGUUUGUUUUAGUUUUCUGGGUUGGACAGCAUUAGCCAAGCCCAAAAUAAUUGGUCGGGUCCGGCCCAAUAAAAAAAAACAAUUCUUUAAAAAAAAUCAUAGCUUUUUAUAGCCCCAAGCGUACGUCCUCAUCUCGUGGGAAAAAUUGCAUGAUGACAAUGGUAUCAUUAACCCAUCUCUGAUGGAUAAUUUGUUGCAAUGUCCAUCUCCAUCAAAAUCCUUUUUGUUUUGAAAAGGAUUAUAUAUACAUACACACACUCAAUGAUCACUUAAUAUUUUAUAUUAUUUUUCAAGUUUUGAGAUAUAAGUUCAUAGCUUUUAAAGACAAAAAAUAUACCACAAGAUUUUAAACGAUUUCAUAUUUCAUUAAAAUAAAUAAAUAAAUUACUUAAAUGGUUACAAUAUUUUUUUUUUAAGAAAAUAAAUUGAUUUAUUGUGUUAAUAACAUUUAAGGAUUUCUUCCAAAUAAAUAAUCAAAUUUAUUUUAAUUAAAAAGUUUCUAAUCAAUAACAACAUUCUAUAUUAAACCAAAGUAUUUCCACGAACGCAUCUCUUGAAAAAAAUGCAUGAUAGCAACGGUCUCAGGACCAAUAUGUAGAUGAAAUUGGUCUCAUGAGCUCAUAAAUGCUUACGGGGCAAUGGUCUUAGAAACCAUCUCACUAGAGUGGAAAAAAUGCAGAAGACAAAAGUUUCAUAGACCCAUCUCACACUAUAAAUUCUCAUUCAUUUUACUUGUUGGUUGUGUUAUAAAAAUUAAACUCUCUAGAAAGAAAAAGAAGAAGACUUUUUGUAAUGACAAUGACAAGUAUUUUAGAAAUAAUUCAAUAUAUAAAAAGACACUGACAUUUGGUAUCAAAUUAUGAAAAUAUCAUUGGUAAUUUCGCAAAGUUUUUAUAACUUUGAUUGCCUUAGAAUUUUAAUUUGUGAUAUAAAUAGAUGUUAUAAGAGUUCUCAUAAAAUUGAGAAAUAUAAUUGAUAAUAUAAAAUUAAAAAUAAAAUAUUAUUUGAUGAUAAUAAAAUGACUGGAAUACUAGUGAGAAUUUAGGUGAAAUUCAUAAAACAAAUAUAAGAUUUCGAAGAUGAAAUAUCUUCUAAUUUAUUCUAUUUUUUAAAUUGAAAUAAAAUGUACCUGUCAUACGCCCCAUCUCGUGGAAAAAAACAAUAGCUUUUACAGCCCAAAGCAUACGGCUCCAUCUCGUGGAAAAAAUUGAAUGAUGACAAUGGUAUCACGUGGAUAAUUUGUUGCAAUGUCCUCUCCAUCAAAAUCCUUUGAAAAGUUAUAUAUAUAUAUAUAUAUAUUAUAUCAUGACCGUGUUCGAAAAAUCACAUGAGAAUCGCACAGUUUCGUUGAUUAAUCAAACAAUUAAUUAAUAAAUAAAUAAUAAAAUGGUAAGACCAAGACUUGUGACUAUGACUGGCAAUGACAGGUUUGGCCCUGCACAUGACAGGAUAAAUUAAAUUAAUAAAAAGCUUGUUGACCAGUAAUCACUCUUUGACAAAACUCGAAAUUAACAAAUCAAAUGCGAACACACCACUCAAAAUGGCAAUGACAUUUGCCCUUUUCUAUGCGCACUACCAUUUACAUGUCUUAUUUUUUUAUUAAUAUUUAUUUUAUUUAAAAGAAUUAGUUUUAAAAAUCUUAGUGUAUUAUACAAGUGCAUUUAUUUUGAUGUUUCUCACACGUAUAUUAUAUAUUCAAUUGUUUAAUAGUUAAAAAAUACAAAGAGUUAGUGACACUUGCACAAAGUAUUUGUAUCUUGUUUUUUCUAAUUAAAAACUUGUAUUGAUUUAUUUAUUUUUUGUAAUACCUGCUCUUAUGAAUUUUUAUCAAUCAAGUCUUUAUAUUAGUUUUGUUGCCAGAAUGCAAAUAACACGAUUAAUAGUAUUUUAUUUUUGAUUUUUUUCAAGGCCUAAAUUUUUCACAUGUAAUUUCUAUAAAAAAAAGUAGCAAGUUUUCUAUAUCUAUCAUCCUUAUGUGCCUAACAUUAACCUUUUCAUCAUGUAUUUUUCCAAAUUAUAAAUAAAUAAAAAUAAACUUGAAUUGGGGUCAACAUUUUAAGAAGGAAUAUAAGUUUCGGUUAAUUACUUAAUUUUAUGCAAUUCAUUUUUUUUAAUAUAAUAAGUUUUAAUAUAUAUUUUGAAUUUAAUAUUAAUAGUUAUAAAGUUUAAUUAGUUAAUAAAAAAUGUUCCACUUUUGUUCUCUCUUUAUCACCUUUUCUUUUAAAGGGGUUACGUACAGCCUUGCAUAUUAUUUUAAAGUUUAUUUAUUUUGAAUUUAAUAUAUAAAAAUCUUUUGUAUAGAUGAAUUUUAUUUUUGAAAAUAAAAAAAAUUAUUUUCAAAUAAUAUUUCUAAUAUGUGCAGCCUUACAUAUUAUUUUAAAGUUUAUUUAUUUUGAAUUUAAUAUAUAAAAAUCUUUUGUAUAGAUGAAUUUUAUUUUUGAAAAUAAAAAAAAUUAUUUUCAAAUAAUAUUUCUAAUAUGUGCAGCCUUAUAUAUUAUUAUUUUUCUCUUUUUAUUUUAUUCAAUCAAUUUAUAAUUUGUAUAUGUUUUUAUUAUCGUUUGAUCGAAUAAAAAAAUUAUUUUAUUUGAAUUUUUAAAAAAUACAAUUAUGUAAAUAUCAUGUCUUGUAAAAUUUAACUUGCGAUGAAGUUGUGAUCAAAUAUUUAAGUCUGUGUGCUAAAAUGAGUGGUACUCAAGAUUCACAUACCUUAUCUUCCAAGCAAGAAGAGACAAGAAAAGCAGUAAAUGAUGUUCUUUUCUCCAGCUGUAAAUAAAUAAAAAGAUUAAUACCAAAAACAUAGACAAAAAUUAAUGUGGAUCCACACCACUUUGAUUAUUCUUCACUUUCUUUGCUUUUCCUGUAUUUCACUACUUGAUGAUUCAAAAGUUAUCUAUUUAAAAAAAUUAUUUUUUAAAAAUAUUUUUAAAAUAAAAAAAUAAACAAAUAUUAUUAUGUCAUGCAACUAAAUUUAUUUUGACAUUAUUCACACGAGAAUUAUAUAUUCAAUUUGUUAAGUGUUAGCAAUGCAAAAGAGACAAUGACAAGUACAAAUUAUAUUUAUUUUAUAAAUUUUUAAUUUAAAAGCUUGUAUCAAUGUCUUUUUUUUAAAAAAUUGAAUACUUGUAUUCAUGAAAUUUAAAUAACAAAAUAUCUUUAUUAGUUUUAUUAUUAGAAGAUGAUGUCAUAGUUAAUUUCUUUUAGAUUACUCUGGAUUGAUUUUAUUUUAUUUUUAAUUCAUAAACAAUAAAGAUAUGUAAAAUGCUUAUAAUUUAUAUAUAUAUUUUUUAUUUAAGUACUCUAAUUGAUUUUAUUUUUCUAUUUAAUUACUUGAUAAACUAGUGUCUGUAUAUAAAUAUGUUUAAAUUAAUUUCUCUAAUAAAAGUAUAUAAAACAAAUUCAAUAAAACUAUAUUUUUAUUAAUAGAUUUGAACUUAAAACAACCAUAUAUUUUCAAGUAACCAAGAGACGGACAUCCUUUCAAGAAAAUCAUUAUUACUAACACCAUUAACAUUUGAAUUAAUAGCCCCAUCUUAAUAUAAAUGUUGAUUAAUCAUUACUUAAUUGCUACUAGUAUAAGUAACUAUCCCUUGCAAUGGCAGCGAAGACUUUCAGGCUUCUACCAUGCAAAGUUUUCAAUUCCGUUUUAAUUGAUGUUUUAUUUUUUUUAAUUGUAACAAUAUGUUUUGAUUUUUGAGUAUUUUGAUAUGUCAUUUUGGGUUGUUCUAUAUAUAUAUAAUUCAAAAUAUUAAUUUAACAAAUAUAAUUUCAAUUUAAAUUUAAAGAUAAACUAACUUGAAAUUAUGUAAUUGAAAUUUCAAAUAUAAGCAAAAGAAUAAGUGCUUAAUUGAUAUGACUUGAUCAAUUUGAUGAAUCCAAAAGUAGUUUAGAUGACUGGUAAAAAUAUAAUUUUACUUAAAAAAAAUUCAAGAUGAUAUAUUUUUUUAAAAAAUUAUUGAGACAACAACAUAUUGGGAUCGACCCGGGUCAAUUUGAGUUAACCUUUUAAAUCCAUGACCCAGGUUAUGAGACCAUAAUAACCCCAAAUAAAAUAAAUCAAAACAAAUUAUGAAUCUUAAUUUUCAAUGAACGUAUUGUUGAAUUAUGAAAUUGAAAAAAAAUCAAUCUAAAAAAAGAUAUAAAAAAUGACAUUUCGAAACAAAAUUAUAAAUUUGAAUAAAAUUAUGAAAAUAUCAUCGGCAAUCUUGCAAAGUCUUUCUAAACUGUGAUUGCCUUAAAAGUUUAACUUGCGAUAUAAAUAUAUGUUAGGAGUUUCCUCAUAAAAUUUUAGUCUAAUUCAACAGUCGUAUUGAGAGAUAUAAUUGAUACUGUAAAAAUAGAUUAUAUUUUUUUUUAUAAAAGCAAAACAAAAUAUUAUUUGAUCAUAAUAAAAUGGUUAGAAUAUAACUAAAAUAUUUUUGUCAGAAUUUUGGUGAAAUUCAUAAAACAAAAUAAGAUUUUGAGCAUGAAAUAUCUUUUAAUUUAUUAUAUUUUUUAAAUUAAAACUAUAGCUUUUAGAGCCCCAAGCAUUCGGCCCCAUCUCUUGGAAAAAAUUGAAUGAUGACAAUGGUAUCACGUGGAUAAUUUGUUGCAAUGUCCUCUCCAUCAAAAUCCUUUUUGUGUUGAAAAGUUGUAUAUAUAUAUCAUUCAUGGCCGUCUUCAAGAAAUCACAUGAGAAACGCACAGUUUCGUUGAUUAAUCAAACAAUUAAUUAAUAAAUAAAUAGUAAAAUGGUAAGACCAAGACUUGUGACUAUGACUGGCAAUGACAGGUUUGGCCCUUCGCAUGACAGGAUAAAUUAAAUUAAUAAAAAGCUUGUUGACCAGUAAUCAUUUUUCACAAAACUCGAAAUUAACAAAUCAAAUGCGAACACACCACUCAAACUGGCAAUGACAUUUUCCCUUUUCUAUGUGCACUGCCAAACAGUCCCUUUACAUGUCAUUUUCACCAUCCCUCUCUUUUCCACGUGCUUUUCAGGAUUCAAAAUACGUGUUUAGGAAUAUUGAUGAAAAAUUAAAUAUAACCAGAAAACAAAUACAGGAAAGCAUUCCCAAUUAAACCAAGUAUUUCCACGAACCCAUCUCGUGGUGGGAAAAGGAUGUCUCACAGCCUCUCCUCGAGAAAAAAAUGCAUAAUGGCAAAGGUCUCGACGACCAAUGUACAGAUGGAAAUGUUCUCAUGGACCCAUCCUGUAGAAAAAAUGCUUGAUAGGACCAUCCCAUUGCCUUUAUCAUGGAAAAAAUGCAUGAUGGCAAAGGUCUCUCAGGACCCAUGUGCAGAUGGAAAUGUUUUCAUGGACCCAUCUAGUAGAAAAAUUGCUUGAUAGGACCACCCCACUAAAAAAUGUAGAUAGGAAUAUAUAAUCUUACAUACUCAUCUCACACUGUAAAUUUAUAUCUAUCUUACUUGUUGAUUGUGUAAUAAAAAAUAAAGUCUUUAGAAAAAAAAAAAAAGAGAAGACUUAUUGUCUUGACAAUGACAAGAAGUCUUUUAAAAAUAAUAUUAUUUGUAUUUUAUUUUAUUAAUGAUAGUGGUUUGAUUUUGCCAUCGCUAUCGAAAUUAAGGCAUGAUUUUUCACACGUUAUUUUCAUAAAGAAAGUAGCAAGUCUUCUAUGACCGGCAUUGUCAUGCAAAGUGAGCUGUCUAUCGUUAACCUUUGAUUUAUAUAUUUUUUUAAAAAAAUUGACAUGGGUUCAACUUUAUAAGAAGGAAUACAAGUUUUUGGUUAAUUACUUUUAUGUAAUUCAAUUUUUUUUUUUCUACAAUGUGGUUUUAAUUAGUGUUGUUAAAUUUAAUUCAAGCCUAACAUUUUAAUUUGGAAUCUAACCUGAUUUAGGUUUAGAAAAAACUAAGUGAGAGUUCACCAAAUAAAGCCUAAUCGACUAGAUAAAUCAACUCACAACCUAGUCAACUCAGUCAAAAACUAAUUUUAUUUUUUUUAACUACUCGAUUUUGAUUUUUCUAAAAAAAAUCUUAAAAUGAUACAAUAUUUUAUUAACAUCAGUCAAUAAGCUAACUUGUUCGAUUUAUAACUCAAAUCUUGAUCCAAGUAUUAAGCCAAUUUAUGACCUAAACCCUCAUCUAGGUAUUAAAUCUAACCAUGUUUAAUAACUUUGGUUUCUUAAGAAAAAUAUCAUGUAUAAAACAACUUUUAAAGAUUUUAGGUAAAAAUAAUGAUUUUAAGUUAUGAUUUGUUUAAAUGAUGAAUUUGAGUUAUAAAUCUUGAUAUAUCAAUAGGUGAUCUAUGAAAAAUUAGGGUUUUGAAAUUGAAAAUGAUAAAAUUCAGUUUGGUCUUUUAAUUUAUAAAAAUUUAAGUUAAUUCCAAAACUUUGAAAAAAUUUCAGAUUGUUCCCAUGCUUGACAAUAAAUGCCAUAGCUUCUGGUGUUGCCUUUGACGCUGCCAUUAUAAGGCCUUAGCAUAUCAGCUAGACCCAGAAUAUUAAAUAACAAAUCAAGAGGGUGAGCCUUUCCUUGACGAAUAUCCUCAAUGGCCUUUGGGAUCGAAGCAAAUCCUGUGGCCACAAUUUAUUGUUAGUACGUGUUUGCAAUUUGCAACAUAUAUUUUGAGUAAUGCGCUGUUUUUGUUUCUAGCUUUAGGUGAUUGCACCAAAGAUAGACUGAACAAAAGGGACAUACAUAAAGAUUUAUAAUUAUUCCGUGUUUAUUAUUAUUGAUAAUAUAUAUAUAUAUAUAUAUAUAUAUAUAUAUAUAUAUAUAUAUAUAUAUAUAUAUGAUAGUGAGAUGAGUAAAUGAUUCUAAAUUAUGACAGAAGUACAAUUAUAAAGUUAAAAAAAUCUUAAUGUAACAAUGCUAAAGUAUUACAACAAUUAUUUUAUUUUAUUUUAUUUAUAUAAAUUGGAUAAUUAAUAACCAAAAUAUAAUUUAAUGUAAAUAAACUAAGUGCUAAACAAUAAAUUAAAAUAAUAUUCAAAUCCUAAAAUAUUUCAAAAAGAAAUAAAAUAAUGUUCAAAUCUCAAAACAUGAAAUCCUAAAUUAUGAUGAGAGAAGUAUAAUUAUAAAGUCAAAAAGAUCUUACGCGGAAUCACACACGAAUAUCGAUAACAAUGAUGAAGUACUACAACAAUUUAUUUUAUUUUAUUUUAUUUAUAUAAAUUGGAUAAUUAAUAGCCAAAAUAUAAUUUAAUGUAAAUAGACUAAGUGCUAAACAAUAAAUUAAAAUAAUAUUCAAAUCCUAAAAUAUUGCAAAAAAAAUAAAAUAAUAUUCAAAUCUCAAAACAUAGAACCCUAAAUUAUUACGAGAAAAGUAUAAUUAUAAAGUCAUGAAAACAAUCUUACCAAUAUCUACAAUAUUUUUAUUUAUUUUAUUUUUUUAUAAAUUGAAUAAUUAGUAACCAAAAUAUAAUUAAAUACAAAUAGACUAAAGGCGGAACUGAACAAUAAAAUAAAGGCCGAACUGCACAAGAUAAUAUUCAAAUCUAUAUUAUCGACAAACACACCAUAAAGGCCGAAGUGUCAGACUUUGGCACUUCUAGGUUAAUUCCGUUGGAUCAUGUUUAAUUGUCAACAAUGGUGCGAGGUACUCUAGGAUACUUAGACCUGAGUACUUGCACACAAGCCAACUGACGGACAAAAGUGAUGUUUACAGUUUUGGAGUGGUUCUUGUUCAACCACUAACUGGGAUGAAGGCAAUUUCCUUCGAUAAGCCUGAGGGCCUUUAAGUGCAAAAUAAUAAAAUAAAAUAAUAUUCAAAUCCAAGAAUAUUCCAAAAAAAUAAAAAUAUUCAAAUCUCCAAACAUGUAACCUGCACCCAAGAUAUGCAGAAAAAGUCAAGGAAAUUAAAUGGCCAAAGUGUAGUAUAAAUAGGACCUCUAUGGUUGCCCAAAUGCACAUAACAAACAACAAUAUUCUACGUAGUAGUUCAUAGAAUUAUCUAAGAUGAUGAUGAAAGGAAUUGGGCCUUGGAUGUUGCUAGCGUUAUUGGCUGUGGUUGGCCAGUAAUGCUAUAAAGAAGAGAGUGGUAUAUCCACUUUCUCAUCAAUUACUUGAGAUUUAUGGAAGAUAUGAUACAAGAGAUAAGAAAAUGACUGCUAUCAUCGACAAUUUCUCUGUUAUAUAUAUAUAUAUAUUUAUAUAUAUAUAUUACGCGUAGUUUCAUGAAUCCUUUCCAUUAGAUAAUCAAUAAUAUUGUAUAUAUUCUUUUUGGAGAAGUAACUCAUUUUCACACCCUUGUUGUAGUUUUCCAUUCAUUUUCACCCUGCUUUUCUUUCCAUUCACGCACACAGAUAGUGCAUAAAAGCACUACGACAAUAGCUGACUCCCAGUCAAUACGGCGGACGCAAAUUGUUUGGUGAGGUUGCAUUCCAACAAAACUAAUUUGAAUAUUUUUCCCAACCUGGCACUUCUAGGUUAAUUCCGUUGGAUCAUGUUUAAUUGUCAACAAUGGUGCGAGGUACUCUAGGAUACUUAGACCUGAGUACUUGCACACAAGCCAACUGACGGACAAAAGUGAUGUUUACAGUUUGGGAGUGGUUCUUGUGGAACUACUAACUGGGAUGAAGGCUAUUUCCUUCGAUAAGCCUGAGGGCUUUAAGUGCUAAAUAAUAAAAUAAAUAAUAUUCAAAUCCAAGAAUAUUCCAAAAAAAAUAAAAUUCAAAUCCAAGAAUAUUCUAAAAAGAAAUAAAAUAAUAUUCAAAUCUCCAAACAUGUAACCUGCACAAGAUAUGCAGAUAAAGUCAAGGAAAUUAAAUGGCCAAAGUGUAGUAUAAAUAGGACCUCUAUGGUUGCCCAGAGGCACAUAACAAACAACAAUAUUCUACGUAGUAGUUCAUAGAAUUUUCUAAGAUGAUGAUGAAAAGAAUGGGGCUUUAAUGUUGCUAGCAUUAUUGACUCUGGUUGGCGAAUGGUAUGGUCGUUGUUAUGGAUGUUUGGAGGAAGAGAGGAUUGGUCUCUUGGAGAUCCAAUCUUUGAUCGACCCAUAUGGCCUUUACUUGAGAGAUUGGGUGGACAACAAUAGUAAUUGUUGUGAGUGGCAGGAGAUCGAGUGUGAUCCGACUACGAGUGUGUUUGGCAGUGUGGUGGCGGUUGCUUUUCAAAUAACUUUUCAUGUCGAAAUGCAUACCAAUGAUAUUUUUUUAUUUUUUAAAAAUUAUUUUUGAUAUCAACAUAUCAAAACGAUCUAAAAAGUACAAAUCACAUUAAAUUUUAAUAAAAAAAAAUUUCAAAUUUGGUGGGAACGCGGUUUGCACCGCGUUCCCAAACACUUCAGGCGAGUGAUCCAACUCUCUCUUGCAAGGGAUAAGAGCUUGGGCGAUUGGGUUCUCAACGCAUCUUUGUUUCAGCCUUUUAAAGAAUUGCAAAGUCUUUAUUUGAAUUGGGCUGGAUUGGUUGGUUGCAUUGAGAAUGAAGGUUAGUUCAAUUAUAAUCAUAAAAUAAAUGAAGGUUGGUUGGUGUUUAAUGUCAAUUAUCUUGCUUUGAUGAUUCUCUUCCCAGACUUUGAAGUCCUCCUAUCAUCAAAACUGAGGAAUCUUGACCUAAGUGAAAACCAAUUUAAUAAUGACAAAAGCAUUUUGUCAUGUUUCAAUGGUAACCUUUCCACUCUCGAGUCUUUGGAUCUAUCAGCCAAUGGGUUGAUAGCUAGAUCAGGAGGUAGCUUCUAUGGUAGCCUUUUAAUUAUUUAGCUUCGAAACCUUUUCAUUUUUUUUCUAUGCGUUUAAUUAUUUCCUUCCAAUAUGCUCUUGAGGAACAUCAUGCAGGUCUCAAAGUCUUGUCAUCAAGGUUGAAAAAGCUGGAGAACCUUCAUCUAAGUUAUAAUCAAUACAACGAUAGCAUUUUCCAUCUCUAACUGGAUUUUCAUCCCUCAAGUCUUUGGAUCGGGAUUCAUAUUUAUGUUUAUAUAUAAAACACAAUGUUGUUUUGACACACACACACAUAAAUUUAAGGUUAAUCCAAAUUGAUCUGGACAUGAUAAAAAUCAUGAUACAAAUCUUAUCCCAGGUUAGCCCUCGAGCCGGGCUAACGAGGAUUGGUUGGAAAAAGAUUAUGGAAGACCACUACUAUGCAUAAGGAAAUCACCAGGAAAUUACUCAUCUUGGCCAAUAGUGCUAUAAAGAAGAGAGAGUCGUAUAUCCACUUUCUCAUCAAUUACGACAAUAAUUGACUCCCAGUCAAUACGGUCCACGCAAAUUGUUUGGUGAGGUUACAUGCCAACAAAACUAAUUUGAAUAUUUUUAAUGUGGGUAAAACUUUUAAAUGUUAUAGUGAGGUAAUGUUAUGUUUUCUUUAUUUUGAGAUAAAAAAAACAUUAUAUUUAGAAAGGUUUCGAAUUAAUUAAAUAGGUUAUGAAAAUAUAAUUGCUUAGUGGUAUAGAUAAUAAAAAUAUGAUUGAUUAGUGGUUGUUUAAUGGUAUAGAAGUAUCAAGUUAAAAAUUAGAAAAAUAAAGUUAGAAGUUGUUAGUUUAUGUAUUUUACAGGUGCUGCUGUUUGAUCCAAAAAAUGAUUUGAAUAGAUACAGUUUUUUACCCAAAUUUUAUACAUAGGAAAAGCUUGUUCUCUCUGGUUUUUAAUACCAUAAACGGUGCAUUAAUCCAGUUUUUAUAGAAUAGCUAUGAUGAAAAUAAUAAAGAAUACGUGGACUAUCGAAUGAUUUCGGGGAUUAUUAUAAAUUAUAUAAAAGGAAUUGCUAUCUGAAUUAUAUAUAUGAAUGAAAAGGUAAUGAGACUAGUUUACAACCCAAAAAGCAUAAUAGAAUUCUGAAUGUUCUAGGAGCUAUGAUUAGUUUAUUAGGUAGCAUGUAGUUAACAAAUUAUUGUAGUUAAGUGUUGAAGGGAUUUUAACAGGUUAUAUGCUUGUGAAUAGGUUUUUUGAGCUAAGAUUUCAGACCAGGCAAAGUAUAGAGAAGUUAGUAGCAGUGAGCAAGAACCCUGAACUUACAAACCACACCAAUAUAAAAAAUGUGAGGAAUCAUUAGCAAAAAAUAAAAACAAAUAAUGACAUAAGCAAGUGUCGGGCAAGUAAUAUACAACAUCAAGAUACAUAGACAUCAAAUAGUAAUUUUCUUGAACCGGAAGAACCCUUCAUUUAUGGGUAUGUUCCAAGAUAGAUAAGUGAAUUAGUUGCAAAACAGGGGAGUCUCUGUGAAAACAUUACAAUAGCAUUUACUCUGAGCAAGAACGCUUCUAUGCAUGUGUUGUAAUUGACAAAGAAAAGGAGAAAUCCUUUCAAUUUAUGAAAAUGCAAUGAGUUAACCUUAUCUCACACUGCAAUAUAUACUCUACAGUAUUCAUGUAUGAAAACAUUUGAACGGGAAUAAAUAAAAUAAUUCAUCAAACAAUAUGAGAGUUGUUUGGAAAAAGAUUCUGGAAGAGCACCAAUAUGCACAAGGAAAUCACCAGGAAAUUACUGCAUGGUUGUUUUAAAAAUCAAAAGGGCACAUAGCAAGUCUAGCAUCCGCGUUCACAACCUUUUAAUGCUUUAACUCAUCUUCGCCAGUAGUGCUAUAAAGAAGAGAAAGUGAUAUAUCCACCUCUUUCUUUCUUUCUUUUUUCUUUUAUAAAAAAAAUCCCUUUUAUGCUUAAAAUCCACCCACUAAGAGCUUGUUUGAUAGUGUGGUUCAGGUUGCUUUUCAAAUAAUUUUUCGUGCUAAAAUACAUGUCAAUGAUAUUUUUUUAUUUUUUUAAAAUUAUUUUUGACAUCAGCACAUCAAAAUGAUUUGAAAACACUAAAAACAUAUUAAUUUGAAGUUAAUAAAAAAAUAAAAUAAAUUUAAAUUUUUUUAAAAACGCUUUUGAAACGCAGAAACAAACAGUCCCUAAGAGUUAUAUGUAUUGGAUUUUUAACAGUGCUAAGUUAAAAUAUCAAACUUAUGACCUUCAAGAUUAAAACGCGUUUGAAAAUGCGAUUAAAAAAUCUCCUAAGUUAAUAUCAAAUUUUUUAAAAAACGCUUUUAAAAUACAAAAACAAACAGUCCCUAAGGGUUAUAUGUAUUGGAUUUUUAAAAACGCUUUUGAAACGCAGAAACAAACACUCCCUGAGGGAUUUUAACAGGUUAUAUGCUUGCGAAAUGGUUUUUUGAACUAAGAUUUCAGACCAGGCAAAGUAUAGAGAAGUUAGUAGCAGCGAGCAGGAACCCUGAACUUACAAACCACGCCAGUAUAAAAAAUGUUAGUAUCAGAAAUGUGAGGAAUCAUUAGCAAAAGGUAAAAACAACUAAUGACAUAAGCAAGUGUCGGUCAAGUAAUAUACAGCAUCAAAAUACAUAGACAUCAAAUAGUAAUUUUCUUGGACUGGAAGAACCCUUCAUUUAUGGCUAUGCUCCAAGAUAUACAAGUGAAUUAGUUGCAAAACAGGGGAGUCUCUGUGAACACAUUACAAUAGCAUUUACUCUUAGUAAGAACACCUCCAUGCAUGUGCUGUAAUUGACAAACAAAAACAGAGAAAUCCUUUCAAUUUAUGAAAAUGCAAUGAGUUAACCUUAUCUCACACUGCAAUAUAUACUCUACAAUAUAUAUAUAUAUAUAUUAGGCGUAGUUUCAUGAAUCCUUUCCAUUAGAUAUUUAAUAAUUUAUAUAUUCUUUUUGGAGAAGUAACUCAUUUUCACACCCUUGUUGUAGUUUUCUAUUUAUUUUCACACCCCAGUUGCCACCUGCUUUUCUUUCCAAUCACGCACACAGAUAGUGCAGAAAAGCACUACGACAAUAGUUGACUCCCAGUCAAUACGGUCUACGCAAAUUGUUUAGUGAAGUCUUAAGUUGUUUGGUGAGGUUACAUGCCAACAAAACUAAUUUGAAUAUUUUUCCCAACCUGGCGAAUUGACCAAGUGCUAAACAAUAAAAUAAAAUAAUAUUCAAAUCAUCUGUAACAUUUACAGACUCUUAUGUAGAUAUCUUAUUGGUUGGGAUUUACAAUUUACACUUUCUAAUUUAUAAAACCAGGAGCAAAUCACAUAUAAUACAGUUCGUCAAAGGUUUCCCUGUCAAAAUGGAGUUCCUGGUGCGUUCUUGGACACAUGCAAGCACAUUGCAAAGGCUCCAGAAUUCACAAUUUCCUGAUGGAAUUUUAGUUUGUAGCAAUCGCCUUCUAUAGUUCGUAAAUAAAAUGACAAAAUUUGAGAGAAUUAGUUUUUCUAGAAAUUUAUAGGAUAUAAUUAAUAACUUGACUUUAAUUUAAAAGGAUUAAUGGAAAUCAUAAAAUUUCAACUAAUAUAUAUAUAUAUAGGAACUGCAUGGCCACAAAAAAAAAAAAAAAAAAAGAGUAAGCAUUUUCAAUAUUUUAGCUAACCAAUGCCGACUUGGAUCAUUGAUGAGUUGUUUAUAUUGGAUGUAAAUAUAUUUCAAACACUUAUCCACAUCCAAAUUAAGUUAAGGGUAUGUUUAUAAAAAUUAAAUUUUUUACGACCCCUCCUUAAUUUUCAAUUGAAAUCUUGAAGGAUAACACAAGAAUUAUAUUAUUAUAAGGUAAAACUAUAGAGAAAGUGAGGAAAAUAUUAGAGCAAAAGACGAUUUUCCAACCCACUAAUCAAUUCCUUGAAAGAGGAAGAUUCUCUAUUUCUUGAAAGGCUAAUUUUGCACUAUUGUUUUCUUGCGGAAUGCAUUCACACUACAUUUAAAAUUUAGGAAACCUAAAUCUAUGAUUUUUUUAAUAAAUUGAUUUUAUAGUUAUUUUUUUAUCAUCCCAUAUAUACCUUAAGUAAACCUUACUUUUAAUUAUUUCGAUAAAUAAAACAUUUAUUUUUAAUUUUAUUAUUAGUUUUUUUCUUGUUUUUUUAUGAUAAUUGAGGAAUAUAUAAUUAAUACCCAAAAAACACCCAAGUUUAAAUCACCAGCCAUUAAAAUUAAUCAAUCGGUGGUUGCAUUCUAACACACUAUAUUAAGAUUUAUUUUUUAUACAAGUUGAAAUUAAAGCACAUAUAUAUAUAUAUAUAUAUAUAUAUAUAUAUAUAUAUAUAUAUAUAUAUAUAUCAUCCCUUCUCAAGCUUGAGGGGAAAUGGUCUAACGGACCCAACUCGUAGGAAAAACGCUUGACAACAAUGGUCUAGUCAACCUUUUAUUCAUGUUUUUUCAUUGAAGACUUUGACUUGGAUCAACUUGUCGGUUAAUUACAUUUAUACAAUUUUUUUUUUACAAUGUUAGUAAAAUCACUUUAAUUAUUGUUUCAAUCUUCCGGUGUGAUUCAUUGCUUGGUGAUUCUAAAGUCGUCUAUUUAAACUUUAGCACAUUAUACAACUAAAUUUAUUCUUUCACUCGGUAUUUAUUAUAUAUUCAAUUUGUUAAUAAUUAGAAAUACAAAAGAGAAAAAGACAACUACAAAUAUAUUUAUAACCAGAAAAGUUAGUGAUUAAUAAAUUAUCUUUGCUAGUUUUGUUAUAAAUUUAAAAUAAAUAUCUUUUUACAAUAUUUUUUAAGUAAAAUUUGUACUUUUAAAAUAAAAAAUAUAUAAAAACAUGUUUUUUAUAUUCCCACUAUUUUGUAUUUUAUAUCAUGGUAAUUAAAUGUUGCCUGAUUAACAUAACACUAAAUCAUAAAAUAAAAAAAAAUUAAUUGUGGAAUGGUAUGGUAGUUGGAUCUAUUGUUAUUUUUUUUAUGUGUGUGAUUAAAUUAAUUAUUUCGAUAAAUGACAAAUGUAUUCGGGGACAAAUAUUGCUAGAGAGGCAUUGGAGCCUUUAAUAUUUUCCAAAGGCAUGGAACACGAUGCCAAGGGAAUGUAAGAUAUUCUCAUCAUUUCGAAGAAAAUUCUAUAUCAUGGAAAUUAAUGCAGAUGGCAGUAUAUAGUCCUAGGGACCAUCUCACAUAGCAAUUUUCUAUUCAUCUUAUUUAUUGAUUGUGUUAUAAAAAGUAGACUUUUUAAAAAGAAAAAGAAGAAGACUUAUUGUCAUGACAAUGACAAGAAGUAUUUUAGAAAUAAUAUCUCAUAUACAGUUUCCUAAAGGUCUGAGGAAUCGAACAAAGAGGGCGAUGAUUGGGCAUCAGUCUUGAAACCACAAUGAUCCAAUGGACGCGAGCCGCUAGUGGAGAAUGAUUCAUGCAUCUCUGGUUUUGUGUGUUUCUCAUGCUCUUUUUCACUGUACAACAGAACUUUUGACUUUUCAGUUUUUCCUCUUACGCUCUUCAAUAAAUGGGAAAGAGGAAACAACACGGAAAGAAAUUCAAUGCUCACACUUUGAAUUUUAAUUUGCAUGUUUCGGGUCAUUGACAGCUAUGCAUUAAAAUUACAGAGUAAAAUCUCAUUUAUCAAGAUGGUCUUAAUCACAGACAUAUCUAGAGAAAACUUGAUGGAUAGAUUAAUGUUAAAUAUGAAUUCUUUAUGGAGCUCAGUCACAGACAUAUCUAGAGAAGAUACAGAGUUAAGGAUAUGUUUAUAAAAAUUAAUUUUUUUAUGACCCUCCUUUUCAAUUGAAAUCUUGAAGGAUAUAACACAAGAAGUAUAUAUCAUUUUCUGACAAUAUUAGUGUAAGGUAAAACUAUAGACAAAGUGAAGAAAAUAUUAGAGCAAAAGACGACAUUUUUCCAGCCCACUAAUUAAUUCCUUCAAAGAGGAAGAUUCUCUAUUUCUUGAAAGGCUAAUUUUGCACUAUUUUUUUUCUUGCGGAACGCAUUCACACUGCAUUUAAAAUUUAGGAAAACUAAAUCUAUGAUUUUUUUUAAUAAAUUGAUCUUAUUGUUAUUUUUUUAUCGUCCCAUAUAUACCUUAAGUAAACCUUACUUUUAAUUAUUUCGAUGAAUAAAACAUUUAUUUUUAAUCUUAUUAUUAGUUUUUUCUUAAUUUUUUAUGAUAAUUGAGGAAUAUAUAUAUUUAUACCGAAAAAACACCCAAGUUUAAAUGACCAGCCAUUAAAAUUAUUUAAUCGGUGGUUGAAUUAUUCUAACACACUACGUUAAGAUUUAUUUUUUAUACAAGUUAAAAUUAAAGCGCAUAUAUAUAUAUAUAUCAUCCCUUCUCAAGCUUGAGGGGAAAUUGUGGAACGGACCCAUCUCUUAGAAAAAACACAGAUAGCAAUAAUAAUGUUUGAUUUUGCCAACACCAUUAAAGUUAAAGCAUGAUUUUCUAAACGUGAUUUCCAUAAAGAUAGAAGGGAGGGCUCUGUAUCCAUCAUCUUGAUGGAAAGUGAGCUGGCCAGCGCUAACCUUUUAUUCAUGUUUUUCCACAAAGACUUUGACUUGGGGUCAACUUUUCGGUUAAUAUUUUUUAUAAUGUUAGAAAAAUCACUUUAAUUAUUCUUUCAAUCUUCCCGUGUGAUUCACUGCUUGGUGAUUCUAAAGUCGCCUAUUCAAACUUUAGCACAUUAUACAACUAAAUUUAUUCUUUCAAUCGGCAUUUAUUAUAUAUUCAAUUCGUUAAUCGUUAGAAAACUUAGUGAUUAAUAAAUUAUCUUUGUCAGAGUUAACUGUUUUUAGAUGAGUCUGGAUCAUUAUUUCUGUUUUAUUUUUAAUUUUUGAACUAUAAAAAUAUAGAUAAAUUUAAAAUAAAUAUCUUUUUACAAUAGUUUUUGAGUGAAAUUGGAGUAAAAUUUAUACUUUUAAAUAAAAAAUAUAUAAAAACAUGUUUUCUAUGUUCCCAUUAUUUUUGUAUUUUAUAUCAUGGUAAUUAAAUGUUGUCUGGUUAACAUAACACUAAAUCAUAAUUAAAAAAAAUAAUUGUGAAAUGGCAUGGUAGUUGGAUCUAUUUUUGUUUUGUGAUUAAAUUAAGUUUUUCGAUAAAUGACACAUGUUCGGGGACAAAUAAAAAAAAUAAUCUUAUUGCUAGAGAGGCAUUGGAGCCUUUAAUAUUUUGCAAAGGCAUGGAACACGAUGCCAAGGGAAUGUAAGAUAGUUGUUGACAGCUGGCGUCAACCAGAAAAUUCUAAAAUAUUCUCAUCAUUUCAAAGAAAAUUCUAUCAAGGAAGUGGUAACUCAUAAUUUCCAAGAAAAUUCUUUAUGUAUUUGGGAGGCCAGCAAAGUCAAAAGGGAGUGGUAACUCAUAAUUUCCAAGAAAAUUCUAUCAAGAAACGAAGAUACUAUCAGAGAAUAACAGGAAAUAAAUUUGUCUCCAUUUAUUUGGUAUCGAACCAUCUUAAUGGUUGUGAGAAAAUCAAGGCACAGUCACAGACAUAUCUAGAGAAGAUACAAAGUUAAGUUGAAACUUGUUAAUUCACCUUAAAAAGAUACUGAGCACACAAGUUUAUUUUCAAUUUAGGUUUUGCUAUAAAUUUAAAAGAAAAGGGAGUGUUUGACGUGCUAAGAAAUUCAAUGCUCACACUUUGAAUUUUAAUUUGCUUGUUUCGGGUCAUUGACAGCUAUAUAUAUAUAUAUAUUUGAAGUUUUUGUAUAUAAUACUGUAGCCACACAAUCCGUAGGGUUAAGAUUUAUAAUUAUUCCGAGUUUAUUAUUAUUGAUAAUUUAUGCAUUUAAUUAUAUAUGUGAUAGUGAUGACACCAUGCAAAUACUCCUAAAUGAUUUUAAAUUGUGACGAGAGAACUACAAUUAUUAAAGUAAAAAAGAUCAUACGCAGAAUCACAUGGAGUACUGUAACAAUAUUAAAUUUUUUUUUUUUUAUAAAUUGGAUAAUUAGUAACCCUAAAUAAUAUUCAAAUCUAGAAUAUUCUAAAAAAACAUUAAAUAAUAUUCAAAUCUCAAAACAUGAAACUCUAAGUUAUGACGGGAGAAGUACAAUUAUAAAGUAAAAAAGAUUUUACACGGAAUCACACACGAAUGUCGGUAACAAUGCUGAAGUACUACUACAAUUUUUUUUUAUUAUAUUUUAUUUAUAUAAAUUGGAUAAUUAGUAACCAAAAUAUGAUUUAAUGUAAAUAGACUAAGUGCUAAACAAUAAAUUAAAAUAAUAUUCAAAUCCUAGAAUAUUCCAAAAAAAAAAAUAUAUUCAAAUAUCAAAACAUGAAACCCUAAAUUAUGACGAGAGAAGUACAACUAUAAAGUAAAAAAAAAUUAACACGGAAUCACACAUGAAUGUCGAUAACAAUGCUGAAGUACUACCACAAUUAUUUUAUUUUAUUUUAUUUAUAUAAAUUGGAUAAUUAAUAACCAAAAUAUAAUUUAAUGCAAAUAGACUAAGUGAUAAACAAUAGAUUAAUAUUCCAAAAAAAAUAAAAUAAUAUUCAAAUCUCCAAACAUGUAACCUGCACAAGAUAUGCAGAUAAAGUCAAGGAAAUUAAAUGGCCAAAGAGUAGUAUAAAUAGGACCUCUAUGGUUGCCCAAAGGCACAUAACAAACAACAAUAUUCUACAAUUCAUAGAAUUAUCUAAGAUGAUGAUGAAAAGAAUUGGGGCUUGGAUGUUGCUAGCGUUUUUGGCUUUGGUUGGCGAAUGGCAUGGUCGUUGUUAUGGGUGUGUGGAGGAAGAGAGGGUUGGUCUCUUGGAGAUCAAAGCUUUGAUCGACCCACAUGGCUAUGACUUUUCCUUGAGAGAUUGGGUGGACAGUAGUAAUUGUUGUGAGUGGGAUGGGAUCGAGUGUGAUCCGACUACAAGACGAGUGAUCCAACUCUCUCUUAGUGGAGAAAGAGAUUACAACUUGGGCAAUUGGGUUCUCAACGCAUCUUUGUUU